rnacentral:lncRNA from 1 species
GCAAAUAUAUGUCAGGAAGCACAGACAUACCAAAAGUCUUGAAUGGACAAGGUGGAUUUCAAAUGGUACAGAGAUCCUCAAACCCAGUUUCGACAAGGAAGAGAAAAGAUAAACUCAAAACACAUUUACGGUCCAAUGAAGUGCUGAUCAACAUAGAACUACAGAAGAUGUAAAAAGUUUUACAUGAUUCAAAUCUCCCUCAAGGGGAGAAUUCAGUGAUUUCAGGGAUCUAAAAUCAACAAUUCAAAAAAAAACAGACCAACUUAAAAAUCAUCGUCAUCCUCCUCGGCCAUGUGCUUUGCCAGCUCUUCCUCCUGCUGGAGCCUUUCUCGGCGCUUCUCAGCGCUCUCCUUUUCCUUAUGAGAAUUCGGGGGGAACCUCAUGGCCUUGACCGCUUCAUUAUGCAUGUUGAGGCAGAAAGCGAUUCUGGAGUUGAAUGCAGCCUGGGGUUCAUUUGUCGAGUAGACAUCGCCAGUUUCUUUCGACACCAUCCAGCCAUUUGCAUGGUCUAUGGUGGCAUCAAUUGCACCAUCUCUUAUGGCCUUGGUUACGAUGCACUCCGCAUCAGCAACAGGAUUCUCAGUGUCUAGCCUUAGCUUCUUCGCAAUAUCAGCAAGGGAGAUCCGCGAGUAUGAAAUGCUGAUGUUGCGUAGUCCAGUUCGAAUGACGUUGUGGCGGAGCCUCACGAUCAAAUUGUGAGUCCUGUCUGCACUGAAUGUGCUUGCAAAUUUGUCUGCAACAGCUCUAAACAGUUCCAAAUCGCCAAUCCUGACGGCCUAGACACCAAUAAUUCAAAUGUUAUGACUAGAGCUUUCCAGACAGUAACAUGAGAUUUAAAAGAAGACUGGAACUUACAUUUGUAAGCUCAAAAUAUGGUGCCAAAGCUUCCUUCAUUCCUUUCUGCAUGAAAACAGUCCUCUCUGGGAUCUCCCCAAGAAGCAGCCUUACUAUGAUAGCCCAUUUAUUGCACUGAAUCCUAAAACCACGAGCUGCAGCCGGUGCCUUCCUAGCAGCUUGCAGGAGGCUUUCUUUAGCAUCAGUGUACUCCAACUGAAUUGUUCUGAUUUUCCCCAAGUAGAAGAGGUACCGGCAGAACUGUAUUAAAAAAUGUUAACAGUUGCUUGAGUGUAUCAAUAAAAUCAGUUAGACUGCAGGAAGAUCUCACACAUCAAUCACCCCAAAGCAUUUUUAAAAGAAUAGCUAACAAAUAAACUAGUUUCAUAAAAUUUAAAUGUACUGGUGUAAUGCAUCUGAAACAUAAUACAAUUACUAAAGUGCAGAUAAUGAUUGGAAGAGGCAGAUGAAUUACUUGCUGGUUGGAAUGGGCUUCAAAACGUGGUGCCUUCGACCUAAGUUUCUCUGCCUGGUCAUACAAGUUAUAGUGGAGGUAAUUGCGGAGAAGCAGGUUGAGCAGGGUUUCCUGUUAUCAUGAAAAAACAAUGCAUUUCCAUAUAUUAGCACAAUUUGACAGCAUAACACUUAAUCAGCAAGAACCAGGAAAACAGAACUACCUGACCAAGCUCAUCGUGAUGUAAAGUUGCCAUUCUAUGUAACCCAAGGAGAUUACUGUACAAAGAAGCAAAUAUGAGCGAUGAAUUACAAAACAGGGUAAAUGGAAUCUAAGGAAAUACUAGAGUAGGGGAAGAUGUAGAAGUUGACAUACCCACGAAUUUCAGCAAGGGUGUUUGUAAGUUCAUACACAUAUGAAUAAUAAAAGUAUAGUCUAGAAGCCAAAACAUCAACAGUUCUCCUGUUCAAGUUCUUCAGACGAGCAAUGCUUCCAGUUGCGCAUGCUUUAGCCUAGAGACAAUUGGAGAACUUUAACUUAAUAAUAUGUUGCAUAUGCUGCACAAAAUAUAUCACUAUAUAAGACAUACCUCGUCGUAUUUCUUCUGAUCAAUGAGGAAAAUCAGAACAAGCAAAGAACAAUAUAUUUCAAUCUCAGGAAGGCCAUGCUUGAUAGAAAUCUGAGUUGCUGGAGCUGCUGCAUCAAUAUCCAUCUCAGCUUCAUCUUCCUAAAAAGUAACAAUAGAUGCAUACCAUGAUUAAUGAGUUUUGAAUAACAGAAUAAUAUUUUUAAAAGCAAAUCUAACUUCAAAUGUUUUGUUCUCUAAAUUAUGGAGCAGGUGGCAGAAGUCUAAAUUGAUCGGCUUCAAGAGCAUCUUCGGCUCCUCACAUAGAAAGGUCGAUUAACUAGUAUGUAACAAGCUUCCUGACAUUCUAAAAAAACUGAAGUUAUCUUGUAAGUGGCAAGUGGUGAUCAGCCUGGUAAUCAGUUUAAUGGGGUAUCAUCAUAACAGACACACAGAUUUGGAAAAAUACACCCUACUGCUACAACUCCAGUAACAAAUUUCCCCAUGUAUCUAAACAUACGGCAAGCUCCCACAUGCAGAAGGAGAAGAAAUAAAGAUGCAAAUAAAUGACGCAAGCAAAAAUGACACGACUAGAAUUUAAUCACACGAUGAAAACAGAAUUACUAACUGAAGGCAAAUAAAUAGAUAAUCAGAAUCAUACGAUUAUUAACAAGAAAAAACUAGCAAGAUACUUGCCAUAGGAUGCUGUGAAACAGUUAAUUAUGCAGUGUGCUGAUGAUAAUCACGUAUAAAAGGGGGCGCCUAUGUGUCAGGUGCCUUUUCUUUGCUCUCAGUCCAUUUUUUACAAUCCAACGGCUCUGGUCCUUCUUCCACCUCUGGCACCUCAAUCCAACAUCUCAUUCUUCUUCCACCUCCAGCACAAACCCUCAACUAGACCCNNNNNNNNNNNNNNNNNNNNNNNNNNNNNNNNNNNNNNNNNNNNNNNNNNNNNNNNNNNNNNNNNNNNNNNNNNNNNNNNNNNNNNNNNNNNNNNNNNNNNNNNNNNNNNNNNNNNNNNNNNNNNNNNNNNNNNNNNNNNNNNNNNNNNNNNNNNNNNNNNNNNNNNNNNNNNNNNNNNGAGGUCCUUCCUCCCUGCAAGCCGCGUCAUCCACACCUCCGGCGAGGUCCUGGCAAGCCCUCGGCAGCAACGCCACGCCGUUCCAGGCUCGAGCUUGUUGCUGCACAGCCUGCACUGCUCACUUUCAAAAUCGACUGAUCCAAAAAAUAUUCUCAGUUGCCUGAUGAAUGGCAACUGUACAUAUAAAAGCUACCAUCAUCAGUUCCAGGUCCAGUUUCACCCAAAAAAAAAAUCCAGACCAGUUCGGAAUUACCGCCCCUCCGUUUGAAAGUAUAAAUUUUAGAUUUUAGCAAGACUUUUUCCAGCCUCGGCUUUGUUCACCCAGUACAAAACAGGAAAACGAGUUAUCAAAAGGUUUUGGUACCCUGAAUCCCUGAACAGUACACAAACCAUGCAAGUAUGUGCCCGUCGUAUAUGCAAAAAUGAAACUAAGACAGAACUCUGACUUUCAUAGGAUAACCACCAGAGCUAACAUGAAACUGUGAAUUACGCAUGGCAACAACAGUUAGAGUAUCAACAUGGAAGCAACUGCAGUGGAAGACUAAGUCGUGGGUCAUGACAAAACUCUGUUGCUCAGAAUUUUACCUUGGGGAGGAGGGGAGUGAGGCGGGCGUAUGCGUCGCUGGAGACCGGGAGGGCGAAGGCGAGGAAGGCCGAGACGUCGCGGGCGGCGAGGCGGCGGCGCAGGGCGACGGUGAGGCGGACGGCGCGGGAGAUCCGGCGGACCUCCUUGGAGAGCGACCCCGCCUCGAUCACCGCGGCGAUCUCCUUCAGAUCUGGGGCACGAGCAAAUCAGAACAAAUCUGAGGUACCGGGGAGGGGGGACCUAGGGUUUUGGUGAGGGGGAGGGGAGCUUACGGUGGAGGGUGGAGGGGGCCGGCGCCGCCUCUACGGCGGCGGAAGGAGGGGCCGCCUGCGGCUCGCCCAUCUGCACGUCCAUCCCGGCGGCAAGGGGAGAGUGCGGAGUAUUGGUGCCGAAGCUUGGGUGCGGAGGAGCCUUCUGCUUUGUUCCUUGUGGCUUAAGAAGGUCACCUCACACUUUCAUCUACACAGCGGUGUUUUGGAAAAUUGGAAGGUGUACCAUAUAUAUACAAGGCCCGUACUAUUUAAGAAAAAAAUGGACAUUGAUUUUUUAUUUUAUUUUGCAAGAAAAACUUCCAAUCAGUUCAUCAACUCUCAAGGUAGUACAAAGAACACCGGAGUAAAAAUACAUCCAGGUCCAUAGACCACAAACGACGACUAUAAGCACUGAAGCGGGCCAAAGACGUACAACCAUCAUUGCCCGCCUCUCACCGAAGCCAUGCAAACCUUGUUGUAGUAGUCUGUCAGUAAGUCAUCGUGUUAAGCCUCUAUAGGACCAGUGCGCCCGAACAACAAACACCGCUAUGAAGAUAAUCGUAGAUAAGAAGGAUUCAACCGGUAGACACACGAAAUACACAUUAAGUACAUGUUACAAAAUACAUAUCUUGUAAAGGUAUAUUCAAUGAUAUAACUUUUGUGAUAUAUGAUUUGUACAUUUGCUAAUAAAAAUAAGGGAAACGCUGCCAUCCAACCGGUUGAUAUGUCAUUUUUGUCGUCUGCCUCGGGUGACAGCCACAGCCCUCGCGCAGUUACCAACCACGAGCCCACGUUCCUUCUUUUCUCUCUCUCUCUUUUUCACCCUUAUCCUCUCGAAUCUUCCUAUGAACCAUCUUCUUCCCCCAGGCGGCCCCCUUUGCCCUCCUCUCUCUCUCCCGCUCUCGCGCUACUGCAAGCAGUUGCUGCAAAUCUCGAGCCUAUGUUGCAACUUCCCAAUCUGACCCCUAAGCCCUGUCGGAAAUCCUGCCAAUCCUCAAGUCUGUCGCCAACAACUUCAAAGAGGACCACCGCUGGCACCGGGUGUUGCAGGCUGGGGACACCAAUGGUGUUCACGGGGCCUUGUAGCAGCGACAACACUUCAACAAUGCGACAACGAGGCAGUCGGCUUUCGUAACACCAAGAUUGCAGUAUCGACGCUCACCCCUUGCAUCGAGGUGGUAUGCAGCGCACGGUCCCAUCUGGCUUGUAGCAACAACAGUGUUGGGACUAGGUGGUUGCAGCAAGAGUGGUCGGCGUCGCGCGACCUAUCUUGCAACAAAGGUGGUGAUGCGACUGAUGUAGUCACCUAUUCCAGGUAGGGCCCCUCAUAUAAUCUCCAGUGGGGAUCAGUCGGAGCACGUAGGAAUGCUGACCACUACAUAAGCCACGUCUGGCUGAGGCGAGCAGCAAGCGGGGGAGAGUAUUUUGAAGUACAAGAACGUUGGGGUGGGACGCUAGUACUUAAACUAGGGGGAGAAAAAAAAGGUUACGAGCGGCAGAGCACGCACAAGUCUAUCAACGUCAACUCAGCCGCGCUUUGGACCGAUCCUACGAAUAAGAGGCAUUAACAAAGCAUUUAUGAGACGCCAUACUUUCAAUAGGCAAGGGCCAGCCCAAAGAUCAACGGGAUCUUUUUGUCAAGGACCCAUCAUUUGGGACCCACAUGGGACCCAUCACCAUCAUAGGUAGGUCCCUGAAUCAUGCUAACGUUCGGAUGCAUACAUCAGGAAGUUCACUCGAACAGCUCAACGGCACUCGAACAAUCACAUGUCACUCGGCUAAUGGAUCACCACUCGGACAUAAGAGGGCAAGAGGACAUCGUGGGAGCUACAACGGUCGAGGAAUCCUAAGUCAUCCACUAAAUAGAGUUAUAGCUAUCGUUACCUGUAACUGUUGUAGUAGAGGCUCAUUACACUAGCAAAUCAGAACAAAUCUGAGGUACCGGGGAGGGGGGACCUAGGGUUUUCGUGAGGGAGAGGGGAACCUAGGGUUUUGGUGAGGGGGAGGGGAGCUUACGGUAGAGGGUGGAGGGGGCCGGCGCCGCCUCUACGGCGGCAGGAGAAGGGGCCGCCUGCGGCUCGCCCAUCUGCACGUCCAUCCCGGCGGCAAGGGAAGAGUGCGGAGUAUUGGUGCCGAAGCUUGGGUGCGGAGUAGCCUUUUGCUUUGUUCCUUACUUGUGGCUUAAGAAGGACACCUCACACUUUCAUCUACACAGCGGUGUUUUGGGAAACUGGAAGGAGAUUUUCUCAAGAUAUGUAUAUGUACCAUAUAUACAAGGCCCGUACUAUUUAAGAAAAAAUGGACAUUGAUUUUUUAUUUUAUUUUUGCAAGAAAAACUUCCGACCAGUUCAUCAACUCUCAAGGUAGUACAAAGAACACCGGAAGUAAAAAAAUACGUAGCGACGACUACAAGCACUGAAGUCGGUCAAAAACGUACAUCCAUCAUUGCCCCCCUCUCACUGAAGCCAUGCAAACCUUGUUGUAGUAGUCUGUCGGGAAGUCAAUCGUGUUAAACCUCUAUAGGACCAAUGCACCAGAAUAACAAACACCGUUGAUGAAGAUAACCGUAGAUAUAUAAGAAGCAUCCAACCGGUAGACACACAAAAUACAUAUUAAGUACAUGUUACAAAAUACAUAUCUUUUAAAGAUAUUUUCAAUGAUAUAACUUUUGUGAUAUAUGAUUUGUACAUUUGCUGAUAAAAAUAAGGGAACGCUCCCAUCCAACCGGUUGAUAUGUCAUUUUUGUCGGCGCCUCGAGUGAAAGCCACAGCCCCUACACACUUACCAACCACGAGCCCACGUUCCUUCUUUUUUCCCUCUCUUUUUCACCCUUAUCCUCUCGAAUCUUCCUAUGAUCCAUCUUCUUCCCCCAGGCGACCCCCUUUGCCCUCCUCUCUCUCUGCCGCUCUCGCACCACCGCAAGCAGUUGCUGCAAAUCUCGAGCCUAUGUUGCAGCUUCCCAACCUGACCCCUAAGAGCAUCUCUAGCAGACCUCGUAUAAUGCCCCGGCCCGCAAAAUCACCGUUAAAAUAUGGGUCCGCGCAAAAAAUGAUUUUCAACUAGACCCCGCAAACGCGUCGGACCCGUAAUUUUUUUUGCAGGGCGCGGCAAAAGUUCGCCCUCAACCUUCAGAUUCACGGGGUGGGAGGUCAACUCGAGCUCGCCCCCUAUCCACAGCGAGAUUUGGCACGAGGGAAAUUUCCGCGUGGCCAUUCCCGCUUCCCACGCCAUUCGCCGCCAUGGCCCGACCUCCGCCCGCUCUGGUCCAUUUUCCAAGGCCAUUCUUCGCCGCCAUGGAAGCCUCCCAGCCGUCCCCCGUCACCGUGGAUGUCGCACGCACGCAAUCCCCUCCGGCAGAUCUCGUUGCCGGCCAUGUCGCCCCCGCCGUCUCUCAAGGCACCGCCGCCGCCUGCCCGCAAGCGGCAGGGCAACGUGGUUGUACAGGGCACAAAUCUGGCUAGCCCCGCCGGGAAGGCAUGCACGCCCGGCGCCGCUGCCGCUGCACGAUCUGCCCGGCCGCUGCCGGAGAAGAUGGGUAAGGUUUCGGGCGUGAAGUGCAAGAAGGUUCCUAUGAAAAGGCUGUCGCCUUCAUCCUCUCCCUCUGCCCCGGCAAGAGGUGCCCCGACGAUGCCAUUCAGUGCCGCUGCUUCCACCGCAAGCGAGGUGCUCGAUGAAAUGGCCGGAAGGUAUGCUUCUUCGAUUUCCUUCUACUUGCUUCGCUUUUCUCCAUUGUGGUUGCUUGUGACUUGAUGUCACUUACUGUAGUGGCGGUUCGAACGAUGCCACUGCCGAGUUCAUGAACUUGUAGGACACUAACACCGUCGACAUCGACCAAGCCCCGUUCGCUGAUUUUGAUUACAAUGAAAUGGAGGGUGGCAUGGAUGAUCACGGUGGUGAAGAUGAAGUGGAGGAGAUAGACGAGGGGGUGUAUGAGCAAGCGCAAGCAAAAAAAAGGCGCGAUAUCGAAGAACUACAUGAUGUUGGAAGACCAAAUCUUGAUCAAGGUUUGGAGUGUGAUGUCUCUUGAUGCUUGCACCGGUACAUCUCAAAUCGCCAAGAGGUAUUGGAAAAUGAUCGAAGAUCAAUACUUCCGCAUGAUGGGAAAGUAUCCCAAUAGGACUCCACGCACCUUUCGGUCACUCCAAGGUUGUUGGGACGUGAUCAAGCCGAUUUUUAGCCGUUGGGAUGCUUGCUUGGAACAAGUUCGCAAUGCACCUCCAAGUGGAACCGUGGAAUCCGACUAUGUGAGUUCAUUUUCAUGUCCCAAGUUGUGCAAAUCAUUUGUACCAUUUGAAGUGAUUGCAUCAUUUGACAUUGUUUUAAUUUUUUUUGAAAAGGAGGAAUACCCCCGGCCUCUGCAUCAAUCGAUGCAUGCAGCCAUGUUAUUAAAUAAAACGUAACAAGGUCAUAAGGUCCAAACACUAAAAAAAUACACUUCCGUGAUGAUAUGUGUUUUUCACAGUAGGUCACAUUUUCUGUCAUGCAUGUACAUCCAUGACGAUUUUAUGACAGAAUCAAGAUAGUCAUACAUGUGCUGUCGUAGAAGUGUUCCAUGACAUUACCAAAAUUAUCAUCACGGGAGUGUCCACUUCCAUGACGAUAAAUCGCGCGUCAUAGAGUUGCUUUCGUCAAGGGUAAUCGACACGUGGCAUCCACCGUAACGGGUCGCCAUUAAGCUAUCAGGUUCUGGUUUGGAUCCGAUAACCCGUUAACAGCCCGGACCAAUGGGAUUUUCCAUAUGUAAAAUUGUUAAUGGCCAGAGGAACCACGUGUCGACUCACCGAUGGGACAUAUGUCAUCCACUCAUUGGAUCGAAGGCGCCUAUGAUACGUCGACACGUGGCAUGGCCCAACAGAGGUCCAUUCCAGUGCAAAGGCCGGCCCGUUUGACUUGGUUAAAAGGUAGUGGGCCGGCCCAUAGAAAGCCUGUUAAUGACAUGUUCGCAUAUAGCCCAUUUACAGCCCGCUAACUCACGGCCCGUUACGGCCAACCCGAAUUUGGCCCAGUAGCGUCAUCUGGGCCGCCCAAUAUGGUUCCAGCCCGUUGUAACUUUCGACCCAUGUAUGGGGUAUGGCCCAUGACGUCUUUUGGCCCACAGGAGGCCCUUUGUAACUCUGGGACCAUUAAAGGCCCAAGAUGAAACUGGCCCAUAAUGAACAGUGUAUCGCUUUAUACCCAUUAACGGUCCAUUAUUUCAUCGGCCGUUUCCAACCCGUGUUAACUUUUGGCCUUCUAAGGGCCCAUUUAUUCUUUGGCUCAUUUCCAAAAUUCCAUUACUUACGGUCCGUUACUGGCCUAUUCCGCUUGUGGGCCAAAUUCAGCCCGUGGUUAUAGUCGGCCUGUUUGUGGCCUGUUAACCCGUUGGGUUGUUUUCAUAGCAUCAUCAAAUACGGCCUAUUAACGGCCCGUUAUGGUCGGGCCAUAAAACAAAUGAUUUCCACUCUAGCCCAUUUACGGCCCAUUUUGCGAACCGUUAUUGGUCCACGAAUAGUACGGCCCAUGUUUGGCGAAAUGAUUAUACGGCCCGUAGAAGGCCCAUAGAUUAGACGGCCUGUAGAAGGCCCGUGGAUCCUACGCCCCGUAGAAGGCCCAUGGAUCCUACGACCCGUAGAAGGCCCAUGGAUCCUAUGGCCCGUGGAGGGCCAUGGUCACUGCAGCAGGUAGCAGGACCAUGGUUACAACAGUCCAUGUGUUGCUAUGGUUAUUGUGGCCUAGUUAUAAAAAUAGGUUAUUGUGGCCACUAGAAAAACGCGGAAAAAAGAACUGCAGUGACUACAAGCAAACAACUAAACAAGACAAUAAGGAAAUAAAUAAGCAAGCAACUAACACUAGGCUAUUACAGCUAUUACACAUAUUACAUCCACUGGGCAUCAAAGUUCACCACCAGUGCAAAUAUAGGGAACAAAGCAGCAUAUUACAUACACUGGCCGUCUAAAUUGGCCACCCGUGCAAAUAAACGCGGUAGCAAAACAAGUCCAUAACUGAAACAACUUCAGAAGAGCUCAAGAAACAUUAUCCCUGGGUAUCCACCAUGCUGGCAAUAAGCUUAGCAAGCUCAUUAGCUUUGCCCUGUUUGGCACUAAAAUCCUCCAACGCUUGCUGUUGCACCAGAAAGUAUGCAUCUGAAUGCUCCAGGGACUCCGCAGCCCUUCGACUUCUUGUCGUAGCACAGCUGAUCGAUGCCUUUCAGCUUGUAGUUGAGACUCAAGAAAUCGAACUGAUUCAAACAGUGAGUUUUAAUAGCUUGUGCCAGCGGUAGUGGCUAGUAACUCGAACACUAAACCAAGACAUGACUUUGGGGUUGUCUCACUGUCUUCAAGAUAGUUUUCCUUAGCUGUUUUAUCAGCUUUGUUGGAGACCAACAAGGAUGUCUCACUAUCCUGAACCUUAUAUGCAUUACUUCCUUUACCAUUGCUUAAUAAGGCACUCUUCCCAAAUAUUUUGCCAGCAUUCUAAAAGAAGAAACAAGCAGACACAUAACAUGUUUAGCAUGUACUAGUAUAUGAAACUCAUUUCGGUGAACCAGUUCAUUAGUAAGGUGGACAUGAUUAAACUACCAAGUCUUCUAUUGCUAAGUAGUAGUACAUAAUAAAAGUAUCAAACAUAUAUCUAUGUCCUAUGGUCACUACAUUGUCUUGCCAAAUCAAAAUAGAAAUACAGUUCAAAUCAUAUCAGUUCAAGACAAAGCAGCACUAAAAGAAUACAAAGCGUGGGAAACUACACGACACAACAAGAUUUCAUAUGGGUACCAUGAGCCUACGUGUACAAUAACACUAUUGGCUCUGUUGUGAUGCUAGUAAUGUGCAUGAUAUGAAAAGUCAAUUGUAUACACAAUUGAAAUUGAAAUCAACAGAGCUAUUUAUAAGAGCAAACAUGUUAAAGAAACAUGCGUAAACAUACCUGUUAUGCCAUUGGAGUUUAGAUUGGAUCCUUCAAUUUAAAAAUAAGUUUGUAUGAGUAAAUACAGUGAUACAAGGGCAAAGUAGUAUGCACGAUAGAAAUGGAAUCUUAAAUGAGAACAAUAGUUCUUCAGGUUUAAGCACUUGUUCUACAUGAACAGAGUACAGUAAGACGCAAACAUAUAGUACUUAAAAUAAAAAAUGAGCUCAUAGACCUUACCACAUUCUUGGUUCGGGACCAGUAUAGAACAAGGCAUUCCCAGUCAUCGUCCAGUAAAUGUGUCUUAGGAGAAUGUAAGGGAAUUUGAUGAGUUGCUUUGCCAGUGAAGUAUGUUUUCUUCAGGUAAUUCCGAUACUACCACCAAGCAUUCUUGAAGAUAGCAGAGGUAUUAGCACAGGUUACCUCAUCCUGAGUUUCCAAAUCGGUCCUUCUCUAUAGAGAAAAAUGGGAAAAUUUGUUGUAUUAUAAUCAUCAUUGAGGUAGAAUGUAUAGGACAAAGAAAAGUAAUUGCCAUGAAUAACAUUACUUGCACAUAACUCCUGGACAAACACCUGCAACUAGCAUUUUCCUUCAUCUCUAGUAUAAUAUUUCCAUGAUGGGAAGAUACACACAUAGGAUUUAACAACAUCAAGUGCGAUAGAUGCUAAACUAUGAAUGGUUGGUUGUGCUUCCUCCACAGGAAUAGGUGUACUAACUGGUGGAGUUGGGGUUCGUCGUGGUAGUACUGGCGCUUUGGGCAUUGGAGCUGCCUUAUUAACUAAUCUUGUUUGGGAGCUCUGUGGUGGAGAUGGUGAUGUGUCAACAUGAACUGGGUUACUAUAUGCCGGGGUUGGGUUGGAUUGGGUGAAGUUGGUUCUCUGUCCAUCGCAGUAGGGGUACAAUCUGCGAGAGUCUGGGUUAUGUGUGGUAGGACUGGUUCUCAUGCAUGUAUAAAUGGGGUGCUAUCUCCACCAAGAGGCAACAUUGUUUUAUUUGAAGACUGUAUUUUUACUCCGCAAGAUACUGCCAUCACCCGCUCCAAUUCAAAUGGCUGAUAAACAGGAAACAUAGUUGAAUGUAUAGACAUUGUAUAAGAGACAUAUGCAAUAGAUAGUGUGGAAAAAGGAAGACAUGAAAUAGUUGACAUGUGUAUUGUUUAGCUAAAAAGGAUAACAUGACAUAAUUUCACAUAUAUGAUGUUGCUAUGUCUUGAGCUUGCGUUGGUUUUCCUUGAAGAUGAAAGGGUGAUGCAGCAAAGUAGCGUAAGUAUUUCCCUCAGUUUUUGAGAACCAAGGUAUCAAUCUAGUAGGAGGCUCCUCAAAAGUCCCACGCACCUACACAUAUAAACAAGAACCUCGCAACCAACGCAAUAAAGGGGUUGUCAAUCCCUUCACGACCACUUACGAAAGUGAGAUCUGAUAGAGAUAAUAUGACAAGAUAAAUAUUUUUGGUAUUUUUAUGAUAUAGAUUGGAAAGUAAAAUAUGCAAAUAAAAGUAGAUGGUAAACUUAUAUGAUAAAAGAUAGACCCGGGGGCCAUAGGUUUCACUAGUGGCUUCUCUCAAGAUAGCAUAAGUAUUACGGUGGGUGAACAAAUUACUGUUGAGCAAUUGAUAGAAAAGCGAAUAAUUAUGAGAUUAUCUAGGCAUGAUGAUGUAUAUAGGCAUGAAGUCCGUGACAAGUAGAUCGAAUCCUGCCUGCAUCUACUACUAUUACUCCACACAUCGACCGACUCCUGCCUGCAUCUAGAGUAUUAAGUUCGUAAAGAACAGAGUAACGCAUUAAGAAAGAUGACAUGAUGUAGAGGGAUAAACUCAUGCAAUAUGAUAUAAACCCCAUCUUUUUAUCCUCGAUGGCAAUAAUACAAUAUGUGCCUUGCUGCCCCUGCUGUCACUGGGAAAGGACACCGCAAGAUUGAACCCAAAGCUAAGCACUUCUCCCAUUGCAAGAAAGAUCAAUCUAGUAAGCCAAACCAAACUGAUAAUUCGAAGAGACAUGCAAAGAUAACUUAAUCACACAUAUAAGAAUUCAGAGGAGAUUCAAAUAUUUCUCAUAGAUAAACUUGAUCAUAAACCCACAAUUCAUCUAAUCUCGACAAACACACCACAAAAAGAGUUACAUCGAAUAGAUCUCCAAGAAGAUCGAGGAGAACUUUGUAUUAAGAUUCAAAGAGAGAGAAGAAGCCAUCUAGCUAAUAACUAUGGACCCAAAGGUCUGUGGUAAACUACUCACAACUCAUCGGAAGGGCCUUGGAGAUGAUGUAGAGGCCCUCCAUGGUCGACUCCCCCUCCGGCGGAGCGCCGACGAAGGCUCCAAGAUGGGAUCUCGCGGAUACAGAAGGUUGCGGCGGUGGAAUUAGGUUUUUGUGGUCGCUUUUGAUGGUUUCAGGGUACGGGUGUAUAUACCGGAGGAAGAAGUAGGUCGGCGGACGCUCGAGGGGGCCACGAGGGUGGGGCGCGCGCCCAGCCCUAGGGGCGCACCGGGCACCCUUGUGGACGCCUCCUCUAUUGCUUGACGUCCACUCCAAGUCCCGUGGAUUGUGUUUGUUCCAAAAAGAUCGCUCCUGAAGGUUUCAUCACGUUUGGACUCCGUUUGAUAUUCCUUUUCUUCGAAACACUGAAAUAGGCAAAAAAACAGCAAUUCGGGUUGGGCCUCCGGUUAGUAGGUUAGUCCCAAAAAUGAUAUAAAAGUGUAAAGUAAAGCCCAUAAACAUCCAAAAUAGGUAAUAUAAUAGCAUGGAACAAUAAAAAAUUAUAGAUAAGUUGAGGACGUAUCAAGCAUCCCCAAGCUUAAUUCAUGCUCGUCCUUGAGUAGGUAAAUGAUAAAAACAGAAUUUUUGAUGUGGAAUGCUACCUAGUAUAAUUCUCAAUGUAAUUUAUUUUAUUGUGGCAUGAAUGUUUAGAUCCAAAUGAUUCAAAAUAAAAGUUCAUAUUAACAUAAGAAAUAGUAAUACUUCAAGCAUACUAAUCAAACCAAUCAUGUCUUCUCGAAAUAACAUGGCUAAAGGAAGUUAUGCCUACAAAAUUAUAUAGUCUGGCUGUUGCUCUAUCUUCAUCACACAAAGUAUUUAAUCAUGCUAAACCCCGAUGAUAAGCCAAGCAAUUGUUUCAUACUUUAGUAAUCUCAAACUUUUUCAACUUUCACGCAAUACAUGAGCAUGAGCCAUGGACAUAACACUAUAUGUGAACAGAAUGGUGGUUGUGGAGAAGACAAAAAGGAGAAGAUAGUCUCACAUCAACUAGGGGUAUCAACAGGCUAUGGAGAUGCCCAUUAAUAGAUAUCAAUGUGAGUGAGUAGGGAUUGCCAUGCAACAGAUGCACUAGAGCUAUAAAUGUAUGAAAGCUCAACAAAAGAAACUAAGUGGGUGUGCAUCCAACUCGCUUGCUCACGAAGACCUAGGGCAUUUUGAGGAAGCCCAUCAUUGGAAUAUACAAGCCAAGUUCUAUAAUGAAAAACUCCCACUAGUUUAUGAAAGUGAAACAUAGGGGACUCUCUAUCAUGAGGAUCAUGGUGCUACUUUGAAGCACAAAUGUGGUAAAAGGGAUAGUAGCAUUGUCCCUUCUCUCUUUUUAUCUCUCUUUUUUUUAUUUGGCCUUUGUCUUUUUUUUGGCCUUUCUAUUUUUUAUAUAAAGUCCGAAGUCUCAUCCCGACUUGUGGGGGAAUCAUAGUCUCCAUCAUCCUUUCCUCACUGGGACAAUGCUCUAAUAAUGAAGAUCGUCACACUUUUAUUUACUUACAACUCAAGAUUACAACUCGAUACUUAGAACAAGAUAUGACUCUAUAUGAAUGCCUCUGGCAGUGUAUCGGGAUAUGCAAUGAAUCAAGAGUGACAUGUAUGAAAAUUAUGAAGGUGGCCUUGCCACAAAUACGAUGUCAACUACAUGAUCAUGCAAAGAGCAAUAUGACAAUGAUGAUGUGUGUCAUAUAAACGGAACGGUGGAAAGUUGCAUGCCAAUAUAUCUAGGAAUGGCUACGGAAAUGCCAUAAUAGGUAGGUAUGGUGGCUGUUUUGAGGAAGGUAUAUGGUGGGUGUAUGGUACCGGCGAAAGUUGCGCGGCAUAAGAGAGGCUAGCAAUGGUGGAAGGGUGAGAGUGUGUAUAAUCCAUGGACUCAACAUUAGUCAUAAAGAACUCAUAUACUUAUUGCAAAAAUCUACAAGCCAUUGAAAACAAAGCACUACGCGCAUGCUCCUAGGGGGAUAUAUUCGUAGGAAAAGACCAUCGCUCGUCCCCGGCCGCCACUCAUAAGGAAGACAAUCAAUUAAAAAAAUUGUGCUCCAACUUCAUCACUAAGCGGUUCACCAUACGUGCAUGCUACAGGAAUCACAAACUUCAACACAAGUAUUAUUUAAAUUCAUAAUCACCCAACUAGCAUGACUCUAAUAUCACCAUCCUAAUAUCUCAAAACAAUUAUCAAGCAUCAAAUUGAUCAUAGCAUCCAAUUCACUUUCUAUGAUAGUUUUUAUUAUACCCAGCUUGGAUGCCCAUCCUUCUAGGACCAAUUUUAUAACCAUAGCAAAUACCAUGCUAUUCUAAAAGACUCUCAAAAUAAUAUAAGUGAAUUGUGAGAUCUCAACAAUUUCUACAAAAUUAAGCCACCGCCGUGCUCUAAAAGAUAUAAGUGAAGCACUAGAGCAAAAACUAUCUAGCUCAAAAGAUAUAAGUGAAGCACAUAGAGUAUUCUAAUAAAUUCUAAAUCAAGCGGGCUUCUCCCAAAAGGUGUGUACAUCAUGGAUGAUUGUGGUAAUCUAAAAAGCAAAGACUAAUAUCAUACAAGACGCUCCAAGAAAAACACAUAUCAUGUGGCGAAUAAAAUAUAGCUCCAAGUAAAGUUACCGAUAGAUGAAGACGAAAGAGGAGAUGCCUUCCGGGGCAUCCCCAAGCUUAGGCUUUUGGUUAUCCUUGAAUAUCUUGGGGUGCCAUGGGCAUCCCCAAGCUUAGGCUCUUGCCACUCCUUAUUCCAUAGUCCAUCAAAUCUUUACCCAAAACUUGAAAACUACACAACACAAAACUCAACAGGAAAUCUCAUAAGAUCCGUUAGUGCAAGAAAGAAAAAACACCACAUAAGGUACUGCAAUGAACUUAUUCUUUAUUUCAAAAACAAAACAAUCUGUAGCAAUCUGUAACUCUUGAAUACUUCUGGAACUCUAACAAUCCUACCAAAAUAGAAAGUCCUGGUCAAUUUGUCUAUUGAUCUACAGCAAAAAGAAUCAACGCAAAAGCACGUUUAUGUGAAUUACUAAAAUUAUUUUCGUGCGCACAAAAGUUUCUGUUUUUCAGCAGAAUCAAAUUAACUAACACCGUAGUAUAUCCUAUAGGUUCUACUUGGAACAAACACUAAUUAAAACAUGAACACACAUCUAAACAGAAGCUAUAUGAAAUAUUUAUUGAAUAUCAGCAAGGAAAAAUAUUGGUUUGUCUCCCAACAAGCGCUUUUCUUUAAAGCCUUUUUAGCUAGGCAUUGAGAUUUCAAUGAUGCCCACAUGAAAGACAAGAAUUGAAGCAUAAAGAGAGCAUCAUAAAACAUGUGACAAACACACUUAAGUCUAACAUACUUCCUAUGCAUAGGUUUUUUAUAAGAAAACAAAUUAUCAAGGCAAGCAAAAACUAGCAUAUGCAAGGAAGAAGACGAUAGCAAUCUCAACAUAAAGAGAGGUAUUUCGUAACAUGAAAAAUUUCUACAACCAUAUUUUCCUCGCUCAUAAUAAUUACAUGUAGGAUCAUAAGCAAAUUCAACAAAAUAGAUAUUACAUAACAUCUUUUCAACACGAUCCACAUGCAUGCGAAGUUGACACUCUUCCAAAAUAGUGGGAUUAACAUUAACUAAAGUCAUGACCUCUCCAAACCAACUUUAAUCAAAAAUUUCAUAAGAUUGAGUAUUUUUCAAAUAUGUGGGAUCUAAACUUGACACUUUUCCAAACCCACUUUCAAUAUUAUUGCAACAAGUAGUAGACAUAGCAAAACUAGCAUCUCCAAGCUUAGGGGUUUGCAUAUUAUUAGCACAAUUGACAUCAAGAGAAUUUAUAGUAAAAUCAUUGCAAUCAUGCUUUUUAUUCAAGGAGCUAUCAUGAAUCUGUUCAUAAAGUACUUCAUCACAAUUUUCAGAUUCACAAAUUUCAAGCAAAACUUCAUAAAGAUAAUCUAGUGCACAUAACUCAUUAGCAAUAGGUUCAUCAUAAUUGGAUCUCUUAAAAAGAUUAGCAAGCGGAUGAGGAUCCAUAGAUCUUAGGUCUCUAUUUAGCAAUAAAUAAACAACUAUUCCAACCAAACAAGCAAACGAGCCAAGUAAGACAUCAAAGCAAACGAAAAGACGAACAGAAGAAGGGCGAAUAAAAUGGCAAGGGUGAAGUGGGGGAGAGGAAAACGAGAGGCAAAUGGCAAAUAAUGUAAUGCGAGGGAGAUGAGUUUGUGAUGGGUACCUGGUAUGUCUUGACUUGAGCGAAGACCUCCCCAGCAACGGCGCCAUAAAUCCUUCUUGCUACGUCUUGAGCUUGCGUUGGUUUUCCUUGAAGAGGAAAGGGCGAUGCAGCAAAGUAGCGUAAGUAUUUCCCUCAAUUUUUGAGAACCAAGGUAUCAAUCCAGUAGGAGGCUCCUCAAAAGUCCCACGCACCUACAUAAACAAACAAGAACCUCUCAACCAACACAAUAAAGGGGUUGUCAAUCCCUUCACGGCCACUUGCGAAAGUGAGAUCUGAUAGAGAUAAUAUGAUAAGAUAGAUAUUUUUGGUAUUUUUAUGAUAUAGAUUGGAAAGUAAAAGAUGCAAAUAAAAGUAGAUGGUAAACUUAUAUAAAAGAUAGACCCGGGGGCCAUAGGUUUCACUAGUGGCUUCUCUCAAGAUAGCAUAAGUAUUACGGUGGGUGAACAAGUUAUUGUCGAGCAAUUGAUAGAAAAGCGAAUAAUUAUGAGAUUAUCUAGGAAUGAUCAUGUAUAUAGGCAUCACGUCUAUGACAAGUAGAUCGACUCCUGCCUGCAUCUACUACUAUUACUCCACACAUCAACCGACUCCUGCCUGCGUCUAGAGUAUUAAGUUCGUAAAGAACAGAGUAACGCAUUAAGAAAGAUGACAUGAUGUAGAGGGAUAAACUCAUGCAAUAUGAUAUAAACCCCAUUUUUUAUCCUCGAUGGCAACAAUACAAUACGUGCCUUGCUGCCCCUGGUAUCACUGGGAAAGGACACCGCAAGAUUGAACCCAAAGCUAAGCACUUCUCCCAUUGCAAGAAAGAUCAAUCUAGUAGGCCAACCAAACUGAUAAUUCGAAGAGACUUGCAAAUACAACUAAAUCACACAUAAAAGAAUUAAGAGGAGAUUCAAAUAUUUCUCAUAGAUAAACUUGAUCAUAAACCCACAAUUCAUCGAAUCUCGACAAACACACCGCCAAAAGAGUUACAUCGAAUAGAUCUCCAAGAAGAUUGAGGAGAACUUUGUAUUGAGAUUCAAAGAGAGAGAAGAAGCCAUCUAGCUAAUAACUAUGGACCCGAAGGUUUGUGGUAAACUACUCACAACUCAUUGGAAGGGCCUUGGAGAUGAUGUAGAGGCCCUCCAUGGUCGAUUCCCCCUCCGGCGGAGCACCGAUGAAGGCUCCAAGAUGGGAUCUCGCGGAUACAGAAGGUUGCAGUGAUGGAAUUAGGUUUUUGUGGUCGCUUCUGAUGGUUUCAGGGUAUGGGUGUAUAUAUAGGAGGAAGAAGUAGGUCGGUGGACGCUCGAGGGGGCCAUGAGGGUGGGGGCGCGCCUAGCCCUAGGGGGCGCGCCGAGCACCCUUGUGGCCGCCUCCUUUGGUGCUUGACGUCCACUCCAAGUCUCGUGGAUUGCUUUUGUUCCAAAAAGAUCGCUCCCGAAGGUUUCAUCCCGUUUGGACUCCGUUUGAUAUUCCUUUUCUUCGAAACACUGAAAUAGGCAAAAAAAACAGCAAUUCGGGCUGGGCCUCCGGUUAGUAGGUUAGUCCCAAAAAUGAUAUAGAAAUGUAAAGUAAAGCCCAUAAACAUCCAAAACAGGUAAUAUAAUAGCAUGGAAUAAUAAAAAAUUAUAGAUACGUUGGAGACGUAUUAGAUGUCUAUCUAAACUGGAUAGCUUAGCAUGACAUAAUUCAAAGAUAUGAUGACUAACUAAACAUGAUGGCAUGUGAUAAUUAUAUGAUAUCUUUAUUAAAUAGGUUUGCAUGACAUAAUUCACAUACAUGUUAUCUAAGUAAUCAGGAUCACAUGAUUUAAUUCACAUGUGUGGUUUAUAUGCUAAGCAGAGGGCAUUCACAUAUAUGAUGUCUGAACUAAGAACAUGGUGUUGAAUAUUGUGUAUAUGAUGUCUAAACUAUGCAAUGCAAGAUACCAUAUGCAUGAUAUGAGCAGUAUAACAGUGCCAAGUUAGAUCAUACACCCCGGUGGGGGAAUAGGACUGGUCAUCUGUCUCUGAAUCCAUCUCUGAGGAGCUAUCGGGACCCAGCAUGAGAUCUGCUUCAACAGGUAGCACUGUCUGCUCUGAAGACCUUGUUUUCACUCCAGAUUUUUCCAGCACCCACUCAAAUGGCUGAUUCACAGGAAGAGUAGUUUAAUGUACAUACAUUGUCGACAAAUGGAAAUGUAAUGAAUAAAAGGAUGGGCAAGAUAUCAUUCAAAUAUAUGAUGCCUGAUUAAACAUGAUGGCAUUGCAUAUUUCACAUAUAUUAUGGCUGGCUAAAAGAGAUUAGAAUGCAUAAUUCCCAUAUAUGAUAUAGAAACUAAACAAUCGGCAUUACAGAACAUGUCUAAACUAAGCAGAUGACAUAUAUGGUGUCGAAAGUAGGCACUACAAGGCAACAUAUACAUGAUAUGACUAACAUCAUCAUGCCAAGUUAGAACAAACACCUUUGGGGGUAAAUAGGAGUGGUCAGCUACGUCUGAAUCUGCCUCAGAACAGAUAUCUUCCUCUGGAUAACAAUCUGGAGAGGGGGGAUGGUUUUCCAUUGAACCCACCAUGGAGCGAUGUCUGCAUGACAUUGUAUUGUCGCGCAAAACUCUUGUCUUUUUCUCUACACGUUCAACAUGACUGUGUACAAUAUCUAACAUGCAUAAAAAAAAUAUAGUGAGAUUAUGUAAGGAGAGCAUGCAGAAAUCUAGAGUGAUGGUAACAACCAGUGGAUGGAUCCAAAAAUAAUGAUAGCAGGCUGAUGAUAGCUCUAGUUUAAUAAAAAAGACAAUUGAUGAUUUCUUUACUAUUUGUUUCCCACCCAAGAUGAACAAUAUAGGCAUAUCCUAGGUGAACGAGAUAAUAGACAGAGAUACUAUUCAUUGUUGCCUCGAUAUGUGCCCUACAACUAAUUUUAAAACUCAAGUUUGAACAUUAAUUUGACCCGACUUAGAGUCUAAGAGGCGAACAGGACGAUGAAGUAGCAGGUUAUAUUAAGCAAUGCAUAACAUAAGCAGAAACAAAAGACUGCUACCUCUCUCAUGGACCCGUGUACUCCUUUCGUUCAUAAAUACUAGAUCGGGAGCGUGCCUUGGCGCAGGGUGCCGGUCCCAACGUUAGUUCCUUGCUUAGUGGUAGUCCAGACUUAGCAUAUGCAUUAAAGUACUAAUUUAAUAGAUGCUCAAAGAAAGCAAGGUACACACAGGUCUAUUACUUGUGGUAUCGGCAUGAGUACGAAGACAGAACAGACCACACAACAUGUACAGGAAAUAAAACAUAUGAUAUGACAUAGUAAACGGAUUAGAAAACCAACAUUAGAGCCACAACUUAACUGGUUCAUAACUUACAUCAACCACAAAGUAGUUAAUCCAUCAGAAGCACCAUCUCGUGGCACUGACCAUACAUUGUUAGCAACCAAGAGCUAAACAAACACCACACAAAAUAGAAGGCCAAUGCUGAUCAUAGUACCAACAGCGGCUGGUCUUUCGCAAGCACCACAUUAAAGUUUUCUGGGGUCGGUGUAACGGAACAUCGCAUUGCAAGCAAUACGGCACGACAAAAGGGACGAUGGACCUAGGAAGAAGCUUCACCAUCUAACACAUGUCGAGACGUCCAUUCGCUAGACCGUCAAUGCGAGAGCACAUCUAACCAACACACCGUGGUCCUGCAAUAACACAAGUUCAAGUAAGAGCCAAAUCGUGUACAACACAGGAGGUAGCCGACGAUAUAAAAGGUACCUAGCUGACACACCAAAAUAAUGAUCCACCUAGGGCCGUUUGGACUACAGCUUGGCCCUUUUAGUCGCAGACGUCUCAUCUUCAUCCUCCGCCAGGCUUUCAGUUGAUUUGCUUCAAGAACAAAUAACAAUUAUGUACAAGAAGUAGAAAAAUGAUGCAUAUAUUGUUAAAUACUCGUAUCAACCUACACCCAGAUACCUCAACGUAGCAGCAAGCUCACCACCGAGACCAGCAGAGUGUAAUUCAGUUUUUCGAGCCCCUGGCAGGCAUAAACGGAUAUUCCUUGUCAACUUACCAUCAAACAACUAUGUGAAUAGGUUUGGAUGUAUUUUUGAUGUCUACUACACAACCUUCUUCUUGUAGACGUUGUUGGGCCUGCAAGUGCAUAGGUUUGUAGGACAGUAGAAAAUUUCCCUCAAGUGGAUGACCUAAGGUUUAUCAAUCCGUAGGAGGUGUAGGAUGAAGAUGGUCUCUCUCAAACAACCCUGCAACCAAAUAACAAAGAGUCUCUUGUGUCCCCAACACACCCAAUACAAUGGUAGAUUGUAUAGGUGCACUAGUUCAGCGAAGAGAUGAAGAUACAAGUGCAAUAUGGAUGGUAGAUAAAGGUAUUUGUAAUCUGAAAUUAUAAAAACAGCAAGGUAACAAGUGAUAAAAGUGAGCAUAAACGGUAUUGCAAUGAUAGGAAACAAGGCCUAGGGUUCAUACUUUCACUAGUGCAAGUUCUCUCAACAAUAAUAACAUAGAUAGAUCAUAUAACAAGCCCUCAACAUGCAACAAAGAGUCACUCCAAAGCCACUAAUAGCGGAGAACAAACAUAGAGAUUAUGGUAGGGUACGAAACCACCUCAAAGUUAUUCUUUUGGAUCGAUCUAUUAAAGAGUUCGUACUAGAAUAACACCUUAAGACACAAAUCAACCAAAACCCUAAUGUCACCUAGAUACUCCAUUGUCACCUCAAGUAUCCGUGGGCAUGAUUAUCCGAUAUGCAUCACACAAUCUCAUAUUCAUCCAACCAACACAAAGUACUUCAAAGAGUGCCCCAAAGUUUCUACUGGAGAGUUAAGAACGUGUGCCAACCCCUAUGCAUAGGUUCAUGGGCGGAACCCGCAAGUUGGUCACCAAAACAUACAUCAAGUGGCACAUGAUAUCCCAUUGUCACCAUAGAUAAACACGGCAAGACAUACAUCAAGUGUUCUCAAAUAAAGACUCAAUCCGAUAAGAUAACUUCAAGAGGGAAACUCAAUUCAUCACAAGAGAGUAGAGGGGGAGAAACAUCAUAAGAUCCAACUAUAAUAGCAAAGCUCGGGAUACAUCAAGAUCGUGCCAUAGAGGGAACACGAGAGAGAGAGAUCAAACACAUAGCUACUGGUACAUACCCUCAGCCCCGAGGGUGAACUACUCCCUCCUCGUCAUGGAUAGCGCCGGGAUGAUGAAGAUGGCCACCGGUGAUGGGUUCCCCCUCUGGCAGGGUGCCAGAACGGACUCCCGAGAGGUUUUUGGUGGCUACAGAGGCUUGCGGCGGCGGAACUCCUGAUCUAUCUUGAUAUUCGAUGGUUUUAGGGUACGCAGGCUUAUAUAGGCAAAAGAAGUCGGUCGGGGGGUGCUCGAGGGGUCCACGANNNNNNNNNNNNNNNNNNNNNNNNNNNNNNNNNNNNNNNNNNNNNNNNNNNNNNNNNNNNNNNNNNNNNNNNNNNNNNNNNNNNNNNNNNNNNNNNNNNNNNNNNNNNNNNNNNNNNNNNNNNNNNNNNNNNNNNNNNNNNNNNNNNNNNNNNNNNNNNNNNNNNNNNNNNNNNNNNNNNNNNNNNNNNNNNNNNNNNNNNNNNNNNNNNAUCUUCUGACGUGAACUCCAAGUCUCCAGGAUGAUAAUCUUCCAAAAAAAUCAUGUUGCCGAAGGUUUCAUUCCGUUUGGACUCCGUUUGAUAUUCCUUUUCUUCGAAAUACUGAAACAUGCAAUAAAACAACAAUAUGGGCUGGGCCUCCGGUUAAUAGGUUAGUCCCAAAAGUAAUAUAAAAGUGUAUAAUAAAGCCCAUAAUCAUUCAAAACAGAUAAUAAAAUAGCAUGAAUGCUUCAUAAAUUAUAGAUUCGUUGGAGACGUAUCAGCAUCCCCAAGCUUAAUUCCUACUCGUCCUCGAGUAGGUAAAUGAUAAAGAAAGAAUUUAUGAAGUGUGAAUGCUAGAAGGUGCGCAAGUUUGAUCAAUGAUAAUUUCAAUCACCUUUACUAGCAUCAUUAUAUGUCAUAACAGUAGUUCAUCUUAUAAAACUUUUAAUGAUCAAGUAACAAGCAAUUCACAUGUUAAAGCAUAGACCAUAAACUUUCUUGAAAGCUAGCAAACUUCAUUCUUAGUCAUCAAAACAAUUGCAAUUCAUCCUAUUUUCAGGAAGGGUCUAUGUCAGAGCUUUAAUUUAGCAAACUUCACAUACUCAACUAUCAUAUAGUCUUCUACAAUUGCUAACACUCAUGCAAUACUUGUGGUUAUGAAGUUUUAAUCAGACAUAGAGAAAUAUUGGGGCUUAUAAUGUUGCCUCCAAACGUAUUCACCUUUGGGCGAUGUCAACAAUAAUAGUUCAUGCUAACGUACAUCCAAUUGGAUAUAUAUAUAAGGAUCACCCCAACACAAAGUGCUUGCCAAAGGAUAAAAUGGAAAAGGGAAAGGUGAAGAUCACCUUGACUCUUGCAUAAAGUAAAAGACAUAAAGUAAAAGAUCGUCCCUUCGCAGAGUGAAGCAGAGGUUGUCAUGCGCUUUUAGGGUUGGAUACACAAAAUCUUAAUGCGAAAGAACGUCACUUUAUAUUGCCCCUUGUAUAUGGACCUUUAUUAUGCAGUUCGUCGCUUUUAUUGCUUCCAUAACAAGUUCGUACAAAGCUUAUUUUCUCCACACUAAUAAGUCAUGCAUAUUUAGAGAGCAAUUUUUAUUGCUUGCACCGAUGACAACUUACUUGAAGGAUCUUACUCAAUCCAUAGCUAGAUAUGGUGGACUCUCAUGGCAAAACUGGGUUUAAGGAUAUUUGGAAGCACAAGUAGUAUCUCUACUUGGUGCUAGGAAUUUUUGGCUAGCAUGAGGGGGAAAGGCAAGCUCAACAUGUUUGAAUGAUCCAUGACAAUAUACUUUAACUGAGAUGUGAGAAAACAUAACCCAUUACAUUAUCUUCCUUGUCCAACAUCAACUCUUUAGCAUGUCAUACAUAAUGAGUUCUCACAAUUGUAAAAGAUGUCUAUGAUAAUAUAUUUAUAUGUGAAAUCUCUCUUCCUUCAAUAUUCUUUCAUGAAUUGUUCAAAUGACUAAUACAAUGCUUGCUAAUCGUCAAUAAAUUUACAACCUCUACUUCUUAGAUGUGAAGUCAUUACUCCCCAUGGGAUAAGCAAAUGAAACAUAUAUAAAUUCAGAUUUAUGACAUUCAACUCAUUCAACAAUUUACUCAUAGGAUAUACGUGAAGCACACGAGUAAAUCAAAAGCUACUCCAAAAAGAUAUAAGUGAAGAUCGAUGAGUAGCUAAAUAAUUAUGCAACUAUGUGAAGACUCUCUCUCAUUAAAGAAUUUUAGAUCUUGGUAUCUUAUUCAAACAGCAAGAAAACAAAAUAAAAUGACAUUGCAAGGAUAGAACAACUCAUGUGAAGAAGCAAAAAACUUAGUCUCAACCGAUACUAAUCGAUAGUUGUUGAAGAAGAAAGGUGGGAUGCCUAACAGGGCAUCCCCAAGCUUAGAUGCUUGAGACUUCUUGAAAUAUUAUCUUGGGGUGCCUUGGGCAUCCCCAAGCUUGAGCUUUUGUGUCUCCUUAAUUCCUCUCAUAACUUGGUUUCUUUUUAUCAAAAGCUUCAUUCACAACAAACUCAACAAGAACUCAUGAGAUAGGUUAGUAUAAACCAAUGCAAAACCUUAUCAUUUUCUACUGUAACAAAUCACUAAAAUUAUUAUUCAACAUUGCAUACUAAAUGCCUCUUCAUAUUUAAUACUCCUAUCCUCAAAUAGAAUCAUUAAACAAGCGAACAUAUGCAAACAAUGCAACCAUAACAGCAAUCUGCCAAAACAGUAUAGUCUGCAAAGAAUGCAAGAUUCAUAAUACUUCCCUCACUCCAAAAAUUAUGAGAAAAAUACUACGCUGUAGAAGAUUUGUCAGAGCUCAAUAUGCAAAAAGAUUCAACAUCAUACCAUUCUCUAACUUUUCUAGGGAAUUUUUGCAACAGCGGUAAACUUUCUGUUUUCAAACAGCAACAUGUAUACUAGCAAAAUAAGCAUGGCAAAGGCUAUCCUUGACAUUUUUAUUGAAACUAAAGAUGCAAAACAUUAAUCUAAAUAACAUCAAGCGAAUACUAACAAAAGCAAAUGACGCUCCAAGCAAAACACAUAUCAUGUGGCGAAUAAAAAUAUAGCUCCAAGUAAAGUUACCGAUGAACGAAGACGAAAGAGGGGAUGCCUUCUGGGGCAUCCCCAAGCUUAGGCUCUUGCCACUCCUUAUUCCAUAGUCCAUCGAAUCUUUACCCAUAACUUGAAAACUUCAACCACACAAAACUCAAAACAGAACUCGUAAGCUCCGUUAGUAUAAGAAAAUAAAACCACCACUUAGGUACUGUAAUGAACUCAUUCUAAAUUCAUAUUGGUGUUAAACCUACUGUAUUCCAAGUUCUCUAUGGUUCAUACCCUCCGAUACUACUCAUAGAUUCAUCAAAAUAAGAAAACAACACAAUGAAAACAGGAUCUGUCAAAAACAGAACAGUCUGAAGUAAUCUGUAUCAAACGUAUACUUCUGGAAUCCCAAAAAUUAUGAAAUAAAUAGCUGGACCUGAGGAAUUUGUCUAUUAAUCAUCUGCAAAAAGAAUCAACCUAAAAUCACUCUCCAGUAAAAAAAUGGCAGCUAUUCUCGUGAGCGCAAAAGUUUCUGUUUUUUAUAGCAAGAUCAUAUAGACUUCACCCAAGUCUUCCCAAAGGUUCUACUUGGCACUUUAUUGAAACAAAUGCUAUAAAACAUGAUUACUAAAGUAGCAUAAUCAUGUGGACACACAAAAACAGUAAGGGUAAAUAUUGGGUUGUCUCCCAACAAGCGCUUUUCUUUAAUGCCUUUUUAGCUAGGCAUGAUGAUGGCAAUGAUGCUCACAUAAAAGAUAAGAAUUGAAACAUAAUGGGAGCAUCAAGAAGCAUAUGACUAGCACAUUUAAGCCUAACCCACUUCCUAUGCAUAGGUAUUUUGUGAGCAAACAACUUAUGGGAACAAUAAUCAGCUAGCAUAGGAAGGUAAAACAAGCAUAGCUUCAAGAUUUUCAACACAUAGAGAGGAAACUUGAUAUUAUUGUAAUUCCUACAAGCAUAUGUUCCUCCCUCAUAAUAAUUUUGAGUAGCAUCAUGAAUGAAUUCAACAAUAUAACCAGCACCUAAAGCAUUCUUUUCAUGAUCUACAAGCAUAGAAAAUUUACUACUCUCCACAUAAGCAAAAUUCUUCUCAUUCGGAAUAGUGAGAGUAUCAUAAGAGACUUGAACACUAAAAAUUGUUUCCACAUUAAAAGAGUAAUGUUCAGAAAAAGGGUAAUCAUAAUCAUGACAAGUUUUAUAAAUAUCAUCAUCACUACUUUUUAUAGCAUAAGUUUCAUCACAAUAAUCAUCAUAAGUAGCAACUUCGUUCUCAUCAUAAUCGAUUGAAACCUCUCCCAAGAUAGUGGAAUCAUCACUAAAUAAAGUUGACACUCUUCCAAAUCCACUUUCAUAAAUAUUAUAAGAUUCAACAUCCUCCAAAAUUGUGGGAUCACUACUUCCGAAAGUUGACACUCUUCCAAACCCACUUUGAUCAAUAUAAUCAUCAUAGGUACAAGGCAUGCUAUCAUCAUAACAACUUUGCAUAUGAAAACUUGGGAGGCUAAAAAUAUCAUCUUCAUUAAACGUAGCAUCCCCAAGCUUGGGACAAACAUUAAUUUCAGCAAAUAUAUUCUCAAAUAUUUCAUACUCAUAAAACAUAGCUUCCCCAAGCUUGGGUCCUUCCAUAUCAUAAGCAUAAUCACUCUCAUCGUUAAAAAUAUGGAUAGCACCAAUAGUAAAGCAAUUAUCAUCAUCACAAUAAGUAGUAGGAGCAACAUCAUUUGGGAGGGGUACCUUUUUACCUUUGUUGCUCCUUCUUUUCUUUUUCUUCUUCACAUUAUGUGUGGGUUCAACCUUCCUCUUUGAGCUCCUUAUAGAUGAGAUUGGUUGAAUAAAAAGCUCCUCCUCCUUACCUGGUUCAUCAUAAGAAAUAAUAGGAGGAUAUUGGGAAGUCUCUUUCCUUUCAUUAGUAUUCUCAUCAUCUUCUAUUUGCUUUCUUUUCUUUAGGUAAUUGGCAAUAUAAGGAUUUUCAAUGCAAUUCUCCGCACAAAACAUAUAAAUCUUUUCUAGAUCAAUAUCAAGGAAAUGCUUAAGAUUAAAUUCUGGAAUAGGCUUAGUUAAACGUUUCAACUCUUCAUAACCCAAAAGCAAUCUAAGUUCAUUGUAAUGAGAAAGGGAGACCAAAUCAUCACAAUUUUUGGACACGAUCCGAUCAUGAAACAAUUUGCAUUGGAGAUGUAAAUGAUCUUGUUUAUUGCAAAAUUCACAACGGGAAAGAUAUCUUAAAUUCUCCGCACUCUUAUCUAGACUUUCUUGCAACCUCUUAGUUUCUAAAUGCUUAUGCCUCUUGCAAUAAAUAUCUUCUAUAUUUGGUGUGUUCAUGCAAACAUGCACUCCACAAAAGUUGACAUGCUCAUAAGAGAUAUUUUCAUCAUGACUAGAGCAAUCAUCAUUAAUACUAUGGAUAUUCAACGAGUUUAUACUAACAACAUUGCAAUGAUGCUCAUCAUUCAAAGAUUUAGUACCAAGCAUUUUAAUGCAUUCUUCUUCUAGCACUUGAGCACAAUUUUCCCAUCAAACUCAUGAAAGAUAUUAAAAAUACGAAGCAUAUGAGACAAACUCAACUCCACUUUUUGGUAGUUUUCUUUCAUAAACUAAACUAGUGAUAAAACAAGAAACAAAAAGAUUCGAUUUCAAGAUAUAAAGAUAUACCUUCAAGCACUCACCUCCCCGGCAAUGGCGCCAGAAAAGAGCUUGAUGUCUACUACACAACCUUCUUCUUGUAAACGUUGUUGGGCCUGCAAGUGCACAUGUUUGUAGGACAGUAGCAAAUUUCCCUCAAGUGGAUGACCUAAGGUUUAUCAAUCCGUAGGAGGCGUAGGAUGAAGAUGGUCUCUCUCAAACAACCCUGCAACCAAAUAACAAAGAGUCUCUUGUGUCCCCAACACACCCAAUACAAUGGUAGAUUGUAUAGGUGCACUAGUUCGGCGAAGAGAUGAAGAUACAAGUGCAAUAUGGAUGGUAGAUAAAGGUAUUUGUAAUCUGAAAUUAUAAAAACUGCAUGGUAACAAGUGAUAAAAGUAAGCGUAAACGGUAUUGCAAUGAUAGGAAACAAGGCCUAGGGUUCAUACUUUCACUAGUGCAAGUUCUCUCAACAAUAAUAACAUAGAUAGAUCAUAUAACAAGCCCUCAACAUGCAACAAAGAGUCACUCCAAAUCCACUAAUAGAAGAGAACAAACGUAAAGAUUAUGGUAGGGUACGAAACCACCUCAAAGUUAUUCUUUCGGAUCGAUCUAUUAAAGAGUUCGUACUAGAAUAACACCUUAAGACACAAUCAACCAAAACCCUAAUGUCACCUAGAUACUCCAUUGUCACCUCAAGUAUCCGUGGGCAUGAUUAUACGAUAUGCAUCACACAAUCUUAGAUUCAUCCAACCAACACAAAGUACUUCAAAGAGUGCCCCAAAGUUUCUACCGGAGAGUCAAGAACGUGUGCCAACCCCUAUGCAUAGGUUCAUGGGCGGAACCCGCAAGUUGGUCACCAAAACAUACAUCAAGUGGCACAUGAUAUCCUAUUGUCACUACAGAUAAACACGGCAAGACAUACAUCAAGUGUUCUCAAAUAAAGACUCAAUCCAAUAAGAUAACUUCAAGAGGGAAAUUGUAUUCAUCACAAGAGAGUAGAGGGGGAGAAACAUCAUAAGGUCCAACUAUAAUAGCAAAGCUCGGGAUACAUCAAGAUCGUGCCAUAGAGGGAACACGAGACAGAACACGAGAGAGAGAGAUCAAACACAUAGCUACUGGUACAUACCCUCAGCCCCGAGGGUGAACUACUCCCUCCUCGUCAUGGAUAGCGCCGGGAUGAUGAAGAUGGCCACCGGUGAUGGGUUCCCCCUCCGGCAGGGUGCCGGAACGGACUCUCGAGAGGUUUUUGGUGGCUACAGAGGCUUGCGGCGGCGGAACUCCCGAUCUAUCUUGAUAUUCGAUGGUUUUAGGGUACGUAGGCUUAUAUCGGUGAAAGAAGUCGAUCGGGGGGUGCUCGAGGGGUCCACGAGACAGGGGGGCGCGCCCAGUAGGGGGCGCGCCCCCUAUCUCCUGGGCUCCUCGAGUAUCUUCUGACGUGAAAUCCAAGUCUCCAGGAUGAUAAUCUUCCAAAAAAUCACGUUGCCGAAGGUUUCAUUCCGUUUGGACUCUGUUUGAUAUUCCUUUUCUUCGAAAUACUGAAAUAGGCAAUAAAACAACAAUAUGGGCUGGGCCUCCGGUUAAUAGGUUAGUCCCAAAAGUAAUAUAAAAGUGUAUAAUAAAGCCCAUAAUCAUUCAAAACAGAUAAUAAAACAGCAUGAAUGCUUCAUAAAUUAUAGAUACAUUGGAGACGUAUCAAUUUUCACCAAGCAAACAAAAGGAAAUACCUGAGCACAGCCAUCGGGAAACAAGGGUUUACACAACACAGACUUAGGUAGACCACUUGCUGGCACUCUCUUUAUACCAACAUUGCAGGUCACAGACCCAACAAAUUCACAUCACAUAUCUAGAAUCGUUUGUUUACGCCAUCUUGGAUCACUUUUGUUGGAACAACUCAUACCUUUUGUUGACUGAGGCCGGGGAAGAAUUACUCUUCUUUCCUUCAGGGAUGGUAAGUUCAUAGAAAAAAAAUACACGCGGCAGUUCGGUAGAUCAAUACGGUCAAGGCAAAUGCAUAGUUGUUGUCUGUCCCUGGAAGACAAUCUUUUCUAUAGGAGAGAACUUGCCCUGGAGCCUUUAGCAAUAAGAUCGAGAACAGAAGCAUAUGACCAAAUCAGGCAAAGGACAACACAUAAUUAGCGGAGAUAAACGGAUAGCAUGUACCUCUUAUGGAAGUCUAUCAUCUCAGAAAUGUCAUCAUUUAUGUACCACCGACACACUGCACUUCCCUCACACCCCUUCGACCUACAGACCGCAACCAAAGACAUAACACGUCACAUAAACAGACAUGGGCAAAGGAGUAGCCACCUAGUCAACCUAACAAGAGUUCUUACCUUCAUAGGCCUUCACGAGAGUUCCAACAAAUAGUGCAACCACUGGUUCAGUCGAGCCCAGCUCAAUAAUGUAGUCUCCCUGAAAGGUUGUAGCAUGUUCGCCCGAGAGCAGAACAGUUAUCUGGCACCCAUUGCACAAAAUAUAAACAAAAUAUACUGAAAGCAAUGGCAGGCUAAUAGAGACAACAACACAAACAGCAAGCACCUGACAUGGCAAGAUGGCAUACCUAGGUCCAUGAUAGUGAUACAAUGCUUUGUGGAAGGCUCGCUCCUGCUCGAGCUAUGAUACUGAACAACAUCGGAUACACCAGUGAUAACGCUGAGCACAUCUAGACAACCAGAGAAGAGGAAAACAUCUUACAGGCACACACAAUAAACAAAGGAAGACAAUGAUCGUGUAGGCAACACACCCGUGAAGAAUUUAGGUGUCUCGAGAGGUGAAGGGAGGCGUGACAGUUUAGUGAGCGAGUAGGUGCAGAAGGGAAACUGAGCUUCUGGAUCAGUAUUAGGAUCGACCGUAGUGAACCUAUUGAACCUGAUCAUGUGUAUCGCAUCGACAUGCUUGACAUAACAUUUGUUCAGGAACACCGAGAACUGUGAAAUUUCAUAUGCACAUCCUGCCUUCAGUUUUCCCAUAAACUUAGGCACAAGCUUCUCACCAAUCUCAACAUAGAUGUGGUUGCCCUGCCAAGAAACAACAUGCAUCAAUUACCAAGCAUAGAAGGCUGAAGAAAAUUACAACCAAUGCAGGUGCCGAGGCUGGAGAAAUCAUGUACCUAGGCAUCCAAAAGGACCAUGUCAGUGUGUUUGAUAGGACCAUCAUCAGCGUCUCCACAGUGCUGCCACAAACGCGAAACAUACACACAGAUGGUCAAGUUCCUGUCCCCGACAAUAAGAGACCGCAGACCAACCAUCACCAUCUACAACAAAAGGGUCAUCACCAAAACACACGACCACCGUUAAACUAAAUAAACCAGUAUGACAUAAGCCACGCCAAUACAUGCAAACACUCAAAGAAUCAACCCCACCACAUGAAACACACUUAUUCAGCCAUCGCCAAAUGCCGUGUAACAAGAUAUCGUCCAACUCACAAAAGCAUGCCACUGACUACCAAAAUGAAGACCAACGUCGUAUACAAACCUAGGCCAUCCCGGUGGCCCGAAAGACCUCAGGAAAAACAAUGUUUUUGGUCUCAGAACCAAAGUGGCCAUUAGCAUCUAAUAUAAGGAUUUUCAAAGAAGCUCUUGAAGUAACAUGAGACACUGCCACAUACAGCUGCCCGUGCUUAAAAACAUGACCCUUAAGAUAUAUGCCAACAGUAGACAGGGUCUGUCCUUGGCUCUUAUUGAUUGUCAUGGCAUAGCACAAACGAAUAGGAAACUGGCGUCGCUUAAGCACAAAGGGUGCGUUUCCUUUCUUCGCCAAUAACUCAAUCCUGGGGAUAGAAACGGUAUCACCCACAUUGGAGCCAGUCAUAAUAACAACCUUGAUAAGCCGGUCGCCCAAUUCUUUUACGAUCAGCCGUGUACCGUUACACAAACCAUUUGCCUGGCUAAGGUUUCUAAGAAGCAUAAUUGGAACACCAACCUUAAGAGUCAGCAUAUGGUUUGGGAAGUUCAUAAUUUUAGUUGCAUUCAGGUACUCAAGUGGAUAAUAAACUUCUUUGUCUCUAAGAGAAUCUGCAGAGUCGUCAAUAGAAUUAGCACUUAAAUAGUCCCUGCUAUCAGUAGGAACCAAUCUAAUAAUAUAGUCAUUAAUAUCCUCAGCAUGGUCGUUGGUAGGAGCUAAAAUGGCUCUCUCUUGGAAGUAGCCAGAGUUUAGGUAGUUGAGUAAAAAAUCACCAUAGACAGAAGAAACAAUAGCAGCUAUUGGGUCACCGGUCGUACGAACCAAGAAGUCGUCCGGUAUCUGUAUCCAAGAAGCCUCGACAUCAUCGCCUCGCUUUGUAACAGGCAUCUUCCCCUCUCCUAGAUCUAGAACCCAUCUGCUAAACAAGGCAACAUCCUGCCGCGCCUGAAUAUCCGCCCCAGGGACAAAUAAGCGCAUGUUAAUAGAAAGCGACAAUUUCCGAACAGAGCGCCAUAGCAGGGAAUUUGUGAUCGCUGCAUCAAUAAUUUGAGGCCUAGUACCUCCCUCAACAACCGUCAGUGUCAAAACCGGCGGAUCUCGGGUAGGGGGGGGGUCCCGAACUGUGCGUCUAAGGCUAAUGGCAACAGGAGGCGGGGGACACAAUGUUUACCUAGGUUCGUGCCCUCUCUAUGGAGGUAAUACCCUACUUCCUGCUUGAUUGAUCUUGAUGAAUACAAGUAUUACAAGAGUUGAUCUACCACGAGAUCGUAAUGGCUAAACCCUAGAAGUCUAGCCUAUGAGAUUAUGAUGGUUGUGGCUAAACCCUACAAGUCUAAACCCUCCAGUUUAUAUACACAUGGGGGGGCUAGGGUUAUAAAAAGUCGGUUACAAAGAAAGUAAUCUACAUAUCCGAAUCGCCAAGCUUGCCUUCCAUGCAAAGAAGAGUCCCAUCCGGACACGGGACGAAGUCUUCUAUCUUGCAUCUUCAUAGUCCAAUAGUCCGGCCAAAGUAUAUAGUCCGGUUGUCCGAGGACCCCUUAGUCAAGGACUCCCUCAGUAGCCCCUGAACCAGGCUUCAAUGACGAUGAGUCCGGCGCGCAGAUUGUCUUCGGUGUUGCAAGGCGGGUUCCUUAUUCGAAUACUUCAAAGUAGAUCUCGAACACAAGAAUCGUGUCCGGCUCUGCAAAACUAGUUCUAUAAACCACCAUAGAGAGUAUAAUAUUAACGAGUCCGACUCGCUGACAAUUUUGGCGGUACGACAUUACGUCAUUACCUGGCCAUUAUUUCGAAUCAUUUUCUAGCCUGCUACCCCAUGUUUCGGGGGGCGGUUUUUAUUGGCAUGUCUUGUCAAAGCAGAGAUCGUGUCCCCUUAUUACGGGAUUUUCAUAAACACCGGCGUGGGUAACCCAACCGUUCUGUUGGCAUAAUUCCUCGGGAAUAGGCAUGUUUUAAGGCCACAGAGGGGAUGCUUGAUAUUCGUCGCCUUUAUAAAGGGGUUAAGGCCUGUCCUUUUUCUUCCACGCUAGCUCUUUCCUUCACCCCCACCCCAAGUUCCAAUGCCCAAGGGUCAAUCUAGUUGCUUCGAGCUUCCAGCCAUGUCCGGACCUGGCCUUCCAGGCCGAUGGAUGGCCUCUUCUGUCACAGAGGAAGAUAUCUCAAAGCUCAGGGAGGUAAGAUACUUGACUGCGGAAAUCUACCACAUGCUUCCUCCUCAAGGGCAGGUUAUUCCUACUCCCAGAUCCAAUGAGAGGGUAGUGUUCAUCUCUCACUUCCUUCGAGGGCUUGGGUUUGCUCUCCAUCCCUUCGUUCGAGGGGUCAUGUUUUAUUACGGGCUAUAUUUCCACGAUCUAGCCCCGGACUCCUUCCUCCACAUCUCAGCGUUCAUCACCACGUGCGAGGCCUUCCUCCGUAUUUCCCCACACUUCGGCUUAUGGCUUAAGACCUUUAACGUGAAACCGAAGGUAAUCGACGGGAAACAAGCGGAGUGCGGAGGCACUUCAAUAAGCAAGCUUAUCAACUCCACUUGGCCAAAGGGAUCCUUCGCAGAAUCUUAUGACUUAUGGCAACGGGAGUGGUUUUACAUCACCGAACCCCAUGGUAAAAAGCGGGUAGCCACACCGGCGUUUCGGCCCAGCCCUCCGCCACAGCUCACAUCGUGGAUUAACAAGGGGCCAGACUAGGGAUCUGCUAAUGAAGUGCGGAUGCUGCAAAGCCGCAUUCAGAGCCUUAUUAAGAAGGGCACCAGUCUCAUUGAUGUAAUCCAAGUAAUGUUGGUCCGCCGGAUCCUACCCUGCCAGCGACGCCCUCUCCGCAUGUGGGAGUUUAAUCUGGAAGGUCCACGGACCCUUCAGCACCUUUCUGGCACGAUGCUCAGAGAGAUGUGGAAAUUGUUCUUCGGCGCACGAAAACAUUGCCGGAUACUACAAAAUACAUCGGCCUUGACUGCAACCAUCUGGAUACUCCGGUAAGUACUCGACCCCCAAACAUGAUUUAGUCAAAUUAUCCAUGACAAUGUGCUGAUAAAACUUUAUCCGGCCAGGGCUGGCUAAAGAAGGCGGAGAGAAUCAGGUGUUCGACUCCACUUCCCGAAGAUACCGCGGAUCCGUUAUUAACAAGGAUGCUGGCUCCGGCACCGUAUCAAGUGCCGGCGGGGGAAGAUAAAGAGGAGGACGAAGAGGCCCAAGGUAGCUUCCACUCUGGGGGCUCACCAGGCAAUUUGUCCUGGGAGAUUAGAACUCCCGCUUCCAAAGGUGGAAGGGAAGGGUGAAUUGACAUCCCUUCUCCCCAUGGGAAGAAAAGGGCCGCCUCCGAAGACUCGGAAAGAGAAGCUUCUAAGCGGGGGAAGGUAUCCCAGUCAAGGGGUGAUGUUGACACGCAAUCACCCCGUAAAGAUAGGCCCUCGGCCGCAUCGUAAGUGAAUCCAGGUGUUUUAAACAUGUCCCGUUCUUUCCUGGCUAUAAGGGUAAUAUUUUAAACUCAUGUUUGCAGUCCGGCACGCAGCCCUCCUCAACAGUCCUCCUCUCCGGGGGAUCUACUUCCGAAGAUGAUGGAGAGCGAGACGCCUCCAUAGAUAUCCUUGCCUGAUAAGGCAGAUGACGUCAAGGUGUCGUCCCGGAGGAUCCUUCUCGAUCUGCGAGUGGUUCAAGGGACAGUGAGGACUGGGGCCAAAGGUAAUACUUCGGCCACCUAGGGUCCAGGGUGUGCGGCCCAUACAGGGAACAACAAAAGUCCCGGACUAUCGAAUGUCCAAGGGACGCCGGAUACAUUGAUGGACAUUUUGCAACAUGCCUCCGUCUCAGAGGAACAUCAUACCUUGAUGGGUACGGUGUUGGAAAGAGUUUGGUCCGCAAGAAGCGGAUUGAAUGAAGACCUUUUCUAGCCUACUAAGAGGCUUUAAGGUACGUAGUGUAAUUUCAAUUAUGUUGUAAGUGCAAAUUGCACCUGUGUAUAGAUAGUAGCCCCUGAUACGUCUCCAACAUAUCUAUAAUUUUUUAUUGUUCCAUGCUAUUAUAUUACCCAUUUUGGAUGUUUAUGAGCUUUACUUUACACCUCUAUAUCAUUUUUGGGACUAACCUACUAACCGGAGGCCCAACCAGAAUUGCUGUUUUUUUGCCUAUUUCAGUGUUUCAAAGAAAAGGAAUAUCAAAUAGAGUCCAAACGGGAUGAAACCUUUGGGAGCGAUCUUUUUGGAACAAACGCAAUCCACGGGACUUGGAGUGGACGUCAAGCAACAGAGGAGGCGGCCACGAGGGUGCCCGGCGUGCCCUGAUGACCCACAAGUAUAGGGGAUCUAUCGUAGUCCUUUCGAUAAGUAAGAGUGUCGAACCCAACGAGGAGCAGAAGGAAAUGAUAAGCGGUUUUCAGCAAGGUAUUCUCUGCAAGUACUGAAAUAAGUGGUAACAGAUAGUUUUGUGAUAGGAUAAAUUGCAACGAGAAACAAGUAACAAAAGUAAAUAAAGUGCAGCAAGGUGGCCCAAUCCUUUUUGUAGCAAAGGACAAGCCUGGACAAUUCUUAUAAUAGGAAAAGUGCUCCUGAGGACACAUGGGAAUAUCGUCAAGCUAGUUUUCAUCACGCUCAUAUGAUUCGCGUUUGGUACUUUGAUAAUUUGAUAUGUGGGUGGACCGGUGCUUGGGUACUACUCUUACUUGGACAAGCAUCCCACUUAUGAUUAACCUCUAUUGCAAGCAUCCACAACUACAACAAAAGUAUUAAGGUAAACCUAACCAUAUCAUGAAACAUAUGGAUCCAAAUCAGCCCCUUACGAAGCAACACAUAAACUAGGGUUUAAGCUUCUGUCACUCUAGCAACCCAUCAUCUACUUAUUACUUCCCAAUGCCUUCCUCUAGGCCCAAAUAAUGGUGAAGUGUUAUGUAGUCGACGUUCACAUAAUACCACUAGAUGUUAGACAACAUACAUCUUAUCAAAAUAUCAAACGAAUACCAAAUUCACAUGACUACUAAUAGCAAGACUUCUCCCUUGUCCUCAGGAACAAACGUAACUACUCACAAAGCAUAUUCAUGUUCAUAAUCAGAGGGGUAAUAUUGUGCAUAAAGGAUCUGAACAUAUGAUCUUCCACCAAAUAAACCAACUAGCAUCAACUACAAGGAGUAAUCAACACUACUAGCAACCUACUAGCACCAAUCCCGGACUUGGAGACAAGAAUUGGAUACAAGAGAUGAAUUGCAGACAAGAAUUGGAUACAAGAAUUGGUUUAAGGGUAUUUGGAAGCACAAGUAGUAUUUCUACUUAGUGCUGAGAAUUGUCUAGCAUGAGGGGGAAGGGCAAGCUCAACACGGUAGAGGAACCAUGACAACAUACUUUAUCUCAGAUGUAAGAAAACAUAACUCAUUAUGUUGUCUUCCUUGUCCAACAUCAACUCUUUAGUAUGUAAUAUUUUAAUGAGUGCUCCCAAUCAUAAAAGAUGUCAAUGAUAAUAUAUCUAUAUGUGAUACCUCUCUUUCCUUAUUACUUCCUAUCAAUUGCAACGAUGACCAAAGCUAUAUUUGCCAACUCCCAACAACUUUAAAUCAUCAUACUCUUUCUAUGUGAAGUCAUUACUUUCAAUAAGAUCAAUAUGAACUCUUGACUCUUUUUAUUCCUUUUCUUCUAAUCACCCAAGAUCAUGGAAAAAUACUCAAGCCCUUGACUCAACACUAAUUUUUAUUAUAUAGCUCACGGACUCGAUUACAAAGAAGGAUCAUAAAGCAAAAUUCAAAACUAGACCAUGCCAUGACUUUAUUCUACUAAAUCAAGAUAUUACUAAUAAGAUCGAACUAAGAAAAACGGUAAAGAUAGGAGUUGUGAUGGUGAUACGAUACCAGGGCACCUCCCCCAAGCUUGGCAGUUGCGAAGGGGAGUGCCCAUAUCCAUGUGAUUAUGUCUCCUUCUUUGUUGUUGGGGGUGGAGGUGUUGUUGAUGAUGCAAGCUUGUCGUCCAUCUUCCAAGGCAUAGGCUCACCAUCAUAGAAGGAUGAUCGAGUCUCCAAAAUCCUCAAAUCUGCAGCCAAACUCAUCCUUUUGAAUCUAUAUUCAUACUCACAGUUUUGGUUUUGCAGAUCAUAGAUUUGGGCUUGGAGGUGCUAGAUCUUCUCAUGUAGCUUAUAUAUGGCUUCCUCGGUCUUCUUGGCAUCCGUCUCAUAGUUGUUAGUGAACUCCGCAAGCAUCUUGUGGGUAGCGUUGAUUCCACGCUCCACCAUCCCCUGGCACUUGAAAACUUGUUGCUCCAUAGCUUCCAGCCUCAACUCCACGCUUCCGGUUCCCUUUGGUCCCUCAACAUCGCGGAUGUGCAGCAAACCAUCAGGCAUCUCGAUGGUUUGAGGGUGUCGCAACACCUCCGCGAGGUAAGCGUUGAUGACCUUCUCGAAAAAUUUGUCCUUGGAAGCACUUGGGGUCGUCAUGAUGAUCUAGACCUGUCAGAAAAAUAGCUCGAAACAAGAAUAGGGGGGAUUUGCGUGAUAUGGGAGUCAAAACCUCCGGGAGUAUAUAUAAUGAAUUUUUACCGACCAAAAUAAGUAUCGUGCAAGGAAACGGAGUCCGGAGGGCACACGAGGUGCUCACGAGGUAGGGGGGCGCGCCUAGGGGGGCAGGGCGCGCCCUCCACCCUCGUGGAGGCCUUGUGUCCUCCCCGGACUGCUACUUAUUUUUCUAUUUUUCUAAAUAUUCCAAAACGGAGAAAUAUUGCCUUAAAAAUGUUUUGGAGUCAGUUUACUUACCGUACCACAUACCUAUUCCUUUUCGGAGUCUGGAACGUUCUGGAAAGUGUCCUUUAUGUACUCCUCCGGGGUUACGGUUUCAAUAAUAUCAGUUUCAACAUUUAUAGGAUUACGUGAGAUAUAGUGUUUGAUCCUUUGGCCGUUUACCACCUUCGGAUUUGUGCCUGCGAAGUUGUUGAUUUUUAUGGCACCAGAACGAUAGACCUCCUCGAUAACGUAAGGGCCUUCCCAUUUGGAGACAAGUUUUCCUGCAAAAAAAUCUUAAACGAGAGUUGUAUAGCAAUGCAUAAUCACCUACAUUAAACUCACGCUUUUGUAUCCUUUUGUCAUGCCACCUUUUAACUUUUUCCUUAAACAACUUGGCAUUUUCAUAAGCUUGGGUUCUCCAUUCAUCAAGUGAGCUAGUAUCAAAUAACCUCUUCUCACCGGCAAGUUUGAAAUCAUAGUUGAGAUCCUUAAUAGCCCAAUAUGCCUUAUGUUCUAGUUCGAGAAGUAAAUGACAUGCCUUUCCAUAAACCAUUUUAUACGGAGAUAUACCUGUCGGUGUCAAAACCGGCGGAUCUCGGGUAGGGGGUCCCGAACUGUGCGUCUAGGCGAAUGGUAACAGGAGACAAGGGACACGAUGUUUUACCCAGGUUCGGGCCCUCUUGAUGGAGGUAAAACCCUAUGUCCUGCUUGAUUGAUAUUGAUAUUGUAGAUGUUUACAAGAGUGGAUCUACCACGAGAUCAAGGAGGCUAAACCCUAGAAGCUAGCCUAUGGUAUGAUUGUAAUGGUUGUUGUUGUUCUACGGACUAGAGCCAUCCGGUUUAUAUAGACACCGGAGAGGGCUAGGGUUACAUAGAGUCGGUUACAAUGGUAGGAGAUCUACAUAUCCGUAUCGCCAAGCUUGCCUUCCACACCAAGGAAAGUCCCAUCCGGACACGGGACAAAGUCUUCAAUCUUGUAUAAUCAUAGUCUUGGAGUCCGGUCGAUGAUGAUAGUCCGGCCGAUGAUAGUUCGGCUGAUGAUGGUAGUCCGGCUAUUCGGACACCCCCUAAUCCAGGACUCCCUCAGUAGCCCCUGAACCAGGCUUCAAUGACGAUAAGUCCGGCGCGUAUAUUGCUUGGCAUUGCAAGGCGGGUUCCUCCUCCGAAUGAUAGAAGAUUGUGAACAACAGGAUAGUGUCCGGCUCUGCAAAAUAAAUUCCACAUUCCACCGUAGAGAGAAUAAUAUAUACACAAGUUCAAUCUGCUGACGUUUUUUGCGGCAUGAUGUCACGCCACUACCAAGCCAUUACUUGAAUCAUUUUUUACUCUACCACCUCAGCGCAUUUAGCGAAGCGGUUUCCUUGGCACGUCUUGUCAAAGCAGAGAUCGUGUUCCCCCUUAAUCCGGGAUUCUCAACAAUACGGACGUGGGUAACCCAACCGCGCCCGUCGCCACGCCCCCUCUAUCGAAGGCGAGUCCCAAACGGUCACGGAGACGGCUCUUGGUAUUCUCCCUCCUUAUAACGGGACCAAGGCUCGUUUCUUCUCUUCAAUCCUCCAUCGAAUCCUCUCCCUGCUCCAAGUUCCAGCAUCUAGAGCUCCAGAUUCGAGCGCUUCGGACCUUCAACGAUGUCCGGUUUCGACCUCCAGGGCCGGUGGCGGAGGAGGACGUGCUAAAGCUGCGGGAGGCCAAGUACCUGGCUUAUGAGAUUUCGCACAGGUUGCCUGCCAAAGGGCAGGCCAUCCCCACCCCCGAGCCCGGCAAGUAUGUCGUUUUUGUAUCCCACCUCCGUCGGGGUUUAGGCUUCCUGAUGGAUCCUUUUGUGAGAGGGCUCAUGUUUUACUAUGGGUUGGAAUUCCACGAUUUGGCUCUGGAGUCCAUCCUCCAUAUUUCCGCAUUUAUUGUUGUCUGCGAAGACUUCCUCCGCGUCACCCCUCACUUAGGCCUGUGGCUGAAGACCUUCAAUGUGGCGCCAAAGAUGAUCGGGGGGCGUCAAGCGGAGUGCGGCGGGGCGGCCAUAAGUAGGAGGGCCGAUGCCCCGUGGCCCGCUGGCUCCUUCCAAGAGGAGCUCGGCCCGUGGCAGCAAGAGUGGUUCUAUAUCACCAUUCCGAGGGGCCGCAGACAAAAGCCGCCGCCCUCAUUCCGCCCGGGACCUCCACGACGGUUGAUGUCGUGGGUCAACCAAGGGCUCAACUGGGGGCCGUCAAAGGACGUGCCCCUACUGUAGGGCCGGAUUCGAGAUCUCCAAACGAGGGAGGUCGAUAUGGUGGUGGUAAUGCAGGUUAUGCUGAUUAGGCGUCUCCCGCCCUGCAAACGCCGCCCUCUCCGGCUGUGGGAGUUCAAUCUGGAGGGCCCACGGAUUCUUCAACACUUCAUGGGUAUGACACCCCUGGAGAUGUACAAAUUAUUCUUCAGAUCACAAGAGGCGCGUCCGGAAUUGACCGAGGAUACUGGCCUAAGCUGCAAUCGCCCGGAUACUCAAGUAAGUAGUUCCAAGUCCGGACAUACCGUUUGUUUGCCUUUCGAUGAUUCGCCUUAUGACCAACUUCCUUCUAAACAGGAGUGGAUAGCGGAAGCAAAAUUGAUAUGGUGUCCGGCCCCCCUCCCCGAGACCGCGCAGGAUUCCGUGCUGGUCCGGAUGCUUGAGGUUGCGCCUCCAGAGGAAGGCGAAGGGGAAAACAGGAAAGCUACUGCCUCACCUAAGGAGGCUCUUGAAAGAGGGGGGAUCGAGAAUCCCUCCCUCCAAGGGGAGAAGAGGACUGCCUCCGAGGACCCGGGGGCAAAAGCCCCUAAACGGGGGAAGAAAUCUUCGCCAGAGGGCCCUGUGUCCGGGGAGGCCCCGGCCGCACAAUCUCCCUUUGAGAAUCAGCCCUCCAACGAGCCGUAAGUAUAAAGAAAGGAGUUUUAUAAUAAGGGACAUCCCUAUUUGUGCUUCUGAGGAUAACUAAAGUUUUUACCUUGUAGUUCGGAUCUCCAUCCUUCGCAAAUGAGCUCGUCUUCGGGGGACCUUCGUCCGGAGAUGAUGGAGAGCGAGACGCCUCCGUCCGGGGCGCCGUCAGAUAGGGCGGACGAGCCUGAAGUGUCAUCACGGAGGGAGCCCCCUGGUUUGGCAAAGCCGGAUAGUUCGGCGCCAACUGGUGUAUGGCUGAAGGAUCUGCUUGAGAAGGCGUCGAUCUCAGAAGAUCACCACGCAUUGAUGAGCAUGGUGAUUCAAAGGAUUUCGUCCGCCGAAGGCGGGUUGCAUAAUGCCAUCAGGAGUUUGCUGGCGGGGUUUGAGGUACGUAAAAAUGACACACCUUUUAACAGUUUUGCAUAUAGAAUGCGCCCUGUAUAGAUAGUAGCCCCUGAGACUCGGUAGGUUGUCGAAAUCGACAGCGUUCCGAGGAUCAAAAUCGCAGUGAUGCUUGGACAAAGAUGGAUGCCACCGCUGUUGCGACCCCGGGUUCGGACGAUAACCGGUUACCCGCCGAGCACUAUUUUGGCAAAGUGCUGCGUGGUGCUCAUGUAAUAGAGUCGCAGUGCUCAAAAAAUGUUAUGUUCGAGUGAACGUUUUUAUGAUGUAAGCGCCGUUUAUACUUGUGCGUUCAAGUAAUAGAAUAUCUCCUAUGCGGCCGUUCAUGUAUACGUGUGUAUAACCUGAAAGAUGGCAGUCGUCGGCUUCAGCCCCCACGCACAAGGUGCGGGGGUGUUCGCAAAAAAUAGCGCGUUUUCACACUUAAUCCGACGUCUCGGUCCUGUAAAGGAGGUGGUAGCGUAGCAAACGAGGCAACCGGACUAUAAUGCUUUAUCACUUUCACUUAGCCAUCGAGUUCGAGGGUGGGGCUACGACAUAGCCCCUGGGGGCACCGCGCUCUCCGAAUUUGGGGCGCGUGUGUGCCUGACCGGGAAACGGCCCUUCAUCAAAGCGGAGGAAUUCUAAACAUUCCCAUGGUCGAUCGAGUGGUUGACCAGUCUCUCGCUGUAUCAUGACAGUCAGUUUUCCGCUUUCUCUACUGAGGUGCUCGCCCAGCCGAACUGGGGCACAAUCGCAGUAGUUCUCCUGGUGCCGCGUUAGCCGAUGAUACGGAACGUAAGGCAGCAAAACACAGGAGCCGGGCAAACCCAACAUUUGACCAAAGACAUGAUUCGGAGCUGAUGCAUAUAAGGCCUAACUCGAGACGCCGAACACCCCCGAAGGUGUUCGGUCUUUACAAUAGCGGGCAAAACAAUGCCCUAAGCCCCUUGUGUCCAGGUACGGGCAAGUUCUUCUGGCGCGGCCGAUGCCAAAACGCCAGUCUCCACUCUGGUUAUAAUGAGAAGCCAGGGGAUUAUAGCAACAAAAGACAGUAAGAAAGGGUUACGUAGGGUCUUAGUCUGAAAAGAGUCCUUGCAACGGGUCCCUACUGCACGUCUGCGCCUGUGUCUCCGUUGUGCCGUAUCCUGGACGGGUGUGCACGCUGUUCAUCUGUAAAAAGAGAGGAACUUAGUUUGAAAAGAAAUCGUGCGAGAAAGUGCAUAAAAAAUUGAAAUAUAGAUUAAUAAAGCUGAGCCUAUGCUAGCUCAUCAUGGCUUAUAUGUACAAACCCUUGUGAAGGGGUGUGUGGCUAGGUAGCCCCUAGCUUAUUUAUUCCGGACUCGUCCAGCCGUGUCCGGGGUCUCAGGCGACCUUUUAAUGAAAUGAUGCCACGUGGACCGGGCAUUUUAAGCGUAAGAGACGCGUAAUGUGGUAUUGCAUUGAAGCGGACGAAAGCUUCCCGUCCCAGUGAUGCUUGAUAGCUACUUUUAAAUGGGGCGACAUGAAAGGUUAGCUUUUCUCGUCGGAAGUUGUCAGGUGACCCGAACACAACUUCUAGUAAUAAUGAAACUGUGCACCUGGCGUAAGGGCCUGGCGCCACUCCUUUGAAGGAAGUGCGGCUAUGCCGAAUUGUAGUAGGGUCUAUCCCAACUUGCGGAUUGUGUCCGGAUAUAGCAGGUUUAAGUCACUGCCGCCAUCCAUCAAAACCUGCGUGAAUUGCAGUCCGUCUAUUAUGGGAUCCAAUAUCAAGGCAGUCUAUCCUGCGUUCCGGAUACUUCUGGACUAAUCCAGAUGGUCGAAAGUGAUUGGUUUUGACAUCCAAUCUCGGUGUUCCGCUGGGGUGGACCGUGCGACACUUGUCUUAGCGAGUGCGGUGGUGGUUUUCCGUACUAUCACAUGGAGUGAGUUUACCGUUUUGACUUCUUGUGGGAAAGUAUUUUGACUUCCGGUGCUCUGCUGGUGGGGUUCGUCAUCGUCCUCGCUUGGCGCAUCGAGCCCCUUGUGUCCGGUGUUGAGUCUGCCGGAAUGUUUAAAAACCCAACAAUUUCGGUUGGUAUGGUUUGCAGGCCUUCUGGAGGUACUGUGGAUUUGACAUAUUCGAUCUAAAAUUUUGUUUAAAUUUGAUAGCUCGUCGCUGUUGUCCUUAAGAGGCAGGUUUUAUUGUUUGGCCGCGAGCUUUUGAAUCCGGUGUUGACCGCCGUGCCCUUUGGGCUUUUUCUUUAUUCCGGCGCUGAUCUUUCCUGCGCCGUGAUUUUCCGUUUCCAUCUCUGGUCUCGGAUGUACUCGGGUCGCUGGUGCUGCAUCUUGCUAGCCGGCUGUCUUCUCCUGCGCAAAAGCACGUCAUGAGGCUUGUUAGCGCGGCCAUUGUUCUUGGCUUCUCUUGGCCGAGGUGUCUGGCGAGCCAUUCGUCUCGGACGUUGUGUUUAAAAGCUGCUAAGGCUUCCGCGUCCGGACAGUCGACUAUUUGGUUCUUUUUGGUAAGGAACUUGUUCCAGAAUUUGCGCGCUGACUCUCCGGGCUGUUGGGUUAUAUGACUCAGAUCGUCUGCAUCCGGAGGGCGGACAUAAGUCCCUUGAAAAUUUGCUCUAAACACGUCCUCAAGCUCUUCCCAACUUCCAACAGUAUUUUCUGGGAGGCUUUUGAGCCAAUGCUGAGCUGGCCCUUUGAGCUUGAGGGGUAGGUAUUUUAUGGCGUGGAGAUCAUCUCCUCUAGCCAUGUGUAUGUGUAGUAUGUAAUCUUCUAUCCAUACUCCUGGGUCUGUUGUGCCGUCGUAUGCCUCUAUGUUUAUGGGUUUGAACCCUGCUGGAAAUUCAUGAUCCAGCACCUCAUCGGUAAAACAUAGCGGGUGUGCGGCGCCCCUGUAUUUGGGUGUGCCGCUGUCUUUGAACACUUGUCGUGUUGUGUUGCUUCCUGGGGCCCUCCUUUUUGGCCCAUAGAUGGACCUAGUUGGGCCGUCCGUUUUCCCAAGAUCAUAAGUCGGCUUGUGUGCGGCGCCGCUUGUCGCUUUUGGCCUGUCAUCUGGCCGUCUAUCCGGCCAGGCGGCCUCUUUAUUUUUUGACUGUGAGGGCUCUAUGGCUUCCUCGUCAAAUUCUGGCAGCAGCUUGCGCUUCGGGUAGCUCUUUGUUUGAUGGCCAUUGCCAUAUUUGUCUGCGGUCUUGAGUAUUUUGCUCCACUUCAUUCUGAGUAUGUCUUCCGCUGUUUUGAGCUUCCGUUUUUCCUUCUUCAAACUUCUUGCAGUGGCGACGAGUCUUUUGUGAAGGUUCUUAUGCUCCGGUGGUGUGUCCGGACUGUUGAUUGCUCCGUGAAGGGGUUGAUUAUCCGGUUCGUCCUGUUCGGAUGGUUGCUUGGUUGUAUGUUCGUCGUCCGCUGGUUUGCCCUGCUCUAUCGCUGGGUCGUUAGGAAUGCUGCUUUGAUCGAGGCGGGACUUAGGGCGGCGUCUACGUCGCCGUUUUGGUUGUUUAUCGGCGGUAUUAUCCUCUGCCGCGUCCCGUUGUUCCUCGGUAUCGCUUCCCUUUGGGGUGUCCACCAUAUGUAUGUCAUGUGACGAGGUGGCCUUCCAGUGCCCUGUAGGCGCUUGUUCUUGAUCGUCUCCGGCAUCGUCGUCCAUACCAUGGAUGUCUUCGGAGUCGUAGUUUAGCACGUCGGUUAGAUCGUCGACGGUGGCUACCAAGUGGGUGGUGGGUGGGCUCUGAAUUUCUUCAUUGUCCGCGUCCCGACCAUCCUGGCCGUAGUUCGGCCAGGGCUCUCCGGAUAGUGAGAGAUGCUUCAGCGAAUUUAAGAUAUCCCCGAAGGGUGAGUGCUGAAAGGUGUCCGCAGCGGUGAAUUCCAUGAUGGGCGCCCAAUCGGAUUUGACUGGCAGGGGCGCUGGAGGUUCGGAGUCCGGCAAAGAGUCCGGCACCUCGGAGUCAUGAGCUUUAUGCGGGGCAAGGUAAGUGUUCGGCUCCAUCACCGUAGAAGUUGCAGCUCCCGAGGCGGUGUCCAGCCAUCCGUUCUCGAUCUGAGCGAUCGGCUCCGGACUAUGGGUCGGAGCGGAUUCAUGUGCGGCCUCCAAGGUGCUGUCCGGCGGCAGAGUUAGGUCGUACCCAUCGUGACAGCGCGGCACGCUCGGCUGUGGCUCAGAUCCAUCGAAGAUCAAGUCCCCGCGGAUAUCGGCCGUGAAGUUUAGGCUUCCAAACCUGACCUGACGGCCAGGGGCAUAGCUUUCGAUCUGCUCCAGAUGGCCAAGUGAGUUGGCCCGCAGUGCGAAGCUGCCGAAUAUGAAGAUCUGUCCGGGGAGAAAAGUCUCACCCAGGACUACGUCGUUGUCGAUUGAAGAGGCCAUCAAGCCUAUCGGUGACGACACAGAGGAACUCUCAAUGAAAGCACCAAUGUCGGUGUCAAAACCGGCGGAUCUCGGGUAGGGGAUCCCGAACUGUGCGUCUAGGCGGAUGGUAACAGGAGACAAGGGACACGAUGUUUUACCCAGGUUCGGGCCCUCUUGAUGGAGGUAAAACCCUAUGUCCUGCUUGAUUGAUAUUGAUAUUGUAGAUGUUUACAAGAGUGGAUCUACCAUGAGAUCAAGGAGGCUAAACCCUAGAAGCUAGCCUAUGGUAUGAUUGUAAUGGUUGUUGUUGUCCUACGGACUAGAGCCAUCCAGUUUAUAUAGACACCGGAGAGGGCUAGGGUUACAUAGAGUCGGUUACAAUGGUAGGAGAUCUACAUAUCCGUAUCGCCAAGCUUGCCUUCCACGCCAAGGAAAGUCCCAUCCGGACACGAGACGAAGUCUUCAAUCUUGUAUCUUCAUAGUCUUGGAGUCCGGUCGAUGAUGAUAGUCCGGCCGAUGAUAGUUCGGCUGAUGAUGGUAGUCCGGCUAUCCGGACACCCCCUAAUCCAGGACUCCCUCAGUAGCCCCUGAACCAGGCUUCAAUGAAGAUAAGUCCGACGCGUAUAUUGCUUGGCAUUGCAAGGCGGGUUCCUCCUCCGAAUGAUAGAAGAUUGUGAACACCAGGAUAGUGUCCGGCUCUGCAAAAUAAAUUCCACAUUCCACCGUAGAGAGAAUAAUAUAUACACAAGUUCAAUCUGCUGACGUUUUUUGCGGCAUGACGUCACGCCACUACCAAGCCAUUACUUGAAUCGUUUUUUACUCUACCACCUCAGCGCAUUUAGCGAAGCGGUUUCCUUGGCACGUCUUGUCGAAGCAGAGAUCAUGUUCCCCCUUAGUCCGGGAUUCUCAUCAAUACGGACGUGGGUAACCCAACCGCGCCCGUCGCCACGCCCCCUCUAUCGAAGGCGAGUCCCAAACGGUCAUGGAGACGGCUCUUGGUAUUCUUCCUCCUUAUAACGGGACCAAGGCUCGUUUCUUCUCUUCAAUCCUCCAUCGAAUCCUCUCCCUGCUCCAAGUUCCAGCACCUAGAGCUCCAGAUUCAAGCGCUUCGGACCUUCAAUGAUGUCCGGUUCCGACCUCCAGGGCCGGUGGAUGCCCUCCUCCGUCACGGAGGAGUACGUGCUAAAGCUGCGGGAGGCCAAGUACCUGGCUCAUGAGAUUUCGCACAGGUUGCCUGCCGAAGGGUAGGCCAUCCCCACCCCCGAGCCCGGCGAGUAUGUCGUUUUUGUAUCCCACCUCCGUCGGGGUUUAGGCUUCCCGAUGGAUCCUUUUGUGAGAGGGCUCAUGUUUUACUAUGGGUUGGAAUUCCACGAUUUGGCUCCGGGGUCCAUCCUCCAUAUUUCCGCAUUUAUUGUUGUCUGCGAAGCCUUCCUCCGCGUCACCCCUCACUUCGGCCUGUGGCUGAAGACCUUCAAUGUGGCGCCGAAGAUGAUCGGGGGGCGUCAAGCGGAGUGCGGCGGGGCGGCCAUAAGUAGGAGGGCCGAUGCCCCGUGGCCCGCUGGCUCCUUCCAAGAGGAGCUCGGCCCGUGGCAGCAAGAGUGGUUCUAUAUCACCGUUCCGAGGGGCCGCAGACAAAAGCCGCCGCCCUUAUUCCGCCCGGGACCUUCACGACGGUUGAUGUCGUGGGUCAACCAAGGGCUCAACUGGGGGCCGUCAAAGGACGUGCCCCUACUGCAGGGCCGGAUUCGAGAUCUCCAAACGAGGGAGGUUGAUAUGGUGGUGGUAAUGCAGGUUAUGCUGAUUAGGCGUCUCCCGCCCUGCGAACGCCGCCCUCUCCGGCUGUGGGAGUUCAAUCCGGAGGGCCCACGGAUUCUUCAACACUUCAUGGGUAUGACACCCCUGGAGAUGUACAAAUUAUUCUUCGGAUCGCAAGAGGCGCGUCCGGAAUUGACCGAGGAUGCUGGCCUAAGCUGCAAUCGCCCGGGUACUCAAGUAAGUAGUUCCAAGUCCGUACAUACCGUUUGUUUGCCUUCCAAUGAUUCGACUUAUGACCAACUUCCUUCUAAACAGGAGUGGAUAGCGGAAGCAAAAUUUAUAUGGUGUCCGGCCCCCCUCCCCGAGACCGCGCCGGAUUUCGUGCUGGUCCGGAUGCUUGAGGUUGCGCCUCCAGAGGAAGGCGAAGGGGAAAGCAGGAAAGCUACUGCCUCGCCUAAGGAGGCUCUUGAAAGAGGGGGGAUCGAGAAUCCCUCCCUCCAAGGGGAGAAGAGGACUCCCUCCGAGGACCCGGGGGCAAAAGCCCCUAAAUGGGGGAAGAAAUCUUCUCCAGAGGGGCCUGCGUCCGAGGAGGCCCCGGCCGCACAAUCUCCCUUUGAGAAUCAGCCCUCCAACGAGCCGUAAGUAGAAAGAAAGGAGUUUUAUAAUAAGGGACAUCCCUAUUUGUGCUUCUGAGGAUAACUAAAGUUUUUACCUUGUAGUUCGGAUCUCCGUCCUUCGCAAAUGAGCUCGUCUUCGGGGGACCUUCGUCCGGAGAUGAUGGAGAGCGAGAUGCCUCCGUCCGGGGUGCCGUCAGAUAGGGCGGACGAGCCUAAAGUGUCGUCACGGAGAGAGCCCCCUGGUUUGGCAAAGCCGGAUAGUUCGGCGCCAACUGGUGUACGGCUGAAGGAUCUGCUUGAGAAGGCGUCUAUCUCAGAAGAUCACCACGCAUUUAUGAGCAUGGUGAUUGAAAGGAUUUCGUCCGCCGAAGGCGGGUUGCAUAAUGCCGUCAGGAGUUUGCUGGCGGGGUUUGAGGUACGUAAAAAUGACACACCUUUUAACAGUUUUGCAUAUAGAAUGCGCCCUGUAUAGAUAGUAGCCCCUGAGACUCGGUAGGUUGUCGAAAUUGACAGCGUGCCGAGGAUCAAAAUCGCAGGUUUAAAUUUCCGCCGUGCCGAUGCAGGUGGCGGGUCGUCCGGGGGCCAGCCGGACUGAUGGAGUUGCUGAACUAAAGCGGCAACUCGCUGUUGCGGAUGCGGACAUCACGCUGGUCAACAGGCGACUUGAUGAGUCGCAAGGUAAGUGUUUCUGUGUGGUCACUUGGUAAGGGGGCCGUAGCCAGCUCCUUACAACAUGUGCGUGAAAUGCAGAUAGUGCCGCUGCUGUGGAGAGCCUUCGGGCCGAACUUGCUCAAGCCAAGGAGCAGGCCAGAAGGAGUAAUGCGGCAGCCUCGAGGGCGGCCGAGGAGUUAGCGGCCGAAAGGGCCGCACACUGCCGGAGUAGGGAAGAGAUGGCCGAAAUGGCCGUGAAGUUAAAAGAUGCUACCGACCGCAAUGAGGCUCUUGGGAAGGAGCGCCUAGCAGGGCAAGAAGACCUGGAGAAGGCCACCGCCGAAGCCAAGGAUGCCCGCUCUGCAAUGCGGGCUAUAAAGGAAGAGCUGCGCCAGGCCGGAGAUAUUGUAGCUGGCAAGCCUUUUCUGCUGCGCCGAAGGUUUACGGAUCCAAAGUAUGCUCAGCUGGGCCAACUGUGUGGUCCAGAGGACCCUUAUAUGGACUUAGCAGCGAGUGCGGCGGAUGCCGUUGUGCAUUUUCAAAGCCAGAAGGAUCACAAGACGGAAGAGCUGUUUUGGUCUCAAUUCCAUAGUCCGGAGCGUUCACUUCCGUUGACCGACCAUUUGGCCGAGUGGGCUGAGCUAAAUAGGUUGUCCGGGCUUGCUAUGACGGAUAUAGUGACCCAUGUCUGGCCGGAUAGGCCCGAGCCGAAGAGUUACUUUGGCUUAUUGCAACAAUUUCUUGGGGCGGUGCCGCAUAUGAAGGCAAUGAAGCGGUCGGCCUGCAUAGAGGGUGCGCGGAUGGCACUCGCCCGUGUGAAGACACAUUGGACAGAGAUGGAUGUCACCGCUGUUGCGACCCUGGGUUCGGACGAUAACCGGUUACCCGCCGAGCACUAUUUUGGCGAAGUGCUGCGUGGUGCUCGUGUAAUAGAGUCGCAGUGCUCAAAAAAUGUGACGUUCGAGUGAACGUUUUUAUGAUGUAAAACAAUAUUUAUGAUGUAAGUGCCUUUUAUACUUGUGCGUUCAAGUAAUAGAAUAUCUCUUAUGCGGCCGUUCAUGUAUACGUGUGUAUAACCUGAAAGAUGGCAGUCGUCGGCUUCAGCCCCCACGCACAAGGUGCGGGCGUGUUCGCAAAAAAUAGCGCGUUUUCACACAUAAUCCAAUGUCUCGGUCCUGUAAAGGAGGUGGUAGCGUAGCAAAUGAGGCAACCGGACUAUAAUGCUUUAUCACUUUCACUUAGCCAUGGAGUUCGAGGGUGGGACUACGACAUAGCCCCUGGGGGCACCGCGCUCUCCGAAUUUGGGGCGCGUAUGUGCCUGACCGAGAAACGGCCCUUUGUCAAAGCGGAGGAAUUCUAAACAUUCCCAUGGUCGAUUGAGUGGUUGACCAGUCUCUCGCUGUAUCAUGACAGUCAGUUUUCGGCUUUCUCUACUGAGGUGCUCGCCCAGCCGAACUGGGGCACAAUCGCAGUAGUUCUCCUGGUGCCGCGUUAGCCGAUGAUACAGAACGUAAGGAAGCAAAACACAGGAGCCGGGCAAACCCAACAUUUGACCAAAGACAUGAUUCGGAGCUGAUGCGUAUAAGGCCUAACUCGAGACGCCAAACACUCCCGAAGGUGUUCGGUCUUUACAAUAGCGGGCAAAACAAUGCCCUAAGCCCCUUGUGUCCAGGUACGGGCAAGUUCUUCUGGCGCGGCCGAUGCCAAAACGCCAGUCUCCACUCUGGUUAUAAUGAGAAACCAGGGGAUUAUAACAACAAGAGACAGUAAGAAAGGUUUACGUAGGGUCUUAGUCUGAAAAGAGUCCUUGCAACGGGUCCCUACUACACGUCUGCGCCUGUGUCUCCGUUGUGCCGUAUCCUGGACGGGUGUGCACGCUGUUCAUCUGUAAAAAGAGAGGAACUUAGUUUGAAAAGAAAUCGUGCGAGAAAGUGCAUAAAAAAUUGAAAUAUAGAUUAAUAAAGCUGAGCCUAUGCUAGCUCAUCAUGGCUUAUAUGUACAAACCCUUGUGAAGGGGUGUGUGGCUAGGUAGCCCCUAGCUUAUUUAUUCCGGAUGCGUCCAGCCGUGUCCGGGGUCUCAGGCGACCUUUUAAUGAAAUGAUGCCACAUGGACCGGGCAUUUUAAGCGUAAGAGAUGCGUAAUGUGGUAUUGCAUUGAAGCGGACAAAAGCUUCCCGUCCCAGUGAUGCUUGAUAGCUACUUUUAAAUGGGGCGACAUGAAAGGUUAGCUUUUCUCGUCGGAAGUUGUCAGGUGACCCGAACACAACUUCUAGUAAUAAUGAAACUGUGCACCUGGCGUAAGGGCCUGGCGCCACUCCUUUGAAGGAAGUGCGGCUAUGCCGAAUUGUAGUAGGGUCUAUCCCAACUUGCGGAUUGUGUCCGGAUAUAGAAGGUUUAAGUCACUGCCACCAUCCAUCAAAACCUGCGUGAAUUGCAGUCCGUCUAUUAUGGGAUCCAAUAUCAGGGCAGUCUAUCCUGCAUUCCGGAUACUUCUGGACUAAUCCAGAUGGUCCAAAGUGAUUGGUUUUGACAUCCAAUCUCGGUGUUCCGCUGGGGUGGACCGUGCGACACUUGUCUUAGCGAGUGCCGUGUUGGUUUUCCGUACUAUCACAUGAAGUGAGUUUACUGUUUUGACUUCUUGUGGGAAAGUCUUUUGACUUCCGGUGCUCUGCUGGUGGGGUUCGUCAUCGUCCUCACUUGGCGCAUCGAGCCCCUUGUGUCCGGCGUUGAGUCUGCCGGACUGUUUAAAAACCCAACAAUUUCGGUUGGUAUGGUUUGCAGGCCUUCCAGAGGUACUAUGGAUUUGACAUAUCCGAUCUAAAAUUUUGUUUAAAUUUGAUAGCUCGUCGCUGUUGUCCUUAAGAGGCAGUGUUUUAUUGUUUGGCCGCGAGCUUUUGAAUCCGGCAUUGACCGCCGUGCCCUUUGGGCUUUUUUCUUUAUUCCGGCGCUGAUCUUUCCUGCGCCGUGAUUUUCCGUUUCCAUCUCUGAUCUCGGAUGUACUCGGGUCGCUGGUGCUGCAUCUUGCUAGCCAGCUGUCUUCUCCUGCGCAAAAGCGCAUCAUGAGGCUUGUUAGCGCGGCCAUUGUUCUUGGCUUCUCUUGGCCGAGGUGUCUGGCGAGCCAUUCGUCUCGGACGUUGUGUUUAAAAGCUGCUAAGGCUUCCGCGUCCGGACAAUCGACUAUUUGGUUCUUUUUGGUAAGGAACCUGUUCCAGAAUUUGCGCGCUGACUCUCCGGGCUGUUGGGUUAUAUGACUCAGAUCGUCUGCAUCCGGAGGGCGGACAUAAGUCCCUUGAAAAUUUGCUCUAAACACGUCCUCAAGCUCUUCCCAACUUCCAACAGUAUUUUCUGGGAGGCUUUUGAGCCAAUGCCGAGCUGGCCCUUUGAGCUUGAGGGGUAGGUAUUUUAUGGCGUGGAGAUCAUCUCCUCUAGCCAUGUGUAUGUGUAGUAUGUAAUCUUCUAUCCAGACUCCUGGGUCUGUGGUGCCGUCGUAUGCCUCUAUGUUUAUGGGUUUGAACCCUGCUGGAAAUUCAUGAUCCAACACCUCAUCGGUAAAAGAUAGCGGGUGUGCGGCGCCCCUGUAUUGUGAAUGGGAGUGGUUUUACAUCACCGAACCCCGUGGUAAAAAGCGGGUAGCCACACCGGCGUUUUGGCCCAGCCCUCCACCACAGCUCACAUCGUGGAUUAACAAGGGGCCAGGCUGGGGAUCUACUGAUGAAGUGCGGAUGCUGCAAAGCCGCAUUCAGAGCCUUAUUAAGAAGGACACCAGUCUCAUUGAUGUAAUCCAAGUAAUGUUGGUCCGCCGGAUCCUACCUUGCCAGCGACGCCCUCUCCGCAUGUGGGAGUUUAAUCUGGAAGGUCCACAGACCCUUCAGCACCUUUCUGGCACGAUGCUCAGAGAGAUGUGGAAAUUGUUCUUCGGCGCACGAAAACAUUGCCGGAUACUACAAAAUACAUCGGCCUUGACUGCAACCAUCUGGAUACUCCGGUAAGUACUCGACCCCCAAACAUGAUUUAGUAAAAUUAUCCAUGACAAUGUGCUGAUAAAACUCUAUCCGGCCAGGGCUGGCUAAAGAAGGCGGAGAGAAUCAGGUGUUCGACUCCACUUCCUGAAGAUACUGCAGAUCCGUUAUUAACAACGAUGCUGGCUCCGGCACCAUAUCAAGUGCCGGCGGGGGAAGAUAAAGAGGAGGACAAAGAGGCCCAAGGUAGCUUCCACUCUGGGGGCUCACCAGGCAAUUUGUCCUGGGAGAUUAGAACUCCCGCUUCCAAAGGUGGAAGGGAAGGGUGAAUUGACAUCCCUUCUCCCCAUGGGAAGAAAAGGGCCGCCUCCGAAGACUCGGAAAGAGAAGCUUCUAAGCGGGGGAAGGUAUCCCAGUCAGGGGAUGAUGUUGACACGCAAUCACCCCGUAAAGAUAGGCCCUCAGCCGCAUCGUAAGUGAUUCCGGGUGUUUUAAACAUGUCCCGUUCUUUCCUGGCUAUAAGGGUAAUAUUUUAAACUCAUGUUUGCAGUCCGGCACACAACCCUCCUCAACAGUCCUCCUCUUCAGGGGAUCUACUUCCGGAGAUGAUGGAGAGCGAGAUGCCUCCACAGAUCUCCCUGCCUGAUAAGGCAGAUGACGCCAAGGUGUCGUCUCGGAGGAUCCUUCCUGAUCUGCGAGUGGCGCAAGGGACAGUGAGGACUGGGGCCAAAGGUAAUACUUCAGCCACCUAGGGUCCAGGGUGUGCGGCCCAUACAGGGAACAACAAAAGUCCCGGACUAUCGAAUGUCCAAGGGACGCCGGAUACAUUGAUGGACAUUUUGCAACAUGCCUCUGUCUCAGAGGAACAUCAUACCUUGAUGGGUACGGUGUUGGAAAGAGUUUGGUCCGCGAGAAGCGGAUUGAAUGAAGAUCUUUUCUAGCCUACUAAGAGGCUUUGAGGUACGUAGUGUAAUUUCAAUUAUGUUGUAAGUACAAAUUGCACCUGUGUAUAGAUAGUAGCCCCUGGUACGUCUCCAACAUAUCUAUAAUUUUUUAUUGUUCCAUGCUAUUAUAUUACCCAUUUUGGAUGUUUAUGGGCUUUACUUUACACUUCUAUAUCAUUUUUGGGACUAACCUACUAACCGGAGGCCCAACCCGAAUUGCUGUUUUUUUGCCUAUUUCAGUGUUUCAAAGAAAAGGAAUAUCAAACAGAGUCCAAACGGGAUGAAACCUUUGGGAGCGAUCUUUUUGGAACAAAUGCAAUCCACGAGACUUGGAGUGGACGUCAAGCAACAGAGGAGGCGGCCACGAGGGUGCCCGGAGCGCCCUGAUGACCCACAAGUAUAGGGGAUCUAGCGUAGUCUUUUCGAUAAGUAAGAGUGUCGAACCCAACGAGGAGCAGAAGGAAAUGAUAAGCGGUUUUCAGCAAGGUAUUCUCUGCAAGUAGUGAAAUAAGUGGUAACAGAUAGUUUUGUGAUAGGAUAAAUUGCAACGAGAAACAAGUAACAAAAGUAAAUAAAGUGCAGCAAGGUGGCCCAAUCCUUUUUGUAGCAAAGGACAAGCCUAGACAAACUCUUAUAAUAGGAAAAGCGCUCCUGAGGACACAUGGGAAUAUCGUCAAGCUAGUUUUCAUCACGCUCAUACGAUUCGCGUUCGGUACUUUGAUAAUUUGAUAUGUGGGUGGACCGGUGCUUGGGUACUACCCUUACUUGGACAAGCAUCCCACUUAUGAUUAACCUCUAUUGCAAGCAUCCGCAACUACAAAAAAAGUAUUAAGGUAAACCUAACCAUAGCAUGAAACAUAUGGAUCCAAAUCAGCCCCUUACGAAGCAACACAUAAACUAGGGUUUAAGCUUCUGUCACUCUAGCAACCCAUCAUCUACUUAUUACUUCCCAAUGCCUUCCUCUAGGCCCAAAUAAUGGUGAAGUGUUAUGUAGUCGAUGUUCACAUAACACCACUAGAGGUUAGACAACAUACAUCUUAUCAAAAUAUCGAACGAAUACCAAAUUCACAUGACUACCAAUAGCAAGACUUCUCCCUUGUCCUCAGGAACAAACAUAACUACUCACAAAGCAUAUUCAUGUUCAUAAUCAGAGGGGUAAUAUUGUGCAUAAAGGACCUGAACAUAUGAUCUUCCACCAAAUAAACCAACUAGGAUCAACUACAAGGAGUAAUCAACACUACUAGCAACCUACUAGCACCAAUCCUGGACUUGGAGACAAGAAUUGGAUACAAGAGAUGAACUAGGGUUUGGAGAUGAGAUGGUGCAGGUGAAGAUGUUGAUGGAGAUUGCCCUCUCCCGAUGAGAGGAGCGUUGGUGAUGACGAUGGUGAUGAUUUCCCCCUCCCGGAGGGAAGUGUCCCCGGCAGAACAGCUCUGCCGGAGCCCUAGAUUGGUUCCGCCAAGGUUCCGCCUCGUGGCGGCGGAGUCUCGUCCCGAAAGGUUGUUUGUUAUUUUUUUCACAUCAAAAGACUUCAUAUGGGAGAAGAUGGGCGUCGGAGAGCCACCAGGGGGCCCACGAGGUAGGGGGCGCGCCUAGGGGGGGGCACACCCUCGUGAGCAGGGUGUGGGCCCCCUGGCCUUCAUCUUUGGCGACAAUUUUUCUUUAUUUAUUCUAAGAUAUUCCGUAGAGUUUCAGGACUUUUUGAGUUGCGCAGAAUAGUCCUUCAAUAUUUGCUCCUUUUCCAGCCCAGAAUUCCAGCUGCCGGCAUUCUCCCUCUUCAUGUAAACCUUGUAAAAUAAGAAAGAAUAGCCAUAAGUAUUGUUACAUAACGUGAAAUAAUAGCCCAUAAUGCAAUAAAUAUUGACAUAAAAGCAUGAUGCAAAAUGGACGUAUCAACUCCCCCAAGCUUAGACCUCGCUUGUCCUGAAGCGAAAAGCCGAUAACAAUAAAUAUGUCCUCAUGUUUAGAGGUAGAGGCGUCGAUAAAAAUAAAAUACGGACAUGAAGGCAUCAUGAUUGCUUCAUAACAGCAACAUAUAUAAAAUUUUGUCAUAUGAUUACUUAUGUUCUAGUGAUGAUCUUUUCACAAGCCAAAAUAUGAAUCAGAAACUUUAUUGGGCACCAACAAUUAUAAUCUCAGUCAUUGAAGCAAUUGCAAUUUAUCAUAACAUCGGAAAGAGUCUAUGUCAGAGCUCAAAAGCAAGUCCACAUACUGAACUAUCACUUAGUCCUUCAUAAUUGCUAGCACUCACGCGAUACUUUGUGGUUACGGAGUUUUAAUCGGACACAGAGAAAGAUAGGGGCUUGCACACAACCUUUUACCUCAAGGGUAAUGUCAACAAUAAUAAUUCACGCUCCCCCACAUCCAAUUAUAUAUAUAUAUAUAUAUAUCAUGUUCUUUCCAACAUGCUAAGCUUGCCAAAGGAUAAAAUGAAAAAGGAAGGUGAAGAUCACCGUGACUCUUGCAUAAAGUAGAGGAUAAUAAUAAAAAAUAUGCCCUUCGCAGAGGGAAGCAGAGGUUGUCAUGCGCGUUUGGGGUUGAUGCACAAAAUCUUAAUGCAAAAGAAUGUCACUUUAUAUUGCCCCUUGCAUGUGAACCUUUAUUAUGCAGUCCGUCACUUUUAUUGCGUCCACAACAAGUUCGUACAAAGCUUAUUUCUCUGCACUAAUAAGCCAUGCAUAUUGAGAGAACAAUUUUUUAUUGCUUGCACCGAUGACAACUUACUUGAAGGAUCUUAAUCAAUCCAUAGGUAGAUAUGGUGGACUCUCAUGGCAAAACUGGUUUAAGGGUAUUUGGAAGCACAAGUAGUAUUUCUACUUAGUGCUGAGAAUUGGCUAGCAUGAGGGGGAAAGGAAAGCUCAACAUGGUAGAGGAACCAUGACAACAUACUUUAUCUCAGAUGUAAGAAAACAUAACUCAUUAUGUUGUCUUCCUUGUCCAACAUCAACUCUUUAGCAUGUCAUAUUUUAAUGAGUGCUCCCAAUCAUAAAAGAUGUCAAUGAUAAUAUAUCUAUAUGUGAUACCUCUCUUUCCUUAUUACUUCCUAUCAAUUGCAACGAUGGCCAAAGCUAUAUUUUCCAACUCCCAACAACUUUAAAUCAUCAUACUCUUUCUAUGUGAAGUCAUUACUUUCAAUAAGAUCAAUAUGAACUCUUGACUCUUUUUAUUCCUUUUCUUCUAAUCACCCAAGAUCAUGGCAAAAUACUCAAGCCCUUUACUCAACACUAAUUUUUAUUAUAUAGCUCACGGACUCGAUUACAAAGAAGGAUCAUAAAGCAAAAUUCGAAACUAGAUCAUGCCAUGACUUUAUUCUACUAAAGCAAGAUACUACUAAUAAGAUCGAACUAAGAAAAACGAUAAAGAUAGGAGUUGUGAUGGUGAUACGAUACCAGGGCACCUCCCCCAAGCUUGGCAGUUGCCAAGGGGAGUGCCCAUACCCAUGUGAUUAUGUUCCUUCUUUAUUGUUGGUGGUGGAGGUGUUGUUGAUGAUGCAAGCUUGUCGUCCAUCUUCCAAGGCAUAGGCUCACCAUCAUAGAAGGAUGAUUGAGUCUCCAGAAUCCUCAAAUCUGCAGCCAAACUCAUCCUUUUGAAUCUAUAUUCAUACUCACAGUUUUGGUUUUGCAGAUCAUAGAUUUGGGCUUGGAGGUGCUAGAUCUUCUCAUGUAGCUUAUAUAUGGCUUCCUCGGUCUUCUUGGCAUCCGGCUCAUAGUUGUUAGCGAACUCCGCAAGCAUCUUGUGGGUAGCGUUGAUUCCAUGUUCCACCAUCCCCUGGCACUUGAAAACUUGUUGAUCCAUUGCUUCGAGCCUCAACUCCACGCUUUCGGUUCCCUUUGGUCCCUCAACAUCGCGGAUGUGCAGCAACCCAUCACGCAUCUCGAUGUUUUGAGGGUGUCGCAGCACCUCCGCGAGGUAAGGGUUGAUGACCUUCUCGAAAAACUUGUCCUUGGAAGCACUUGGGGUCGUCAUGAUGAUCUAGACCUGUCAGAAAAAUAGCUCGAAACAAGAAUAGGGGGGAUUUGCGUGAUACGGGAGUCAAAACCUCCGGGAGUAUAUAUAAUGAAUUUUUACCGACCAAAAUAUGUAUCGUGCAAGGAAACGGAGUCCGGAGGGCACACGAGGUGCUCACGAGGUAGGGGGGUGCGCCUAGGGGGGUAGGGCGCGCCCUCCACCCUCAUGGAGGCCUUGUGUCCUCCCCAGACUGUUACUUAUUUUUCUAUUUUUCUAAAUAUUCCAAAACGGAGAAUUAUUGCCUUAAAAAAUUGUUUUGGAGUCGGUUUACUUACCUUACCACAUACCUAUUCCUUUUCGGAGUCUGGAACAUUUUGGAAAGUGUCCUUUAUGUACUCCUCCGGGUUUACGGUUUCAAUAAUAUCAGUUUCAACAUUUAUAGGAUUACGUGAGAUAUAGUGUUUGAUCCUUUGGCCGUUUACCACCUUCGGAUUUGUGCCUGCGAAGUUGUUGAUUUUUAUGGCACCAGAACGAUAGACCUCCUCGAUAACGUAAGGGCCUUCCCAUUUGGAGACAAGUUUUCCUGCAAAAAAAUCUUAAACGAGAGUUGUAUAGCAAUGCAUAAUCACCUACAUUAAACUCACGCUUUUGUAUCCUUUUGUCAUGCCACCUUUUAACUUUUUCCUUAAACAACUUGGCAUUUUCAUAAGCUUGGGUUCUCCAUUCAUCAAGUGAGCUAAUAUCAAAUAACUUCUUCUCACCGGCAAGUUUGAAAUCAUAGUUGAGCUCCUUAAUAGCCCAAUAUGCCUUAUGUUCUAGUUCGAGAAGUAAAUGACAUGCCUUUCCAUAAACCAUUUUAUACGGAGAUAUACCCAUAGGACUUUUAUAUGCAGUUCUAUAGGCCCAUAAUGCAUCAUAAAGUUUUUUGGACCAAUUCUUCCUAGACCUAUUGAUAGUCUUUUGCAAAAUUAAUUUGAGCUCUCUAUUGCUCUAUUCUACCUGACCACUAGACUGCUGGUGAUAUGGAGAUGCAAUCCUAUGAUUAACGUCGUAUCUAGCAAGCAUCUUACGGAAAGCACCAUGAAUAAAAUGUGAACCACCAUCAGUCAUUAAUUAUCUAGGGACUCCAAACCUCGGAAAAAUAACUUCCUUAAGCAUUUUAAUAGGAGUGUUAUGAUCAGCACUACUAGUUGGAAUAGCUUCUACCCACUUAGUAACGUAAUCAACAGCAACUAGAAUAUGAGUGUAACCAUUAGAGGCAGGAAAAGGUCCCAUAUAAUCAAAGCCCCAAACAUCAAAUGGCUCAAUAACAAGUGAAUAAUUCAUAGGCAUUUCUUGACGUCUACUAAUAUUGCCAAUUCUUUGACAUUCAUCGCAAGAUAAAAUAAACUUACGGGCAUCCUUGAAGAGAGUAGGCCAAUAAAAACAGGAUUGCAAUACCUUAUGUGCAGUUCUAUCCCCAGCGUGGUGCCCUCCAUAAGCUUCGGAGUGACACUUGCAUAGGAUCUGUUCCUGUUCAUGCUCAGGUACACAACGUCUAAUAACACCGUCUACUCGUUUAUAAAGAUGUGGGUCAUCCCAAAAGUAGUGUCGCAAGUCAUAGAAAAACUUUUUCUUUUGUUGAUAUGUGAAGCUAGGCGGUAUAGAUUUAGCAACAAUACAAUUAGCAUAAUCAACAUACCACGGAGUGCUACGAGAAGUACUUAUGACAUUUAAUUGCUCAUCAGGAAAACUAUCAUCAAUAGGUAGUGGGUCAUCAAGAACAUUCUUUAGCCUAGACAAUUUGUCUGCAACGGGGUUCUCAGCUCCCUUUCUAUCAACAAUAUGUAAAUCAAAUUCUUGAAGCAAGAGAACCCAUCUAAUGAGUCUAGGUUUUGCAUCUUUUUUUCCAUAAGAUAUUUAAUAGCAGCAUGAUCUGUAUGGAUAGUUACUCUAGAAUCAACAAUAUAGGGUCUGAAUUUAUCACAAGAAAAUACAACCGCUAAAAGUUCCUUUUCGGUAGUAGCAUAAUUUCUUUGAGCAUUGUCUAGAGUCUUACUAGCAUAAUGGAUAACAUUCAAUUUCUUAUCAACUCUUUGCCCAAGAACAGCACCUACAGCAUAAUCACUAGCAUCACACAUAAUUUCAAAGGGUAAAUUCCAAUCAGGUGGCUGAACAACAGGUGCAGAGACUAAUGCUUUCUUAAGUUUUUCAAACGCUUCUACACAAUCAUCAUCAAAGACAAAUGGUACAUCUUUUUGUAAUAAAUUAGUUAGAGGCCGAGAGAUUUUUGAGAAGCCCUUGAUGAACCUCCUAUAAAAUCCAGCGUGACCGAGGAAACUUCUUAUACCUUUGAUGUCCUUGGGACAUGGCAUCUUUUCAAUAGCAUCAACCUUGGCUUUAUCAACUUCAAUACCUCUUUCAGAAACUUUGUGCCCCAAGACAAUACCUUCAUUAACCAUAAAGUGGCACUUUUCCCAAUUCAAGACAAGAUUAGUUUCUUCACAUCUCUGCAAAACUCGAGCGAGAUUGCUCAAGCAAUCAUCAAAAGAGGAACCAUAGACGGAAAAGUCAUCCAUGAAAACCUCACAAAUUUUCACACAAAAGUCAGAGAAUAUAGCCCUCAUGCAUCUUUGAAAGGUAGCAGGUGCAUUACAUAAACCAAAAGGCAUACAUAUAUAAGCAAAAGUACCAAAAGGGCAUGUAAAAGUAGUCUUUGAUUGAUCUUUAGCCGAUACAGGUAUUUGAGAAAAACCAGAAUAACCAUCUAGAAAGCAAUAAUGUGUAUGUUUGCAUAGUCUUUCUAACAUUUGAUCAAUAAAAGGUAAGGGGUAAUGAUCUUUCUUAGUAGCCUUAUUUAUUUUGCGGAAAUCAAUUACCAUCCUAUAACCCGUGAUAAUUCUUUGCGGAAUCAAUUCAUCUUUAUCAUUAGGGACAAUAGUAAUACCUCCCUUCUUAGGGACACAAUGGACAGGACUUACCCACUGACUAUCAGCAACAGGAUAAAUUAUACCUUCCUCCAGAAGCUUGAGUAUUUCUUUUCUUACUACUUCUUUCAUUUUAGGAUUCAAACGUAGUUGAGGAUCACAAACUGGUUUGGCAUCAGCUUCCAAGUUUAUUUUAUGUUGACAUAGAGUGGGACUGAUGCCCUUAAGAUCAUCCAGAGUAUAUCCAAUAGCGGCAUGAUGUUUCUUCAGAGUCUUCAAUAAUCUUUCUUCUUCAUGCUCUGAAAGGUUAGCGCUAAUAAUAACAGGAUAUAUUUUCUUUUCAUCAAGAUAAGCAUAUUUAAGAUUAUCAGGCAAUGGUUUAAGCUCAAACACAGGAUCACCCUUGGGUGGAGGGGGAUCCCCUAGGAUUUCAACAGGCAAAUUGUGUUGCAGAAUAGGUUCCUAGUUAAAGAAUACUUCAUCUAUUUCCUGUCUUUCAUUCAUGAACAUAACAUUUUCAUGGUCUAGCAAAUAGUGUUCUAGAGGAUCACUAGGAGGUACAGCAAUAGAAGCAAGACCAAUAAUUUCAUCCUUACUAGGAAAUUCUUCCUCACGAUGUUGUUUACUAAAUUUAGAGAAAUUAAACUCAUGGACCAUAUCGUCCAAGCCAACAGUAACAACAUUCUUUUUGCGGUCUAUCUUAGCGUCUAUAGUAUGCAAGAAGGGUCUACCAAAUAUAAUGGGACAAAAGCUAUCUUGUGGAGAACCAAGAACAAGAAAAUCAGCGGGACAUUUGGUUUUCCCACACAAGACUUUAACAUCUCUAACAAUUCCCAUUGGAGCUAUGGUAUCUCUAUUGGCAAGUUUGAUUGUAACAUCAAUAUCUUCUAACUCAGAAGGUGCAAUCUCAUGCAUAAUUUCUUUGUAUAAGUCAAAGGGUAUAACACUAGCACUAGCACCCAUAUCACAUAGGCCAUGAUAACAAUGAUCUCCUAUUUUAACAGAAAUAACAGGCACGCCUACCACAAGUCUAUGUUUAUCUCUAUCACAAGGUUUGGCAAUUCUAGCAGUUUCACCAGUGAAUUGAAUAACAUGCCCAUCAAUAUUAUUAGACAAGAGAUCUUUAACAAUAGCAAUAUUGGGUUCUACUUUGACUUGCUCAGGAGGUGUAUAUGUUCUAAUAUUGCUUUUACAAACAACAGUUGAAGCUUUAGCAUGAUCCUUCAUUCUAACAGGGAAAGGGGGUUUCUCAACAUAAGAAGUAGGAAUAAUAGGAUCAUUAUAAGUGACAAUCUUUUCUUCAACUUUAAUAGGUACAGAUACUUUUACUUCUAUGGGAGGAUGAUAUUUAAACCACUUCUCCUUGGGGAGAUCAACAUAAGUAGAAAAAGAUUCACAGAAAGAAGUUACUAUCUCAGAGUCAAGUCCACAUUUAGUGCUAAACUUACGGAAAAUAUCGGUAUCCAUAAAAGAUUUAACACAAUCAAACGUAGGUGUCAUACCUGACUCCUUACCUUCGUCGAGGUCCCAAUCUUCAGAGUUGCAUUUAAAUCUAUCCAACAAAUUCCAUCCAAAUUCAAUAGACUUCAUCAUAAAAGAGCCAGCACAAGAAGUAUCGAGCAUAGUGCGAUUAUUAGCAGAAAGCCGAGCAUAAAAAUUCUGGAGAAUUGUCAAUUUUGAGAGCUCAUGAUUGGGGCAUGAAUAUAACAUUGAUUUAAGCCUCCCCCAAGCUUGAGCGAUGCUUUCUCCUUCGUGAGGCCAAAAAUUGUAUAUAUAAUUGCGAUCACGAUGAACAAGAUGCAUAUGGUAAUACUUUUGAUGAAAUUCCAGUUUCAAUCUUUUAUAGUUCCAUGAUCUCGUAUCAUCACAUAGCCUGUACCAUGUCAAUGUGUCUCCCUCCAAAGAUAAAGGGAAAGCCUUCCUCUUAACGGCAUCGUCGGGUAUACCUGCAAGCUUAAAUAGUCCACAAAUAUCAUCGACAAAGCGUAGAUGUUCGUCAGGAUGCUUUGUUCCAUCUCCUGCGAAAGUGUUAUCUAGCAGUUUUUCCAUCAUACCCGAAGGAAUCUGAAAAGCAGUUUCAUUUUCAAUAGAUUCAAUAGGUUCAGUAGGUUGAGGAGCAACUCUUGUCUCAACGGGACGGGGUGAAGAUACCCCGAACAAGCCCCUCAAACAAUUACUUUCCAUAGUAACAAGUGACAGAAAAUUUCAGCACACUAAAUAAAUUUUUCCUUACCAAAUUCCACCUACCAAAGGCGCUUCACUCCCCGGCAACGGCGCCAGAAAAGAGUCUUGAUGACCCACAAGUAUAGGGGAUCUAUCGUAGUCCUUUCGAUAAGUAAGAGUGUCGAACCCAACGAGGAGCAGAAGGAAAUGAUAAGCGGUUUUCAGCAAGGUAUUCUCUGCAAGUACUGAAAUAAGUGGUAACAAAUAGUUUUGUGAUAGGAUAAAUUGCAACGAGCAACAAGUAACAAAAGUAAAUAAAGUGCAUCAAGGUGGCCCAAUCCUUUUUGUAGCAAAGGACAAGCCUGGGCAAACUCUUAUAAUAGGAAAAGCGCUCCCGAGGACACAUGAGAAUAUCGUCAAGCUAGUUUUCAUCACGCUCAUAUGAUUCACGUUCGGUACUUUGAUAAUUUGAUAUGUGGGUGGACCGGUGCUUGGGUACUGCCCUUACUUGGACAAGCAUCCCACUUAUGAUUAACCUCUAUUGCAAGCAUCCGCAACUACAACAAAAGUAUUAAGGUAAACCUAACCAUAGCAUGAAACAUAUGGAUCCAAAUUAGCCCCUUAUGAAGCAACAAAUAAACUAGGGUUUAAGCUUCUGUCACUCUAGCAACCCAUCAUCUACUUAUUACUUCCCAAUGCCUUCCUCUAGGCCCAAAUAAUGGUGAAGUGUUAUGUAGUCGACGUUCACAUAACACCACUAGAGGUUAGACAACAUACAUCUUAUCAAAAUAUCAAACGAAUACCAAAUUUACAUGACUACUAAUAGCAAGACUUCUCCCUUGUCCUCAGGAACAAACGUAACUACUCACAAAGCAUAUUCAUGUUCAUAAUCAGAGGGGUAAUAUUGUGCAUAAAGGAUCUGAAUAUAUGAUCUUCCACCAAAUAAACCAACUAGCAUCAACUACAAGGAGUAAUCAACACUACUAGCAACCUACUAGCACCAAUCCCGGACUUGGAGACAAGAAUUGGAUACAAGAGAUGAACUAGGGCUUGGAGAUGAGAUGGUGCUGGUGAAGAUGUUGAUGGAGAUUGCCCUCUCCCGAUGAGAGGAGCGUUGGUGAUGACGAUGGUGAUGAUUUCCCCCUCCCGGAGGGAAGUGUCCCUGGCAGAACAGGUCUGCCGGAGCCCUAGAUUGGUUCCGCCAAGGUUCCGCCUCGUGGCGGCGGAGUCUCGUCCUGAAAGGCUGCUUGUUAUUUUUUUCUCAUCGAAAGACUUCAUAUGGGAGAAGAUGGGCGUCGGAGAGCCACCAGGGGGCCCACGAGGUAGGGGGCACGCUCAGGGGGGGCACCCUCGUGAGCAGGGUGUGGCCCUCCUGGCCUUCAUCUUUGGCGACGAUUUUUCUUUAUUUAUUCUAAGAUAUUCCAUAGAGUUUUAGGACUUUUGGAGUUGCGCAGAAUAGUCCUUCAAUAUUUGCUCCUUUUCCAGCCCAGAAUUCUAGCUGCCGGCAUUCUCCCUCUUCAUGUAAACCUUGUAAAAUAAGAAAGAAUAGCCAUAAGUAUUGUGACAUAACGUGAAAUAACAGCCCAUAAUGCAAUAAAUAUUGACAUAAAAGCAUGAUGCAAAAUGGACGUAUCACGCCCCCACCCUCGUGGGCCCCUCGAGCGUCCACCGACCUACUUCUUCCUCCUAUAUAUACACCCGUACCCUGAAACCAUCAGAAGCGACCACAAAAACCCAAUUCCACCACCGCAACCUUCUGUAUCCGCAAGAUCCCAUCUUGGAGCCUUCACCGGCGCUCCACCAGAGGGGGAAUCGACCAUGGAGGGGCUCUACAUGAUCUCCAAGGCCCUUCCGAUGAGUUGUGAGUAGUUUACCACUGACCUUCGGGUCCAUAGUUCUCUCUCUUUGAAUCUCAAUACAAAGUUCUCCUCGAUCUUCUUGGAGAUCUAUUGAUGUAAUUCUUUUUGCGGUGUGUUUGUCGAGAUCUGAUGAAUUGUGGGUUUAUGAUCAAGUUUAUCUAUCAGAAAUAUUUGAAUCUCCUCUGAAUUCUUUUAUGUGUGAUUAUGUUAUCUUUGCAAGUCUCUUCGAAUUAUCAGUUUGGUUUGGCCUACUAGAUUGAUCUUUCUUGCAAUGGGAGAAGUGCUUGUCCUUUCCCAGUUACAACAGGGGCAGCAAGGCAUGUAUUGUAUUGUUGCCAUCGAGGAUAAAAAGAUGGGGUUUAUAUCAUAUUGCAUGAGUUUAUCCCUCUACAUCAUGCCAUCUUUCUUAACACGUUACUCUGUUCUUUAUGAACUUAAUACUCUAGAUGCAGGCAGGAGUCAGUCAAUGUGUGGAGUAAUAGUAGUAGAUGUAGGCAGGAGUCGAUCUACUUGUCACGGACGUGAUGUCUAUAUACAUGAUCAUGCCUAGAUAAUCUCACAAAUAUUCACUUUUCUAUCAAUUGCUCGACAGUAAUUUGUUCACACACCGUAAUACUUAUGCUAUCUUGAGAGAAGCCAUUAGUGAAACCUAUGGCCCCCGGGUCUAUCUUUUAUCAUGUAAGUUUACCAUCUACUUUUAUUUGCAUCUUUAAUUUUCAAUCUAUAUAAUAAAAAUACGAAAAAUAUUUAUCUUAUCAUAUUAUCUCUAUCAGAUCUCACUUUCGCAAGUGGCCCUGAAGGGAUUAGCAACCCCUUUAUUGCGUUGGUUGCAAGGUUCUUGUUUGUUUGUGUAGGUGCGUGGGACUUUUGAGGAGCCUCCUACUGGAUUGAUACCUUGGUUCUCAAAAUUGAGGGAAAUACUUACGCUACUUUGCUGCAUCACCCUUUCCUCUUCAAGGAAAACCAACGCAAGCUUAAGACGUAACAAGAAGGAUUUCUGGCGCCGUUGCCGGGGAAGUCUUCGCUCAAGUCAAGACAUACCAAGUACCCAUCACAACCUCAUCUUCCUCGCAUUACAUUAUUUGCCAUUUGCCUGUCGUUUUCCUCUCCCCCACUUCACGCUUGCCGUUUUAUUCACCCUUCUUCUAUUCGUCUUUUCGUUUGCUUUGAUGUCUUACUUGGCUCGUUUGCUUGUUUGGUUGGAAUAGUUGUUUAUUUAUUGCUAAAUAGAGAACCUAAGAUCUAUGGAUCCUCAUCCACUUGCUAAUCUUUUUAAGAGAUCCAAUUAUGAUGAACCAUUUGCUAGUGAGUUCUGUGCACCAGAUUAUCUUUAUGAAGUUUUGCUUGAAAUUUGUGAAUCUGAAAAUUGUGAUGAAGUACUUUAUGAAGAGAUUCAUGAUAGGUCCUUGAAUAAAAAGCAUUAUUGCAAUGAUUUUACUAUAAAUUCUCUUGAUGUCAAUUGUGCUAAUAAUAUGCAAAGCCCUAAGCUUGGGGAUGCUAGUUUUGCUAUGUCUACUACUUGUUGCAAUAAUAUUGAAAGGUUUGGAAGAGUGUCAACUUUAGAUCCCACAUAUUUGGAGAAUAUUCAAUCUUAUGAAAUUUUUGAUAAAAGUGGGUUUGGAGAGGUCAUGACUUUAGUUAAUGUUAAUCCCACUAUUUUGGAAGAGUGUCAACUUCGCAUGCAUGUGGAUCGUGUUGAAAAGAUGUUAUGUGAUAGCUAUUUUGUUGAAUUUGCUUAUCAUCCUACAUGUAAUUAUUAUGAGAGAGGAAAAUAUAGUUGUAGAAAUUUUCAUGUUACUGAUGUCUACUACACAACCUUCUUCUUGUAGACGUUGUUGGGCCUGCAAGUGCACAUGUUUGUAGGACAGUAGCGAAUUUCCCUCAAGUGGAUUACCUAAGGUUUAUCAAUCCGUAGGAGGCGUAGGAUGAAGAUGGUCUCUCUCAAACAACCCUGCAACCAAAUGACAAAGAGUCUCUUGUGUCCCCAACACACCCAAUACAAUGGUAAACUGUAUAGGUGCACUAGUUCGGCGAAGAGAUGAUGAUAAGUGCAAAAUAGAUAGUAGAUAUAGGUUUUUGUAAUCUGAAAUAAUAAAAACAGCAAGGUAACAAGCGGUAAAAGUGAGCGUAAACGGUAUUGCAAUAAUAGGAAACAAGGCCUAGGGUUCAUACUUUCACUAGUGCAAGUUCUCUCAACAAUAAUAACAUAGAUAGAACAUAUGACAAGCCCUCAACAUGCAACAAAGAGUCACUCCAAAGACACUAAUAGCGGAGAACAAACGUAGAGAUUAUGGUCGGGUACGAAACCACCACAAAGUUAUUCUUUCGGAUCAAUCUAUAAAAGAGUUCGUACUAGAAUAACACCUUAAGAUACAAAUCAACCAAAACCCUAAUGUCACCUAGAUACUCCAUUGUCACCUCAAGUAUCCGUGGCAUGAUUAUACGAUAUGCAUCACACAAUCUCAGAUUCAUCCAACCAACAUAAAAGUACUUCAAAGAGUGCCCCAAAGUCUCUACCGGAGAGUCAAGAACGUGUGCCAACCCCUAUGCAUAGGUUCAUGGGUGGAACCCGCAAGUUGGUCACCAAAACAUACAUCAAGUGGCACAUGAUAUCCCAUUGUCACCACAGAUAAUCACGGCAAGACAUACAUCAAGUGUUCUCAUAAAGACUCAAUCCGAUAAGAUAACUUCAAAGGGGAAACUCAAUUCAUCACAAGAGAGUAGAGGGGGAGAAACAUCAUAAGAUCCAACUACAAAAGCAAAGCUCGGGAUACAUCAAGAUCGUGCCAUAGAGGAACACGGGAGAGAACACGAGAGAGCAAGAUCAAACAAAUAGCUACUGGUACAUACCCUCAGCCCCGAGGGUGAACUACUCCCUCCUCGUCAUGGAUAGCGCCGGGAUGAUGAAGAUGGCCUCCGGUGAUGGGAUCCCCCUUCGGCAGGGUGCCGGAACAGGGUCCCGAUUGGUUUUUGGUGGCUACAGAGGCUUGUGGCGGCGGAACUCCCGAUCUAUCUUCUGUUCUGGAAGUUUUAGGGUACGUAGGUAUAUAUGGGUGCAGGGGGUACAUCGGUGGACCUCCAGGUUGCUCACGAGGUAGGGGGCGCGCCCAGGGGGGACCCUCCACUCUCGUGGGCAGCCCGGGACUCCCGUGGCGUGCACUCCAAGCCCAUCAGGUUGGUUUCCUUCCAAAAUUAACUUCUCUAGUUGAUUUCCUUCCGUUUUGACUCCGUCUGAUAUUCCUUUUCCUCGAAGCACUGAAAUAGGCAUAAAACAACAAAUCUGGGCUGGGCCUCCGGUUAAUAGGUUACUCCCAAACAUAAUAUAAAAGUGGAUAAUAAAGCCCAAUAUUGCCUAAAACAGUAGAUAAAGUAGCAUGGAGCAAUCAAAAAUUAUAGAUACGUUGGAGACGUAUCAAGCAUCCCCAAGCUUAAUUCCUGCUCGUCCUCGAGUAGGUAAAUGAUAAAAAAGAAUUUUUGAUGCGGAGUGAUACUUUGGCAUAAUUUCAAUGUAAAUCUUCUUAAUUGUGAUAUGAAUAUUCAGAUCCGAAAGAUUCAAGACAAAAGUUCAUAUUGAUACAAAAAUAAUAAUACUUUAAGCAUACUAAUCAAAGCAAUCAUGUCUUCUCAAAAUAACAUGGCAAAAGAAAGUUCAUCCCUACAAAAUUAUAUAGUUAGGCUCUGCUUCAUUUUCGUCACACAAAGAUGUUCCCAACUUCUAUACCCCCGAUGACAAGCCAAGCAAUUGUUUCAUACUUAAAUAAUCUCAAACUUUUUCAACCUUCACGCAAUACAUGAGCGUGAGCCAUGGAUAUAGCACUAUGGGUGGAAUAGAAUAUGAUGAUGGGGAUUGUGUGGAGAAGACAAAAAAGGAGAAAGUCUCACAUUGACGAGGAUAAUCAACGGGCUAUGGAGAUGCCCAUCAAUUGAUGUCAACAUGAGGAGUAGGGAUUGCCAUGCAACAGAUGCACUAGAGCUAUGAAUGCUCAACAAAAGAAAACUAGUGCGUGUGCAUCCAACUUGCUUGCUCACGAAGACCUAGGGCAUUUGAGGAAGCACAUCGUAGGAAUAUACAAGCCAAGUUCUAUAAUGAAAAAUUCCCACUAGUAUAUGAAAGUGAUAACAUAUGAGACUCGAUACAUGAAAAGCAUGGUGCUACUUUGAAGCACAAUAUAUGAGACUCACUACAUGAAGAACAAGGUGCUACUUUGAAGCACAAGUGUGGAAAAAGAGAUAGUAACAUUGCCAUUUUCUUUUCUUUUUUUGGCCUUUUUUUAUUUGGGCAAUGCUCUAAUAAUGAUGAUCAUCACACUUCUAUUGAUUACAACACAAGGAUUACAACUCAAAACUUCGAACAAGAUAUGACUCUAUAUGAAUGCCUCCGGCGGUGUACCGGGAUGGUGCAAUGAAUCAAGAGUGACAUGUAUGGAAAAUAAUGCAUGGUGGCUUUGCCACAAAUACGAUGUCAACUACAAGAUCAUGCAAUGGCAAUAUGACAAAAGUAAUGUAUGUGAUGAUGAUGAUGGUGGAAGUUGCAUGGCAAUAUAUCUCGGAAUGGCUAUGGAAAUGCCAUAAUAGGUAGGUAUGGUGGCUGUUUUGAGGAAGAUAUAAGGAGGUUUAUGUGUGAUAGAGCGUAUCAUAUCACGGGGUUUGGAUGCACCGGCAAAGUUUGCACCAACUCUCAAGGUGAGAAAGGGAAAUGCACGGUACCGAAGAGGCUAGCAAUGGCGGAAAGGUGAGAGUGCGUAUAGUCCAUGGACUCAACAUUAGUCAAAAGAACUCAUAUGCUUAUUGCAAAAAUUUAGAAGUCAUCAAAAAUUCAAGUACUACGCGCAUGCUCCUAGGGGUAUAGAUUGGUAGGAAAAGACCAUGGCUCGUCCCCGACCGCCACUCAUAAGGAUGCACAAGCCAGGUACACUUCAUGUUUCAAAUUUGUUACACAACUUUAACCAUACAUGCAUGCUAUGGGACUUGCAAACUUCAUCACAAGCAUUCUUUAAAUUCGUAAUCACCCAACUAGUAUGACUUUGAUAUUAUCACCUCCAUAUCUCAAAACAAUUAUCAAGCAUCAAACUUAUCUUAGUAUUCAAUGCACUCAAAAGAAAGUUUCACAUAUCUUGAAUACCAAGUAUAUUAACAUUAAGCAAAUUACCAUGCUAUUAACGACUCUCAAAAUAAUCUGAGUGAAGCAUAAGAGAUCAAUAUUUUCUUUAAAACAAAUCCACCAUCGUGCUCUAAAAGAUAUCAGUGAAGCACUAGAGCAAAAACUAUCAAGCUCAAAAGAUAUAAGUGAAGCACAUAGAGUAUUCUAGCAAAUUCCAAUUCAUGUAUGGAUCUCUCUCAAUAAAGAAUUCAGAUCUUGGUACUUCAUUCAAACAGCAAGCAAAGCUAAAGAAAACUACAUUGCAAGGAUAGCACAACUCAUGUGAAGAAGCAAAAACUUAGGCUCAACCGAUAGUAACUGAUAGUUGUUGAAGAAGAAAGGUGGGAUGCCUACCGGGGCAUCCCCAAGCUUAGAUGCUUGAGACUUCUUGGAAUAUUAUCUUGGGGUGCCUUGGGCAUCCCCAAGCUUGAACUUUUGUGUCUCCUUAAUUUCUCUUAUAUCAUGGUUUCUCUUUUUAUCAAAAGCUUCAUUCACAACAAACUCAACAAGAACUCGUGAGAUUGGUUAGUAUAAACCAAUGCAAAACCUUAUCAUAUUCUACUGUAACAAAUCACUAAAAUUAUUAUUCAACAUUGCAUACUAAAUGCCUCUGUAUAUUUAAUACUCCUAUCCUCAAAUAGAAUCAUUAAACAAGCAAACAUAUGCAAACAAUGCAACCAUAACAGCAAUCUGCCAAAACAGUACAGUCUGUAAAGAAUGCAAGAGUAUCAAUACUUCCCUGACUCCAAAAAUUAUUAACUAAAAUUACCACUGUAAUAAAUUUAUCAUAUCUCAAUAUGCAAAAAGAUUCAACAUUAGACCAUGCUCUGACUUUUCUAGGGAUUUUUUGCAACAGCGGUAAACUUUCUGUUUUCAAACAGCAACAUGUAUACUAGCAAAAUAAGCAUGGCAAAGGCUAUCCUUGACUUUGUUUAUUGAAACUAAAGAAUAAAAACACUAUUCUAACUAACAGCAAGCAAAAACUAACAAAAUAAAUUGACGCUCCAAGCAAAACACAUAUCAUGUGGUGAAUAAAAAUAUAGCUCCAAGUAAAGUUACCGAUAGACGAAGACGAAAGAGGGGAUGCCUUCCGGGGCAUCCCCAAGCUUAGGCUCUUGGUUGUACUUGAAUAUUACCUUGGGGUGACUUGGGCAUACCCAAUCUUAGGCUCUUGCCACCCCUUAUUCCAGAGUCCAUUGGAUCUUUACCCAAAACUUGAAAACUUCAACCACACAAAACUCAAAACAAAACUCGUAAGCUCCGUUAGUAUAAUAAAAUAAAACCACCACUUAGGUACUGUAAUGAACUCAUUAUAAAUUCAUAUUGGUGUAAUAUCUACUGUACUCCAACUUAUCUAUGGUUCAUACCCUUCGAUACUACUCAUAGAUUCAUCAAAACAAGCAAACAACACAUAGAAAACAGAAUCUGUCAAAAACAGAACAGUCUGUAGUAAUAUGUAUAAAACGUAUACUUAUGGAAGCGAAAAAAUUAUGAAAUAAAUUUCUGGACCUGAGAAAUUUGUCUAUUAAUCAUCUGCAAAAAGAAUCAACCUAAAAGCACUCUCCAGUAAAAAAUGGCAGCUAAUCUCGUGAGUGCUAAAGUUUCUGUUUUUCACAGCAAGAUCAUAUAAACUUGUCGCAAGUCUUCCCAAAGGUUCUACUUGGCACUUUAUUGAAACAAAAGCUAUAAAACAUGAUUGCUACAGUAGAAUAAUCAUGUGGACACACAAAAACAGUAAGGAUAAAUAUUGGGUUGUCUCCCAACAAGUGCUUUUCUUUAAUGCCUUUUAGCUAGGCAUGAUGAUGACAAUGAUGCUCACAAAAAAGAUAAGAAUUGAAACAUAAAGAGAGCAUCAUGAAGCAUAUGACUAGCACAUUUAAGCCUAACCCACUUCCUAUGCAUAGGGAUUUUGUGAGCAAACAACUUAUGGGAACAAUAAUCAACUAGCAUAGGAUGGCACAACAAGCAUAGCUUCAAGAAUUUAAGCACAUAGAGAGGAAACUUUAUAUUAUUGCAAUUCCUACAAGCAUAUGUUCCUCCCUCAUAAUAAUUUUCAGUAGCAUCAUGAAUGAAUUCAACAAUAUAACCAGAACCUAAAGCAUUCUUUUCAUGAUCUACAAGCAUAGAAAAUUUUCUACUCUCCACAUAAGCAAACUUCUUUAUAGCAUACGUAUCAUCACAAUAAUCAUCAUAAAUAGGAGGCAUGCUUUCAUCAUAGUAAAUUUGCUCAUCAAAGCUUGGGGGACAAAAAAUAUCAUCUUCAUCAAACAUAGCUUCCCCAAGCUUGUGGCCUUGCAUAUCAUUAGCAUCAUGGAUAUUCAAGGAAUUCAUACUAACAACAUUGCAAUCAUGCUCAUCAUUCAAAGAUUUAGUACCAAACAUUCUAUAGAUUUCUUCCUCUAGCACUUGAGCACAAUUUUCCUUUCCAUUAUACUCAAGAAAGAUAUUAAAAAGGUGAAGCGUAUGAGACAAACUCAACUCCAUUUUUUUGUAGUUUUCUUUUAUAAAAUAAACUAGUGCUAAAACAAGAAACAAAAAGAUUGAUUGCAAGAUCUAAAGAUAUACAUUCAAGCGCCAACCUCCCUGGCAACGGCGCCAGAAAAGAGCUUGAUGUCUACUACACAACCUUCUUCUUGUAGACGUUGUUGGGCCUGCAAGUGCACAGGUUUGUAGGACAGUAGCAAAUUUCCCUCAAGUGGAUGACCUAAGGUUUAUCAAUCCGUAGGAGGCGUAGGAUGAAGAUGGUCUCUCUCAAACAACCCUGCAACCAAAUAACAAAGAGUCUCUUGUGUCCCCAACACACCCAAUACAAUGGUAAAUUGUAUAGGUGCACUAGUUCGGUGAAGAGAUGGUGAUACAAGUGCAAAAUAGAUAGUAGAUAUAGGUUUUUGUAAUCUGAAAUAAUAAAAACAGCAAGGUAACAAGCGGUAAAAGUGAGCGUAAACGGUAUUGCAAUGAUAGGAAACAAGGCCUAGGGUUCACACUUUCACUAGUGCAAGUUCUCUCAACAAUAAUAACAUAGAUAGAAACAUAUGACAAGCCCUCAACAUGCAACAAAGAGUCACUCCAAAGACACUAAUAGCGGAGAACAAACAUAGAGAUUAUGGUCGGGUACGAAACCACCACAAAGUUAUACUUUUGGAUCGAUCUAUAAAAGAGUUCGUACUAGAAUAACACCUUAAGAUACAAAUCAACCAAAACCCUAAUGUCACCUAGAUACUCCAUUGUCACCUCAAGUAUCCGUGGGCAUGAUUAUACGAUAUGCAUCACACAAUCUCAGAUUCAUCCAACCAACAUAAAAGUACUUCAAAGAGUGCCCCAAAGUCUCUAUCAGAGAGUCAGGAACGUGUGCCAACCCCUAUGCAUAGGUUCAUGGGUGGAACCCGCAAGUUGGUCACCAAAACAUACAUCAAGUGGCACAUGAUAUCCCAUUGUCACCACAGAUAAUCACGGCAAGACAUACAUCAAGUGUUCUCAUAAAGACUCAAUCCGAUAAGAUAACUUCAAAGGGGAAACUCAAUUCAUCACAAGAGAGUAGAGGGGGAGAAACAUCACAAGAUCCAACUACAAUAGCAAAGCUCGAGAUACAUCAAGAUCGUGCCCUAGAGGAACACGAGAGAGAAUACGAGAGAGAGAGAGAGAUCAAACACAUAGCUACUGGUACAUACCCUCAACCCCGAGGGUGAACUACUCCCUCCUCGUCAUGGAUAGCGCUGGGAUGAUGAAGAUGGACUCCGGUGAUGGGAUCCCCCUCCGGCAGGGUGCCGGAACAGGGUCCCGAUUGGUUUUUGGUGGCUACAGAGGCUUGCGACGGUGGAACUCCCGAUCUAUCUUAUGUUCUGGAAGUUUUAGGGUAUGUAGGUAUAUAUGGGAACAGGGGGUACCUCGGUGGACCUCCGGGUUGCUCACGAGGUAGGGGGGUGCACCCAGGGGGGGCCUCCACCCUCGUGGGCAGCCCGGGACUCCCCUGGCAUGCACUCCAAGCACAUCAGGUUGGUUUCCUUCCAAAAUUAACUUCUCCAGUUGAUUUCAUUCCAUUUUGACUCCGUCUGAUAUUCCUUUUCCUCGAAACACCAAAAUAGGCAUAAAACAGCAAAUUUGGGCUGGGCCUCCGGUUAAUAGGUUAGUCCCAAAAAUAAUAUAAAAGUGGAUAAUAAAGCGCAAUAUUGCCUAAAACAGUAGAUAAAGUAGCAUGGAGCAAUCAAAAAUUAUAGAUACGUUGGAGACGCAUCAGUUACUAAAUUACCUCUCUUCAUGUUGAGAUUGCUAUCGUCUUCUUCCUUGCAUAUGCUAGCUUUUGCUUGCCUUGAUAAUUUGUUUGCUUAUAAAACCAUAUGGAUAGGAAGUAUGUUAGACUUAAGUGUGUUUGUCACAUGUUUUAUGAUAUUCUCUUUAUGCUUCAAUUCUUGUCUUUCAUGUGAGCAUCAUUGAAAUCUCAAUGCCUAGCUAAAAAGGCUUUAAAGAAAACCGCUUGUUGGGAGACAACCCAAUAUUUUUCCUUGCUGAUAUUCAAUAAACAUUUCAUCUAACUUCUGUUUAGAUGUGUUUUAAUGUUUUAAUUAGUGUUUGUGCCAAGUAGAACCUAUAGGAUAACAUACGGUGAUAGUUAAUUUGAUUCUGCUAAAAAACACAAACUUGUGCACGCAUGAAAAUAAUUUUAGUAAUUCACAGAAACGUGAUUUUGCAUUGAUUCUUUUUGCUGUAGAUCAAUAGUUAAAUUUCCAAGGACUUCCUAUUUUGGUAGGAUUUUUAGAGUUCCAGAAGUAUUCGAGAGUUACAGAUUGCUACAGAUUGUUCUGUUUUUGACAGAUUCUGUUUUUCGUGUGUUGUUUGCUUAUUUUGAUGCAUCUAUGGCUAGUAUUGGUGGGUAUGAACCAUAUAGGAUUUUGGAAUACAGUAGGUUUAAGACCAAUAUAAAAAUAAUGAGUUAAUUGCAGUACCUUAUGUGGUGAUUUUUCUUUCUUGCACUAACGGAGCUUAUGAAAUUUCCUGUUAAGUUUUGUGUUGUGAAGUUUUCAAGUUUUGGGUAAAGAUUUGAUGGAUUAUGGAAUAAGGAGUGGCAAGAGCUUAAGCUUGGGAUGCCCAUGGCACCCCAAGAUAUUCAAGGAUAAUCAAAAUUCUAAGCUUGGGGAUGCCCCGGAAGGCAUCCCCUCUUUCGUCUUCGUCUAUCGGUAACUUUACUUGGAGCUAUAUUUUUAUUCGCCACAUGAUAUGUGUUUUGCUUGGAGCGUCUUGUAUGAUAUUAGUCUUUGCUUUUUAAAUUUACACAAUCAUCCUUUCUGUACACACCUUUUGUAAGAAACCCACAUGAUUUAGAAUUUAUUAGAAUACUCUAUGCGCUUCACUUAUAUCUUUUGAGCUAGAUAGUUUUGCUCUAUGUGCUUCACUUAUAUCUUUUAGAGCACGGCAGUGGCUUAAUUUUGUAGAAAUUGUUGAGCUCUCAUGCUUCACUUAUAUUAUUUUGAGAGUCUUUUUGAACAGCAUGGUAUUUGCUAUGGUUAUAAAAUUGGUCCUAGAAUGAUGGGCAUCCAAGUUGGGUAUAAUAAAAACUAUCAUAGAAAAUGAAUUGGAUACUAUGAUCAAUUUGAUACUUGAUAAUUGUUUUGAGAUAUAGAGGUGGUGAUAUUAGAGUCAUGCUAGUUGGGUGAUUAUGAAUUCAAAGAAUACUUGUGUUGAAGUUUGUGAUUCCCGUAGCAUGCACAUAUGGUGAACCGCUUUGUGAUGAAGUUGGAGCACAAUUUUAUUUAUUGAUUGUCUUCCUUAUGAGUGGCGGUCGGGGACGAGCGAUGGUCUUUUCCUACCAAUCUAUCCCCCUAGGAGCAUGCGCGUAGUGCUUUGUUUUCAAUGGCUUGUAGAAUUUUGCAAUAAGUGUAUGAGUUCUUUAUAACUAAUGGUGAGUCCAUGGAUUAUACACACUCUCACCCUUCCACCAUUGCUAGCCUCUCUUAUGCCAUGCAACUUUCGCCUGUACCAUACACCCACCAUAUACCUUCCUCAAAACAGCCACCAUAUGUACCUAGUAUGGCAUUUCCAUAGCCAUUCCAAGAUAUAUUGCCAUGCAACUUUCCACCGUUCCAUUUAUAUGACACGCAUCAUCAUUGUCAUAUUGCUCUUUACAUGAUCAUGUAGUUGACAUCAUAUUUGUGGCAAGGACACCUUCAUAAUUUUCAUACAUGUCACUCUUGAUUCAUUGCAUAUCCCGGUACACCGCCGGAGGCAUUCAUAUAGAGUCAUAUCUUGUUCUAAGUAUCGAGUUGUAAUCUUGAGUUGUAAGUAAAUAAAAGUGUGAUGAUCUUCAUUUUUAGAGCAUUGUCCCAGUGAGGAAAGGAUGAUGGAGACUAUGAUUCCCCCACAAGUCGGGAUGAGACUUCGGACUUUAUAUUAAAAAAAAGGGAAAGGCCAAAUAAAAAAAAAGGAAAAAGGCCAAAUAAAAAAUGAGAGAAAAAGAGAGAAGGGACAAUGUUGCUGUCCUUUUUACCACAAUUGUGCUUCAAUGUAGCACCAUGAUCUUCAUGAUAGAGAGUCUCCUAUGUUGUCACUUUCAUAUACUAGUGGGAAUUUUUCAUUAUAGAACUUGGCUUGUAUAUUCCAAUGAUGGGCUUCCUCAAAAUGCCCCAGGUCUUCGUGAGCAACCAAGUUGGAUGCACACCCACUUAGUUUCUUUUAUUGAGCUUUCAUACAUUUAUAGCUCUAGUGCAUCCGUUGCAUGGCAAUCCCUACUAACUCACAUUGAUAUAUAUUAAUGGGCAUCUCCAUAGCCCGUUGAUACGCCUAGUUGAUGUGAGACUAUCUUCUCCUUUUUGUCUUCUCCACAACCACCAUUCUAUUCCACAUAUAGUGCUAUGUCCAUGGCUCACGCUCAUGUAUUGCGUGAAAGUUGAAAAAAGUUUGAGAUUACUAAAGUAUGAAACAAUUGCUUGCUUUGUCAUUGGGGUUGUGCAUGAUUAAAUACUUUGUGUGAUGAAGAUAGAGCAAUAACCAGACUAUAUGAUUUUGUAGGGAUAACUUUCUUUAGCCAUGUUAUUUUGAGAAGACAUGAUUGCUUUGAUUAGUAUGCUUGAAGUAUUACUAUUUCUUAUGUCAAUAUGAACUUUUAUAUUGAAUCAUUUGGAUCUGAACAUUCAUGCCACAAUAAAUAAAAUUACAUUGAGAAUUAUGCUAGGUAGCAUUCCACAUCAAAAAUUCUGUUUUUAUCAUUUACCUACUCGAGGACGAGCAAGAAUUAAGCUUGAGGAUGCUUGAUACGUCUCCAACGUAUCUAUAAUUUUUGAUUGUUCCAUGCUAUUAUAUUACCCAUUUUGGAUGUUUAUGGGCUUUACUUUACACUUUUAUAUCAUUUUUGGGACUAACCUACUAACCGGAGGCCCAGCCCGAAUUGCUGUUUUUUUGCCUAUUUCAGUGUUUCGAAGAAAAGGAAUAUCAAACGGAGUCCAAAUGGGAUGAAACCUUCAGGAGCGAUCUUUUUGGAACAAACACAAUCCACGUGACUUGGAGUGGAUGUCAAGCAAUAGAGGAGGCAACCACGAGGGCGCCCAGCGCGCCCCCUAGGGCUGGGUGCGCCACCCACCCUCGUGGGCCCCUCGAGCGUCCACUGACCUACUUCUUCCUCUUAUAUAUACACCCGUACCCUGAAACCAUUAGAAGCGACCACAAAAACCUAAUUCCACCGCCGCAACCUUUUGUAUCCGCGAGAUCCCAUCUUGGAGCCUUCGCCGGCGCUCCGUCGGAGGGGGAAUCGACCAUGGAGGGCCUCUACAUCAUCUCCAAGGCCCUUCCGAUGAGUUGUGAGUAGUUUACCACUGAACUUCGGGUCCAUAGUUAUUAGCUAGAUGGCUUCUUCUCUCUCUUUGAAUCUCAAUACAAAGUUUUGCUCGAUCUUCUUGGAGAUCUAUUUGAUGUAACUCUUUUUGCGGUGUGUUUGUCGAGGUCCGAUGAAUUGUGGGUUUAUGAUCAAGUUUAUCUAUGAGAAAUAUUUGAAUCUCCUCUGAAUUCUUUUAGGUGUGAUUAAGUUAUCUUUGCAAGUCUCUUCGAAUUAUCAGUUUGGUUUGGCCUACUAGAUUGAUCUUUCUUGAAAUGGGAGAAGUUCUUAGCUUUGGGUUCAAUCUUGCGGUGUCCUUUCCCAGUGACAGCAGGGGCAGCAAGGCACGUAUUGUAUUGUUGCCAUCGAGGAUAAAAAUAUGGGGUUUAUAUCAUAUUGCAUGAGUUUAUCCCUCUACAUCAUGUCAUCUUUCUUAACGCGUUACUCUAUUCUUUACGAACUUAAUACUCUAGAUGUAGGCAGGAGUCGGUCGAUGUGUGGAGUAAUAGUAGUAGAUGCAGGCAGGAGUCGAUCUACUUGUCACGGACGUGAUGCCUAUAUACAUGAUCAUGCCUAGAUAAUCUCAUAAUUAUUCUAUUUUCUAUCAAUUGCUCGACAGUAAUUUGUUCACCCACCGUAAUACUUAUGCUAUCUUGAGAGAAACCAUUAGUGAAACCUAUGGCCCCCGGGUCUAUCUUUUAUCAUAUAAGUUUACCAUCUACUUUUAUUUGCAUCUUUACUUUUCAAUCUAUAUAAUAAAAAUACCAAAAAUAUUUAUCUUAUCAUAUUAUCUCUAUCAGAUCUCACUUUCGCAAGUGGCCAUGAAGGGAUUGACAACCCCUUUAUUGUGUUGGUUGCGAGGUUCUUGUUUGUUUGUGUAGGUGCAUGGGACUUUUGGGGAGCCUCCUACUGGAUUGCUACCUUGGUUCUCAAAAACUGAGGGAAAUACUUAUGCUACUUUGCUGCAUCACCCUUUCCUCUUCAAGGAAAACUAACGCAAGCUCAAGACGUAGCAGCCCCCGAGCUCUAGUUGACAUCCAAAGGGGUGCGAUCAGAGGAUCAAAAAUAUAUGCCCAGGAAAUGAUAUGACUAAUUGAAACACAGGUUGUUACAUCCGUGGGGACUGCCCAAGCUAUCGAGGUAUGUAGCACAUUUGUAGCAGAAAGUUGAUGUGGCAGAUAAUGAGAUCACGCUUAUUAACAGGUGGCUCGACGAGGCGCAAGAUAGUGCCGCCGCAGUUGAGACCCUUCGGGCACUCAGUGCAUGCUAGUAUUGUGAAAUGAGCGUGAUACUGGAAAUUUGUAUAUGCAUAACUACAGAUAGUGCCGCCGCAGUUGAGACCCUUCGGGCGGAACUUUCCCGGGCUAAGGAGCAAGCCAGGGUGAGUAAUGCGGCUGCCGAAAAGGUAGCCACCGAAUUGAAAGUCGACCAGACUGCUCGACAUCAGUGCAAGGGGAGGAUAUCUACCAUGGCACUCGAGCUGAAGAAUGCCACUAGCUGAUGCCAAGUUCUUGAGAAAGAGAACAAAGCCAAAGCGGCCGAUCUUGACAAGGCCUUACAAGAGGCAAAGGAAGCCCGGUCUGAGUCUAGGGCAGCUCGGGAGGAGAUCCGGCAAGCUGGGGAGAUCGCGGCUGGUAAGCCAUUUUUAUUGCAAACUAAGUUUGGCGAUCUGAAGUAUGCGCUGCUUAAUCAACGAUGGAGUUCUCCGGACCCCUUUAUGGACCUGCCAAAGAGUGCUGCUGAUGCGAAUCAGUUUUUCCACGCGCAAGAAGGAUAUGCAACGGAGAAGCUGUUUUGGUCGCAAUUUGAUACGCCAAAGCGUCCACUGUUGAACGAACAGAUGGCCCAAUGGGCCGAGCUCCACAAGAUGUCCAGCACUAUCAUGGAGGACGUCAUAGCCCGGCUGUGGCCAACUAAACCCAUUCCGGAUAGUUAUUUCGGUUUGGUGUGGCAGCUUGUUAAUGCGGUGCCGCGUAUCGACGCUGUGAAGCGGUCAACAUGCAUAGAAGGUGCACGGAUGGCCCUUGCCCGUGUCAAGAUAUACUGGGCGAAGAUGACGACCACUGAUAUUGCAGCGCAGAGUCCACCCGAAGGUAAGGACCUUAACAUGCCAGAACAUUACUUUGAAGAUGUCCUAGAGGGUGCCCGCUUAAUAGAGGGUCAGUGCUCGAAAAAUAGUAUGUUCACGUAAGUGUAUCAAAAUUGUAAUAUUACGAUAUAUUUAAGGCUUUGUUUUUAUACUUUUUGCCCAAAAAGUUUUGGUGCCUCCUGUGCAGCCGUCCUUUUUAUAUACAAUCUGAAAGUUUGCAGUCGUCGGCUUCAGCCCCCUCGCGUAUAACGCGAGGGUGUUCGGAAAAGCACUUGAUCAGACUUGAUCCAACAUCUUGGUCCGUUAAGGAGGUGUUAGUGCGGCGAACUAGGCAAUCAGACUAUAGAGCUUUAACACUUUCACUUAGCCAGAGGAGUUUGACGAUGGGGCUACUAUAUAGCCCCUGGUAUGUCUGCGGUUAUUCGAAUACGAUGCAUGCACAUACGUGACCAAAAAGACGGUCCUUCAUUUAACACGGAGGAAAUCGUGAAGAUUCUGAUGAGUCAUCGAGUGGUUGAUUAGCUCUCGCCGCAUCAUGACAGUCAGUUUUCGGCUUUCUCUACUGAGGUGCUCAUCCGGACGAGCCAGGACACAAUCAUAGUAGUUCUCCCUUUACUACCCUAGUCGAUAUAGCAGAACGUAAGGUAGUAAGCACAGGAGCCGGGCAACCAAACUAUUGACCAAAGACAUGAUUCGGAGCUGAUGCGUAUAAGGCCAAACUCGCGACGCCGAACACUCCCUACAGGUGUCCGGACUUUUCAAUAUACACUGGACUGAAUGCAGCCCCUGGUGAUAGACCCUGGUAUCAAGGCACGUGUGGCAAUCCGACAUGGGGGAAGAGCGCAGGUGGUGAGAGCAUAAAUCUCGAAACACAAUAUGAACCGAGCUGCUUCUAUAACACCCACUUUAGUACGGCGAGCUGUAUGUUUACAGACAAUGCCGAUAUCUUUCUUGGACAUUUUACAUGCUAGGAAAGUAUGAAACAAAAAGAGAUAAAAAAGGUUUACACAGGGUCUUAAUCUAAAAAGAAACCAUAAUGCGGGGCCCUGCUGCACGUCUGCGCCUUUGUCUCUGUUGUGAAGUGUCCUUGAAGGGUAUAAUAUGAUCGCCAUGUGUAGAAAGAAAAAAAACAGGUAAAAAGAAUCUGGUGUGGCUGUAAGUAAAACUGGUUCGUUUUAAUGAACCGUGAAGUAUGGCUUCUGGAGUCCGAAUAGGGUCGAGCCGAAAUAUGGACUUUUUGUGUGCAGUGUGCCCCUUUCGCCACCCAAGGAGUUUUGAGUGUAUAUUUACGUAUACGUGGCACAUAUGCGGUAUCCUUAUGGGGCGGCCGAUGGGGGCGUAGCUGCUAAUCGAUUUUAGGUUUAUCUGAGCUGCCACACUAAGGUGUGCGCCGGAUACGUUUAGCUGUGUCCGUGGUCUUAAAAACCAAUGAGCUGCUCGGCUUGAAUAGGCCGUUUUGUACUUCGACUGCUAGAGCCACCGUGUAUUCUUCUAUACCAAGAGAGCGCUCCGUAUUUCCGCUGAACGUGAUGACGCCGCGUGGUCCAGGAAUUUUAAGUUUUAGAUAAGCAUAAUGCGGGACUGCAUUAAAACGAGUGAAGGCCGUUCUUCCGAGUAGUGCAUGAUAGCCACUUCGGAACGGAGCAAUGUCGAAGAUUAGUUCUUGAUACGUCUCCAAUGUAUCUAUAAUUUUUUAUUGUUCCAUGCUAUUAUAUUACCCCUUUGGGAUGCUUAUGGGCUUUAUUUUACACAUUUAUAUCAUUUUUGGGACUAACCUACUAACCAGAGGCCCAACCCAUAUUGCUGUUUUUUUGCCUAUUUCAGUAUUUCGAAGAAAAGGAAUAUCAAACGGAGUCCAAAUGGAAUGAAACCUUCGGGAGCGUGAUUUUUGGAACGAACGUGAUCCAGAGGACUUGGAGUGCAAGUCAAGAAGCAGCCGAGGGGGCCACGAGAGGGGAGGGUGCGUGUCGGUGUCAAAACCGGCGGAUCUCGGGUAGGGGGUCCCGAACUGUGUGUCUAGGCGGAUGGUAACAGGAGACAAGGGACACGAUGUUUUACCCAGGUUCGGGCCCUCUUGAUGGAGGUAAAACCCUACGUCCUGCUUGAUUGAUAUUGAUAUUGUGGAUGUUUACAAGAGUGGAUCUACCACGAGAUCAAGGAGGCUAAACCCUAGAAGCUAGCCUAUGGUAUGAUUGUAAUGGUUGUUGUUGCGUCCUACGGACUAGAGCCAUCCGGUUUAUAUAGACACCGGAGAGGGCUAGGGUUACAUAAAGUCGGUUACAAUAGUAGGAGAUCUACAUAUCCGUAUCGCCAAGCUUGCCUUCCACGCCAAGGAAAGUCCCAUUCGGACACCGGGCGAAGUCUUCAAUCUUGUAUCUUCAUAGUCUUGGAGUCCGGUCGAUGAUGAUAGUCCGGCCGAUGAUAGUUCGGCUGAUGAUGGUAGUCCGGCUAUCCGGACACCCCCUAAUCCAGGACUCCCUCAGUAGCCCCUGAACCAGGCUUCAAUGACGAUAACUCCGGUGCGUAUAUUGCUUGGCAUUGCAAGGCGGGUUCCUCCUCCGAAUGAUAGAAGAUUGUGAACACCAGGAUAGUGUCCGGCUCUGCAAAAUAAAUUCCACAUUUCACCGUAGAGAGAAUAAUAUAUACACAAGUUCAAUCUGCUGACAUUUUUUGCGGCAUGUCGUCACGCCACUACCAAGCCAUUACUUGAAUCGUUUUUUACUCCACCACCUCAGCGCAUUUAGCGAAGCGGUUUCCUUGGCACGUCUUGUCGAAGCAGAGAUCGUGUUCCCCCUUAAUCCGGGAUUCUCAUCAAUACGGAGGUGGGUAACCCAACCACGCCCGUCGCUACGCCCUCUCUAUCGAAGGCGAGUCCCAAACGGUCACGGAGACGGCUCUUGGUAUCCUCCCUCUUUAUAAUGGGACCAAGGCUCGUUUCUUUUCUUCAAUCCUCCAUCGAAUCCUCUCCCCGCUCUAAGUUCCAGCACCUAGAGCUCCAGAUUCGAGUGCUUCAGACCUUCAACGAUGUCCGGUUCCGACCUCCAGGGCCGGUGGAUGGAGGAGGACGUGCUAAAGCUGCGGGAGGCCAAGUACCUGGCUUAUGAGAUUUCGCACAGGUUGCCUGCCGAAGGGCAGGCCAUCCCCACCCCCGAGCCCAGCGAGUAUGUCGUCUUUGUAUCCCACCUCCGUCGGGGUUUAGGCUUCCCGAUGGAUCCUUUUGUGAGAGGGCUCAUGUUUUACUAUGGGUUGGAAUUCCACGAUUUGGCUCCAGAGUCCAUCCUCCAUAUUUCCGCAUUUAUUGUUGUCUGCAAAGCCUUCCUCCGCGUCGCCCCCCACUUUGGCCUGUGGCUGAAGACCUUCAAUGUGGCGCCGAAGAUGAUCGGGGGGCGUCAAGCAGAGUGCGGCGGGGCGGCCAUAAGUAGGAGGGUCGAUGCCCCGUGGCCCGCUGGCUCCUUCCAAGAGGAGCUCGGCCCGUGGCAGCAAGAGUGGUUCUAUAUCACCGUUCUGAGGGGCCGCAGACAAAAGCCGCCGCCCUCAUUCCGCCUAGGACCUCCACGAUGGUUGAUGUCGUGGGUCAACCAAGGGCUCAACUGGGGGCCGUCAAAGGACGUGCCCCAACUGCAGGGCCGGAUUCGAGAUCUCCAAACGAGGGAGGUCGAUAUGGUGGUGGUAAUGCAGGUUAUGCCGAUUAGGCGUAUCCCGCCCUGCAAACGCCGCCCUCUCCGGCUGUGGGAGUUCAAUCCGGAGGGCCCACGGAUUCUUCAACACUUCAUGGGUAUGACACCCCUGGAGAUGUACAAAUUAUUCUUCGGAUCGCAAGAGGCGCGUCCGGAAUUGACCGAGGAUGCUGGCCUAAGCUGCAAUCGCCUGGAUACUCAAGUAAGUAGUUCCAAGUCCGGACAUGCCGUUUGUUUGCCUUUCGAUAAUUCGCCUUAUGACCAACUUCCUUCUAAACAGGAGUGGAUAGCGGCAGCAAAAUUGAUACGUGUCCGGCCCCCCUCCCCGAGACCGCGCCGGAUUCCGUGCUGGUUCGGAUGCUUGAGGUUGCGCCUCCAGAGGAAGGCGAAGGGGAAAGUAGGAAAGCUACUGCCUCGCCUAAGGAGGCUCUUGAAAGAGUGGGGAUCGAGAAUCCCUCCCUCCAAGGGGAGAAGAGGACUGCCUCCAAGGACCCGGGGGCAAAAGCCCCUAAACGGGGGAAGAAAUCUUCGCCAGAGGGUCCUGCGUCCGGGGAGGCCCCGGCCGCACAAUCUCCCUUAAAGAGUCAGCCCUCCAACGAGCCGUAAGUAGAAAGAGAGGAGUUUUAUAAUAAGGGACAUCCCUAUUUGUGCUUCUGAGGAUAACUAAAGUUUUUACCUUGUAGUUCGGAUCUCCGUCCUUCGCAGAUGAGCUCAUCUUCGGGGGACCUUCGUCCGGAGAUGAUGGAGAGCGAGACGCCUCCGUCCGGGGCGCCGUCGGAUAGGGUGGACGAGCCUGAAGUGUCGUCACGGAGGGAGCCCCCUGGUUUGGCAGAGCCGGAUAGUUCAGCGCCAACUGGUGUACGGCUGAAGGAUCUGCUUAAGAAGGCGUCUAUCUCAGAAGAUCACCACGCAUUGAUGAGCAUGGUGAUUGAAAGGAUUUCGUCCGCCGAAGGCGGGUUGCAUAAUGCCGUCAGGAGUUUGCUGGCGGGGUUUGAGGUGCGUAAAAUAGACACACCUUCUAAUAGUUUAGCAUAUAGAAUGCGCCCUGUAUAGAUAGUAGCCCCUGAGACUCGGUAGGUUGUCGAAAUCGACAGCGUGCUGAGGAUCAAAAUUGCAGGUUUAAAUUUCCGCCGUGCCGAUGCAGGUGGCGGGUCGUCCGGGGGCCAGCCGGACUGAUGGAGUUGCUGAACUAAAGCGGCAACUCGCUGUUGUGGAUGCAGACAUCACGCUAGUCAACAGGCGACUUGAUGAGUCGCAAGGUAAGUGUUUUUGUGCGGUCACUUGGUAAGGGGGCCGAAGCCAGCUCCUUACAACAUGUGCGUGGAAUGCAGAUAGUGCUGCUGCUGUGGAGAGCCUUCGGGCCGAACUUGCUCAAGCCAAGGAGCAGGCCAGAAGGAGUAAUGCGGCGGCCUCGAGGGCGGCCGAGGAGUUAGCGGCAGAAAGGGCCGCACACUGCCGGAGCAGGGAAGAGAUGGCCGAAAUGGCCGUGAAGUUAAAAGAUGCUACCGACCGCUUUAGGCUCUUGGGAAGGAGCGCCUAGUGGGGCAAGAAGACCUGGAGAAGGCCACCGCCGAAGUCAAGGAUGCCCGCUCUGCAAUGCGGGCUAUAAAGGAAGAGCUGCGCCAGGCUGGAGAAAUUGUAGCUGGCAAGCCUUUUCUGUUGUGCCGAAGGUUCACGGAUCCAAAGUAUGCUCAGCUGGGCCAACUGUGGGGUUCGGAGGACCCUUAUAUGGACUUAGCAGCGAGUGCGGCGGAUGCCGUUGUGCAUUUUCGAUCCCAGAAGGAUCACAAGACGGAAGAGCUGUAUUGGUCUCAAUUCCAUAGUCUGGAGCGUUCACUUCCGCUGACCGGUCGUUUGGCCGAGUGGGCUGAGCUAAAUAGGUUGUCCGGGCUUGCUAUGAAGGAUAUAGUGACCCAUGUCCGGCCGGAUAGGCCCGAGCCGAAGAGUUACUUUGGCUUAUUGCAGCAAUUUCUUGGGGCGGUGCCGCAUAUCAAGGCGAUGAAGCGGUCGGCCUGCAUAGAGGGUGCGCGGAUGGCACUCGCCCGUGUGAAGACACAUUGGACAGAGAUGGAUGCCACCUCUGUUGCGACCCCGGGUUCGGACGAUAACCGGUUACCCGCCGAGCACUAUUUUGGCGAAGUGCUGCGUGGUGCUCGUGUAAUAGAGUCGCAGUGCUCAAAAAAUGUUACGUUCGAGUGAACGUUUUUAUGAUGUAAAACAAUAUUUAUGAUGUAAGCGCCUUUUAUACUUGUGCGUUCAAGUAAUAGAAUAUCUCCUAUGCGGCCGUUCAUGUAUACGUGUGUAUAACCUGAAAGAUGGCAGUCGUCGGCUUUAGCCCCCACGCACAAGGUGCGGGGGUGUUCGCAAAAAAUAGCGCGUUUUCACACUUAAUCCAAUGUCUCGGUCCUGUAAAGGAGGUGGUAGCGUAGCAAACGAGGCAACCGGACUAUAAUGCUUUAUCACUUUCACUUAGCCAUGGAGUUCGAGGGUGGGGCUACGACAUAGCCCCUGGGGGCACCGCUCUCUCCGAAUUUGGGGCGCGUAUGUGCCUGACCGGGAAACGGCCCUUCGUCAUAGCGGAGGAAUUCUAAACAUUCCCAUGGUCGAUCGAGUGGUUGACCAGUCUCUCACUGUAUCAUGAUAGUCAGUUUUUGGCUUUCUCUACUGAGGUGCUCGCCCAGCCGAACUGGGGCACAAUCGCAGUAGUUCUCCUGGUGCCGCGUUAGCCGAUGAUACGGAACGUAAGGCAGCAAAACACAGGAGCCGGGCAAACCCAACAUUUGACCAAAGACAUGAUUCGGAGCUGAUGCAUAUAAGGCCUAACUCGAGACGCCGAACACUCCCGAAGGUGUUCGGUCUUUACAAUAGCGGGCAAAACAAUGCCCUAAGCCCCUUGUGUCCAGGUACGGGCAAGUUCUUCUGGCGCGGCCGAUGCCAAAACGCCAGGCUCCACUCUGGUUAUAAUGAGAAACCAGGGGAUUAUAGCAACAAGAGACAGUAAGAAAGGUUUAUGUAGGGUCUUAGUCUGAAAAGAGUCCUUGCAACGGGUCCCUACUGCACGUCUGCGCCUGUGUCUCCAUUGUGCCGUAUCCUGGACGGGUGUGCACGCUGUUCAUCUGUAAAAAGAGAGGAACUUAGUUUAAAAAGAAAUCGUGCGAGAAAGUGCAUAAACAAUUGAAAUAUAGAUUAAUAAAGCUGAGCCUAUGCUAGCUCAUUAUGGCUUAUAUGUACAAACCCUUGUGAAGGGGUGUGCGGCUAGGUAGCCCCUAGCUUAUUCAUUCCGGACUCGUCCAGCCGUGUCCGGGGUCUCAGGCGACCUUUCAAUGAAAUGAUGCCACGUUGACCGUGCAUUUUAAGCGUAAGAGACACGUAAUGUGGUAGUGCAUUGAAGCGGACGAAAGCUUCCUGUCCCAGUGAUGCUUGAUAGCUACUUUUAAAUGGGGCGACAUGAAAGGUUAGCUUUUCUCGUCGCAAGUUGUCAGGUGACCCGAACACAACUUCUAGUAAUAAUGAAACUGUGCACCUGGUGUAAGGGCCUGGCGCCACUCCUUUGAAGGAAGUGCGGCUAUGCUGAAUUGUAGGGGGGUUUAUCCCGACUUGCGGAUUGUGUCCGGAUAUAGCAGGUUUAAGUUACCGCCGCCGUCCAUCAAAACCUGUGUGAAUUGCAGUCCGUCUAUUAUGGGAUCCGAUAUCAGGGCAGUCUAUCCUGCGUUCCGGAUACUUCUGGACUAAUCCAGAUGGUCGAAAGUGAUUGGUUUUGACAUCCAAUCUCGGUGUUCCACUGGGGUGGAGCGUGCGACACUUGUCUUAGCGAGUGCCUUGUUGGUUUUUCGUAUUAUCACAUGAAGUGAGUUUACUGUUUUGACUUCUUGUGGGAAAGUCUUUUGACUUCUGGUGCUCUGCUGGUGGGGUUAGUCAUCAUCCUCGCUUGGCGCAUCGAGCCCUUUGUGUCCGGCGUUGAGUCUGCCGAACUGUUUAAAAACCCAACAAUUUCGGUUGGUAUGGUUUGCAGGCCUUCCGGAGGUACUGUGGAUUUGACAUAUCCGAUCUAAAAUUUUGUUUAGAUUUGAUAGAUCGUCACUGUUGUCCUUAAGAGGCAGUGUUUUAUUGUUUGGCCGCGAGCUUUUGAAUCCGGCGUUGACCGCCGUGCCCUUUGGGAUUUUUUCUUUAUUCCGGCGCUGAUCUUUCCUGCGCCGUGAUCUUCCGUUUCCAUCUCUGACCGCGGAUGUACUCGGGUCGCUGGUGCUGCAUCUUGCUAGCCAGCUGUCUUCUCCUGCGUAAAAGCGCGUCACGAGGCUUGUUAGCGCGGCCAUUGUUCUUGGCUUCUCUUGGCCGAGGUGUCUGGCGAGCCAUUCGUCUCGGACGUUGUGUUUAAAAGCUGCUAAGGCUUCCGCGUCCGGACAGUCGACUAGUUGGUUCUUUUUUGUAAGGAACCUAUUCCAGAAUUUACGCGCUGACUCUCCGGGCUAUUGGGUUAUAUGACUCAGAUCGUCUGCAUCCGGAGGGCGGACAUAAGUCCCUUGAAAAUUUUCUCUAAACGCGUCCUCAAGCUCUUCCCAACUUCCAACAGUGUUUUCUGGGAGGCUUUUGAGCCAAUGCCGAGCUGGCCCUUUGAGCUUGAGGGGUAGGUAUUUUAUGGUGUGGAGAUCAUCUCCUCUGGCCAUGUGUAUGUGUAGUAUGUAAUCUUCUAUCCAGACUCCGGGGUCUGUUGUGCCGUCGUAUGCCUCUAUGUUUAAGGGUUUGAACCCUGCUGGAAAUUCAUGAUCCAGCACCUCAUCGGUAAAACAUAGCGGGUGUGCGGCGCCCCUGUAUUUGGGUGUGCCGCUGUCUUCGAACACUUGUCGUGUUGUGUUACUUCCUGGGGCCCUCCUUUUUGGCCCGUAGAUGGACCUAGUUGGGCCGUCCGUUUUCCCAGGAUCAUAAGUCGGCUUGUGUGCGGUACCGCUUGUCGCUUUUGGCCUGUCAUCUGGCCGUCUAUCCGGCCAGGCGGCCUCUUUAUUUUUUGGCUGUGAGGGCUCUAUGGCUUCCUCGUCAAAUUCUGGCAGCAGCUUGCGCUUCGGGUAGCUCUUUGUUUGAUGGCCAUUGCCAUACUUGUCUGCGGACUUGAGUAUUUUGCUCCACUUCAUUCUGAGCAUGUCUUCCGCUGUUUUGAGCUUCCUUUUUUCCUUCUUCAAACUUCUUGCAGUGGCGACGAGUCUUUUGUGAAGGUUCUUAUGCUCCGGUGGUGUGUCCGGACUGUUGAUUGCUCCGUGAAGGGGUUGAUUAUUCGGUUCGUCCUGUUCGGAUGGUUGCUUGGUUGUAUGUUCGUCGUCCGCUGGUUUGCCCUGCUCUAUCGCUGGGUCGUUAGGAAUGCUGCUUUGAUCGAGGCGGGACUUAGGGCGGUGUUUACGUUGCCGUUUUGGUUGUUUAUCGGCGGGAUUAUCCUCUACCGCGUCCCGUUGUUCCUCGGUAUCGCUUCCCCUUGGGGUGUCCAGCAUAUGUAUGUCAUGUGACGAGGUGGCCUUCCAGUGCCCUGUAGGCGCUGGUUCUUGAUCGUCUCCGGCAUCGUCGUCCAUACCGUUGAUGUCUUCGGAGUCGUAGUUUAGCACGUCGGUUAGAUCGUCGACGGUGGCUACGAAGUGGGUGGUGGGUGGGCUCUGAAUUUCUUCAUUGUCCACGUCCCGACCAUCCUGGCCGUAGUUCGGCCAGGGUUCUCCGGAUAGUGAGAGAUGCUUCAGCGAAUUUAAGAUAUUCCCGAAGGGUGAGUGCUGAAAGGUGUCCGCAGCGGUGAAUUCCAUGAUCGGCACCCAGUCGGAUUCGACUGGCAGGGGCGCAGGAGGUUCGGAGUCCGGCAGAGAGUCCGAUACCUCGGAGUCAUGAGAUUUAUGAGGGGCAAGGUAAGUGUUCGACUCCAUCACCGUAGAAGUUGCAGCUCCCGAGGCGGUGUCCAGCCAUCCGUCCUCGAUCUGAGCGAUCGGCUCCGGACUAUGGGUCGGAGCGGAUUCAUGUGCGGCCUCCAAGGUGCUGUCCGGCGGCAGAGUUAGGCCGUGCCCAUCGUUCAACGCGGCACACCCGGCUGUGGCUCAGAUCCAUCGAAGAUCAAGUCCCCGCGGAUAUCAGCCAUGAAGUUUAGGCUUCCAAACCUGACCUGACGGCCAGGGGCGUAGCUUUCGAUCUGCUCCAGAUGGGCAAGUGAGUUGGCCCGCAGUGCGAAGCCGCCGAAUACGAAGAUCUGUCCGGGGAGAAAAGUCUCACCCAGGACUGCGUCGUUGUCGAUUGAAGAGGCCAUCAAGCCUGUCGGUGACGACACAGAGGAACUCUCAAUUAAAGCACCAAUGUCGGUGUCAAAACCGGCGGAUCUCGGGUAGGGGGUCCCGAACUGUGUAUCUAGGCGGAUGGUAACAGGAGACAAGGGACACGAUGUUUUACCCAGGUUCGGGCCCUCUUGAUGGAGGUAAAACCCUACGUCCUGCUUGAUUGAUAUUGAUAUUGUGGAUGUUUACAAGAGUGGAUCUACCACGAGAUCAAGGAGGCUAAACCCUAGAAGCUAGCCUAUGGUAUGAUUGUAAUGGUUGUUGUUGCGUCCUACAGACUAGAGCCAUCCGGUUUAUAUAGACACCGGAGAGGGCUAGGGUUACAUAGAUUCGGUUACAAUAGUAGGAGAUCUACAUAUCCGUAUCGCCAAGCUUUCCUUCCACGCCAAGGAAAGUCCCGUCCGGAAACGGGGCGAAGUCUUCAAUCUUGUAUCUUCAUAGUCUUGGAGUCCGGUCGAUGAUGAUAGUCCGGCCGAUGAUAGUUCGGCUGGUGAUGGUAGUCCGGCUAUCCGGACACCCCCUAAUCCAGGACUCCCUCAGUGCGCCCACCCCUAUAGGGCGCGCCCCCUGUCUCGUGGGCCCCUUGGGAGGCCACUGACGUACUUUCCUCCUAUAUAAGCCUACAUACCCCGAAAACAUCUAGGGAGCAAGUGAAACACAAUUUCCACUGCCGUAACCUUCUGUAUCCGCGAGAUCCCAUCUUGGAGCCUUCGCCGGCGCUCCGUCGGAGGGGGAAUCGACCACGGAGGGCUUCUACAUGAACACCAUAGCCCCUCCGAUGAGUUGUGAGUAGUUUACCACAGACCUUCGGGUCCAUAGUUAUUAGCUAGAUGGCUUCUUCUCUCUUUUUGGAUCUCAAUACAAUGUUCUCACCCUCUCUUGUGGAGAUCUAUUCGAUGUAAACUCUUUUUGCGGUGUGUUUGUCGAGAUCCGAUGAAUUGUGGGUUUAUGAUCAAGAUUAUCUAUGAGAAAUAUUUGAAUCUCCUCUGAAUUCUUUUAUGUAUGAUUGAGUUAUCUUUGCAAGUCUCUUCAAAUUAUCAGUUUGGUUUGGCCUACUAGAUUGAUCUUUCUUGCCAUGGGAGAAGUGCUUAGCUUUGGGCUCAAUCUUGCGGUGUCCUUACCCAGUGACAGAAAGGGUUGCAAGGCACGUAUUGUAUUGUUGCCAUCGAGGAUAAAAAGAUGGGGUUUAUAUCAUAUUUCAUGAGUUUAUCCCUCUACAUCAUGUCAUCUUGCUUAAUGCGCUACUCUGUUCUUUAUGAAAUUAAUACUCUAGAUGCAGGCAGGAGUUGGUCGAUGUGUGGAGUAAUAGUAGUAGAUGCAGGCAGGAGUCGGUCUACUUGUUGCGGACGUGAUGCCUAUAUACAUGAUCAUGCCUAGAUAAUCUCAUAACUAUUCGCUUUUCUAUCAAUUGCUCGACAGGAAUUUGUUCACCCACUGUAAUACUUAUGCUGUCUUGAGAGAAGCCUCUAGUGUAACCUAUGGCCCCCGGGUCUAUCUUUUAUCAUAUUUGCUUUCAAUCUACUUUUAUUUGCAGCUUUACUUUUUACAUCUAUAUUAUAAAAUACCAAAAAUAUAUUUAUCUUAUCAUACUAUCUCUAUUAGAUCUCACUUUCGCAAGUGGUCGUGAAGGGAUUGACAACCCCUUUAUUCGUUGGUUGCGAGUUCUUUGUUUGUUUGUGUAGGUGCGUGUGACUUUUGAGGAGCCUCCUACUAGAUUGAUACCUUGCUUCUCAAAAACUGAGGGAAAUACUUACGGUACUAUUGCUGCAUCACCCUUUCCUCUUCAAGGAAAACCAACGCAAGCUCAAGACGUAGCAAGAAGGAUUUCUGGCGCCGUUGCCGGGGAGGUCUUCGCUCAAGUCAAGACAUACCAAGUACCCAUCACAAACUCAUCUCCCUCGCAUUUACAUUAUUUGCCAUUUGCCUCUCGUUUUCCUCUCCCCCACUUAACCCUUGCCGUUUUAUUUGCCCUCUCUUUCCCAAUCUCCUCCUCUAUUUUCUGUUUGCCUUGCCUUUGCCAUGGCCGAAUCAAAAAGAACUAAGGGUUUUCUCCCGAGUCCUAGUGCCUUGGAUAACCCCUCUAUCCUCUCUAAGCUCAUAAAUAAUGAUGCUAUGGAAAGACCCACCGGGGUCACCAAUGAGAGCUUAAAUAAUUUUGAUGAAGAUGACUCCGGAAUUUUUCUCUAUUUGCUUGCCGAGUCUUUAAAAGAUGCUUGGGAUAUGUUAUUAAGGAUUCGGGCUAGCUAUGUGCCACAAUAUAAAAUUGAAGUUUACUUAAAAAGUUUCUAUGUUGGCUUGCCGCUUCUUUAAAACAAGUUCUAGAUUCUAUUUUUGAAGAAGGUUUUCUUGAAGGGGAUGCUAUAGAUACCUAUGAAAAAAUGAAAACCAUAUUUGGGCACCCUAUGAAUGAUAAGGUUGAAUCAACUACUCUCUUGUGCUUCUAUCAAAAUGAAAUUAUCAAAGAGAUGAAGUCUAGCUUAGAGGCAAAUUUCCGUAACGUGCUUAAUCUUACUUCAUCUAUCUUUACCUAUGUAAUGCCCCAGAUGUAACUUUCCCUAUUUGUACUCCAACUCUUACUGUUUCCGGUGUCAAGUUAUAUUUAUUUCUCGGGUUCGGGUCUUUGUCUCCGUGUGUUGUUUUUGUUUUCAUGCAUCUCAUACCAUGUCAUCAUGUGCAUUGCAUUUGCAUACGUGUUCAUCUCAUGCAUUCGAGCAUUUUCCCCGUUGUCCGUUUUGCAUUCCGGCGCUUCGUUCUCCUCCGGUGGUCAUUUCUACCUUUCUUUCGUGUUUGGGAAUUAAACGUUUCCGGAUUGGACCGAGACUUGCCAAGCGGCCUUGGUUUACUACCGGUAGACCACAUGUCAAGUUUCGUACCUUUUGGACUUCGUUUGAUACUCCAACGGUUAACCGAGGGACCGAAAAGGCCUCGUGUGUGUUGCAGCCCAACACCCCCCAAAUUUGUUCCAAAACCCACCAAACUCUGCUCCAUGUCCUAGAUCGUUCGAUCACGAUCGCGUGGGCGAAAACCGCACCUCAUUUGGACUCUCCUAGCUCCACUUAUGCCUAUAUAUACACCCCCCCUUUCGGAUCUCAGAUUCCUCCCCGUCCUCCUCCAAAAAAAAACAGAUCAACCCCUGCCACCGACGGACGUGUCCGGAUNNNNNNNNNNNNNNNNNNNNNNNNNNNNNNNNNNNNNNNNNNNNNNNNNNNNNNNNNNNNNNNNNNNNNNNNNNNNNNNNNNNNNNNNNNNNNNNNNNNNNNNNNNNNNNNNNNNNNNNNNNNNNNNNNNNNNNNNNNNNNNNNNNNNNNNNNNNNNNNNNNNNNNNNNNNNNNNNNNNNNNNNNNNNNNNNNNNNNNNNNNNNNNNNNNNNNNNNNNNNNNNNNNNNNNNNNNNNNNNNNNNNNNNNNNNNNNNNNNNNNNNNNNNNNNNNNNNNNNNNNNNNNNNNNNNNNNNNNNNNNNNNNNNNNNNNNNNNNNNNNNNNNNNNNNNNNNNNNNNNNNNNNNNNNNNNNNNNNNNNNNNNNNNNNNNNNNNNNNNNNNNNNNNNNNNNNNNNNNNNNNNNNNNNNNNNNNNNNNNNNNNNNNNNNNNNNNNNNNNNNNNNNNNNNNNNNNNNNNNNNNNNNNNNNNNNNNNNNNNNNNNNNNNNNNNNNNNNNNNNNNNNNNNNNNNNNNNNNNNNNNNNNNNNNNNNNNNNNNNNNNNNNNNNNNNNNNNNNNNNNNNNNNNNNNNNNNNNNNNNNNNNNNNNNNNNNNNNNNNNNNNNNNNNNNNNNNNNNNNNNNNNNNNNNNNNNNNNNNNNNNNNNNNNNNNNNNNNNNNNNNNNNNNNNNNNNNNNNNNNNNNNNNNNNNNNNNNNNNNNNNNNNNNNNNNNNNNNGACCCCGCCGCCGCUCCCCUCCGUCCUCGGCGCCCGUGCCCGCCGCCUCGCCCUCGCCGGACCGCUGCUUCCUCUGCCUCCGGUGAAGCUCCGGCGUGAACAGUGCCCAAGUCCGGCGACCUCGAAGUCCGUGCCCGCGGGAUCCCGAUCUGGAUCCAGAUCUGAUUUUCGAGCGGUUGAUCUUUCCCCGAACCCUAGCUCAUGAUGCUUACUUUGACUGCUCAUAUCUCUGCAUCCGUAGCUCCGUUUUAGGCAUAUGAUAUAUCAAAAUCUUUGUCUUGACAUGUACAUCAUUUCAUUCCAUUGCAUCAUUUGCAUUUGAGGUCAUCUUGAUGCCCAAAAUGCUGUUAGAAGAAGGCUUCGUGAGUAGAUUGCAGAUCCGUUAGUUCAUCUUGCACUUUUGUCAUUUUUGCUAUGUUUAAUUCGUGCAUGAUAUGCCUGUGCCCCUUUGGGAUGAAUUGUUAAGAAUUUUGUCUUCUUUCUAGAGGUGCCACCCAUGCAUUUUUAGGAUGUGUGUGUUGUCUUGUGCAAGCUUGCGAAGGGAGGUACCUGAGAUUGCUGAUUUCAGGGACUUAGUGAUUUUCACCAAGUCUGGGAUAUUUUAGUUCAUGAUGCUAUAUGUCCAGCUUGUUUCCUAGUGAUCCGUGCCUCUUUUGAGGAUGAUCAGUAAGGGAGUUUUGAUACUUAUGUUAUGCUCUAUCCAUCCAUGUUUUUGUUUGCAUAUGUGGAGUGAUCUAGGUUGACUCAAUCGAGCUCAACUUUUGCUUCGUUGUUAAUCUGGGCAGAUCGUCAACUCGUUUGCGAUUUCGCCGGUGCUAUUGUUAGUGAUCCAUGCAUGCUAUGCCUUUGUUCUUGCCAUGUGUAGCUAGCAUAUUGUGCCUUCUUGCUGGCUAUAUGCUUUCCUUGCCAUGACUUGCACCGUAGUGAGUGCAUCGAGCUCGUUUACAUGCCUUCGCGAGUUAAAUUUCUGCAUGUCUCAGUUUUCACUAAGUCUGAAAACUGAUUGUGUUUUAGCUAUGUUCGUGUGCCCGUUAAUAUAUUUUGUGAUCCCUUUUGGCCCCAGGUCACUUUGGGUGUUUUGUUAAGCUUGUUGAGUAGCUCCAUGCCAUGUUCUUACUUGUCAUGUUCAGGUCAUCUAUCAUGUUGUUUUGCUGCUCCGAAAAGAGCAUCGUGAUCUGAAAUUUCAGGCUAGUGUUAAUUUCACUAAGUCUGGAAUCUGUUUUGCAUAUUCAUUUUUGCCAUGCUUGUUUGAACCUCUUAAUGGAUGAAUUUGCCUAUGGCUCAGUGCUAGUGUUUUGUUAACCAUCUUGUGUACAUCACUGCCAUGUAUUUUGUUUUCAUGUUUGGUGGCUGUAGCAUGUUCAUUUCGUUGCAUUUAGGAGCCUACUUGCUGUAUAUCGCAGAUCGGUUCGUUUCGUAAAACGCUCGCCAUUUCCAAACCGUAGCUCCGAUUCCAAUGAUCUUUAUAUCGUUUUCAAGCGAUUUCAUCCCCUCUAUCCAGUGGCACACUUGGUUUUCCAAGUUGAUGCCAGGUUCAUGCAUUUCCUGUCAUAUCUUGCAUUUUGCAUCCCGCAUCACAUCCCGCAUAGCAUAUCGUCAUUUCAUCAUAUUGCUUGGUCUUGCCCGUGGUUGAUUGUAUCCUUGUUGCUUGUUUGUCUUGUUGGGUAGAGCCGGGAGACGAGUUCACUACCGAGGAGCCCGUUGAGUUUGCUUGUGAGGAUCCAGUCAACUCUGACAACUGUGCAGGCAAGAUGAUCAUACCCUCGAAAUCACUACUAUCUUUGCUAUGCUAGUUUGCUCGCUCUUUUGCUUUGCCACUCCUACGAUGCCUACCUUUUGCUUGUCAGCCUCCCAAUUGCCAUGUUGAACCUCUAACCCACCAUUGUCCUAGCAAACCGUUGAUUGGCUAUGUUACCGCUUUGCUCAGCCCUUCUUAUAGCGUUGUUAGUUGCAGGUGAAGAUUGGAGCCGUUCCUUGUUGGAACAUUUAUUUUACUUGUUGGGAUAUCAUUAUAUUGCUAUGUUGUCUUAAUGCAUCUAUAUACUUGGUAAAGGGUGGAGGGCUCGGCCUCUCGCCUAGUGUUUUGUUCCACUCUUGCCGCCCUAGUUUCCGUCAUAUCGGUGUUAUGUUCCCGGAUUGUUGCGUCCCUUACGCGGUUGGGUUAUAAUGGGAACCCCUUGAUAUUUCGUCUUGAUUAAAGCUUGUCCAGCAAUGCCCAACCUUGGUUUUACCAUUUGCCACCUAGCCUUUUCUUUCCCUUGGGUUCUGCAGACUCAAAGGUCAUCUUAUUUUACCCCCCCCGGGCCAGUGCUCCUCUGAGUGUUGGUCCACCUGUCAGCUACCGGUGGCCACCAGGGGCAGCUCUGGGCUGGCCUACCCGUACCUAGGACAAUCUGAGUGUGCCCUGAGAAAGAGAUAUGUGCAGCUCCUAUCGGGAUUUGUCGGCACAUUCGAGCGGUUUUGCUGGUCUUGUUUUAACCUGUCGAAGUGUCUUGAGUUACCGAGAUAUCGAGUCUGAUCGGAAGGUCUUGGGAGGAGGUCUAUUCCUUCGUUGACCGUGAGAGCUUGUCAUGGGCUAAGUUGGGACUCCCCUGCAGGGAUUGAACUUUCGAAAGUCGUGCCCGCGGUUAUGGGCAGAUGGGAAUUUGUUAAUGUCCGGUUGUAGAUUACUUGAACUAAACUUAAUUAAAAUGAAUCAACCGUGUGUGUUACCGUGAUGGCCCCUUCUCGGCGGAGUCCGGGACGUGGACACAGUGUUGGAGUUAUGCUCGCGCAGGAUGUUCCUUUAGCUUCUCGCUCGUGCUUCGCCUUCUCUUCUCGCUCUCUUUUGCGUAUAAGUUAGCCACCACAUAUGCUAGUCGCUUGCUGCAGCUCCACAUAUAUUUGCCUUAUCCAUUCCUAUGAGCUUAAAUAGUUUUGAUCGCGAGGGUGCGAGAUUGUUGAGUCCCUGUGGCUCACAGAUACUAUAACUCCAGAUGCAGGUCCAGGUGAUUUCGCUCCAGGUGACGAGUACGAGCUCAAGUGGGAGUUUGACGAGGACUCUCAGCAUUAUUAUGUUUCCUUUCCCGAUGAUCAGUAGUGGUGCCUAGUUGGGGAUCGAUUCAGGGCCUUGUCGCACGUUGGGUUCUUUUCUAUUUUGGCGCCGUAGUCGGGCCAUGAGUGUUUGUUUGAUGGAUGUUAUUUAUGUACUCUGAUGUGACGUGGCGAGUGUAAGCCAACUAUGUUAUCUCCCCCUUUUAUUAUGUAUUACAUGGGAUGUUGUAAUGAUUGCCUGACUAGCGACAUUGCUUUCAAUGCGGUUAUGUCUCUAAGUCGUGCCUCGACACGUGGGAGCUAUAGCCGCAUCGAGGGCGUUACAAGUUGGUAAUCAGAGCCUUCCCCGACCUUAGGAGCCCCCAUUGCUUGAUCGUUUUUAGCAGCUGAGUUGUGUCUAGAAAAAAAAUGUUUUGAGUCCUUAGGAAUUAUAUAUCGGAGAGCUUAGGAAUUCUUUUUACUUCCCAGCCUCCUCAUCGCUCUGGUAAGGCAUCCUGACGUAGAGUUUUGACUCUUCUCUUCUCAAAUUUCACAAAAAAAAAUUUAGGAUCACGCGAGUAUUUUGGAUUUGUUUCGAUGGUUUUGUGACGAGAACAUUGUUCUUGGUGCCUCCUGUCUUUAGGGGUUGUGGCAGUGUCCCGGGGAGUUGAGCUCCGAGGUGUUGUCGUCACAAUUUUAUCGUUGCAAUUCUGGUAUACCUGAGAUAUGUGCGCGACAUCGGAAAUCUCUUUUAUGCAGUUCGUUGGUGAGAUAACCUCGACGCCACCCAGUACUGGGGCGGGAGUUCGGGAGUAUCGCCAUUACUUGUAUAACGGAUGCUUUUCGAAGGUUGAGGUAGAUGGUUUCCGAAGUUUUCUUGGUUAUGUGUUGAAGGAUGGAUACAGCUGGAUGUAGGAUUUGCUAGUUUGGGUGAGAUAUUAUGCUUCCCUUGUAUCCCCAACACCUGAUUGCAUAACCGGAAAGGUUCGGGAGUUUCAUAGGUGGAAAUUCUAGUAGCUCUAGUUCUUCUUCCACGGAUAUUGGUUUGAGAUUGGGAUUUCUUACCGAUUAUUCGUUCUUGAUCCGUACCUUGUUGAUUUAUUUCUCUACCUUAAUUCUACGUGGCUUCUCAAUUUAUGGAUAUGUGACCAUUUGAAGAGGAAUGCAUUCGUUCAUUUUGUUUGGAUGUGAAGACUAUAUGUUGCAAUUUUCAUUCCGUUGGAUUCAGCUUCUAUAUUGUUGUCUAUCAAUGUGCUAAUGGUGGUCAACCUCUUCAGGAUGGCUCCUCCAACGCGCACGACUCCGAAUCCUGAUCCGCCUCCACCUCCGCCUCUUCCGGAAGCAUGGCAAGCUGUGAUGGCCGCUACUAAUGCAAAUACACAGUUGAUCAUGCAAAUCCUCCAAGAGCGGAAUCAAGGCAGUCAAGGGAAUCAAGGAAACAAUCAGCACCAUUUUGCUACACUGAACCAGUUCCUCGCAAAUGGCCCAAAGACGUUCAGCGGUUGUGUUGAGGCUACCGAUGCUGACGAUUGGCUAGUGGAUCUGGGCAAGCAUUUUGAAUGCAGCAACGUCAGGCCUGAAGAUUUCGUCAAGUUCGCUUCUUUCCAGCUCAAAGAUCAGGCUGCAGAGUGGUUCCAGCAGUACAAGGAUUCCAGAGGUGGACGUGUUAUCACUUGGGACAUUUUCCGUCAAGAUUUCCGCACUCAUCACAUCCCUCAAAGUGUGGUUGAGAGUAAGCGUCAGGAAUUCUGCAAUCUGAAGCAAGGCUCUUUGUCUGUCUAUGACUACAACAAGUUGUUCCAGAAGCUCGCCCGUUUGCCAAGCAGGAUGUUCCUGAUGAGAAGAGCAUGAUCUAUCAGUUCAGGGGUGGUCUUCGUGAGGAAAUUCAGCUCACUCUUGUCCUCUUUGAGCCGUUGAGAUACGAUGAGUUCUACAACAUGGCACUAAAACAAGAGGUUGCUCAGUUGAGGUGUGAUGCUUCCAGGAAGCGUGCCAGAGAUGUUACUCCUUCUUCCUCUACUCAAGUGGCCAAGCAGCAGAAGUAUUGGCUUCCUCCUCCUCCGUUCCGUCAGCUGUUUCAGCAGAAGAGCAAAGGUGGCAGUGGUUUCUCCCACCCACCCAACCCAGGUUUUCAGAACAAGUCUUCGUCGCAACCUCCAAGACCGAGUGCUCCGUAUCACCGUCCGCUUUCAGAGGUCACGUGCAACAAGUGCCAACAGAAGGGUCACUAUGCCAACAAGUGUACUAACCAGAGGCGUCUUCCUCCUCCUCCUCCCGUUAGAUCGGCAAGUACAGCUGUGGUCAAGCAUAACCCCAAGCACGCCAAGGUCAAUUUGAUGAAUGCAGCUCAGGCAGAGGUCUCGUCAGAUGUGAUCAUGGGUAACCUUCCUGUUAAUGAUACUCCUGCAAAAGUUCUUUUUGACACUGGUGCAUCGCAUUGCUUCAUCUCGAGACCGUUUACAAAUAGGCAUGAAUUGGUUUCACAAGUUUUGCCUAGUCCUUUAGCAGUUGUCUCUCCCGGUAAGCGCAUGCAGGCUAACUCCAUCGUUCCGGACGUUUCUAUCACUCUGGGUGACUACAAGUUCUUGGCUUCUCCUACGGUUCUUGGCAACUCGGAUAUCGAUCUUAUUCUCGGGAUGGACUGGCUCUCUAAGCAUAAAGCUCAGCUUGAUUGUGCAGCCAGGCAGAUUCAACUGACUCAUUCGUCUGAGGAUGUCAUUGUCUUUGCCGCUCGGGAUAAUACCAUCCGGUUGUUUUCUCUCAAUGAGAAGGGUGAAUUGGAUGCCAUCUCUCAAAUUCAUGUCGUUUGCGAAUAUCAAGACGUCUUUCCAGAAGAGCUCCCAGGAAUGCCUCCGCACCGGCCAGUUGAAUUUGUUAUUGAACUUGAGCCUGGCACGGAACCUGUGUGCAAACGUCCUUACAAGCUCGGACCUGAAGAGUUGAAGGAGCUGAAGAAACAACUCGAUGAGCAAGAAAGAUUGGGUCUCAUUCGGCCUAGUACUUCUCCGUGGGGUUGUGGUGUUCUUUUUGUGAAGAAGAAGGAUGGAUCGAGUCAACUUUGUGUUGAUUACCGUCCAGUAAACAAGAAGACCAUCAAGAACAAAUACCCACUUCCCAACAUCAAUGAGCUGUUCGAACAACUCAAGGGUGCUCAAGUAUUCUCCAAGCUUGAUCUCCGUAUGGGUUAUCAUCAGAUUCGUAUUCGUGAGCAAGAUAUUCCCAAGACGGCGUUCAGAACAAGCUUUGGUUCAUAUGAAUACACAGUCAUGUCUUUUGGCCUCGCCAACGCUCCUCCGACGUUCUCUCGCAUGAUGAACUUCAUCUUCAGCCCCUACACCAAUGACUUUGUUUUGGUCUAUCUCGACGACAUUCUGGUUUUCUCGAAGAACAAGGAAGAUCAUGCCAAGCACUUGCGUUUGGUUCUUGACAAGCUCAGGGAACAUCAGUUCUACGCCAAGUUCUCCAAGUGUGAAUUUUGGCUCGAUGAGGUUCUUUAUCUUGGUCAUAUCAUCUCUGCCAACGGCAUUUCCGUGAAUCCUGAGAAGGUGUCUGCAAUUGUGAAUUGGGAACCUCCUCAGAACGUAAAGCAACUCCGCAGUUUCCUCGGUCUCGCAAGCUAUUGCAGAAGAUUCGUUGAAAACUUUUCUAAGAUUGCCAAGCCUCUCUCAAAUCUUCUUCAGAAACACGUCAAGUACGUUUGGUCUCCGGAGUGUGAUAUUGCUUUCAACACUUUGAAAGAGAAAUUGAUCACUGCUCCAGUUCUGACUCCGCCUGAUGAAACCAAGCCGUACGAGGUCUUUUGUGAUGCCUCUCUCCAAGGUCUCGGUGCUAUACUGAUGCAAGAGAAGAAAGUUGUCGCUUAUACCUCUCGCCAGUUGAAGCCUAAUGAGAAGAACUACCCACUCAUGAUCUCGAGUUGGCGGCAGUUGUGCAUGCUUUGUUGACUUGGAGACAUCUUCUAUUGGGAAGGAAAGUGGAUAUUUUCACUGAUCACAAGAGUCUCAAGUACAUCUUCACUCAGCCUAAUCUCAACCUCAGGCAGACUCGAUGGGUCGAAACGAUUCAAGAGUACAAUCCGAGUAUCGAGUAUACUCCAGGCAAGGCCAAUGUGAUUGCUGACGCUUUGAGCAGAAAAGCAUAUUGCAACAGUCUGAUUCUCAAGCCUUAUCAACCCGAGCUUUGUGAAGCUUUCCGCAAGCUGAAUCUGCAAGUUGUUCCUCAAGGUUUCCUCGCCAACCUUCAAGUUUCUCCUACCUUGGAAGACCAGAUUCGCCAAGCCCAGCUUCUUGAUGAUAUGGUGAAGAAGGUGAAGAUUGGUAUUGCAAAGAGUCAGUCCAAGUACAAGUGUUACCGACUUGAUGACAAGGACACUCUCUUCUUCGAGGAUCGAAUUGUUGUGCCCAAAGGUGAACUUCGUAAAAUGAUCAUGAAGGAGGCUCACAAUUCUCUCCUCUCCAUCCACCCUGGGAGUACGAAGAUGUAUCAGGACCUCAAGCAAGCUUAUUGGUGGACUCGAAUGAAGCGCGAGAUCGCUCAAUUCGUGAAUGAAUGUGAUGUUUGCAGAAGAGUGAAGGCAGAACACCAAAGGCUAGCUGGUCUCCUCCAACCUCUUGCCAUUCCAGAAUGGAAGUUUGACCACAUUGAAAUGGACUUCGUGACUGGGUUUCCAAAGUCCAAGCGUGGCAAUGAUGCUAUAUUUGUUGUCAUCGACAAGCUCACCAAAGUGGCUCAUUUUCUGCCUAUCAAAGAGUCGAUCACUGCAGCUCAAUUGGCGGAACUCUAUACCUCUCGCAUUGUCUCUCUGCACAGUAUUCCUCAAGUGAUAUCUUCAGACCGUGGCAGCAUCUUUACCUCCAAGUUUUGGGAUUCUUUUCAGAAGGCCAUGGGCACGAACAUCCACUUCAGCACAGCUUUCCAUCCUCAAACAAGCGGUCAAGUCGAGCGUGUCAACCAAAUUCUUGAAGAUAUGCUCAGGGCUUGUGUGAUCUCCUUCGGCAUGAAGUGGGAAGACUGUCUUCCUUAUGCUGAAUUCUCAUACAACAACAGCUUUCAAGCAAGUUCGGGCAAGGCCCCAUUUGAAAUUCUGUAUGGCAGGAAGUGCUGUACCCCUCUCAACUGGUCUGAAACCGGUGAACGUCAGCUGCUGGGUAAUGACUUAAUCACAGAAGCAGAAGAAAUGUGCAAAGUCAUUCGUGAUAACCUCAAAGCAGCCCAAUCCCGCCAGAAGUGCUACUAUGAUAGUAAGCACCGUGAAUUGGCUUUCGAGAUCGGAGAUCAUGUUUACCUCCGCGUCUCUCCCAUGAAAGGUACUCGUCGCUUCGGUAUCAAAGGGAAGCUUGCCCCUAGAUACGUGGGACCUUUCAAGAUUGUCAGCAAGAGAGGCGACCUCGCCUAUCAACUCGAGCUUCCUUCAAACUUUGCAAAUGUUCAUGAUGUGUUCCAUGUCUCUCAGCUUCGAAAGUGCUUCAAGGCUCCUGACCGCACCGUCAACUUCGAGGACAUUGAGCUCCAAGAAGAUCUCUCUUAUCGUGAGCACCCAGUUGCUAUUCUUGAAGAGACUGAACGCAAGACUCGCAACAAGUCAAUCAAAUUUCUCAAAGUUAAGUGGUCACACCAUUCCGACCGUGAAGCUACCUGGGAACGCGAGGAUCACCUCCGUUCUGAGUACCCAGAGUUCUUUCAGUCCUAGAUCUCGGGACGAGAUCUUUUCGUAGUGGUGGAGUGUUGUAACGCCCCAGAUGUAACUUUCCCUAUUUGUACUCCAACUCUUGCCGUUUCCGGUGUCAAGUUAUAUUUAUUUCUCGAGUUCGGGUCUUUGUCUCCGUGUGUUGUUUUCGUUUUCAUGCAUCUCAUACCAUGUCAUCAUGUGCAUUGCAUUUGCAUACGUGUUCAUCUCAUGCAUUCGAGCAUUUUCCCCGUUGUCCGUUUUGCAUUCCGGCGCUUCGUUCUCCUCCGGUGGUCAUUUCUAGCUUUCUUUCGUGUUUGGGAAUUAAACGUUUCCGGAUUGGACCGAGACUUGCCAAGCAGCCUUGGUUUACUACCGGUAGACCACCUGUCAAGUUUCGUACCUUUUGGACUUCGUUUGAUACUCCAACGGUUAACCGAGGGACCGAAAAGGCCUCGUGUGUGUUGCAGCCCAACACCCCCCCAAAUUUGUUCCAAAACCCACCAAACUCUGCCCCAUGUCCUAGAUCGUUCGAUCACGAUCGCGUGGGCGAAAACCGCACCUCAUUUGGACUCUCCUAGCUCCACUUAUGCCUAUAUAUACACCCCCCCUUUCGGAUCUCAGAUUCCUCCCCGUCCUCCUCCAAAAAAAAAACAGAUCAACCCCCGCCACCGACNNNNNNNNNNNNNNNNNNNNNNNNNNNNNNNNNNNNNNNNNNNNNNNNNNNNNNNNNNNNNNNNNNNNNNNNNNNNNNNNNNNNNNNNNNNNNNNNNNNNNNNNNNNNNNNNNNNNNNNNNNNNNNNNNNNNNNNNNNNNNNNNNNNNNNNNNNNNNNNNNNNNNNNNNNNNNNNNNNNNNNNNNNNNNNNNNNNNNNNNNNNNNNNNNNNNNNNNNNNNNNNNNNNNNNNNNNNNNNNNNNNNNNNNNNNNNNNNNNNNNNNNNNNNNNNNNNNNNNNNNNNNNNNNNNNNNNNNNNNNNNNNNNNNNNNNNNNNNNNNNNNNNNNNNNNNNNNNNNNNNNNNNNNNNNNNNNNNNNNNNNNNNNNNNNNNNNNNNNNNNNNNNNNNNNNNNNNNNNNNNNNNNNNNNNNNNNNNNNNNNNNNNNNNNNNNNNNNNNNNNNNNNNNNNNNNNNNNNNNNNNNNNNNNNNNNNNNNNNNNNNNNNNNNNNNNNNNNNNNNNNNNNNNNNNNNNNNNNNNNNNNNNNNNNNNNNNNNNNNNNNNNNNNNNNNNNNNNNNNNNNNNNNNNNNNNNNNNNNNNNNNNNNNNNNNNNNNNNNNNNNNNNNNNNNNNNNNNNNNNNNNNNNNNNNGACCCCGCCGCCGCUCCCCUCCGUCCUCGGCGCCCGUGCCCGCCGCCUCGCCCUCGCCGGACCGCUGCUUCCUCUGCCUCCGGUGAAGCUCCGGCGUGAACAGUGCCCAAGUCCGGCGACCUCGAAGUCCGUGCCCGCGGGAUCCCGAUCUGGAUCCAGAUCUGAUUUUCGAGCGGUUGAUCUUUCCCCGAACCCUAGCUCAUGAUGCUUACUUUGACUGCUCAUAUCUCCGCAUCCGUAGCUCCGUUUUAGGCAUAUGAUAUAUCAAAAUCUUUGUCUUGACAUGUACAUCAUUUCAUUCCAUGGCAUCGUUUGCAUUUGAGGUCAUCUUGAUGCCAAAAAUGCUGUUAGAAGAAGGCUUCGUGAGUAGAUUGCAGAUCCGUUAGUUCAUCUUGCACUUUUGUCAUUUUUGCUAUGUUUAAUUCGUGCAUGAUAUGCCUGUGCCCCUUUGGGAUGAAUUGUUAAGCAUUUUGUCUUUUUUCUAGAGGUGCCACCCAUGCAUUUUUAGGAUGUGUGUGUUGUCUUGUGCAAGCUUGCGAAGGGAGGUACCUGAGAUUGCUGAUUUCAGGGACUUAGUGAUUUUCACUAAGUCUGGGAUAUUUUAGUUCAUGAUGCUAUAUGUCCAGCUUGUUUCCUAGUGAUCCGUGCCUCUUUUGAGGAUGAUCAGUAAGGGAGUUUUGAUACUUAUGUUAUGCUCUAUCCAUCCAUGUUUUUGUUUGCAUAUGUGGAGUGCUCUAGGUUGACUCAAUCGAGCUCAACUUUUGCUUCGUUGUUAAUCUGGGCAGAUCGUCAACUCGUUUGCGAUUUCGCCGGUGCUAUUGUUAGUGAUCCAUGCAUGCUAUGCCUUUAUUCUUGCCAUGUGUAGCUAGCAUAUUGUGCCUUCUUGCUGGCUAUAUGCUUUACUUGCCAUGACUUGCACCGUAGUGAGUGCAUCGAGCUCGUUUACAUGCCUUCGCGAGUUAAAUUUCUGCAUGUCUCAGUUUUCACUAAGUCUGAAAACUGAUUGUGUUUUAGCUAUGUUCGUGUGCCCGUUAAUAUAUUUUGUGAUCCCUUUUGGCCCCAGGUCACUUUGGGUGUUUUGUUAAGCUUGUUGAGUAGCUCCAUGCCAUGUUCUUACUUGUCAUGUUCAGGUCAUCUAUAAUGUUGUUUUGCUGCUCCGAAGAGAGCAUCGUGAUCUGAAAUUUCCGGCUAGUGUUAAUUUCACUAAGUCUGGAAUCUGUUUUGCAUAUUCAUUUUUGCCAUGCUUGUUUGAACCUCUUAAUGGAUGAAUUUGCCUAUGGCUCAGUGCUAGUGUUUUGUUAACCAUCUUGUGUACAUCACUGCCAUGUAUUUUGUUUUCAUAUUUGGUGGCUGUAGCAUGUUCAUUUCGUUGCAUUUAGGAGCCUACUUGCUGUAUAUCGCAGAUCGGUUCGUUUCGUAAAACGCUCGCCAUUUCCAAACCGUAGCUCCGAUUCCAAUGAUCUUUAUAUCGUUUUCAAGAAAUUUCAUCCCCUCUAUCCAGUGGCACACUUGGUUUUCCAAGUUGAUGCCAGGUUCAUGCAUUUCCUGUCAUAUCUUGCAUUUUGCAUCCCGCAUAGCAUAUCAUCAUUUCAUCAUAUUGCUUGGUCUUGCCCGUGGUUGAUUGUAUCCUUGUUGCUUGUUUGUCUUGUUGGGUAGAUCCGGGAGACGAGUUCGCUACCGAGGAGCCCGUUGAGUUUGCUUGUGAGGAUCCAGUCAACUCUGACAACUGUGCAGGCAAGAUGAUCAUACCCUCAAAAUCACUACUAUCUUUGCUAUGCUAGUUUGCUCGCUCUUUUGCUUUGCCACUGCUACGAUGCCUACCUUUUGCUUGUCAGCCUCCCAAUUGCCAUGUUGAACCUCUAACCCACCAUUGUCCUAGCAAACCGUUGAUUGGCUAUGUUACCGCUUUGCUCAGCCCUUCUUAUAGCGUUGUUAGUUGCAGGUGAAGAUUGGAGCCGUUCCUUGUUGGAACAUUUAUUUUACUUGUUGGGAUAUCAUUAUAUUUCUAUGUUGUCUUAAUGCAUCUAUAUACUUGGUAAAGGGUGGAGGGCUCGGCCUCUCGCCUAGUGUUUUGUUCCACUCUUGCCGCCCUAGUUUCCGUCAUAUCGGUGUUAUGUUCCCGGAUUGUUGCGUCCCUUACGCGGUUGGGUUAUAAUGGGAACCCCUUGAUAUUUCGUCUUGAUUAAAGCUUGUCCAGCAAUGCCCAACCUUGGUUUUACCAUUUGCCACCUAGCCUUUUCUUUCCCUUGGGUUCUGCAGACUCAAAGGUCAUCUGAUUUUACCCGCCCCAUCGGGCCAGUGCUCCUCUGAGUGUUGGUCCACCUGUCAGCUACCGGUGGCCACCAGGGGCAGAUCUGGGCUGGCCUACCCGUACCUAGGACAAUCUGAGUGUGCCCUGAGAAAGAGAUAUGUGCAGCUCCUAUCGGGAUUUGUCGGCACAUUCGAGCGGUGUUGCUGGUCUUGUUUUAACCUAUCGAAGUGUCUUGAGUUACCAAGAUACCGAGUCUGAUCGAAAGGUCUUGGGAGGAGGUCUAUUCCUUCGUUGACCGUGAGAGCUUGUCAUGGGCUAAGUUGGGACUCCCCUGCAGGGAUUGAACUUUCGAAAGCCGUGCCCGCGGUUAUGGGCAGAUGGGAAUUUGUUAAUGUCCGGUUGUAGAUUACUUGAACUAAACUUAAUUAAAAUGAAUCAACCGUGUGUGUUACCGUGAUGGCCCCUUCUCGGCGGAGUCCGGGAAGUGGACACGGUGUUGGAGUUAUGCUCGCGCAGGAUGUUCCUUUAGCUUCUCGCUCGUGCUUCGCCUUCUCUUCUCGCUCUCUUUUGCGUAUAAGUUAGCCACCACAUAUGCUAGUCGCUUGCUGCAGCUCCACAUAUAUUUGCCUUAUCCAUUCCUAUGAGCUUAAAUAGUUUUGAUCGCGAGGGUGCGAGAUUGCUGAGUCCCUGUGGCUCACAGAUACUAUAACUCCAGAUGCAGGUCCAGGUGAUUUCGCUCCAGGUGACGAGUACGAGCUCAAGUGGGAGUUCGACGAGGACUCUCAGCGUUAUUAUGUUUCCUUUCCCGAUGAUCAGUAGUGGUGCCUAGUUGGGGAUCGAUUCAGGGCCUUGUCGCACGUUGGGUUCUUUUCUAUUUUGGCGCCGUAGUCGGGCCAUGAGUGUUUGUUUGAUGGAUGUUAUUUAUGUACUCUGAUGUGACGUGACGAGUGUAAGCCAACUAUGUUAUCUCCCCCUUUUAUUAUGUAUUACAUGGGAUGUUGUAAUGAUUGCCUGACUUGCGACAUUGCUUUCAAUGCGGUUAUGUCUCUAAGUCGUGCCUCGACACGUGGGAGCUAUAGCCGCAUCGAGGGCGUUACAACCUAAUAAUAAAGCAAAUUGGGUUUCUUUCGUCCAUCAUGUCAUUUUUCAGAAAAGUCCCUCUAUUUCAGAGAAUUCAACCCGCAGUCCUGUUUUAAGUUAAAAUGAAUCAUUAUUUUCGUAUUUUACACAAAAGUCCAUGUCUUUUCUUGAAAUCAACCCGCUGUCCGGAUUUAAGUCACACCCGAACCGUUAUUUUACAUUUUUCGAAACCCCCCCUGAUGUUUUAGGUAAUUCAUCCGCGGAUCAUAUUUAAGUCAACCAAAUGCUUUUUAAAAUCAUCCAUAUCUUUUAAACCGUAACUCCAAUUUGAACAUGUUAUAUAUGAAAUUUGAUUAAACAAAUAUGUGAAUAUGAAUAUAAGAUUAUUUUUACCUUUUAAGUAUCUUUAAAUAUUAUUUUGGAAUAUGUUUUAGUCAAACCAAAUGAUUUUCUAAAUUAUCUGUAUCUUUUAAACCGUAACUUCGAUUUUAACAUAUUAUAUAUGAAAUUUUAUUUAAAAAAUGUGUGGAAUCUAAAUAUGAUGUUAAUUUUACCUGUUAAAUAUUUUUAAAAUAUUGUUAUGGAAGAAAACUUAUAAUUUAUAGUGCAAGAUUCUUUUUUCAUACCGGCGGCGAUCCGGAUUGCAAAUAAACACUCCACUAUAACCAUAUAUGGAAAAGAAAACAUCGAUAACUACACCUUAAUACCUCUGAAAAAUGUCGCAAGGGAAAACAACAGAUUUCUCAUCGCGAGAGUGAGAGAAAGCGAGCGAGAGAGAGAGAGAGAUAGGUAGAGAGAGGGAGAGGGAGGGGAGAGGAAGAGAGAGACGCCUUAGGAUUAACCAUAUUCAACACACUUUUUUGUUGUUUUGUGUGAACAUCGAGGCCAUCGCCGACGAGGGUGAGAAGGAGGAUAAGCGGCAACAAAAAUAUGAUGCCUCGCAAAAAUAAAGAAGAUGGACCUAUUGUGGUCUUGAGUGAUGGUUGUUGAGUUAAGAGUGUGUGUUAUGUUUUCUCUCCCGGUGCAACGCACGGGCUCUUUUGCUAGUUAAUGAUAAUGUGCUUACCCUGAAUAGAAGAAUGAAUACCAUAGAAAGGAGAUCCUCCUUUUCCUUUCCAAGUGUCAAAGAUGGCACUACUUAGAUCUAUCUUCGCUUUUAUGCCUAGCUAGGGGCGUUAAACGAUAACGCUAGUUGGGAGGCAACCCAAUUUUCUUUGUGUUCUUUGUUUUUGUUCCUGUUUAGUAAUAAAUUUUGCAUCUACUUUCUGUUUAGAUGUGUUUUCAUGUUUUAAUUAGUGUUUGAGCCAAGUAGAACCUAUAGGAUAACCUAUGAUGAUAGUUGAUUUGAUUCUGCUGAAAAAUAGAAACUUUGCGCUCACGAGAAAAAAUUCAAUAAAUCACAGAAACGUGCUUUUGCAUUGAUUCUUUUUGCUGCUGAUCAAUAAAAAAUUGUCCAGUACGUCCUAUUUUGGUAGGAUUUUUAGAGUUCCAGAAGUUUGCGUUAGUUACAGAUUGCUACAGACUGUUCUGUUUUUGACAGAUUCUAUUUUUUGUUUGUUGUUUGCUUAUUUUGAUGCAUCUAUGGCUAGUAUGUAAGGGUAUGAACCACAGAGAAGUUGGAAUCACUACUGGAAUCAGCUACUUUGCCAUCUGCCAGCUCUUUGCCGUCUGCUAGCGGACAGCAAAUAAGCUCUUUGCCAUCAGCUACCCAAAAGCUGACGACAAAGAACUGGCUGAUGGCAAAGACCUUCUUUGCCAUCAGCCAGUUCUUUGCCGUCCGCUAGCGGACGGCAAAGAUUCUUUGCUGUCGGCUAGCGGACGGCAAAGAGGGAGGGGGGGACCCACUGACGAGCUGGUUAAAAAAAACUUAACGCCCCCCUCUUUGCCGUCUGCCAGCAGACGGCAAGGAGCAAGUAAGCGGAGGGCAAAGGGGGGCGGACGGCAAACGUUUAGGUUACUAACGGCGCCCCACCCCGCCCAUCUCUCUCUGUUCCCUCUCCUCCCCGACGACCACCGCCACCCGCCGCCUCCCCCGUCACCCACCGCGCUGCCCCCUUNNNNNNNNNNNNNNNNNNNNNNNNNNNNNNNNNNNNNNNNNNNNNNNNNNNNNNNNNNNNNNNNNNNNNNNNNNNNNNNNNNNNNNNNNNNNNNNNNNNNNNNNNNNNNNNNNNNNNNNNNNNNNNNNNNNNNNNNNNNNNNNNNNNNNNNNNNNNNNNNNNNNNNNNNNNNNNNNNNNNNNNNNNNNNNNNNNNNNNNNNNNNNNNNNNNNNNNNNNNNNNNNNNNNNNNNNNNNNNNNNNNNNNNNNNNNNNNNNNNNNNNNNNNNNNNNNNNNNNNNNNNNNNNNNNNNNNNNNNNNNNNNNNNNNNNNNNNNNNNNNNNNNNNNNNNNNNNNNNNNNNNNNNNNNNNNNNNNNNNNNNNNNNNNNNNNNNNNNNNNNNNNNNNNNNNNNNNNNNNNNNNNNNNNNNNNNNNNNNNNNNNNNNNNNNNNNNNNNNNNNNNNNNNNNNNNNNNNNNNNNNNNNNNNNNNNNNNNNNNNNNNNNNNNNNNNNNNNNNNNNNNNNNNNNNNNNNNNNNNNNNNNNNNNNNNNNNNNNNNNNNNNNNNNNNNNNNNNNNNNNNNNNNNNNNNNNNNNNNNNNNNNNNNNNNNNNNNNNNNNNNNNNNNNNNNNNNNNNNNNNNNNNNNNNNNNNNNNNNNNNNNNNNNNNNNNNNNNNNNNNNNNNNNNNNNNNNNNNNNNNNNNNNNNNNNNNNNNNNNNNNNNNNNNNNNNNNNNNNNNNNNNNNNNNNNNNNNNNNNNNNNNNNNNNNNNNNNNNNNNNNNNNNNNNNNNNNNNNNNNNNNNNNNNNNNNNNNNNNNNNNNNNNNNNNNNNNNNNNNNNNNNNNNNNNNNNNNNNNNNNNNNNNNNNNNNNNNNNNNNNNNNNNNNNNNNNNNNNNNNNNNNNNNNNNNNNNNNNNNNNNNNNNNNNNNNNNNNNNNNNNNNNNNNNNNNNNNNNNNNNNNNNNNNNNNNNNNNNNNNNNNNNNNNNNNNNNNNNNNNNNNNNNNNNNNNNNNNNNNNNNNNNNNNNNNNNNNNNNNNNNNNNNNNNNNNNNNNNNNNNNNNNNNNNNNNNNNNNNNNNNNNNNNNNNNNNNNNNNNNNNNNNNNNNNNNNNNNNNNNNACCCCGAAACAGCACCCCGACACGGCACCCCGACACCGACAGGACACCCCGACCCCCGACACCUCCCGAAAAGGUGUUCUUUGGCCUUCCAGAGGCCGACGGGGUCAUAUAUUUGUGAAUUAUUAGUUAGGUCAUAUAUUUUUUGAUUUUGUUAUGAAAAACAUCAUAUAUAAUUGUGUUGAUCAUGUAGUUUUAAAUGUGCAGUUGUUUCAUCGCUGCGAGGUUUGGUGUUCGACGACCUCGCCGUGCGUUUGACGAGCUCUGCCCCUUCAUUCGUGGGUGAGCACAAAUGACAAGUCCUCCUCCCCCAUUAAAGACCUAGACUUAGCUUUAUUUCCUCCAAUGCUUACCAUAAUGACCUAGACUUAGCUUCUUCACCUCCAAAAUGACUUAAUAAGCUUACUGACCUCCAAAACCAUCCAUUUUACCUAAGUUAGCUCUAAAACGAUCUGUACUUAGCUUUGUUUCCUCCAAAAUGACCAAAGUUAGCUCUAAUAUGCUUAGUUAACUAGGUUUGCUCAAUAAUGACAUGUACUUAGCUUACUUAUGUCAAAAUGGCAUAAUUAGCUUAGUUGGCUCAUAAACGAUCCAUUUUACCUAAGUUAGUUCUAAAAUGAUCCAUUUUACCUUACUUAGCUCAUAAACGAUCCAUUUUACCUACGUUAGCUCUAAAAUGACACAUUUAACCUUACUUAGCUCAUAAAUGAUCCAUUCUACCCAAGUUAGCUCUAAAAUGACCCAUUUUACCUAGGUUAGCUCCAAAAUGAUCCAUCUUACCUAGGUUACCUCUAAAAUGAUGCAUUUUACCUAAGUUUGCUCAUAAGCGAUCCAUUGCACCUAGGUUAGCUCAUAAACGAUCCAUUUCACCUAAGUUAGCUCACAAAUGAUCAAUUUCACCUAAAUUAGCUCAUAAAUGUCAUAUAUUCUUCUUCUUCUUCAUUUUCUUCUUCUUCUUCUUCUUCUAAUCUUCUUCUUCUUCUAAUCUUCUUCUUCUAACUUUCUUAUUUCCCAUUUUGCAGAAUUCAUUCACUUCACGGAAGCUUGCAUAGAUGGAGUGCUUGUUUGGAUGAACUAUGUUUCCUUUGUAUCUAUGAACUAUGCAUGUAUGGUAGGAUGACACUAUUGUAAUAUGUAUGGUUGGAUGCAUGUAUGUCGAACUUGCUAUGUAUGGUUGAUGGAACUAUGCAUGUAUGAUGAAAUUAUAUGUGUUGGAUAUCUCAUAUGUUUGCUGUGAACUUGCCAUGUGAAAAAUAUAUAUGUAUCAUCUAUUUGCUGUGAAAAUGGUUGGGUAUAUGAAAAAACAGAGGCAAUGCAGGCUCUUUGCCGUCUGCCACUGACGGCAACGGGCUCUUUGCCGUCUGCCGCUGACGGCAAAGAAGCCACAUGGCAUCCAGCUGUGCUUCCUGGGAGCUGACCCAUUUGGUCAGUUUGCCUACAGUGGCGGACGGCAAAGAACCUGCCAUGUAGUGACGUAUAGAUGACAUCAUACGGCGGACGGCAAAGACCCUAGAAAUUUUGCCGUCAGCAGCGGACGACAAAGGCCUUCCGUUAGCCACUUAACGGACUGACAGCGCAAUUAUUGCCGUCCGCUCUCUUUGCCGUCCGCCGCGCUCUCUUUGCCGUCCGCCGCAGACGGCAAAGACUUUGCUGUCAGUAGCAGAUGGCAAAGUAGCUGUUUACCGAAGCCUACUUUGCCGGAGCCUUUUGCCGUCCGUGGCUUACGGCAAAGGCCUUUGCCGUCCGCCGUUCGGGCCUUUGCCGUCCGCCGUGGCGGACGGCAAAGUAGCUGAUUCCUGUAGUGAAUACAGUAAGUUUAACACCAAAAUAAAUAAAGAAUGAGUUCAUUAUAGUACCUUAUGUGGUGGUUUUGUUUUCUUUCACUAACAGAGCUUAUAAGAUUUCCUGUUGAGUUUUGUGUUGUGAAGUGUUCAAGUUUUCGUAAAGCUUUUAUGGACUAUGGAGCAAGGAGUGGCAAGAGCCUAAGAUUGGGGAUGCGCUUGGCACCCCAAGAUAUUAAAGAAUAGCCAAAAGCCUAAGCUUGGGGAUGCCCCGAGAAGGCAUCCCCUCUUUCUUCUUCGUUCAUUGGUAACUUUACUUGGAGCUAUAUUUUUAUUCGCCACAUGAUAUGUGUUUUUCUUAGUGCGUCGUGUAUUAUAUUAGUCUUUCCUUUUUAGUUUACCACAAUCAUCCUUGCUGUACACACAUUUUGGGAGAAGCCUAUUUGAUUAGAAUUUAUUAGAAUUUGCUAUGUGCUUCACUUAUAUCUCUUGAGCUUGAUAGUUUUUGCUCUAGUGCUUCACUUAUAUCUUUUAGAGCACGGCGGUGACUUAUUUUUGUAGAAAUUGCUAGUCUAUCAUGCUUCACUUAUAUUAUUUUGAGAGUCUUUUAGAACAGCAUGGUAUUUGCUAUGGUUAUAAAAUUGGUCCUAGAAUGGUAGGCAUCCAAGUUGGGUAUAAUAAAAACUAUCAUAGGAAGUGAAUUGGAUGCUAUGAUCAAUUUGAUACUUGAUAAUUGUUUUGAGAUAUGGAGGUAGUGAUAUUAAAGUCAUGCUAGUUGGGUGAUUAUGAAUUUAAAGAAUGCUUGUGUUGAAGUUAGCAAGUCCCAUAGCAUGCACGUAUGGUUAAAGUUGUGUAACAAAUUUGAAACAUGAAGUAUACCUGGCUUGUGCAUACUUAUGAGUGGCGGUCGGGGACGAGCGAUGGUCUUUUCCUACCAAUCUAUCCCCCUAGGAGCAUGCGCAUAUUGCUUGAUUUUUGAUGACUUCUAAAUUUUUGCAAUAAGUAUAUGAGUUCUUUUGACUAAUGUUGAGUCCAUGGAUUGUACGCACUUUUACCUUUCCACCAUUGCUAGCCUCUUCGGUACCGUGCAUUGCCCUUUCUCACUUUGAGAGUUGGUACAAACUUCGCCGGUGCAUCCAAACCCCGUGAUAUGAUAUUCUCUAUCACACAUAAACCUCCUUAUAUCUUCCUCAAAACAGCCACCAUACCUACCUAUUAUGGCAUUUCCAUAGCCAUUCCAAGAUAUAUUGCCAUGCAACUUUCCACCGUUCCGUUCAUCAUCAUCAUGACAUACUUUACUUUUGUCAUAUUGCCAUUGCAUGAUCAUGUAGUUGACAUCGUAUUUGUGGCAAAUUCACCAUGCAUCAUUUUUCAUACAUGUCACUUUUGAUUCAUUGCACCAUCCCGGUACACCGCCGGAGGCAUCAUAUAGAGUCAUAUCUUGUUCUAGUUUCGAGUUGUAAUUCAUAUGUUGUAAUUAAUGAAAGUGUGAUGAUCAUCAUUAUUAGAGCAUUGACCAAAAAAAGAAAGGCCAAAAAAAGGCCCAAAAGAAAAGAAGAAGAAAAAAAGAAAAGAAAGAAAGAAAGAAAGAAAAAAAAUAAAAGAAAUAAAAAGGGCAAUGUUACUAUCUCUUUUACACACUUGUGCUUCAAAGUAGCACCAUGUUCUUCAUGUAGUGAGUCUCAUAUUUUGUGCUUCAAAGUAGCACCACGUUUUUCAUAUGGUGAGUCUCAUAGGUUGUCUUUUUCAUACUAGUGGGAAUUUUUCAUUAUAGAACUUGGCUUGUAUAUUCCUACGAUGGGCUUCCUCAAAUGCCCUAGGUCUUCGUGAGCAAGCAAGUUGGAUGCACACCCACUAGUUUUCUUUUGUUGAGCAUUCAUUUAUAGCUCUAGUGCAUCCGUUGCAUGGCAAUCCCUACUCCUCAUGUUGACAUCAAUUGAUGGGCAUCUCCAUAGCCCGUUGAUUAUCCUCGUCAAUGUGAGACUUUCUCUUUUUUUGUCUUCUCCACACAAUCCCCAUCAUCAUAUUCUAUUCCACCCAUAGUGCUAUAUCCAUGGCUCACGCUCAUGUAUUGCGUGAAGGUUGAAAAAGUUUGAGAUUAUUUAAGUAUGAAACAAUUGCUUGGCUUAUCAUCGGGGGUAUAGAAGUUGGGAACAUCUUUGUGUGACGAAAAUGAAGCAUAGCCUAACUAUAUGAUUUUGUAGGGAUGAACUUUCUUUUGCCAUGUUAUUUUGAGAAGACAUGAUUGCUUUGAUUAGUAUGCUUGAAGUAUUACUAUUUCUUUUAUCAAUAUGAACUUUUAUUUUGAAUCAUUUGGAUCUGAACAUUCAUGCCACAAUAAAAGAAAAUUACAUUGAGAAUUAUGCUAGGUAGCAUUCCACAUCAAAAAUUCUGUUUUUAUCAUUUACCUACUCGAGGACGAGCAUGAAUUAAGCUCGGGGAUGCUUGAUACGUCUCCAACGUAUCUAUAAUUUUUUAUUGUUCCAUGCUAUUAUAUUACCCCUUUUGGAUGUUUAUGGCCUUUAUACACAUUUAUAUCAUUUUUGGGACUAAUCUACUAACCGAAGGCCCAGCCCGUAUUGCUGUUUUUUUUGCCUAUUUUAGUAUUUCAAAGAAAAGGAAUAUCAAACGGAGUCCAAACGGAAUGAAACCUUUGGGAGCGUGAUUUUUGGAAGGAACAUGAUCCAGAGGAUUUGGAGUGAAAGUCAAGAAGCAACCGAGGCGGCCACAAGAGGGGAGGGCGGGCCCCCUGUCUUGUGGGCCCCUCGGGCGGCCACUGACGUACUUCUUCCUCCUAUAUAAGCCUACAUACCCCGAAAACAUCCAGGGAGCAAGAAAAACACAAUUUCCACCGCUGUAACCUUCUGUAUCCGCGAGAUCCCAUCUUGGAGCCUUCGCCGGUGCUCCGCCGGAGGGGGAAUACCAUGGAGGGCUUCUACAUGAACACCAUAGCCCCUCCGAUGAGUUGUGAGUAGUUUACCACAGACCUUCGGGUCCAUAGUUAUUAGCUAGAUGGCUUCUUCUCUCUUUUUGGAUCUCAAUACAAUGUUCUCCCCCUCUCUUGUGGAGAUCUAUUCGAUGUAAACUCUUUUUGCGGUGUGUUUGUUGAGAUCCUAUGAAUUGUGGGUUUAUGGUCAAGUUUAUCUAUGAGAAAUAUUUGAAUCUCCUCUGAAUUCUUUUAUGUAUGAUUGAGUUAUCUUUGCAAGUCUCUUCGAAUUAUCAGUUUGGUUUGGCCUACUAGAUUGAUCUUUCUUCCAUUGGAGAAGUGCUUAGCUUUGGGUUCAUUCUUGCGGUGUCCUUACCUAGUGACAGAAAGGGUUGCAAGGCACGUAUUGUAUUGGUGCCAUCGAGGAUAAAAAGAUGGGGUUUAUAUCAUAUUGCAUGAGUUUAUCCCUCUACAUCAUGUCAUCUUGCUUAAUGCAUUACUCUGUUCUUUAUGAACUUAAUACUCUAGAUGCAGGUAGGAGUCGGUCGAUGUGUGGAGUAAUAGUAGUAGAUGCAGGCAGGAGUCGGUCUACUUGUUGCGGACGUGAUGCCUAUAUACAUGAUCAUGCCUAGAUAAUCUCAUAACUAUUCACUUUUCUAUCAAUUGCUCGACAGUAAUUUGUUCGCCCACCGUAAUACUUAUGCUAUCUUGAGAAAAGCCUCUAGUCAAACCUAUGGCCCCCGGGUCUAUCUUUUAUCAUAUUAGCUUUCAAUCUACUUUUAUUUGCAUCUUUACUUUUUGCAUCUAUAUUAUAAACUACGAAAAAUAUAUUUAUCUUAUCAUACUAUCUCUAUCAGAUCUCACUUUUGCAAGUGGUCGUGAAGGGAUUGACAACCCCUUUAUUGCGUUGGUUGCGAGUUUUUUGUUUGUUUGUGUAGGUGCGUGGGACUUUUGAGGAGCCUCCUACUGGAUUGAUACCUUGCUUCUCAAAAACUGAGGGAAAUACUUACGCUACUAUUGCUACAUCACCCUUUCCUCUUCAAGGAAAACCAACACAAGCUCAAGACGUAGCAGUUCUUCGCUUCGAAAGUUGUCGGGGGAGCCGAACACAACAUCCAAUGUUAGAGAGCCCGUGCAGCGGGCUUCCACGCCCGGUAUGACUCCUUUGAAGGUAGUGCUACUUGGCUUCAUUCUUGAUGGGUCUAUCCCCAUCUUUCGGACAGUGUCCUGAUAUAUCAGAUUGAGACUGCUGCCGCCGUCCAUGAGGACUCGAGUGAGGUGGUAUCCGUAGAUUAUUGGGUCGAGCACUAGGGCAGCCGAACCCCCGUGACAGAUACUACUCGGGUGAUCCUGCGAUCAAAGGUGAUCAGACAGGCCGACCAUGGGUUGAACUUUGGGGCGACGGGCUCAACAACAUUUAUGUCUCGGAGUGCACGUUUGAGCUCCCUCUUUGGGAUGUGAGUGACAUAGAUCAUGUUCACUGUUUUGAUCUCCGGUGGAAAUUUCUUUUGUCCCUCUGUGUUCAGCUGGCGAAGUUCAUCCUCGUCUUCACUCUAAGGUCCCUUCCCUUUGUGUUCGGCUUGAGUUUGCCGGCCUGCUUGAAGACCCAACAUUCUCUGUUGGUGUGGUUGGCUGGUUUUUCGAGAGUGACGUGGAUCUGGCAGGACCUGUCUAGAAUUUUAUCCAGGUUGGAUAGACUGUCUUUGUUGCCUUUAAAUGGCUUCUUCCGUUGACCGGUCUGGAGCCCCAGAAUCCGGCAUUUACCAUUGUAUUGUCUGGGCUUUCUUCAUUAUUUUGAUGUUUAUUUUUGUUGCAUCGUGGUUUUCCAUUACCGUCCCUGACUUCGGAUGUGCCGGGGUCGCUGGUGCUACUGCGGGCUAACCAGCUGUCUUUGCCCACGCAAAAGCGGGUCAUGAGUGUGGUUAAGGCGGCCAUAGUCCUUGGCUUUUCCCGGCCGAGGUGUCUGGCUAGCCAUUCAUCCCGGAUACUGUGUUUGAAGGCCUCUAAGGCUUCGGCGUUCGGACAGUCGAUGAUUUGGUUCUUCUUAGUGAGAAACCGGUUCCAAAGCUUACGGGCUGAUUCUCCGGGUUGCUGGAUUAUAUGACUUAGAUUGUUUGCAUCCGGGGGCCGAACAUAGGUCCCUUGGAAAUUGUCCCAAAAAUCAUCCUCAAGUUCCUCCCGGCUUCCUAUGGAGUUUUUAGCCAGUGCCGAGCUGGUCCUUUUAGCUUGAGGGGUAAAUAUUUGAUGGCGUGGAGAUCAUCUCCGCGAGCCAUGUGGAUGUGAAGAAUAAAGUCUUCUAUCCAAACCGCAGGGUCCGUCGUUCCAUCAUAUGCCUCGAUGUUUACGGGUUUGAACCCUUCUGGAAAAUCAUGUUCCAGCACCUCAUCGGUGAAGCACAGGGGGUGUGCAGCACCCCUGUAUCUGGCCGUGUCAUGGAUUGGGUCGGACGGUUGUAGUGUUUGGUAUUGGUUCCAAGCUGGUAAAUGGCCGGCGUAUUUUGUUUGAUAAUCCUGGUCCCGUGUAGGCGCACGUUCCUUGGAUCCGUAGAUGGACCUGGUUUUGCUAGCCUUUUUGUCCAGGUCCUCACGUAGAUCGUGUUUCUGAUCCCGGGCCGCGACCUUCCUUCCUUUAUGGGGAGGGGGUGCGGGCUUGUGUACGGCAUUGCUAGCCGCUCUGUCUUGACCACGAGGUGGUCGGUCCGGCCUAUCGGCCAUAUUGUUUUUCGGUGGUAUAGGCGCGAUAGCCUCGUCGUCGAAUUCGGGCAGCAGCUUACAUUUAGGAUAGCUCUUUGUCUAGCGAUUACCACUGUAUUUUUUCCUCAGCGUCUAGCACUUCGUUCCAUUUGUCAUUGAGCGUAUCCUGUGCGGCUUUAAGACGCUACUUCUGCUUCUUCAGGCUCCUUGCAGUGGCGAUAAGCCUUUGGUGGAGGCAUUCUUGUUCUAAUGGUUCUUCUGGGAUGACGAACUCGUCAUCGCCCAGGCUGGUCUCCUCUUUAGAGGCAGGUUGGUAAUUGCUAUCUUCGGCAUCGCUGUGGUCGGACAACAUCUCUGGACUAUGUUCGCUGUCCUCUUGCACGCCCUGCUCCGAUGCUGGGUCUGCGGGGUCCUCGGCUUGGUUCAGAUUAUCAUCGGCGUCUGUGACCAUGUUGCUGUUUUUCUUUUUGUCGGAUCGAGGUUGGCGCUUAGGGCGUCGGCGCUUGCGAGGUUCAUCGACAGGCAUGCUGUUAUCUCCUUCGACCUCAUUCUCCUUUGGUGUGUCCACCAUGUAUAUAUCAUAUGACGAUGUAGUCGUCCACUGCCCUAAAGGUGGUGGUUUUUGUGCCUGCUCCUCUCCGGCAUCAUCGUCCAUGCCGUCGAUGUCCUCGGAGCCGUAAUUGAGCAUGUCGAUUAUGUCCUCGACAGUGGCAAUGAAGUGGGUGGUGGGUGGGAAACGAAGUUCUUCAUCGUCCUCUUCCCAUUCGAGCCGGACAUAGUUCGGCCGAGAAUUCCCUGACAAGGGGAGGGACUUCAAUGAGUAUAACACGUAGCCAAAAGGUGAGUGCUGAAAGAUGUCCGCGGAGCUGAACUCCAAGACCAGCGCCCAAUCGGGUUUGAUGGACACGGAUGCACGCGGUUCAGAAGCCAUGGUUGGAGACGAGUCCGAGGUUCCGGUGACACCAUCCUAGCUCGAUGUUGGGUCUGUGCGCGGCUCGAGCACCGCUGAAUCUGCGACCUCUGUGGAGGGAUUAAGCCUCCCGUCUUCGGAAGAUGCAGUCCGCUCCGGCUCUAGGGCCAGGGCGGUCACAGGCGCUAUCUCCUAUGCGUGGCCAGAUGACAGAUCAAAGGUCAUGUUCAUCGUGGUGGUCGGGGGCAGCCGUCAUGGGCCCGAACCCGUCGAAGAUCAAGUCUCCACGGAUAUUGGCCACAAAAUUCAGGCUUCCAAAUCUGACCAGAUGGCCAGGGGCGUACACUACAAAAAAAUACACUUCCAUGAUGAUACGUGUUUGUCAAAGUAGGUCGCGUUUUUUUUCAUGCAUGUACAUCCAUGACGAUUUUAUGACAGAAUCAAGAUAGUCAUACCUGUGCUGUCGUAGAAGUGUUCCAUGACAUUACCAAAAUUAUCAUCACGGAAGUUUCCACUUCCAUGACGAUAAAUCGCGCGUCACAGAAGUGCUUUCGUCAAGGGUGACCGACAUGUGGCAUCCAUCGUAACGGAACGCCGUUAAGCUAUCGGGCCGGGUUUUGGAUCCGAUAACCCGUUAACAGCCCCGACCAAUGGGGAUUUUCCAUGUGUAAAAUCAUCAUUGGCUGGAGGAAACACUUGUCGACUCAUCAUUGGGAUAGAUGUCAUCCAUUCAUUGGACAGAAGGCGCCUAUGAUACGUCAACACGUGGCAAGGCCCAACAGAGGCCCAUUCCUGUGAAAAGGCUGGCCCGUUUGACUUGGUCAAAUGGUGGCGGCCCGGCCCAUGGAAAGCCUCUUAACGACAUGUUCGCAUAUAGCCCAUUUACAGCCCGCUAACCCAAGGCCCGUUACGCCCUAUCCGAAUUAGGUCCAGUAGCGUCAUCUGCGCCAUCCAAUAUGAUUCUAGCCCGUUUUCACUUCUGGCCCAUGUAUGGCCCAUUACGUCUUUCGGCCCAUAUGAGGCCCUUUGUAACUCUUGGCCCAUUAACGGCCCGUCGUGAAACUGGCCCGUAAUGAACAGUGUAUCACUUUACACCCAUUAAGGGCCCGUGCUGAAACUGGCCCGUAAUGAACAGUGUAUCACUUUAUACCCAUUAACGGCCCGUUAUUCCAUUGGGCCGGUUCCAGCCCAUGUUAUCUUUCGGCCUUCUCAGAGCCCAUUUAUUCUUGGGCUCAUUUCCAGCAUUCGUUUACUUACGGCCCGUUACUGUCAUUUUCUGCUUGUGGGCCAAAUUCAGCCCGUGGUUACAGUCGGCCCGUUUUUGGUCCGUUAAUACGUUGGGCUGUUUUCAUAGCGUCAUCAAAUAUGGUCUGCCGGUGUCAAAACCGGCGGAUCUCGGGUAGGGGGUCCCGAACUGUGCAUCUAGGCGGAUGCUAACAGGAAACAAGGGACAUGAUGUUUUACCCAGGUUCGGGCCCUCUCGAUGGAGGUAAAACCCUACGUCCUGCUUGAUUAAUAUUGAUGAUAUGGGUAGUACAAGAGUAGAUCUACCACGAGAUCAAGGAGGCUAAACCCUAGAAGCUAGCCUAUGGUAUGAUUGUUGUUCGUCCUAUGGACUAAAACCCUCCGGUUUAUAUAGACACCCGAGAGGGCUAGGGUUACACAGAGUCGGUUACAAUGGUAGGAGAUCUACAUAUCCGUAUCGCCAAGCUUGCCUUCCACGCCAAGGAAAGUCCCAUCCGGACACGGGACGAAGUCUUCAAUCUUGUAUCUUCAUAGUCUUGGGGUCCGGCCGAUGAUGAUAGUUUGGCUAUCGGGACACCCCCUAGUCCAGGACUCCCUCAGUAGCCCCUGAACCAGGCUUCAAUGACAACGAGUCUGGCGCGUAUAUUGUCUUCGGCUUUGCAAGGCGGGUUCUCCUUCAAAUUCCAUGUGCUUGCCGAAUAGUGUCCGGCUUCCUUAUAAAUGUUGCGCUCCUUGGCUUCCACGUCCAAUAAUGGCCCUCUUCCACGUGUCGUAUGAAUGCGAUAAGCCAGGGUAUUUUUAUGUUUCACCCCCUAGCCACGCGAAUAAGCUGCCUAUAAGAGAGGCGAGGAUCUAGAUCCGAAUCACACCAUCCUCCUUCCGCAAGUACUCAUCGAAGUGCUUCUGACAAAAAUCCAUUCCAUCAUGGACAGUCGACGCGGCUCCUCCUCUCGCGCUCCCAGCCCUCAGCCAGGAGAUUGGGGGAGAUGUUCAGUCCCGCAUAGCGAGCUAGUGACGCUCCAAGCAGAGGGACAUCUUCCCCCAGCCUUCAUGGUUCCGGUUCGAGCCGGACUGGCCACCUACAAGGGUGGAAAGCAGGCGGAGAGCGUCCCCAAUCCCUCCAAAGGAGAGCGGGUAUGCUUUGUCCCUUAUCUAAUAAGGGGACUCAGAUUUCCCAUACAUCUGUUUCUACGGGGGCUCCUGGAGUUCUAUGGACUCCAGCUUCACCAUCUUACACCUGCCUCCAUUUUGCACAUCGCGGGCUUUGUAGCCCUUUGCGAGCUAUUCUUGGGCAUCGAGGCCCACUUUGCGCUGUGGAAGAGAUUGUUUUGCCUCGUACCCCAUUCUCACGAGGGGUCGAUAUAUGAAGUGGGCGGAGCCGAAAUAUGGCGCAUCACCGGGACCGGAUAUCCAUCCGGAACCCCAAAGAAGGCGUCCGAAGACUGGCCUUCGGAAUGGUUUUAUAUGGAAGACGCCCCACUGCCAGACCCAGUUCGGAUCGGCCUCCCGGAGUUCAGCAACGCUCCUCUGAAGAAACGCCUGAGCUGGCGCCCGCGGAGCCCUCAACGGGAGAAUGAUAGGGGCAUCCAAUAUCUGAUGGGCCGGAUAAGGUUACUGGCCCAUUCCGGAUUGACCAUGAUUGGAGUCAUGGCAACGUGCAUCAUGCAAGGGGUGCAGCCCCUCCAAUAUAGGGGCCACCCUAUGUGGGAUUUCAACGGGGAGGAUGACGCCACCCGUCAUGGCUGCAAGGGGCCGGGAUCGGUUUAUGAUCUCGUGAAGAUCCUGUCCAUCUUGUACAAGGGGGAGAAAGAGGACUUCCUCCGUGCGAGUCCAUUGAAUGGAUUCUCCAUGAAUAACACUCGGAGCUGGGUAAGCGGACGUUUAUCUAUCCAAUCCAUAUUCCCAAAGUUAAGUGUCUCACUUUAUGAUUUUGACGCAGGAGCUGCACCGGGACGUAGAGGGCAUACAUAGCUUGACUCCACAGCGUGAGGAUCCGGGACGAUCCCUUGAUCCGGCCUCUGAAGAGGAUCCAGACAUAAAGGUGGAGCUGAUCGAUGGGGUGUUCCGCCAACUUAGUGUGGACAAUGCUUUGGUCGCCAUUACGGCCGACUACCCCGGUUUGACUCCGGCUUCCCAGGUAACUAUGACCGGAGUCCUGACAUCAUUGCUUAUCCAUGCUCAUUUCUGACCACCGUAUACCAACGGUGCUCCGCAGGAGGCGCCUUUAGGGCGGGAAGCCGAACCCGUGGUGGCUGACCAACAAGGGUCAGUUCGGCCCAGCAGGCGGAAGAGGAGUGCAGCGUGAAUCGAAACGUCGCCCAACGAUACAGCGCUCCACCGUUUUUAAGGGAAAGAUUCCUAGGAGGUAUAGUAACCCUCAUGAUUUUUCCAGGAGAAAGAGCGCUCGUCGGACAGUGUCCGGAGAGGUUGCCAAUCAAGCCUCCGCCAGCCAUGCUCCAACGCCUGGUCCAGAGGGGGAGGCGAACACAAGGCAUGAGCCGGAUGCUCCUCCAACGGAGGAUGCCGACAGGCUGUCGCCACCAGGUCUGAGGUGGAGAGUGCCAUGAAUCACAGGCGCCGCCGGACAGUUCUUCGUGACACGUGUUUCUCCCCGGAGGCACUGAAUGCCUUUAAUACGGGAGGCGCACACCUCCGUGCCGCUCGAGAUGGUCUAACCAGAGCCACGGAGCAGUAUGUGAAAGACAUACGAGUGAGGAAUUUUAAUAGUUAUAUAUGCCAGUAGCCCCCGAGACUUAAAAUAGUUAGAAUAACUGAUUUAAGGAUCAUUUGUUAUGCAGGAUCUUACGGAGAAGAAUACCCACCUGUCCCAGGAGCUUCAAGAGUGCAAGGCCCAACUUGAGGCCGUACUGGCCGCCGCGGGGGGAGCCAUAGAGACCCCCUCUGGUAAUGCAUACUUUGAAAAGAUAAGCCUUUUAUGAAGUGCGGCGCAUGUAUAAGUCUGACAAUAAUAUUGCAGAUGGUGCCGGACUAGAUCCGGACAAGCAACAUCUACUGCGCCAGCUAAAAGCCGGCGAGAAGGUGCUUAUGAGGGUGCAGCAGGAUAGGAACAGACUCCAAGAUGCCAACACCCAACUGGGCGAAGAACUAAAAGAUGUUUGGGUCCAGCUGUCUGACUCCGUGAAGGAGAAUCGGCGGCUUCGUCGUGGCAUUUACAGUAAGUGCUUGAGCAAACUCUUUUGAAAAGAAGAGUUCGGCGAGGAAGUCGAUUGACAGAAAUGUGUCUGUAGGUGUGCUCACAGGUCGUCCUGCGGAGGAAAUGCUCGGUUCAACGGGUGACCUACUUCCCGAGUUGCUGCAACUGCACGAACGUGUUCGGCAGGCGAUGAGAAGCGUUGCCCAGGCCUUAUGGCCGUCCAUCUCCCUACCCGAGGGUCUUGGAGGGCUUGUGGAGAAGCUUCAGGGAGCACGGCAGCGCUUCCGUUUGUGGAAGAUAUCGGCCUGCCGUCAAGGCGCCAGGGAGGCCUGGGCCAUGGUGAAGACGUGGUACACGAAGGCUGAUCUGAACCACAUUGCCGAGGUCGGACCUAUGGGGCCUGAUGGGAAGGAGAUCCCUGUGAGCUUAAUGUACGGCCAAGUAGAGUUGGCCGCUAAGUAUUCCCAACGGGACUAUAAACUAGACAGCCUGUUAGACGAGAUUGAAGAGGAAUACAAUCAGUCAAGUUGAUGAUGUAAUUUAAAAUGACAUGUAAAAUGCCUUCUAGCCGGAUUGUAGAUCAUUUGUCUUUGCGGACCUGUUCGCUUCAACCUCUGGACCCAACAGUCCGGAGUGUGUCCGAAUACCCUCACGGUUAUGUAAAAACCAGGGCAUGCAUGGAGACCAGCCGUAGGGGUCAUUAGUGCUUUAUCAGACAAGUGCCCAACUAGUUAUGUUAUAUUACAUGGUUAGUAAGAAACAUCUUCCAGGGAGAAUAGUUCCGUUAGGGGUUCCUUUCCCUGGGAGGCAUGCCCUAAAGUGCAUGUCCAGACUGCGAAAAGAGCAGAAAAAAAGCGUCUAGGGGCAGAUAAAUAAAUAAGUAAGGAAUCAUCUUUCAAGUCACCGACCGAAUAUUCCCUUAAGAACGCUAGCUUUCGGCUUCACCCAGUCUGAGGUACACAUCCGGCUGACCCGGCAGUAACAAUCGCAGAGGUGCUCCCUUUACCUCCUAGCCGAACAAUCGAGAACGUAGGGGUAAGCACAGGAGCCAGGCAACCCAGCUUGGCCAAAACUUAAGUCAUAUCGAUGCAUAUAAUGGUGAAUAAAAGGUACAUGCGGAAGUGUGACACAUGUUUUGGGCAUGAAGCCCUUAUAAAUAAGCUUCUGUUAAAGAAGCCCCCAGGUAUAAUGAGUGCGAGCCGCAUGUCAAGUGUGUGCGCACAAUGCGCAGAUCAGCCCUCAAAGGCUUUACGAAAAAAGGGAGGAAGAGAGAGAAAAAUAAAAGACAGCUAAAGUAUAAAAUGUGGACGGAGGAAGGAGACGAACUCUGAGUCCGGCGCUAGGCGUAGAAUCUUCGGAGACGGGCUGCGUUCCAUGGGUUCGGCUCGAGUCGGUUGUCUGAUGCGUUUCGUAGACGGUAUGCUCCGCCGGUCGGGACUUGGUCGAUGAUGAAGGGACCUUCCCAUUUGGGCUUGAGUUUGUCCUUUUCUUGUCCGGCAGGCAUAGAACUAAUUCGCCAACAUUGUAAGUUUUGGCCCGUACUUCUCAGCUUUGAUAUCUUCGAGCCUGCUGUUGAUAGAAUGCGGAACGAGCUUUUGCCACGUCACGCUCCUCUUCUAAGGCAUCCAAACCGUCCUGCCGAUCCAGCUCGGCUUCUCUUUCUUCGUACAUUCGCAUGCGAGGUGAGUCAUGAAUUAUGUCGCAGGGCAAAACUGCCUCUGCGCCGUACACCAUAAAAAAUGGUGUAAAUCCGGUAGUGCGGUUUGGCGUGGUCCGCAGCCCCCAGAGUACGGAGUCGAGCUCCUCCACCCAGUGCGUGUUAGAUUCCAUGAGGGAGCGCACUAGCCUAGGUUUGAUGCUGCUCAUGACUAGACCAUUUGCUCGUUCGACUUGACCGUUAGUUUGAGGGUGAUAGACUGAAGCGUAAUCGAGCUUGAUGCCCAUAGUUUUGCACCAGAGUUUAACCUCGUCGGCCGUGAAGUUCGUGCCGUUAUCAGUGAUCAUGCUAUGGGGGACGCCAUAACGGUGUACCACCCCAGAUAUGAAGUCUAUCACAGGUCCGGAUUCGGCCGUUUUAACUGGCUUGGCCUCUAUCCAUUUGGUGAAUUUGUCCACCAUGACCAAUAGGUAUUUUUGCUUGUGGGUUCCCCCUUUAAGGGGGCCAACCAUGUCAAGCCCCCAGACCGCGAACGGCCAGGUGAUGGGUAUAGUUUUGAGGGCGGUGGGCGGCAUGUGGCUUUGAUUAGAAAAGAGCUGGCAACCGACGCAUCGUUGGACUAAGUCCUAAGCAUCUGCCCGGGCCGUCGGCCAAUAAAAUCCUGUAUGGAAGGCCUUGCCUACAAGGGCCCGGGCUGCGGCGUGGUGCCCGCCGAGUCCGGCGUGAAUUUCAGCCAGAAGAUUUCGCCCUUCCUCUUCGGAGAUGUACCUUUGAAGGACUCCGGUUGGGCUUUUCUUGUAAAUCUCUCCCUCAUGGACCUUGUAGGCCUUAGAUCGCCGUACUAUGCAACGGGCCUCGUUUUGGUCUUCGGGGAGUUCCUGCCUAAUUAAGUAGGCUAGGAAUGGUUUCGUCCACGGGGCAAUGACUGCCAUUAUUUCGUGGGCUGAAGGUGUUAUUUCAUUGGCUAAGCCACCGACUGUGUCAGAAUGUUCGAUGUUGGGAGGUGCGGUUGGCUCCGGGUUGUUGUUUCCGGACUCCUCUUCCCAUAAUACGGAUGGCUUAAAGAGCCGCUCUAGGAAGAUGUUUGGAGGGACGGCGUCGCGUUUUUGAAAGUGCUAGUUAUCGACUAGAGGGGGGUGAAUAGGCGAUUUUUAGGAAAGUCUUCAAAACAUGGAAUUUUCGAAGACAAACGAUAGAAACAGCCUAAUUGAUAUGCAGCGGAAGAUAAACUACAACAAGCAAGCCAUAAUCAAGUAUGCAAUAGCAUUAACGUUUGAAGAUUAAUAGCAGCUAGGUAGUAGGAUCAGGAUGGAAGAUAGUAUGAAGCCAAUCAACAAUAGUAGUCAAGCAAUGAAGUCAAUCGGAUAAAACAAUAAGCAAUGACUUCACGAAGACAAACUCAAAGUAAAGGAGGGAAGAGAUAGAACCAAUUGCUUGUUGAGGACACAGGAUUUGUUGGACCAGUUCCAGUUGCUGUGACAACUGUACGUCUGGUUAGGGAGGCUGAGAUUUAACUCAGAAGACCAUGUCUUCACCUUAUUCCCCUUGAGCUAAGGCCACUUAGUCCUCGCCCAAUCACUCUGGUAAGUCUUCAAGGGAGAAUUCCAAACCUUCACAGACUUUGUUCACUCGGCAAUCCACAAUGACUCUUGGAUGCUCAGAACGCGACGCCUAACCGGCUGGAGGAUACACAGUCCUCAAGUGUAAUAAGUCUUUAGGUCACACAGACAGAAAGACUUCAGUGAUGCCUAACACUCUUUGGCUCUGGAUGUUUGGGCUUUGUCCUUGCAAGGAUUUCUUUCUCUCAAAUGCUUCGAGGUGGGUUGCUCUCAAACGACAAAAGCCGUAUACAAACUCUGAGCAGCCACCAAGUUAUGGUGUAGGGGGUGGGCUAUUUAUAGCCACCAGGCAACCCGACCUGAUUUGUCCAAAAUGACCCUGGGUCACUAAGGAACUGACACGUGUUCCAACGGUAAGAUUUCAAACACACACGGCAACUUUACUUGGGCUACAAGCAAAGCUGACUCAUCCAACUCUGGAUAAGAUUUUCUCUCAUUGUCUUCGCUCGAAGACAUGGGAUUUGGGUUGAGCAUCACUUCAGUCACUCUGACUUAGUUCACUUGGAUCCCACUUAACAGUACGGUGGUUCCUAUGACUCAACAAAGAAGAAAGGAAAUAACGAAACCACACAGUCUUCGCGCUCCAUUGUCUUCACGUAAUGUCUUCUCAUGUCAUAGUCUUCAAUAUGAAUAUCUUCUCAUACCACCAUUGUCUUCAAUGUCUUCCUACAUUUUUAGAGGUCGUCUCCGGUAGGUAAACCGAAUCAAUGAGGGACACUACCUGCGUUAUCCUGCAAUUCUCACAAACGCAUUAGUCCCUCAACCAACUUUGUCGUUAAUACUCCAAAACCAACUAGGGGUGGCACUAGAUGCACUUACAAUCUCCCCCUUUUUGGUGAUUGAUGACAAACUGGUUGAAGUUUUCAACGGGGAUAAAGUAUGUGAAAUUGUAAGGAUAGGAAUUGUCUUCAUAAGUAGCAAGGGCUCCCCCUGAAGAUGUGCAUAUUAAUAAUUUGCUUUUGGAUUGCAAAUGCACAUGGCAGGUUGUACUUAUGGAGAUCCACUUCAACUUAUGAAGAUAAUUCAUCAUGCAUGAAAUGAUAUAACAAGUAGAAAGACAUGCAUAAUGAAAAAUGGACGUCUGCAGGAUGAUCUAAGUGCGGAAGUUAUCAUCGCAUCAGAGUAAAGCAAACACGUAGCAGAAGUAGCAGACGACCAUCAAGUUUAGGUGUUACAACUCAAAGAACCAAAUGUAUCAAAAUGCAAGAGUUGUAAGCACGCAGCAAAAUAUAAUGCAACCGCCCAUAUGAACCCGCUUGAAGACUAUCAUCUCAUACUCUUCUCCCCCUUUCGUCAGUAAUGACCAAAAAGGUUUGAAGACAUAGAGCAUCUACUCGUCUUCUUGAUGAGUAGGUGAAGCAGCAGGGUUGUUGUCGUUGGGUGGCGGUGCAGAGGAACUUGGUGCAGUGUCGAUGCGCGCAGUAGUUGGAGGUGGUGAAGUAGCAUCAUCUUCAUCAUCGAUCACUUUGGCAUUAACUGUUGCCGCGAAGGAGGAAUAUUCAGAGUCUUCAAGAGAUGGAGUUCUUCAUAAGACAGCAUUCCGUGGAGGAGUGGAGUCAAACUGAAAUCUUUCAUUGAAGCCAUCGUCUUGAAGGUCUACUUUAGCACUAAGCAGGGUCAAACUCUUCCAUGAUCUCCGGCAAGUUUCAUGAGCAACAAAGUCAUUCUUGGUGGCAAGGUUGCGAAUGCGAUUGACAUCCACCAAGAUGCUUUGCAUCUGUCUCUUGAGCUAAAAGUGAUGUUUAUCCUGUUUCUGAUGAAGGGCCACAAGAAGUUCUCGGUCAUUGAGAACGCGAGAACGCUUGCGAGGCCUUUGGGCAAUGGUGCUUUCAGUGGCUUCAGUGGGCGCUCUGUGAGGCAGAUGAGUGUUACCAGCAAAUGGAUAGAUUCGUGUUGCUACUUGAACACCUUCAAUGGGUUGAGUGAAGCUUUAGUGCUCGGCAUUCUGAAGACAAAGAGGCUUCUUGGCAGGGUCAGGAUAUAUAGCUUCAACUGACAUAUCAACCUCAGGUAGAAAAAUCACAUGAUUGCGAGCAGAAGGUUGAUAGUUGACAGUAGAGUGUCGCUUUAUGAGGCGCAUGACCCAUGGAGCAUAAAACUUCAGACCAAAGAGAUCAGAACCAGAGGCAGCCAGUUGUCUGAUGAAGAAAUCUUGUGCAUUGAAACUGAUGCCAUUGUAAAUGUAGAAGACCAAAGUCUUCAUAGCUCCUUCAAGCUUUGCCGCUGAUGAAUGUCCUUUGAUAGGCCAUAGAGUCCGCCUGAUGAUAUGAUAUAUGGUGCGUGGCAGACACUCAAGGUCUUCAACAAAGAACUCUGUUGGAUAUUCAACAUCACGGGGCAAAGGCUUCAUCAUGCUCAGCAUCUGACUCAUAUUGGGUUCAGGCCUAUGAAAGAUGCUUUCCAGGGCAUUGCGAUGAUGUUGACAGCCAGGUUCAUACAGUUCUCCAGGAGUGGCAAGCCCUGUAAGCUCGAUGAUGUCCAUAGCUUUGGCUUCAUGAUGAACAUUUCCAGUCAUCCACUCGAGAACCCAUGUCUUGAUGUCUCUGUAGCCGCGAAUGUGCAGAGUGGCAUAGAAUUGAAGCAAUAGCUCUUCAUUCCAACGUUCUUUGUCUGUCACAAAGUGGAGCAGACCAGCAUCACGAAAGCAAUCAAGUCCUUCUUCUAAGCAUGGCAGUCCAGCAAUGGCUUCAGUGUCAAGGCGCAUAUGAGGGAAAAUGCGCCCUUGAUCAUAUAACACGCAUGAGUAAUAGCUUCUCUGUUGAUAGCUCCAGAAUCGAUCUGAUGCAAUUCUUGGCUUCAUGUAGGGGUUCUUCGAGCUGUCAAAGAAUGUGUUGUGGCUCUUGAAGCCAUUAGCAUUGAAGGACCCGGGGGAGUUGGCAGUACCUGGAAACCUUGGCAACCUGGGCUUUAGCUUCUGCACUUGAGGCCUAUGCUCAAUAUGAUAGUCAAAUUGCGGUCCUGAGGCAGAGGGUGGAGGCACCAGAAUGGGCCAUCGGACAGUAGUGAGAUGACCAUGACUAUAUGCUUGCUCAAUUGUGUGAGGCCUUGGAGGCAGAACAGGAGCAGAGGCAACAUCGGAGGCAGGCUGCAUGACAGGUGCUUCGGGAGCAGUUGUCAUGUUGACUUCAGGUGCAGCAUCCUCAUUGGCUUCGGGUGCAGCAUCCUCAUGGACUUCAGGUGCAGCAUCCUCAUUGACUUCAGGUUCAGUAGCCACGUUUGCUUCAGGCACAGUUAGUGUAGGCUCCACAUUAGCAUCAGCCAUGACUACGUCACUGGCUGUAUUGACGUUGGUGGUGGCAGCCUCAACAUUUUCAGCCUCCACUUGAGGAGCUGGAGGGUCAGACACAGACACGUUCAGAUCAUGAACUACUUCUUCUUGAAUGGGGGGAGUAGAGACACGUUCUUCUUGACGCUCUUCAUCGGCUGAUGCAGCCGGAUUGUCUUCAGCAACAUGUGCUUCAGACUCGGAGACAUUCACAGUUGGAGCAGGUUCAGAAAGUACUUGUCGUGCAACAGGUGAAUGUUGCACUUCUCCUUCUGGAACGCUCGACAGAGGGACUUCAGGCCUUUGUCCUCUGCGAAGCCUGCGAAGAGCUGGCUUCACUUUAGGAGAUGGAGUUGGAUGAGCCUGAAAGUCUUCAUCCUCUUCUUGCACGUUGGGGGUAGCUUGUUGUUGUUGUAGGGGAGUACUGGGGAAGUCUUGUUCUUGUGGGCGAUCAACCCAUGAAUCAUCCUGUGCAAUUGGCGUCAGAGGACGACCAAUUGGCCCAUGUUGUAUUCGAUCUGAGGAAGAACUUCAUCAUCUUCAACAUUGUCAUGAUGACCAAUGUCUUCAGCAGCGGUGGGUUCAGCUGCUAGAAUAUCUUCAGCUUCAGGAGCCUCUGUGGAAGCAGGCUCAUGCACAGUCAUGCGAAGUUCUUGGGAUGCAGAUGCAGGAUGAAUCACUGAGAGGGGUUCAACAAAAAGGGGCUCUGUGGGAGCAGCCCAAUUCUUCUUGGUCUUGCGCUUCUUCUUGGAGGGAGCGGCAUCGGAGGCUUCGGUAUUCUUCCUCUUUCUAGCUUCUGCCUCUGCAGCCCUCGUUUUCUUCUGUUCAGAAGCGGUUGUGGUGACCUUUGGCUUCGAUCCAGUCAUGCUACUUGGGAAGAUAAUACGUGGAGCUUCUUGGCUUGAAGGCGCAGGCUGAUCAGCAGGAAACUUCUUCUUUUUCUUUGCAGCCAUUCUGGGUCAAUUCCAGGACGGCCAAGUGACUUGCGCUUCUCAGCCUCAUUGUAGGCAAGCACACACUUAUCAGCCAAACUCUUCAUGUGCUCAUGAGAGCCUUGAGCUUCUUGGCGCUUCUUCUGAAAAGCUUCUUUAAGCUCAUGCAGCAUGACCUUAAAGUUUCUGACGUCUUGAACACUUAGCUUGGCGACAUGCUUCUUGAAUUGAGCCUUCUCAUAAUCAAUCAUGUGCUCGAGCUCAACGAUUCUCUGAGCGAGAGCCAGCUCAGACGCAAUGGCGCCAUUGAAAGAGACGUUGAGGCCAAUUGGAAGCUGUAAAUCUUCAAAGCUAACAUUGGGUGUGUCGAACCAUUCAUCAAUGAAGUUGUGGAUGAUGGCCACAUCAAAGAGAGGCAAGUUGUUGAAGAUUUCUGCUUCUUCCUUGCUCUUUAUCAACUGCUCAAGAGCAUCAUCCGCAAGAUCUUCAUCACUUGAUAGAUCAAUGGGUUCUUCAUGCAGAAUAGCAGCAGGAGUCAGAGCUUGAUCAGCACGCCUGACAAGUUGCUUUUUCUUCUCCGUCCUCUUGGAGAUACGGGAUUGAUCUUCAGACUGCACACUGGCUUCAGGAGGUGCAGUGGCCAAUGGCUUCACACGAGAAGCUUUUGGUGGUACGGGUUUAGAAGCCUUUAGCUUCUUUUGCUUCUGUGGUUUCGAAGGAGGAGCUGGGGCUUCAUCAGAAUCAGCCUCAUUGUCAGAAUGAUCCACUUUGGCACCUUGUACCAAGAUGUAGGAGAUGAGGCCAUCAAGGUUUGCAAAGGGGCCAAUUCUAUUUUCUUCAGCUUCACGAGUCCCAUCCUCACGGGGAGCAGAGGGACCAGGAUUGAAGUCCAACCCCCAUGACUUCUUGUUUUCCUUUGUCGAAGCCACAGCAAACUGGAAGUUGCACUUGAGGAGAUUGUCGUUGCGACACCAGAGUAAUGAUGAUGGGUCGGCUUCUUCAGGCUGUGGUUGACGGACCAUGCAAGGAUAGAAUUCUUGCUCAAUGGCUUCAGCUCUGUUCUUGGGUUGAAGGCCUUGAUAGAGAAUAUCGCCCCAAGGACUCUUGAUAGCAUUUUUCUCUGCAUAUUCCUUGGUGACGAACUUGUACUUGAACCAUUCUUCAGCUCAAUAGCGUCGAAUCCAUUGGAUUCGUGUCUUGCACUGAUGAUAAGUCUCUUCAGGGUCUGUCUUGUACAGUUCUGCUAGGUCAUCAGGCAGAUCUUUGGAUGUUCCUCCUCUACGCUGUCUGCCACCCUUCCUUGCUGAUUUUUCUGCAGCCAUGAACUUCAAGCUGAAUGGCUUCAAUAUGUUCAGAGGCUUCAGAGAUUUACGCUUGCUGGUCAAGCAGGAACUGGCUUCAGGAGAAUUGAUAUGAUGCUGUAAGUAUUCUGCAAAUGAAUGCAGACUAUGAGAACCAAGGGAUUGUCCCACGGACAUGUACCUGUGACAGCAUUAGAGAUGCGAGGGAAGGGGAAGAGGUCAUAUGCAUUCUCAAAAGAUUUUGAAGAUAAAUCAGUUUGAAGAUAUUGACCUCAUGAUGUGAAGACAUUCACUUAUGUGUGGUGAGUUGGUUCCAGAUUUGUACCAAUCCGUGAAUAAGUACAAGUGAGGAAUCAAACUAGAUAGGAAAUCUAAGUGAAUAGACUAGGCAUUAUGAGAUGCAGAUAGAAUAGAUCUAACAUUUAGUAGGCAGAAACCACUUUCGGUAAGUAGGAUGAAUCUAUGAAGAUCAAAAAGGUGGUAAAAAUAGAGUUAUAAUUACCGCACGAAGAACUGCUAGAUGGGAAGAAUGAGAGACCGAGCAGUUCAGCCCACCGUGCCCUAACUUGGCGACGGAGGACACCUACGGCGACGGUGGAGAGAAAGAUGUCCGCGGCCGGCGUGAGGACGGCGUCGGAGAAGUCGCGGCAGCUAAGCGCUUCGUCGUCGGCGUCGUCGAGAGCUAGCGGUGGCGCUAGGGUUUUGACGGAGGUGGAGAGGUGGAAGAAGGAUUUCUUUACCGCAGGGGACACAUAUUUAUAAGUAGGUGUGCAGCACAAUGCAAUUACACAGGUGCCCCUGUCUGUUCACAUCCGUGGGGUACGUGGCAGGCAUGCAACAUAUUUAGAAUUGUCCAAUGUUCCCACGCCCCCAGGUAUGUCGGAUGUUCGUUCCGGCUUCUCCAGAUAUCGACAAUUAAGAUGAUUCAUUUAAAUAGAACUUGAUGUUUGUCUCUGUGUCUUCUGUUGACAAGGAUGCAGAGAAGACAUUCGACAGUUUCAAUAGAAUGCAUAUGAUUUGGACAGAUAGAGUUUGAGAUAGUAAGCAGUGAGAGAUUAGGGUCCGAUCACAUUCACUUAGUUCAAAAGAUUCAACAGUGAAGACAUAGCUAUAAGUGAAUGUUGUAGAGGACAGAACGCUAGUAUAUAUAUAUAUGCAAUCAAAUCACUAUAGCGAAGAAAAAUCAUGAAGAUAAAUUGAAACUGAAGACAAACCAAAUGCGAAAUCUGUGCAAAAUAACGCCAUGAGUGAAACACUUCAAACAGAGAAAUUUGGUGGUGGCGUUACCCACCGUAUAAGAAGUAUUAGACCCAGACACGGCGCACAAUUAUCGUGGCGCUCCAAAGUCAAAUUCCAUGUUAAUGUAUUCACACUCAGAGUGUAAAUCUUCAUUGAUUGAAGAUAUACAUUACUUUGUGUGUUGCACAUCUAAGUCAUCAACAUCCAUAAGUGUUAGGAUGUGUGCCUGAUCACAGGACAUUCGAGGAUUCCAAGAUAUUUAGCUCACACCGUAACUUGCAAAACCUUUUCUCGUCCAAGGGCUUUGUGAAGAUAUCUGCCAGUUGCUCUUCAGUGUUGACGUGCAUGAUAUCUAUAUCUUUCUUCAUAACAUGAUCUCUGAGAAAGUGAUGACAUAUUUCAAUGUGCUUUGUCUUCGAAUGCUGGACUGGAUUGUUGGCAAUCUUGAUGGCACUUUCGUUGUCGCAGAAGAGAGGGACUUGCUUCAGAUCGAUGGCAUAGUCCUUGAGAGUUUGCUUCAUCCAUAGAAGCUGAGCACAACAAGAUCCAGCAGCAAUGUAUUCAGAUUCAGCAGUUGAGAGUGACACACAGUUCUGCUUCUUUGAAGACCAAUAGACAAGUGAUCAACCGAGAAAAUGACAUGUGCCUGAUGUAGACUUGCGAUCCACUUUGUCACCAGCAUAAUCAGCAUCCGAGAAUCCAAGCAGAUCAAACCUUGAGCCCUUUGGAUACCAUAAUCCUAGUGUUGGGGUGUAAGCCAAAUAUCGAAGAAUUCACUUCACAGCUAAGUGAUGCGAUUCCUUUGGUGCCGCUUGGAAUCGAGCACACAUGCAAACACUAAGCAUAAUAUCUGGCCUAGAUGCACAUAAUAAAGCAAAGAACCAAUCAUGGAGCGGUAUACCUUUUGAUCGAACUCUUUACCAUUGUCGUCGGGACCAAGAUGGUGCUUGGCUGGCAUUGGCGUCGUGUAGCCUUUGCAGUCUUCCAUUCCAAACUUCUUCAGACAAUCUUUGAGGUAUUUUUCUUGAGAUAUGAAGAUGCCAUUUCGUUGCUGACGAAUUUGAAGACCAAGGAAGAACUUCAGCUCUCCCAUCAUGGACAUUUGAUAUUGCUCUUGCAUCAUGUACCCAAACUCAUCACUAUACUUCUGGUUGGUGCAGCCGAAGAUUAUGUCAUCCACAUAUAUUUGGCAAACAAACAGUUCACCAUCAUAUGUCUUUGUGAAGAGUGUGGGAUCGAGAGAUCCAGGUUUGAAGCCUUUUCUCUUCAGGAAGUCUUUGAUUGUAUCAUACCAGGCACGAGGAGCUUGUUUGAGGCCAUACAGUGCUUUGUUCAGUUUGUACACCAUAUCAGGAUGUUUUGGAUCUUCAAAGCCAGGUGGUUGCGCAACAUAUACUUCUUCUUCAAUCUUGCCAUUUAGAAAUGCACUCUUUACAUCCAUUUGAUAUAGCAAGAUGUUGUGAUGAUUAGCAUAGGCUAGCAGUAUGCGAAUAGCUUCAAGCCUAGCAACCGGAGAAAAUGUUUCAUCGAAGUCAAUUCCUUCAACUUGAGUAUAUCCUUGAGCCACAAGACGAGCUUUGUUUCUGACGACUUGACCAUGCUCAUCUUGCUUGUUUCGAUAUAUCCACUUUGUUCCAAUAAUGUUAUGCUUUCGAGGGUCAGGUCGCUUGACAAGUUCCCAAACAUUAUUCAGCUUGAACUAUUGAAGUUCUUCUUGCAUGGCUUGAAUCCAUUCAGGUUCCAUAAAAGCUUCAGCAACUUUCUUGGGUUCUGAUAUUGACACAAAUGAAAAAUGCCCACAGAAAUUUGCUAGCUGUGUUGCUCUUGAGCGAGUGAGCGGACCAGGUGCAUUGAUGUUGUUAAUAAUCUUCUCUAUUUGAACUUCAUUUGCAACACGAGGAUGAACAGGACGAAGAUUCUGCUCUGGCUGAUCAUUGUCAUCAUUGGGAGGAUUGUCUUCGGUCUGAGCAUUGUCUUCAGGUUGAUUUGGUGCAGAGAUGAUAAGUUCCUCUUCAGGCUGUGCUUCAGAGGGCAUGAUCUCACCAGUUCCCAUCAACUUGAUAGAUUCACAGGAAGGAGCUUCAUCAAGUGUACUUGGCAGAAUUUCUCUUUGUGAACCAUUGGUUUCAUCAAAUCGCACAUCCACUAUUUCAACAAUUUUGUAGUGGAAGAGGUUGAAGACUCUGUAAGAGUGCGAAUCCUUUCCAUAGCAAAGCAUGAAGCCUUCGUGAGCUUUGGGUUCAAAUUUUGACUUGUGAUGGGGAUCCUUGAUCCAACAUCUAGCACCAAAGACUCUGUAGUAGCUGACAUUUGGCUUCUUGCCAGUGAGGAGCUCAUAGGAUGUUUUGCCCAGAAGCUUAUGGAUGUAGACACGGUUGAUGAUGUGACAAGUUGUAUCAAUGGCUUCAGGCCAGAACUUUCUUGGUGUCUUGUACUCGUCAAGCAUUGUUCGAGCCAUCUCGAUGAGGGUUCUGUUCUUGCGCUCUACAAUGCCAUUUUGCUGAGGUGUGUAUGGAGCAGAAAACUCAUGAGUGAUUCCCAUUGUAUCCAGAUAAAGAUCAAGCCCGGUGUUCUUGAAUUCAGUGCUGUUAUCACUUCUGAUAUGCUUGAUCUUGACACCAUAGUUGUUCAUUGCUCGAUUGGCGAAUCGUCUGAAGACAUCUUGUACUUCAGUCUUGUAGAGAAUUAUGUGCACCCAUGUGUAUCUUGAGUAGUCAUCGACAAUGACGAAGCCAUAGAGACAUGCCGUUGUUGUGAGGGUGGAGUAGUGGGUAGGUCCAAAUAAGUCCAUGUGAAGCAACUCGAAGGGUUGAGAUGUUGUCAUGAUUGUCUUCAAGGGAUGCUUGGCCCUUGUCAUCUUUCCAGCUUCGCAGGCACCACAUAGAUGAUCUUUCUUGAACUUGACACCUUCGAUGCCUAUGACAUGCUUCUUUUUGAUGAGAGUAUGCAAGUUCCUCAUGCCAGCGUGCCCCAGCCUUCGAUGCCAGAGCCAGCAUUCUAAAGCUUUAGCAAGAAGACAUACGGCAAGUUUUGGACCUGCUGAGAAAUCUACCAUGUAUAGAUCACCUUUCCUAUACCCUUCAAAGACUAGAGAUUUGUCAGAUUCCAUUAGUACAAGGCAACAAUAUUUUCCAAAUAUCACAAUCAUGUUUAAGUCACAAAGCAUUGAGACAGACAUUAAGUUGAAUCCAAGCGAUUCAACAAGCAUCACUUUAUCCAUGUGUUGAUCCCUUGAGAUUGCAACUCUACCUAGACCCAAUACUCUGCCUUUACCAGUGUCAGCAAAUGUGAUUUUACUUUUGUCGGAUGGACGUAAGGUUGAGUCCAGAGAAGACUUUGAUCACCAGUCAUAUGAUUAGUGCAUCCAUUGUCAAUAAUCCAUUCUGAAGCUUUUGGUGACAUGCCCUACAGUGCAGUUAGGAGGAUAGGCUUCACAAGGUAUGUUGUGAAGCAUAAACAUUUUACUCACACAUGGAUUAUCACAGUUUAGAUCAAGAUUAGCACACAGUAUGACAGAUAAGAGAUUCAUAUGUGGAAUUUAUAGUAAGUCAUUUUAUCAUGCGUCCCUUUAUGUUUUAGGUCCCCAGCAAUUGUAUCGGACGCCAUUGAUUGCUGGCUGGAGACCACAUUCUGCAAAAGAGAGUUAGUUCUUCUUCACCACCCACAUUUUCAGGGGUGGCUUAGAAGCAAUGAGUCUAAGUGCAGCAUCUGAGAAUUUCGGCUUUGAAGCCCUAGCAAAUAGCCUUGCAGGAGAUGAAUGAUACUCAUGUGAAUAAGCAGAGAAGUUCUUAGUUCUAUGAACAUAUCGAUUUGAAGACACACGCUCAUAUUCAUGAGUCUGAGUAUGAUUUGCCUGCAAAACAUUGGCGUUAGGGUGACUCAAGUGAGUCCUGUGUUCGCUAGUAGCCGUUGGACCAUAUGAUGCCUUUGGUCUGGGGUUUGUCUUCUUCACUAGUGGUGUCAUGAUGACAUUCACUGGAAGAUUUUCAAGGCAGCUUUUGGGUACCCAGAUCUUUUCAUAGGAGGUCCAUUCCCGCAGUUAGUACCAAUAUACCUGGCAAACACUUCACCAUUCUGAUUUUUGAACAGUUUAUAGUUUGCAUCAAAAGAUUCAUCAAUAAUAAUAGGAUUAGCACAGGUAAAUCCAGAUAAAGUGGAUGGAUCCACUGAAGGUUCCUUUGCAGCAACCCAUGUGGUUUUGGGAUACUGCUCAGGCUUCUAGUAGGAACCAUCAGCAUUCAUUUUCCUCUCGAACCCAACACCCUCUUUCCUAGGGUUUUGGUUCAGAAUCUGCUUUUUGAGGACAUCGCAGAGAGUCUGAUGUCCCUUCAAACUUUUGUACAUCCCUGUUUCAAGCAAUGUCUUCAACCUAGCAUUUUCAUCAGCAAUACUAGUGGUAUCCUCCGCAGAGGGGUUAGUAACCACAUCAGUAGUUGAAGACAAUGAAACAGCAGUAGCAGUGGAACAUUCAGCAACAGAUGUAGCGUUAUCACGCUCAAUGCAUUUUAAACAUUGUGGUUCGAAUCCAUCCUGAGCGGGACUGAUCUGUUGAGCGCGAAGUGACUCAUUCUCUGCUUGAAGAUCUUCAUGAGUCGCUUUCAAUUUCUCAAGCUCUUGCUUCCUUUGAAGAUAAUCAUAGGAGAGCUUUUCAUAUGUGGUUGAGAGCGUAUCAUGAAGAUUUUCAAGUUCUUGGUACUUAGCAUGAAGAUUUUUUAUGUCUUGUACUAAGGACUGUGAACGUGUCAUUUCCGCGUCCAACAGAUCAUCGCUUUUGUCUAACAGUUUUUGAGUAUGUUCCAUAGCCCUUUGUUGUUCAGUUGCAAUUUUAGCAAGUGUUUUGUAGCUGGGUUUGGAUUCACAAUCAGAGUCAUCUUCACUUGAAGUUUGAAAGUAAGCAUCGCGAGAUUUUACCUUGGCACCACGUGCCAUGAAGCAGUAGGUGGGAGAAGAAUCGUCUUUGUCAUUAGCUUCAGCGUUGGUGUGGACGUCAUUGUCUUCAGUGUUGAAGAUGGACUUGGCGACAUAGGCUGUGGCUAGAGCCAGACUUGCAACGCCAGGGUCAGACUCCUCACCAGACUCCACCUCCGCCUCCUCCGAAGCAGACUCCUCCUCUGAAUCCAUUUCCUUGCCAACAAAGGCACGAGCCUUGCCAGAUGAGCUUUUCUUGUAUGAUGAAGACUUCAAAGAAGAUUUUGAGGAUUUCUUCUUCAUCUUGUCAUCAGAAUCAUAUUCCUUGCUCUUCUUCUUCUUCUUCUUCUCAUUGUCCCACUGUGGACACUCAGAUAUGUAGUGACCAGGUUUCUUGCAUUUGUGGCAGGUUCUCUUCUUGUUGUCAUGAGUGGAAGCUUCAUCAUUUCUUGAGCUGGAUCGUGAAGACUUUCUGAAGCCCUUCUUCUUGGUGAACCUCUGGAACUUCUUCACAAGCAUGGCAAGUUCCUUUCCAAUGUCUUCAGGAUCGUCAGAACCGCAGUCAGAUUCUUGUUCUUCAGAUGAGGAAACAGCUUUUGCCUUCAAAGCACGAGUUCGGCCAUAGUUGGGGCCAUAAAUAUCUCUUUUCUCAGAAAGCUGGAACUCAUGUGUAUUGAGCCUCUCAAGUAUAUCAGACGGAUCGAGUGUCUUGAAGUUAGGACGUUCUUGUAUCAUGAGGGCAAGGGUGUCAAAAGAGGUGUCAAGUGAUCUCAGCAGUGUCUUGACAAUUUCAUGCUUGGUGAUCUCAGUGGCGCCGAGAGCCUGAAGCUCAUUUGUGAUGUCGGUGAGGCGAUCAAACGUGAGCUGGAAAUUUUCAUUGUCGUUUCUCUUGAAGCGAUUGAAGAGAUUGCGGAGAACACUGAUCCUCUGGUCUCUCUGUGUAGAGACGCCUUCAUUGACCUUGGACAGCCAGUCCCAGACUAGCUUUGACGUUUCCAGAGCACUCACACGACCAUACUGUCCUUUGGUCAGAUGACCACAGAUGAUGUUCUUUGCAGUCGAGUCCAGUUGAAUGAACUUCUUGACAUCAGUGGGGGUGACACCUUCACCAGUUUUGGGAACGCCGUUCUUGACGACAUACCAGAGGUCGACAUCAAUGGCUUCAACAUGCAUGCGCCUUUGAAGGACUCCGGUUGUGCUUUUCUCGUAAAGCUCUCCCUCAUGGACCUUGUAGGCCUUAGAUCGCCGUACUAUGCAGCGGGCCUCGUUUUGGUCUUCGGGGAGUUCCUGCCUAAUUAAGUAGGCUAGGAAUGGUUCUGUCCAUGGGGCAAUGACUGCCAUUAUUUCGUUGGCUGAAGGUGUUAUUUCAUUGGCUAAGCCACCGACUGUGUCAGAAUGUUCGAUGUUGGGAGGUGCGGUUGGCUCCAGGUUGUUGUUUCCGGACUCCUCUUCCCAUAAUACGGAUGGCUUAAAGAGCCGCUCCAGGAAGAUGUUUGGAGGGACGGCGUCGCGUUUUUGAAAGUGCUAGUUAUCAACUAGAGGGGGGUGAAUAGGCGAUUUUUAGGAAAGUCUUCAAAACAUGGAAGUUUCGAAGACAAACGAUAGAAACAGCCUAAUUGAUAUGCAGCGGAAGAUAAACUACAACAAGCAAGCCAUAAUCAAGUAUGCAAUAGCAUUAACGUUUGAAGAUUAAUAGCAGCUAGGUAGUAGGAUCAGGAUGGAAGAUAGUAUGAAGCCAAUCAACAAUAGUAGUCAAGCAAUGAAGUCAAUCGGAUAAAACAAUAAGCAAUGACUUCACGAAGACAAACUCAAAGAAAAGGAGGGAAGAGAUAGAACCAAUUGCUUGUUGAGGACACAGGAUUUGUUGGACCAGUUCCAGUUGUUGUGACAACUGUACGUCUGGUUAGGGAGGCUGAGAUUUAACUCAGAAGACCAUGUCUUCACCUUAUUCCCCUUGAGCUAAGGCCACUUAGUCCUCGCCCAAUCACUCUGGUAAGUCUUCAAGGGAGACUUCCAAACCUUCACAGACUUUGUUCACUCGGCAAUCCACAAUGACUCUUGGAUUCUCAGAACGCGACGCCUAACCGGCUGGAGGAUACACAGUCCUCAAGUGUAAUAAGUCUUCAGGUCACACAGACAGAAAGACUUCAGUGAUGCCUAACACUCUUUGGCUCUGGGUGUUUGGGCUUUGUCCUCGCAAGGAUUUCUAUCUCUCAAAUGCUUCGAGGUGGGUUGCUCUCAAACGACAAAAGCCGUAUACAAACUCUGAGCAGCCACCAAGUUAUGGUGUAGGGGGUGGGCUAUUUAUAGCCACCAGGCAACCCGACCUGAUUUGUCCAAAAUGACCCUGGGUCACUAAGGAACUGACACGUGUUCCAACGGUCAGAUUUCAAACACACACGACAACUUUACUUGGGCUACAAGCAAAGCUGACUCAUCCAACUCUGGAUAAGAUUUUCUCUCAUUGUCUUUGCUCGAAGACAUAGGAUUUGGGUUGAGCAUCACUGCAGUCACUCUGACUUAGUUCACUUGGACCCCACUUAACAGUACGGUGGUUCCUAUGACUCAACAAAGAAGAAAGGAAACGACGAAACCACACAGUCUUCGCGCUCCAUUGUCUUCACGUAAUGUCUUCUCAUGUCAUAGUCUUAAAUAUGAAUAUCUUCUCAUACCACCAUUGUCUUCAAUGUCUUCAUACAUUUUUAGGGGUCGUCUCCGGUAGGUAAACCGAAUCAAUGAGGGACACCACCUGCGUUAUCCUGCAAUUCUCACAAACGCAUUAGUCCCUCAACCAACUUUGUCGUCAAUACUCCAAAACCAACUAGGGGUGGCACUAGAUGCACUUAUAGUUUUGCGCUGAUGCGUGCCAACACGUCGACCGCCUGGUUAUUAUCCCAGGCUACAUGGUGGAAUUCGAGUCCUUCGAACUGAGCUGACAUUUUUAGGACGGUGUUACGGUAGGCUGCCAUUUUCGGAUCCUUGGCGUCAAAGUCUCCAUUUACUUGGGAUAUUGCGAGGUUUGAAUCCCCGCGGACCUCUAGGCGUUGAAUGCCCAUGGAGAUUGCCAUCCGGAGACCGUAUAGAAGGGCCUCGUAUUCGGCUGCAUUGUUGGAGUCUAUGUACAUUAUCUGAAGUACGUAUUGGACUGUGUCUCCGGUUGGGGACGUCAAGACGACGCCAACCCCCAAGCCGGCCAACAUUUUGGAGCCGUCGAAGUGCAUGAUCCAAUUGGAGUAUGCGCCGUACUCUUUAGGGAGUUCGGCUUCGGUCCAUUCAGCGAUGAAGUCGGCCAAAACUUGUGACUUUAUAGCUCGCCGUGGUUUGUAGUUUAUGUCGAAUGGUAAGAACUCAAUGGCCCAUUUUGCAAUCCUUCCCGUUGCAUCGCGGUUGUUUAUGAUGUCGUUAAGAGGUACUUCGGAGGCUACUGUUAUCAAACACUCUUGAAAGUAGUGUCGCAGCUUCCGGAAUGCCAUGAACACCGCGUACGCUAUCUUUUGAUAAUGUGGAUACCGGGACUUGCAUGGAGUUAAGACAGUGGAUACGUAGUACACUGGUUUUUGGAGAGGGAAUUUGUGUCCUACUGUUUCUCGUUCGACGACGAGCACCGCGCUUACAACCUGAUGUGUUGCCGUGAUGUAUAAUAACAUUGGUUCGCCCAAGUUGGGCGCGGCCAGGACCGGAUUUGUUGCCAAUAUGGCCUUUAUUUCUUCGAGUCCGGCCGUGGCAGCAUCCGUCCAUUCGAAGUGUUCGGUGCGCCAGAGGAGGCGAUAAAGGGGCAAUGCCUUUUCUCCUAAGCGAGAGAUGAAGCGGCUUAGAGCCGCCAUGCAUCCAGUCAGUUUUUGUAUUUGUUUGAGGUCUUUUGGGAUAUCCAACUGUGACAGAGCUCGGAUCUUGGCUGGGUUUGCUUCAAUUCCUCUACCGGAUACAAUGAAGCCCAAGAGCUUUCCCGCUGGUACGCCGAACACGCAUUUUUCCGUGUUGAGCUUAAUAUCAUAUGCUCGGAGGUUGUCAAAUGUAAGCCUCAAAUCGUCUACUAGAGUUUCGACGUGUUUGGUCUUGACGACCACAUCAUCUACGUAUGCCUCCACUGUUUUGCCGAUCUGGGUUGCCGGACAUGUCUGAAUCAUGCGCUGAUAUGUUGCGCCGACGUUUUUGAGCCCGAAGGGCAUUGUGUUGAAGCAGAAUGGUCCGUAUGGAGUAAUGAAUGCCGUUGCGGCUUGGUCUGUCUCCGCCAUCUUGAUUUGAUGGUAGCCGGAGUAUGCGUCGAGGAAGCACAAUGAAUCGUGCCCUGUGGUAGCAUCGAUGAUUUGAUCGAUGCGGGGAAGGGGGAAAGGAUCCUUUGGACAAGCCUUGUUAAGGUCUUUAAAAUCGACACACAGGCGCCAUGAUUUGUCCUUUUUUGGUACCAUUACCAGGUUUGCUAGCCAGUCCGGAUGUUUUAUGUCUCUAAUGAAUCCGGCUUCUAAUAGUUUGGCUAGAUCCUCUCCCAUUGCCUGUCUUUUGUGUUCGGAAAAUCACCGAAGAGCCUGUUUGACUGGCUUGAAUUCUUUUAGGAUGUUUAGGCUGUGUUCUGCCAACCAGCGUGGGAUUCCUGGCAUAUCUGAAGGGUGCCAGGCAAAGAUGUCUCAAUUUUCCCGAAGGAAUUCUCGUAGUGCGGCGUCUACAUCAGGGUUUAGUUGUGCCCCAAUGGAGGCCGUCUUUGUGGGGUCCAUUGGAUGGACUUGGAAUUUGACUAUUUCGUCCGCUGGCUUAAAAGAGGUGGACUUGGAUCUCUUAUCGAGUAUCACAUCGUCCCUGUUUACCGUGGAGCGCAGCGUAGUGAGUUCCUCUGCCGCUAGGGCUUCGGAUAGUGCCUCUAGGGCUAGUGCAGCUGUCUUAUUCUCGGCACGGAGUGCUAUGUCCGGAUCACUGGCAAGAGGGAUGAUUCCAUUGGGCCCAGGCAUUUUAAGCUUCAUGUACCCGUAAUGGGGUAUAGCUUGAAAAAUUGUGAAUGCCUCUCGCCCUAAUAAAGCGUGAUAUCCACUGCUGAACGGGGCCACUUGGAAUGUGACCUCCUCGGACCUGUAAUUGUCCGGCGAGCCGAACACCACAUCCAGUGUAAUUUUUCCUGUGCAGCGUGCUUCCCGACUAGGGAUUAUUCCUCUAAAGGUUGUGCUGCUUCGCUCAAUGCGACUCCAGUCUAUUUCCAUUUUCCGAAGGGUUUCUUCGUAGAUGAGGUUUAAUCCACUGCCGCCAUCCAUGAGUACCUUAGUAAGGCGAAAGUCGUCCACUAUUGGACUGAGGACCAAUGCGGCUGGUGCUCGGGCUGUUCAGAAUUUAGGUUCGUCACUGGCAUUGAAGGUAAUAGCCGUGUCACUCGAUGGGUUUAUUGUUGCUACUUGGUAGACUUUGGCAAGGCUGCGGAGUGUUCGUUUCCGCAUAUUAUUUGAUGUGAAAGUCUCGAAGACUGUUAAUACCGUACUGGUAUCCUUAGGCUGAUGCUCUAGAGCUAGAAGCUCUUCGCCACUUUUGGCCACCUGCCGUAGUAUCCAACAUGCUCUAAGGCUAUGAGUUGGAGUGGCGCCCUCUGUGCUAUGAAUUUUGCAGGGUCCAUUGAGCCAUCCCUCCAGUACGGCUCCAUGCCCUAUAAAGGGUUUUUGCUUUUUGGUAUUUAACCCAGGUGCCUGGCGAUGAUGCACCCUUUUAUUUCGGACUGGGGUUGUAUUCAGGGCCGGAUUAUCCCAAAAAUUGAUUUCGGUUUUCCAGGCGCUUUCCAUCUCACAGUACUUUUGUACUAUGGACGCCAAGUCAGCGAAGCGUGUAAUUUCACGACAACUUACGGCAUUGAGGAUUCCCUUGUCCGUGCAAUUGUUGCAGAAAAUUAAGAUUGCGCUUUCCUCAUGGCAGUCCUUUAUCCUGUCCACAACCAGGAGGAAUCUGGCCCAGUAAUGAUGUACUGUUUCAUCGGGCUCUUGCCGUAUUUGAGAUAGAUCACUUGUGUUUGGGUGGGCGGGUGGAAUUAAAUUCGGAACCCCGCCCAAUAUGAGGCUCAAGGGCCAAGGAGUUUCCGGAUUCGGAAGCUUGGAUUGCUAGAUGUUGUCCAACGAAUCUAGUCCGCUGCCUGACUUUAGGUUCAGUACUCGACUGACGUCCGUCCCUCCAUGGGAAUCCGGCAAGGAGGGAUCAGGAAUCCGGACAUAACUGGUCUUUAAUAUAGAAGAAGAGUCGCCGCGUUGUUCCUCUACCACGGCGACAUGGUGGGUAGCCUGGGGAGAGUUGAUCUCUCUCAGAUCAGUUUUAAGCCCAAUCUGAUCGUAAUCUGUAGCGACUCCCAGGGCGGUGAUGCGAUCCAAGAGCUCGUUUAUGGAGGAAAGCUCCGUCGGAUCUAGCUGCUCGGAGAGUUCCGAGUUGACAUGAAGAUCACUUUUGAUGACCCGAGAGGUCAUUGUUGGAGCGGCGGCCGAACAGGUGGUCAUAAGAAAACCACCUAGCCGGAUAGUUUGGCCGGUGGCCAAAGCUCCUUUGGCAAUGGUACCGUCUUUAAAGACGGGAAGAGGCAUCCUUCCUGAUUGCGACGGCACAGAGGAACUCUCAAUGAAAGCACCAAUGUCGGUGUCAAAACCGGCGGAUCUCGGGUAGGGGGUCCCGAACUAUGCGUCUAGGCGGAUGGUAACAGGAAACAAGGGACACGAUGUUUUACCCAAGGUUCGGGCCCUCUCGAUGGAGGUAAAACCCUACGUCCUGCUUGAUUAAUAUUGAUGAUAUGGGUAGUACAAGAGUAGAUCUACCACGAGAUCAAGGAGGCUAAACCCUAGAAGCUAGCCUAUGGUAUGAUUUUUGUUCGUCCUAUGGACUAAAACCCUCCGGUUUAUAUAGACACCGGAGAGGGCUAGGGUUACACAGAGUCAGUUACAAUGGUAGGAGAUCUACAUAUCCGUAUCACCAAGCUUGCCUUCCAUGCCAAGGAAAGUCCCAUCUGGACACGGGACGAAGUCUUCAAUCUUGUAUCUUCAUAGUCUUGGGGUCCGGCCGAUGAUGAUAGUUCGGCUAUCCGGACACCCCCUAGUCCAGGACUCCCUCAUGGCCUAUUAACAAUGGCCCGUUAUGGUCGGCCCACGAAUGGACGAUUCCAACUCUAGCCCAUUUACGGCCAUAAUGCGGUCUCUUUGGCCCAUGUUUCGCCAAUCGAUCAUACGGCCCGUAUAAGGCCCAUUGAUGAUAUGGCCCAUAGAAGGCCCAUUGUUUCUACGGCCCGUAUAAGCCCACUGUCACUAUAGAAAAUAUUAGCCAUGGUUAUUGUGGCCUAGUUUUAAAAAAUAGGUUAUUGCAGCCACUAGCAAACCGCGGAAAAAGAACUGCAAUGACUACAUGCAAACAAAUAAACAAGACAACAAGGAAAUAAAUAAGCAAGCAACUAACGCUAGGCUAUCAUGGCUAUUACACAUAUUACAUCCACUGGGCAUCAAAGUUCACCACCAGUGCAAAUAUAGGGAACAAAGCAGCAUAUCAUAUACACUGGUUGUCAAAGUUGGCGACCAGCGCAAAUAAACGCCACAACAAAACAAAUCCAGAACUGAAACCACUUCAGAAGAUCUCAAGAAACAAUAUCCUGGGUACCCAUAAUGCUGGCAAGAUGCUUAGCAAGCUUAUUAACUUUCUCUUGUUGGGCGCUUAAAUCCUCCAGCGCUUGCUGUUGCACCAGGAAAUAUGCAUCCGAAUUCUACAGGGACUUCCUCAGUCCUUCAGCUUCCUGUCGCAGCACAUCUGAUCGAUGUCUUUCAACUUGAAGUUGAGACUCAAGAAGACGAACUGAUUCAGGCAGCGAGUUCGAAGAGCUUAUGCCAGCAGUAGUGGCCAGUAACUCGAACACUACAUCAAGACACGACUUUUGGGUUCUCUCACUGUCGUCAAGAUAGUUUUUAUCAGCUUUCUUGGAGACCAACAGGGAUGUCUCACUAUCUUGAACCUUAUCUGCAUUACUUCCUUUACCAUUGCAUAACGCGGUACUGUUCUCCAAUAUUUUGUCUGCAUUCUAAAAGAGAAACAAGCAGACACAUCACAGGUUUACCAUGUUGUAUAUGAAACUCAUUUUGGUAAAUGAGUUCAGUAGUAAAGUGGACAUGAUAACAGCAUGAAACAAACAUAUAUCUAUGUACCAUGGUCACUUUAUGGUCUAUAUCAUUCUAGUUUUUGUUGCCAAAUCAAGAUAGAGACACAGUUCAAAUAAUAUUUGUUCAAGACAAAGCAGAAUAGACAGAAUAUAAGUGUGGGAAACUAUAGAGCAAUAACAACACUUUUAAUGUGCAUGACAUGAGAACAUAACUAUUUAUUCAAUUGAAACUGAAAUCAACAUAGAGCAGGUUACAAUAGCAAACCAGUUAAAGAAAUAGGUUUGAAACAUACCUGUUGCGCCAUUGGAGUUUCAAUUCCAUCCUUCAAAUUUUAAAAUAGUUGGUAUGAGUAAAUACAGUAAUGCAAGAGCAAAGGAGUAUGAACCAUAGCUACAGAACCUGACCUAAGAACAAAUCUUCUUCUCCUUUAAGCAUUGAGUUGGGAUUCGGAGUGGUGGUCCUCGUGCUUUGGGCACUGCAGUUCCCUUACUAACUGCUCGUGUGUGGGUGCUCUGUGGUGGAGACAGUGCUGUGUCAAUUGGAACUGGGUUACUAUCUGUCAGGGUUAGGGUUAGAAGGGGUGUAGCUGGUUCUCUGUCCAACUGGGUAGGGGUACAAUCUGCGAGAGUCUGGGUUAUGUGUGGUGGAUCUGGUCCUUGGGCAAGUACAACCGUGGUUCUAUCUGCAUCAACUGGUAGCACUAUAUUUUCUGAAGACCGUGUUGUUACUCCCUUAGAUACUUCCAUCACCCUCUCCAAUUCAAAUGGCUAAUAAACAAGAAAAGUAAUUGAAAGUAUAGACAUUAUAUGAUAGACAGGUGCAAUGGAUAGUGGGGAAUAAAAGAGGGCAUGAAAUAAUUCAUAUUUAUGUUGUCUAACCAAACAGGAUAGCAUGACACAAUUUCACAUAUAUGAUGGCUAACUAACCAGGAUAGCAUGACACAAUUUCACAUUAUGAUGGCUAACUAAAAAAGAUGGAAAGACAUAGUUCAAAAUAUGAUGACUAUGUAAACAAGAUGACAUGAUAUAACUAUAUAAUGUGUUUAUUAAAUAGGUUGGCAUGCCAUAAUUCACAUACAUUCACGGAUAGAAUGCCAUAAUUCAAAAUAUGAUGACUGUAAACACUAAACAAGAUGAGAUGAUAUAACUAUAUGAUGUCUUUAUUAAAUGGGUUGCCAUGCCAUAAUUCAGAUAGAUGAUGUGUAUGUACUAUGUAAAUAUGAUGGCAUGAUAUAAUUCAAAUAUAUGAUUUAUAUAGUAAGAAAGUAAGCAAAUGGCAAUCCAUAUAUGAUGUAAAACUAAGCAAUGCAAGACAACAUGCAUGACAUGGGUAAUGUAACCCUGCCAAGUUUGAGCAUAGACCUCGGGGGGGGGAAUAGGACUGGUCAUCAGUCUCUGAAUCCUCCUCUGAGGAGCUCUCUGUAACCAGCAAGAUGUCUGCUUCAGCAGGUAGCAUUGUCUACUUUGAAUACCUUGUUUUCACUCCAGAUACUUCCAUCACCGCUUCAAAUGGCUGAUGCACAAGAAGAGUAGUUGAAUAUACAAACAUUGUUGACAAAUGGAACACGUAAUACAAAAAAAUGAUAGCAUGAUAUAAUUCACAUACAUGAUGACUGGCUAAACAACAUGGCAUUGCAUAAUUCACAUAUAUAAUGCCUUUGCGACAAGAUAUCAUUGUAUAAUUCACAUAUAUAAUGUCUUGCAACAAGAUGGCGAUGCACAAUUCACCACUGAACAGGUGGCAUUCACACAAAGCAUGUCUAAACUAAUCAAAUGACAUAGCAAUGCGAGACACCAUAUGCACGAUAUGAGCAACAUAACCCUGCCAAGUUAGAGCACACACCUCGGGGGGGGGGGAAUAGGACUGGUCAUCUGUCUUUGAAUCCUCCUCUGAGGAGCUAUCCGUAACCAGCGAUAUAUGCGCUUCGUCAGAUAGCAUAGUCUGCUCUGAAGACCUUGUUUUCACUCCAGAAUUUGCCAUCACCGUGUCAAAUGGCUGAUGCACACGAAGAGCAGUUGAACGUACUAACAUUGUUGACAAAUGUAAUAUGUAACGAAAAAAAGGAUGGCCUGAUAUAAUUUACAUAUAAGAUGACUGGCUAAGCAGGAUGGCAUUGCAAAAUUCACAUAUAUGAUGCCUAGCUAAACAAGAUGGCAUUGCAUAAUUCACAUAAACGAUGAAUAAACUAAACAGAUGGCAUUCACACAAAGGAUAUCUAAACUAAGCAGAUGACAUAUUUGAUGUAUAACGUAAGCAAUGCAAGGCACCAUAUGCAUGAUAUAACCAACAUCAGCAUGCCAAGUUAGAACGAAGACCUCAGGGGGUAAAUAGGAGUUGUCUUCUCCUUCUGAAUCCCCCUCAGAACAGAUAUCUUCCUCUCGAUUACAAUCCAAAAUGUGUGGAGGGGGGCUGCCUUUGCGCCUACCAUGGAGCAAUGUCUGCAUGAAAUUUUAUUGCCACGCAAGGCUCGUCUCUUUUGCUCUACAUGUUCAGUUCCAUUGUUUACAAUAACUGUCAUGCAUAGGAAUAAAACAUAGUGAGAUUAUGUAAGGAGUGCAUGAAGAAAUCAAGAGUGAUGGUAGCAACCUGUGGAUAGACCCAAAACCAAUAAUAGCAGGCAGAUAGUGGCUUCAGUUAAAAAAUACAGAUAAUGGCUUCUUUACUGUUUGUUUCCCACCCAACAUGAAACUCAUAGUUGACACCGGAGAUUAACCAGAUAGUAGAUAGAUACUAUUGAUUGCGGCCCCGAUAUGUACCCCACAACCAUUUAAAAACUCAAGUUUGACCAUUAGUUUGGAGCUGACUCAGAGUCUAAUCGGUGAACAGGACGACAAAGUAGCAUGUAAUAUUAAGUGAUGCAUAACGUAAGCAGACACGAAAGAGUGCGACCUCUCUUGCGGACCCGUGUAGUCCUCGAGGUCAUCUGCUCGGUUGAUGAUGGUAAUGCAGUUUUCAUGGCUACCGGCGGCAGGGAAGAAGAUCUGAGGCAGUGAAAGACAGUCUGGAGGCCGGACCCCUGCUGUGUUGGACCCUUCUGUCGUUGGAGCAGCUGAGCUGGGUGAUACGUCUCCGUCGUAUCUACUUUUCCAAACACUUUUGCCCUUGUUUUGGACUCUAACUUGUAUGAUUUGAAUGGAACUAACCCGGACUGACGUUGUUUUCAGCAGAAUUGCCAUGGUGUUGUUUUAUGUGCAGAAAAUAAAAGUUCUCGAAAUGACCUGAAACUCCACGGAACACCUUAGAAAAAACAAUAAAAAAUCCUCGCCAAAGAUAAAGACCACACCCUGUCCACGAGGGUGGGGGCGCGCCCCCCUACCUCGUGGGCCCCCUGGUGGCCCUCCGACACCAACUCCAACUCCAUAUAUUGGCUUUCGGGGAGAAAAAAAAUGAGAGAGAAGAAAUCAUUGCGUUUUACGAUACGGAGCCGCCGCCAAGCCCUAAUCUCUCUCGAGAGGGCUGAUCUGGAGUCUGUUCGGGGCUCCGGAGAGGGGGAUUCGUCGCCGUCAUCAUCAUCAACCAUCCUCCAUCACCAAUUUCAUGAUGCUCACCGCUGUGCGUGAGUAAUUCCAUUGUAGGCUUGCUGGACGGUGAUGGGUUGGAUGAGAUUUAUCAUGUAAUCGAGUUAGUUUUGUUAGGGUUUGAUCCCUAGUAUCCAUUAUGUUCUGAGAUUGAUGUUGCUAUGACUUUGCUAUACUUAAUGCUUGUCACUAGGGCCCGAGUGCCAUGAUUUCAGAUCUGGACCUAUUAUGUUUUCAUGAAUAUAUGUGUGUUCUUGAUCCUAUCUUGCAAGUCUAUAGUCACCUACUAUGUGUUAUGAUCCGGCAACCCCGAAGUGACAAUAAUCGGGACCACUCCCGGUGAUGACCAUAUUUUGAGGAGUUCAUGUAUUCACUAUGUGCUAAUUCUUUGUUCCGGUUCUCUAUUAAAAGGAGGCCUUAAUAUCCUUUAGUUUCCAAUAGGACCCCGCUGCCACGGGAGGGUAGGACAAAAGAUGUCAUGCAAGUUCUUUUCCAUAAGCACGUAUGACUAUAUACGGAAUACAUGCCUACAUUACAUUGAUGAACUGGAGCUAGUUCCGUGUCACCCUAUGUUAUGACGGUUACAUGACGAACCGCAUCCGGCAUAACUAUCCAUCGCUAAUCCGGUGCCUACGUGUUUUCCAUAUACUGGUUCUCGCUUAUUUACUUUUCCGUUGCUACUGUUACAAUCACUACAAAAUACCAAAAACAUUACUUUUGCUGUCUUUACUUUUGUUACCGUUACCACCACUAUCAUAUUACUUUGCUACUAAACACUUUGUUGCAGAUACUAAGUUUCCAGGUGUGGUUGAAUUGACAACUCAGCUGCUAAUACUUGAGAAUAUUCUUUGGCUCCCCUUGUGUCGAAUCAAUAAAUUUGGGUUGAAUACUCUACCCUCAAAAACUGUUGUGAUCCCCUAUACUUGUGGGUUAUCAAGACCUUUUUCUGGCGCCGUUGUCGGGGAGCAUAGCUCUAUUCUUUGAGUUACUUGGGAUUUACAUCUGCUGGACACUAUGAAGAACUUGAAAGACGAUCGAACUACUAUUUUGCCCUCAACUACGAGGGGAGGUAAGGAACUGCCAUCUAGCUCUGCACUAGAUUCUCCUUCCAUUAUAAGUAAGCUUGCGACACCUAAACCUGUUACUGCUAUGAAUUCUGAUAUGUCACAUGUUAUUGAUGAUGCCACUUCUGCUAUGCAUGAUACUUGUGAUGAAACUACUUCUAUGCUUGAUAAUACUGUGCCUCUUGGUAAAUUUCUCGAUGAACAAAUUGCUAGGUCUAGAGAAAGAGAAAUUAUUGAAUCUGAAUACGAUGAUGAGAGUGAUGAUGAAAAUAUGCGUGCUAUUCCCGAGGGUUAUCUUUUUGAUGCAGAAUCUUCUGCAGCUAUUUUUGGUUGCUAGGAUAGAUACGAACUUAAGAGGUUGCUAGUUAAAUGGAGUAAAGAAUCUCUUAGAGAUAGAAUGAGGCCCGACCCUGCUUUUGCUACUUCACCUAUCUAUGUUCCCGAUAAGGAUUAUUAUGAAUUUUCUGUUGAUCCAGAUAUAAUUACUUUGGUUCAAUCUGAUCCCUUCUAUGGCUAUGAAUCAGAAACUAUUGUGGCACAUCUUACUAAGUUGAAUGAUAUAGCCCCCUAUUUACUAAUGAUGAGAGAUCGCGCUACCUUUAUUUACUUAAAAUAUUUCCAUUCUCAUUAAAGGGUGAUGCUAAGAUAUGGUUUAAUUCUCUUGAUCCUGGUUGUGUGCAAAGUCCCCAGGAUAUGAUUUAUUACUUCUCUGCUAAAUAUUUCCCUGCUCAUAAGAAACAAGCUGCUUUGAGGGAAAUAUACAACUUCGUGCAAAUUGAAGAAGAGAGUCUCCCACAAGCUUGGGGGAGGCUUCUCAAGUUACUUAAUGCUUUGCCUGAUCAUCCUCUUAAGAAACCUGAAAUACUUGAUAUCUUUUAUAAUGGACUAACUGAUGCUUCCGGAGAUUACCUGGAUAGUUGUGCUGGUUCUCUUUUCAGGGAAAGAACACCGGAUGAAGCUGAAAUUCUAUUGAAUAAUAUGUUAACAAAUGAAAAUAAUUGGGCACCUCCUGAGCCACCUCCUGAUCCAGCUCCAGAGCCAAUUACUGAGCCUAUUCCUAAACCAACUCCGAAGAAGAGAGGUGUUCUAUUUCUCAGUCCCGAAGAUAUGCAAGAGGCAAAGAAAUCUAUGAAAGAAAAAGGUAUUAAAGCUGAAGAUGUUAAGAAUUUACCUCCUAUUGAAGAAAUACACGGUCUUAAUUUACCGCCUAUUGAAGAAGUAUAUGAUCUCAAUUCCUUAUUCACUGAAGAACCUCCUAAUCCCGAUAUCCCGACACAGGUAGUAAAGGUAAAUUCUCUCUAUAGAUAUGAUAAAGCUGAAGUUCCUCCUACUAAAAUUGCUAGUCAGUGCUUGGAUGAGUUUGAUGACUUUAUGUUUAAGCAAGAUGACUUUAAUGCUUAUUUUGGUAGACAAUUAAAACAAGAUGCUUAUAUGAUUAAACGCUUGGGUGAUUAUAUGGCUGAUAUUAGAGGUGAACUUAAACUUGUUAGCAAACAUGCUUCUAUGGUUACCAUUCAAGUAGAACAAGUACUUAAAGCUCAGAAAGAAGUGCUUGAUGAAAUGAAUAGUAAGAAAAAUGAUUAUGCUGUUAGAGUGGCUACUAGAACUGGUAGAAUGACUCAGGAACCUUUGUAUCCUGAAGGCCACCCUAAGAGAGUUGAGCAAGAUUUUCAGAGAAAUAAUACCGAUGUACCUAGUUCUUCUAAAAGGAAGAAAAAGAAAAAUGAUAGGACUUUGCAAACUUCUAGUGAACCUAUUGCUGAACCACCUGAGAAUCCGAAUGAUAUCUCUAUUUUUGGUGCUGAAACACAAUCAGGUGAUGAACAUGAACCUAGUGAUAAUGUUAAUGUUCAUGUUGAUGCUCAACCUAGUAAUGAUAAUGAUGUAGAGACUGAACCUGUUGUUGAUCUUGAUAACCCACAAUCAAAGAAUCAACGUUAUGAUAAAAGAGACUUCGUUGCUUGGAAACAUGGUAAAGAAAGGGAACCAUGGGUUCAGAAACCCAUGCCUUUUCCUCCGAAACCAUCCAAGAAAAAGGAUGAUGAGGAUUUUGAGCGCUUUGCUGAAAUGAUUAGACCCAUCUUUUUGCGUAUGCGAUUAACUGAUGUGCUCAAAACAAAUCCUUAUGCUAAGUAUAUGAAGGAUAUCAUUACUAAUAAAAGAAAGAUACCUGAAACUGAAAUUUCCACCAUGCUUGCUAAUUAUACUUUUAAGGGUGGAAUACCAAAGAAACUUGGAGAUCCAGGAGUACCUACUAUACCAUGCUCCAUUAAGAGAAAUUAUGUUAAAACUGCUUUAUGUGAUCUUGGAGCCGGUGUCAGUGUUAUGCCUCUCUCUUUAUAUCGUAGACUUGACUUGAAUAAGUUGACACCUACUAAAAUAUCUUUGCAAAUGGCUGAUAAAUUAACUGCUAUACCUGUCGGUAUUUGUGAGGAUGUGCCUAUUGUGGUUGCAAAUUUUACUAUUUUAACGGACUUUGUUAUUCUUGAUAUUCCCGAGGAUGAUAGUAUGUCUAUUAUUCUUGGAAGACCUUUCCUUAAUACUGUAGGGGCUGUUAUUGAUUGCAACAAAGGCAAUGUCACUUUUCAUGUUAAUGGCAAUGAGCGCACGGUACACUUUCCGAGAAAACAACCUCAAGUUUAUAGUAUCAACUCUAUUGGAAAAAUUCCAUCGAUUAUAUUUGGAGGUUUUGAAUUUCCUCUCCCUACUAUCAAGAAAAAGUAUGAUAUUCUUAUUGUUGGGGAUUUUCAUAUCCCCGUUGAGGUAACUUAGUGUUAUUCGAAAUUUCUCCGGUUCCAUGAUUAUUCGGAAUGAGUUUGUUAACAAGACUUGAUCAACCUUGUUAGUGGGUUCAUUUUGAUGAUCACGAGAUGGAUGAAACUAGAAGCACAACCUUUUGUACCCUCUGUAUAUUUCCUUUUUAUUUAGUAGAAAUAAAGUAAAAUAGUAUUUUUCUGUCUGUUUCCCGACUUAUCCGCGCAAUAUAAAAAUACCCAGAAAAUAAAAGUCCUUAGAAUGCCAUGCCAAUUUAAUAUGAUUUUUUUCGGGAAUAUUUGAGGAUUUACUGUGCAAAAAUUACCGUGGGGGGAGCUGCCACCUGGCCACGAGGGUGGAGGGCGCGCCCUACCCCCCUGGGCGCGCCCCCUACCUCGUGGGCCCAUGGUGGCCCUCCUCCACUUAUCCCUGCACCCAUCUUCUUCCUCUGCCUCACACAAACACGAAAAACCAACUCAAGCACGAGUUCCAGCCCUCGAUGUUGUGAUUUUCGAUCUCCUUGCUCAAAGCACCUCUGCAAAACUGCUUGGGGAGAUUGUUCCUUGGUAUGUGACUCCUCCAUUGGUCCAAUUAGUUUUUAUUCUAGUGCUUUAUUCAUUACAAAUUUGUGCUGCAUAGGUGACCAUGUUCUUGAGCUUGCCUGUCAAAUUUAUAUGGUUCCAAGUAGUUCCAAUGCUUUAUAUAGGCUCUAGACACUUGUGGGAGUUGUUACUAUCAAUUUUAUCGAAGUUGGUUCACUUUUAUUUGAAGUUACUAAAAAUUUCAGAAAUUUUUCAGAGGAAACAAUAUGUUUAGGAGGAUGUUCCAAGGUGGUUCUUCAAGGAAGCAAGGCCCCAGACUUGCAAUAUGUGAUGCUGAUGAGGAACCACCAAGAGACGCUCCUGUGAGGCCCUGUGAAUGGCCUUCGGAAAAUUUUAUGAAUCAAGUGGGAAUCAAAGAAGAAUUUAGCGCAUAUUUGCGCAACGCCGGUCUUGAGGACUUUGAAGCUGACAAAUGCCCCUAGUACCUUGAUCUCACAAGUUCAUUUGUGAGGAUGUUUGAGUUUUCAUCUUCGCGUAAUUCUCCUUCAGUCAUGUUUGACCUUUAUGACAAAUCUUAUACCAUGGACUUAGAGGAUUUCACUUUUGCUUGCAAACUUCCAUCAUGGGGUAGUGUCAGGGAUCCCUCUAAAUCUGAAUAUAGAGACUUCCUUGCUAGAAUAACGGUGGGGGAAUCUAGAGAUAUAACACAAGCCACUUUAGGGAGCAUUCACUUUCCUGCUAUACAUUAUUUUGCUCUCUUUAUAGGUAGAUGCAUUAAUGCUAAGAAUGAAGCAUGUCACAUGUGUGUCCCUGAUCUCAGCAUUCUCAAAAGUGUUGUGUUAGGAGACCAAUCUUAUCAUAUGGGCGCCAUCGUAGCUCGUAGGUUGCAUCAUAACAGAUAUAAUGGAGAUUUCUUUGGAGGAAUUUAUGCAACUUGCUUAGCUAAUUUUCUUGAGAUAGAGAUUCAUGAGGGUGAUAUGGAGUUACCCCCUACCUAUUUAGAUUUUGAUUCUAUGGCUUCCCACCAGUUUGUUGAGAGGACUGAACCACCUCUCCAGUAUCGACUAAUCUUUAAUAAACGACAUGUAGUCCAUAUUACUCUUCCUGCUCCUGCCUUCUUUGAUUCUCAGACAAAAGGAAGAUAUAUUAUUACCAAAGAGGAGGCAGAUGAGUACAAGAGGAGAGCAGAGGCUGCUCGACGCCAUGCUACAGCUCAGGCGGCGAUAGCAGCUGCAUCACAGUAUGACCCCAGUUUCACCUAUGGAUAUCCACCAGGUUAUCCCUGGCAAUAGACCAUCUUAGGCCAAAAGCCUAAGCUUGGGGGAGUAUGUAUUUCCCACCGACAUUACAUUCAUGUUCACACACACUCAUUGCUAGAUGUCGGUGCUCAUACUCUUUCACUGUAAUAUCCAUGAUAGUUUAUUUUCUUUUUCCUACUUUCUUCUUGUGUGUUUGAUAAACCUUAAGAAAAAACCAAAAAAUUAGUAGUAGUUUAUUUCUUUGCUGUAGUAAUUAAAAAGAAAACCCAAAAAUAUUUCCCGUUCUUCUUUUUCUUGUUGGGAGCUUUCCCAUGUAAAUAGUUUUUAUUUCUUUUCCUUUCUUUGGGGGUCGAGAAGACUAUAUUGAAAAUUCUUAGUGGCUCAUGUAUGCAUGAAUGAUUAUUUAACUUAGAGCCCAUAUUACUUGUCUUCUCUCUUGAGUUGAAUGCUUGCAGAUUCCAGCUUAGUCCAAUGCACAUGCACUCUUAUUAUUAUACACUUCAUUCGGUCGUGCAAGUGAAAGGCAAUAAUGAUGAUAUAUGAUGGACUUAUUGGGAUGAGAAAAGCUGGUAUGAACUCAACCUCUCUUGUUUUUGUAAAUAUGAUGAUUCAUCGUUCCUGAGUCAGCUAUUAUGAAGAGAACAUAUUUGCAAUGACAUUUAGAGAUUAUAGUUGCUUGUGCCAUGCUUGAUUAGCUAUGAGUUAUAAUGGUUUACCUUGCGUGCCAACAUGCUAUUACAAUGAUUAUGAUGUGUUAUGAUGGGAUGGUAUCCUCCUUUGAAUGAAUUGAGUGACUAGACUUGGCACAUGUUCACGCAUGUAGUUGAAUCAAAUCAACAUAGCCUUCAUGAUAUUUAUGUUCAUGGUAGAUUAUAUCCUACUCAUGCUUGUAUUUGGUGUAAAUUAAUUUUAAUGCAUGUUUACAACUGUUGUCGCUCUCUCGGAUGGUCGCUUCCCAGUCUUUUGCUAGCCUUCACCUGUACUAAGCGGGAAUACUGCUUGUGCAUCCAAACUCCUUAAACCCCAAAGUUCUUCCAUAUGAGUCCACUAUACGCAGCUCAUAUUUCAACUAGGGCUGCCCUUAUCUUCCAUGUUAGGCAGUUAUUCUCAAGAGGAGUGGACUCCGCUCCUCAUUCACGAGAAAAAUGGCUGGUCUUCGGGAUGCCCAGUCCCAUGCUUUAUGCAAACUAAAUCAAAAUAAUCUCAAACAAAACUCCCCCUGGGACCCGUUGAAUGUUGGAGGCACUCGUUAUUUCGAGCAAGCCAUGGAUUGAUGCUUGUGGAGGAGGGGGAGUAUAAACUUUACCAUUCUGUUGGGAACUGCCUAUAAUUUGUUUAGCAUGGAAGAUAUCGUCAUCUCAUAGUUGUUGCGUUGACAGCAAAAGUAUGCCGCUCAAAAUGUUAUUCAAUCUCUAUUUUAAAACCGAGCUCUGGCACCUCUACAAAUCCCUGCUUCCCUCUACGAAGGGCCUAUCUAUUUACUUUUAUGAUCGAGUCAUCACCCUUCUUAUUAAAAAGCACUCGCUGGAGAGCACACUGUCGUUUGCAUUCAUUAUUAUUAGUUUAUAUUGGGUAUGACUUGACUGGAUCUCUUUUACCAUGAAUUACAAUGUUUAGUCAGUCCUUGAUCCUUAAAGGUGCUCUGCAUUUAUGUUUUGUGGACUCAGAAAGGGCUAGCAAGAUACCAUUUUGUUAUAUCAUGUUAUGAUUAUUUUCAGAAAGUGUUGUCAUCUGAGUUUUGCUAUUAUGGCUUGCUAGCUGAUUAUGCUAUUGAUAUGAGUAAUUGUGAGACCUGCGUGUUAUUGUAAGUAUGGUUAGUUCAUAAUAAUUGCUGAAACUUGAAUGCUGGCUUUUCAUAUUUACAACAACAAGAGCAAACUAAGUUUGUAAAAGUUGUUCUUUUUCUCUUUCAGUUUGUCAACUGAAUUGCUUGAGGACAAGAAAGGGUUUAAGCUUGGGGGAGUUGAUACGUCUCUGUCGUAUCUACUUUUCCAAACACUUUUGCCCUUGUUUUGGACUCUAACUUGUAUGAUUUGAAUGGAACUAAACCGGACUGAUGUUGUUUUCAGCAGAAUUGCCAUGGUGUUGUUUUAUGUGCAGAAAAUAAAAGUUCUCGGAAUGACCCGAAACUCCACGGAACACCUUAGAAAAAACAAUAAAAAAUCCUCGCCAAAGAUGAAGACCAGGGGGCCACACCCUGUCCACGAGGGUGGGGGCGCGCCCCCCUAGGCGCUCCCCCUACCUUGUGGGCCCCCUGGUGGCCCUCUGACGCCAACUCCAACUCCAUAUAUUGGCUUUCGGGGAGAAAAAAAUGAGAGAGAAGAAAUCAUCGCGUUUUACGAUAUGGAGCCGCCGCCAAGCCCUGAUCUCUCUCGGGAGGGCUGAUCUGGAGUCCGUUCGGGGCUCCGGAGAGGGGGAUUCGUCGCCGUCGUCAUCAUCAACCAUCCUCCAUCACCAAUUUCAUGAUGCUCAUCGCCGUGCGUUAGUAAUUCCAUCAUAGGCUUGCUGGACGGUGAUGGGUUGGAUGAGAUUUAUCAUGUAAUUGAGUUAGUUUUGUUAGGGUUUGAUCCCUAGUAUCCAUUAUGUUCUGAGAUUGAUGUUGCUAUGACUUUGCUAUGCUUAAUGCUUGUCACUAGGGCCCGAGUGCCAUGAUUUCAGAUCUGAACCUAUUAUGUUUUCAUGAAUAUAUGUGUGUUCUUGAUCCUAUCUUGCGAGUCUAUAGUCACCUACUAUGUGCUAUGAUCCGGCAACCCCGGAGUGACAAUAAUCGGGACCACUCCCGGUGAUGACCAUAGUUUGAGGAGUUCAUGUAUUCACUAUGUGCUAAUGCUUUGUUCCGGUUCUCUAUUAAAAGGAGGCCUUAAUAUCCCUUAGUUUCCAAUAGGACCCCGUUGCCACGGGAGGGUAGGACAAAAGAUGUCAUGCAAGUUCUUUUCCAUAAGCACGUAUGACUAUAUACAGAAUACAUGCCUACAUUACAUUGAUGAACUGGAGCUAGUUCUGUGUCACCCUAUGUUAUGACUGUUACAUGACGAACCGCAUCCGACAUAACUAUCCAUCGCUAAUCCGGUGCCUACGAGUUUUCCAUAUACUGGUUCUCGCUCAUUUACUUUUCCGUUGCUACUGUUACAAUCACUACAAAAUACCAAAAACAUUACUUUUCUUGUCUUUACUUUUGUUAUCGUUACCACCACUAUCAUAUUACUUUGCUACUAAACACUUUGCUGCAGAUACUAAGUUUCCAGGUGUGGUUGAAUUGACAACUCAGCUGCUAAUACUUGAGAAUAUUCUUUGGCUCCCCUUGUGUCGAAUCAAUAAAUUUGGGUUGAAUACUCUACCCUCAAAAACUGUUGCGAUCCCCUAUACUUGUGGGUUAUCACUGGGGUGGACGACGGCGCAGCAGGAGCGGGACAAACCACGCAAGGUUUUCUUUGACAACUAUCUGUAAGAGAAUUAAUUCUGUAAGGGCUCAUUUGAAUUGGAGGAUUCCAACAAUGCAGGGAUAGGAAAUAGACAGGAAUAAGAUAGGAAUGCACGUGCAAAACAGAGAAUUUAAAAAUAUAGGAUUUCUACCAAUCUGGGUGUUUGAUUCACAACAAUUGGAAGAUCAUAGGAUGCAAAGAAGCAUGGUGAGAUUAAGUCAAACCACUAGAAAAUGUUCGGUUAUAAUGCUAUUAUGCUACUAUCUCUUAGUCUUGUGCUUCAUGAAUAGGAAUUUGAAAAGGAGGACAAGUGAAAAUUAAAAUUCCUACGUUUUUUUAAGGAGACACUAAAGGAACAAAUCCUACAGUUUUCCUUUGCUCCAUUCCUUUGAACCAAAUUCAUGAAUAGUGGUACCAUAGGAAACUUCCCAAUUCCUAUGUUUUUCAUUCACUUUUCCUUUCAAGCACUGACGAUUCUAGUAGGCAGGCUUGAGCAAGGAAAAGCCUACACUAAAAAAUGUUUUUGUGCUACUUCUAUUACUUUGGACCUAGGCCACUGCCCUACUAGCUCAAGUCCCAGGGCCAUCGACAAAUGCACAGCUCAAACGCACAGAGAUAAAUAAUGAUGGCGUUCAAGAGAGUCCAUCACGGAAAGCUAAGUUGCCUAGUACCUCACUGCUUGUCAUAUAGUAGGAUAAAAUAAUCAUAUUUCCUGUUACUAUAUGUGCUCAGUGGACAAUAUAUAUAACAUGUAGAGUAAAAAAGAGAUGCACCAAGUGUACAACCUCUUUGGCGAAGCCAUGUCGAUCUCAGCAUGAUUGGGUUGGCCGGUGAGGAUGCUCCGGCUGACUUGGCUGUCAGAGGAGUGGAAGAAGAUCUUAGGCGUCUGGAGAUGGAGCCCGAGGUACUGCUCCGCUGUGAUGGAGGGUUUCAUCGUUGGAGAAGCUCCGGUGAGUUGUACGACGCCGAGGUUGAAGCGGGACAAGAGAGACAAUGUUAACCUGAGUGGAAUUCCAAUAGCAUCUCCAAUACAUGACGUAAAAUACAUAACCACAAAGUGCUAGAUGUAAAAUACAUCAGCCGCUCAUCUGUGAAGUUAACUGUCGAAACUGAAUUUAACUGUCGAAACUGAACUUAACUGUCAAAACUGAAUUUUGUUGUCGAAACUAAAUUUUGCUGUCGAAAAUGAACGCACUAGCAAGGUGAGGCUACACAUCGGCCGACUGACUUUUUCAUCUCUGGUCAGUCGAUUUUGCAGCCGUUGGAUACGAAAUCAAGGGCCUGUAGUUCAUCUUCAACCUCCACCCCCUGAGCCGCCAGCCACCACCGGCCAAACAGCAGCCCCCCGCCGCCCGCGGUCGGCGGUGCGCCGCCCCGCCCACCCCGAAAACACUCCCCACCGCUGGUCCGCCGCCGCCCCGACCAUCCCUCNNNNNNNNNNNNNNNNNNNNNNNNNNNNNNNNNNNNNNNNNNNNNNNNNNNNNNNNNNNNNNNNNNNNNNNNNNNNNNNNNNNNNNNNNNNNNNNNNNNNNNNNNNNNNNNNNNNNNNNNNNNNNNNNNNNNNNNNNNNNNNNNNNNNNNNNNNNNNNNNNNNNNNNNNNNNNNNNNNNNNNNNNNNNNNNNNNNNNNNNNNNNNNNNNNNNNNNNNNNNNNNNNNNNNNNNNNNNNNNNNNNNNNNNNNNNNNNNNNNNNNNNNNNNNNNNNNNNNNNNNNNNNNNNNNNNNNNNNNNNNNNNNNNNNNNNNNNNNNNNNNNNNNNNNNNNNNNNNNNNNNNNNNNNNNNNNNNNNNNNNNNNNCGAGCUUUUUCUCCGGCGAUCCCCACGCCACCGCCCCGCCACCGCCGGCGACCACCGCCCCCAUGCUAAACCCUAAGAUAGAUAGUGGGGUACCUCUUCGGCGAGCCCCCUCCCCACUGCGGCUGGUUAUUCCUUCACCCUGGGGAGCCCCCCCACCCCCUGAAAAUCGACUGACCCAAAAGUCGAUUCAGUCAACUGAAGUGUAGCUAAAUUGGAGCAGCAUCGCAAGCAAGAGCAAGAACGAGAGCAGCAGCGCGAGUAAGAGCAAUAGCAAGAGCAGACCAGGCAGGUGUCACGCCCAAUAAGCGACCCUAUCCAAAAGGAACUCGAAGGUCCCACCAAGGAUAGACCCGCAUAUUGAAACGCUUUUGCAAGGUGGAUAUCAUUACAUCAACAUUACAUAAUAGAUAGGGAUACAUACAUAAGGCAUACAAUGCCACACGAAUACAACAUCAUCUUACAUAAGAGCACCAUCCGACUACGGAUGAAACACAAACAGAAACUCAAACAACAUCCACCCUACUAGCCCAGGCUGCCGACCUGGAACCUAUCCCCUGAUCGAAGAAGAAGUAGAAGAAGAACUCCAAAACAAGUAACAUCGCUCUCGCGUCAUGAUCAUCGCAUAACCUGUACCUGCAACUGUUAUUGUAGUAAUCUGUGAGCCACGAGGACUCAGCAAUCCCAUUACCAUGGGUAUCAAGACUAGCAAAGCUUAAUGGGAAAGGAAGGGGUAAAGUGGUGAGGUUGCAGCAGCGACUAAGCAUGAUAUGGUGGCUAACAUACGCAAAUAAGAGCGAGAAGAGAAGCAAAGGAAUGGUCGUGAAGCUAGCAAUGAUCAAGAGGUGAUCCUGAACACCUACUUACGUCAAUCAUAACACAGAAAUCGUGUUCACUUCCCGGACUCCGCCGAAAAGAGACCAUCACGGCUACACACUCGGUUGAUGCAUUUUAAUUCGGAUCUGGUGUCAAGUUAUCUACAACCGGACAUUAACAAAUUCCCAUCUUCCCAUAACCACGGGCACGGCUUUCGAAAGUUUAAACCUUGCAGGGGUGUCCCAACUUAGCCCAUGAUAAGCACUCGCGAUCAACGAAGGAUAUUCCUUCUCCCAGGAAGACCCGAUCAGACUCGGAAUCCCGGUUUACAAGACAUUUCGACAAUGGUAAAACAAGACCAGCAAAGCCGCCCGAUGCGCCGACAAUCCUGAUAGGAGCUGCACAUAUCUCGUUCUCAGGGCAACACCGGAUGAGCUAAGCGUACAGGUACCGACGUAACCCAAGUUGCCAAGGGAUGGUCCCGCACGGUGCUCUAGUUUGGACCAACACUUAGACAAGCAUUGGCCCGGGGGGCUAUAAUAAAGAUGACCCUCGAGAGAGCGACUCCCAAGGGAAAAGUAGGUGGUGGUGAGGCAAAUGGUAAAACCAAGGUUGGGCCUUGCUGGAGGAGUUUUAUUCAAAGCGAACUGUCAAGGGGGUCCCAUAAAUCACCCGACCGCAUAAGGAACGCAAAAUCUGGGAACAUAAUACCGGUAUGACAGAAACUAGGGCGGCAAGAGUGGAACAAAACACCAGGCAUAAGGCCGAGCCUUCCACCCUUUACCAAGUAUAUAGAUGCAUUAAUAAUAUAAGAGAUAUUGUGAUAUCCCAACAUAAUCCUGUCCAUCAUGGAGAAAUCUUCAACUUCACCUGCAACUAACAACGCUAUAAGAGGGGCUGAGCAAGCGGUAACAUAGCCAAGCAAUGGUUUUCUAGGAAGGGUGAAAAGGUUAGAGGUUCAUGGCAAUUUGGGAGGCUUGAUGAGCAAAAGAUAGGUAGCGCAGCAAAGCGAUAGAACGAAGCAACUAGCAUAGCAAUGAUAGUAAUGAGAUCCAGGGUAGCGGUCAUCUUGCCUAAAAUCCCGCAAGGAAGAAGAAUGAGUCCAUGAAGAAGAUGAAGCCACGAGGACGAACCAAGCGUAGACGAACGAAUCCUCACGAUCGCAACGAAACGGGAACUAUCGAGAAGAAGCACACAACAUGGUAAACACACCACACAUGAACAAGACAUGAUGCACAACCAAGCAUGAUGCAUGACAAAGGCCACAUGAAGCUACUCAUGGAAAGAGAUGAUGCAAACAAGAGCAACACAACAAAGCAAGUUUAAAUGAGGCCGGAAACAACAUAUAACAAUUCCGGUAAGUCCUCAUCUGCAAAUUUCGAAAUUGGUCCAGAUCUGAAUAAACCUUAUGUUCAAGUUGUUAAACAGCAAGUUAAAAUGCACCAAGAUGAUCUACACGAGAUUCUAGUCAAGUUACAUAUAAAGUUCAUUAGAUUCGGAGCUACGGCCUAGAAGAUAUGAGCAAAACAAGUUAAACAUGGCAUUGAUGCAAAAUGCACCCAAACAUCAAGCAAACACCUCAAAACAUGGAUGCAACAUGAUAAUAUGAAACUACAUGCAAAAUCAAGCAAGUUUCAUAUAGAGCACACUCAAAACGGAGCAACGGUUCAACACAUACACUCCAAACAUGAUACAGCAACAAUCUGUCCAAAACAGCAAGUAGGCAUAUUGCAAGCAUCAAAACAACAUGCUACAGGACCUCAACAUAAUAACAAAAGGCAUGGUCAUGAAGUACAGGUAAAGAAUAACAAAACAUGAACACUGAGCUGUCUCCAGAAAUCACUAGAACAUGCUCAAACACACAUGACAAGAUUGCAAAUAAUAACAGUUACAGACUUAUCAGGAAAUAACAUCAGGUUGUAAUGUUUAGAGCUAUCAAACAACAUGUUACAGGAACUUCACAUGGAAAACAAAGGCAUGGCAUGAAUCUACUAAUUGCAUAGAACAAAAGUCCCUUACUGACCAAGAGCCAAAAAGGCACAGAAAAUAUGAUGGCACCCAUGUAAACAUGGCAAGUUAUAUGACAGAUUCAUACAUGGCAGGAACAACAAUAAGUAGGCAUGUUGGUGAGCUUGAACCACUCACCACAAAGCAAUAAAUGGCAUGGAAAGGCAACCAGUAGCAAGAAGACAUGUUUAUGAAGCUAAUCAUGGCAAGAGAAAGUUCAUAGGGUUCAUGGAUCACUAGGAAAGCUCAUGGCAAAACUGAACUUCAUGUUAACAGGCUGACAGCAACAUCAUUUAGCAACUUUGAAGCAAGAUAUGAACAAUCUAAAGAAAGCUAUAAAUGCAUCCAGGGGCAUGGAUGGAUAUAUCAUAACCAUAUGUACAAAACAUCCUUACUGAAGUAUCCCAAAAUAAGCAUGGAUCUCUCUGUAGCAUCAAGUUUACAUGGCAUAAAAAUAAUAGCAGAACAGGGACUGAAAUCAGCAACAUCACAAGGCCUAGUUUACAUGCUUGUUCUAGUCACCACAUUUAUCACAAAAAUACAUGGCAUACACCCCUGUAAAGAUGGCAUGGCAUAGUUCAAAACACAUGUAGACAUCAACCUCAUAGGAUGCACACAUCAAACAUGGCAAAAAUGACAAAUGGGCAUAUUAUAACAGUUUCAGCAGAUUAACAGCAACAUGCAAUCUUGCAACGAUGAUUCAGGCAUCAAGAUGAACUCAAAUGAACAUGAUGCGAUGGAAUGAAAUGAAGUACUCGUUGAGACGAACAAUUUGACAUAAUACACGCACGAAAUGGAGCUACAUGCAUAGAGAUAUGGCAGGUCAAACAGGGCACGAAAAUGUUACAAAUCUGGGGACUUGUGGAUUUUUACCUCCGCGAAAGUCAACGGGACGGAGGGAUCCGGGACGGAGAGAUCCGGGGACGGGCAGGUGCGUUUGGAUGGAGGGACCGGUGGAUCUCGUCCCGAUCCACCGGAUCCGGCGACGAGGCGGCCGGCGACGGCGGCCGGAGGGCGGGGCGGCGCCGGAGGAGGCAGGACGCACCGGCGGUGACGGNNNNNNNNNNNNNNNNNNNNNNNNNNNNNNNNNNNNNNNNNNNNNNNNNNNNNNNNNNNNNNNNNNNNNNNNNNNNNNNNNNNNNNNNNNNNNNNNNNNNNNNNNNNNNNNNNNNNNNNNNNNNNNNNNNNNNNNNNNNNNNNNNNNNNNNNNNNNNNNNNNNNNNNNNNNNNNNNNNNNNNNNNNNNNNNNNNNNNNNNNNNNNNNNNNNNNNNNNNNNNNNNNNNNNNNNNNNNNNNNNNNNNNNNNNNNNNNNNNNNNNNNNNNNNNNNNNNNNNNNNNNNNNNNNNNNNNNNNNNNNNNNNNNNNNNNNNNNNNNNNNNNNNNNNNNNNNNNNNNNNNNNNNNNNNNNNNNNNNNNNNNNNNNNNNNNNNNNNNNNNNNNNNNNCCAGGCGGCGGCGGCGCGAGGGCCCGCGCGGGCCCGUGAUGGGCUCCGCAGGCCGGCGGCGAGGUGGGCGCGGGGACGCCACGUGGCACACGGUGGUUGGCUGCAGGCGCGGCGGUGAUGACAUGGCGGAUGCUCAUUGGCCCGGACGACGUGGCUGAGGGCGGCGGACAUGUCCGGGCGGCGGGGUUUUUGUCCGGCAGCGCGGAGAGGAAGUUUGUUAGGGUUUGAUCUGCGGAAAUUUCGGGGGAGGUGCACCUAUUUAUAGGUAGAGGGAGCUAGGAGAGUCCAAAUGAGGAAUGGUUUUCGGCCACGCGAUCGUGAUCGAAUGAUCGAGAGCAUGGAGGGGGUUAGGAUGGGUUUUGGGCCACUUUGGAAGGGGUGUUGGGCUGCACACAAAAGAGGCCUUUGGGCUAACUCGGUUAACCGUUGGAGUAUAAAACGACCUCCAAAUGGCAUGAAACUUGACAGGUGGUCUGCCGGUGGUAUACCAAGGACGCUUGGCAAACCUCGGUCCAUUCCGAGAAUGUUUAACACCCGCACAUGAAAAGAGGCAAAAGGGGGCGCCGGAGGACAUAGGAGUGCCGGAUUGCAAAACGGACAACGGGGAAAAAGCUCGGAUGCAUGAGACGAACAUGUAUGCCAAAAUGAAAUGCACAUGAUGACAUGAUAAAAAGCAACACGCAAGCAAAUGACAAGGCAACUACGGCGAAUAACUGGCAGACACCUGGCGCAUCGGAUCCGGGGCGUUACAGCAGGGGACCGAGAGCAAGAGCAGAGCAGCAGCGCGAGCGAGAGCUAAAGCAACAGCAGCUCCUACUGAUGUGGACGUCGCCGCCGAGGGAGCGACUCCGUGGAAGAAGUGGCCGGCGACGCCGUCGUGGAUGGAGUCGCGCCGUGGCGGCUCGGGACCGAGCACCGGCAGCACCGUGAGAUCGAAUCAAGAAGAAAAUACGGCGAUUAGUGUACAACCUCUUUGGUGGCACUGAUUAGGACGCAGCUUCUUCCGAGGAAUCGGUGAUGAUGAUGCUCUUCCGGUGGUGCAGGUGAAGAUGGCGGUGUGGGAAUGGAGGUGGCGCGAAAGAUGAGGGGAACGUCAGGGCAGCUCCUUGGAGGUGGAGGACGGGGUGGCUGAACCGGCGGGACGAUGAGAUCGAUGACGGAUCCUUAUCUGGUACGGUGGAUGAGGGACGUCGAGGUGUUGUUGUGGACGACAUCGUUGGGGAAGAGGCUCCGGAUGGGUGGCAGACGGAUCAGGGUGUGGGGCUUCGUCGCGGGUUUUCGCGGCCUCGGUGUACGAAUGGGUGGGCAGAUGGGAUGGCAGUGGGGAACCAUGGCUUAGGGACGCACUUGUCCGAAAUGUGGGGUAAGUUACAAAAGUACCCCCACCGAUUUGAGGCGGUUCUUUCGGUUCAGGGAUACCACGGGCAUUUCGCGUGUCGGGAUUUCAUAGGAGGUGGGAGUUUUCGCGUGCGUUGUAAUUUCGAAAUAGCAAGGCGCGGGUUGAGAUGGAGGGAGUUGUCGGAGCACGAUGAGACAAAGAUAUAUCUUAAAUAUUUCGGGCUAACAAGGCGCGGGUUGAAAUUUCCGGACAAGCCUAACGUGUACUGUACCAAAUCAAUGCCCACUACAAAUGUCAUUCAAAACUUUGAAUUCAUGUUAUGUUCAAUUAAAAUAUUUCGCUACGUGUAUAAUGCAUGCAACCUACUACUCAAAUGAACAUUUUAGUGCAUCCCAAACACAUAUACUACCGCUUCAAUAUGAACUAAAUUUGAAUUUGUUUCUCUAUUUGAGUAAGAUCUACAGUAUUGAUUGUUGUGAUUCAAAGCAUUUGAAUUCGUUUCUCUGUUUUAAUAAGAUCUAAAAUCAUCAUUAUUGUCAAGUUAAACCAUCAUUUGUGUAUUAUCUUCACAGCACACCACAUGAUUAGUCUCGAGUUACAUAUGAACUAUGUGUACUAUAUGAACUCAAACUCGAUUUUUUGAAUCCACUUUAUGUUGAUUUCAAAUCACAUUACAUUUCUAGCUCUAGCUAGAUCUUCAUAAUCUAAACCAUGUCUCGGAUAUAUAAUGUAUUUAUCACAUUAUGUAUGGUGCCCCACCCCUACGCCUACAAGUAUUUAGAUGUGAGUUGCAAACACCACACAUUACCACAAAUUCAAAUAAAAUGUGAGAAUGUUCGAUAUAUAGUAUUGUUUAGAUUGUUCGAUAUUUAGUUGUAAGCUGCAAACGCCACACAUUAUCACAAAUUCAAAUAAAAUGUGAGAUUGUUUGAUGUAUAGUAUGGUUUAGAUUGUUCAACAUUUAGUUGUGAGUUGCAAACGCCAUGCAUUAUCACAUUAUGGUAUAACAUGUGCACAGCACGUGUAUCACCGCUAUAUUCAUGCAUGCAUAUGUUUAAAACACUAUGAUCUCCUAUUCAAAUAUAUGAAUCCGCUUUCAUAUCAAAUUAUGAUAUUUGUUAGUCUCUUACACCCACACAAUCCUCUAACCUUUGUAGCUACCACUAACUUUCUCUCGUGCAUGCACACGCCCUCCUCGCCCUCCCCCUCCCUCGGCAUUCUAUCCACCGGGCACAUUCAUUUUUUUCUUUAGGUCGUUCUCCCAGAGUCUCCACAACUCCUUUCCGACACACACCUAUCGAUAAACCUCUCUAGUGAUGCCUACCUACAACAUACACACGCACCUUCAAUCUCCUCCUUUAUGUGUCCUUGCCUCGUGUCUCUCAUACGGUCACACACAUGUGUAAACUCUCGCCCCUCUUUUCAUCUAUCUCACAACCGCACACUCCUCCCCCUAUCUAGCUAGUAGCUGGGCCUCUCACACCACCUCCUAGCUCCAUUCUCUCUGUCUAUCCGUCUCGCUGGGCCUUAUUUGCCUCUAACAAAUGGACAUACACUGACUGAUCUCUCACUAUACAUAUAGCUAGCUAGGUCCUUAUAACUCAUUUUUACCCACGCAUUGAUCAAUCUACCUCAUUAGUUAUGUCUCUCCCUUCCUCCGACAAACAACAAUUGAUCUACUGAUCUAGUUAGGUUUUCUUACCAAACACAUGGUUCCCCUUCAUCAUCCAUGGAUGCGUCCCGACAGAUCUAUCACACACAGGCACACACAGAAACACAUCCCCACUCUUAUUGAUAACAUUGCAGUUCCACCUCAGUUUGUCUAGUAGGCCUCUCCCACCAUCUUCGAGUAGCAACUCCAUCAUCCUUCCAACACUCUACCCCUCUCCCUCCCUCUCCCUCCCUCUCUCUCUCUCUGUCCCAUCAUAUUUCCUGUCCUUCAGUUAUGUAUGGAUGUCGACCAAUCUCCCUCAAGACAUAGCUGGGUCUCUCCUUCUCAACACAUAUACGAGUCGUUCUACCUCUAUAGUUAGGCCUCUGCCUACCCCUCCCCCACCCCCCUCCCCCCCCACACACACCGAUACAUCAAGCGCUCUAGUCAUGUCUCCCUGCCACACACAAACUUGACAUGUGCCCUCUAACGUUCCCGUAGGUCAGUCGCCCUAUAUCUUUGAUUUGCACACACACACACAAUUUCGAUGGCUCUCUUCAUCGAUCUCGCACCCACCCACUUGAUCCUCUCUUCGACUCAAUCGAUAUCUAUGACCCUCCCUCUCUUCUCGUGGAUUGCCCGACCCUCUAUAUAUGAUAUGGAUAGGCCUCCAUUUCACACACAUUGCAUGCAAAAUUUUGUUUGAGAUGUCAUCGACACAUAUUCCCACAAAUACAUUCACGAAAUCAACCCCCACCACCCCCACCCCAAAACAAAAAACACUCAUGAACGCGGUUUGUAUCUCUCACACACACCCACGUAGGUGGGGCACGUGCAAGAAGAGAAGAGGUGCAUGCACGGCGCACGUACUCCCGUCUCUUUCCCAACCACACCCGCGCGGGUACACGGUGGAGCUCAUUUCUGUAUGAAAAAGGCAGCCCACAUGGUAAUUUGGCACGUGUACUGGUUGUCCACUUGGUGGAGGGAGGAUCGUCUACCACGGCUGAACAAAAAAUUGCGACUUGACGCAUUAUGUUAAAAAAAGAGGCAAACCAUGUGGGGCCUACCUUAGAGGCAAGGCUAUAUGCACUGGAGUACUUUUGAUGUGUCCCGUCAACUCGCAGAACGAGGAGAAGCUUGCUUAGUACAUCGUCUCCCCCGUCCAUGGGCGCGGUGGCUCGCAGGAUGAGGUGAAGCUUGCUUAGUACUGUCCGCCUUACACCCGCUCCCUCGCCCAUGCGCGCGGUGGCUCACAGGACGAGGAGAAAAAUUUACUACUCCCUCCAUUUACUCCUCGUCCCUACUACCUUCGUUAUAGAGAUUAUAUCAUAUUAUUUGGAAUAUAUAUGUCCUUUAGUAGAUUUCAAUAUGAACUACUAGUACAUACUCCAAACACUGAUGUAUAUAGACGUAUUUUAGAGUGUAGAUUCAUUCAUUUUGCUCCAUGUGUAGCACUCUCCCUCGCCCCUCGCCCCUCGCCCACGUGGUGGACGUGCAGCAAUUCAUUCGGUCUCAUAUAGCCAGAAUGAUAUACACUGCACUACCAUUAUUGCUUGACUUCCCGAAGAGGCGAACAGCCAAUCACAAGGUAAAUAUUUUGGAGAUGCCAAGCGCAAGGUUAUAGGAGAAUGAGUAGUAGGUCCCGCGUCAUUGAUAAAUAAAGUUCUUUUUUCUUCAGUGGCACGUACGCAAUAUGAUAGGUUCAUAUGGAGAGAAAAGGAAACCGCUCCACUAUAUACAUAGUCAGGAUGGGCCAGCCUACACGGUUGCUUGUUGGGGUUGCUCUCUUCACACUCUCUCGCACAAAAUGACUGUGGCCACAUCUCUAACUUCCCGGCGGAUCACGUCCGCCGGGGGAAGGGGUGGAUGCUUAGUGUAGAUGCGGUCGCCGUUGCCGACGGCGAAAACCCACUGUCGGAACGUCCCGAUCAGGGGUCCCCACUUUUUUCUCUCACAAAGCUGGUGAGGUUACCUUCAUCCCUUGCUCACUACCGUGACAUGGGCAGUUUCCGCCUCCUGCCGCCCUCCUCAAGGUUGAGCUACGUCCCUCAGGUACAACUCCCUUUAUAGCCGGCUUGCACCACUGCUCCAGCUGCCCACAUCACUCCAUGUGGAUAUUUCUCUACUUAUUUGCCCCGCACAUACCUCUACUGGCUUCUACGUAUUGUAUUUGUGAUGAGUUUAUGUCUCAUCAACUAGUCCCAGUAAUCUUAUUCUAAUCACGCUUCUUCAAUUUCUUUGCCAUAGGGAUGCUCAUCUCGAUUUUGGUGAAACUGCACAAAAUGAUCCGAUGGUCAAAAAGUUGCAAACUUCAUUUCUUAGGAAGCUCAAACGUUGCCAGCAAAUUGAAGCCUGGUUAAGGUUCACGGUUCAAGGGCUAGGGACUGCAUGGAUCGUUUUUUCUUUAGCUGCCUCUGUUCCAAAAUAAGUGUCAACUUUAGUAGUAGUACAACUUUGUACUAAAGUUUGCAUAAAGUUGAGACACUUAUUUUGGAACGGAGGGAGUACAUAUUUGCUAUGAUCUGUCAAUCAUUGAGAUGCAAUAGCAUGCGUGUUAGUCUCCUUUGUAUUUGAUGAAAUGUUGCAACGGGCAACCUUGGACGCAAGAUACAUGUAACAGAAGCUGGAAGCUUCAUAGCAUUGUACAAAUUUAUCUCGCUGAUAAAUUACAGUACGUACUAUAGUAGUACUUCCUCCGUUCCUAAAUAUAAGUCUUUGUAGAGAUUUCACCAUGAACCACAUGCGGAUGUAUAUAGAUACAUUUUAAGUGUAGAUUCAUUCAUUUUGUUCUGUAUGUAGUUCACCUUGUGGAAUCUCUACAAAGACUUAUCUACUAGUAAUAGCUAGGCCCCACUACUAGGAAUUCAGUAUCCUCUCCUUGAGCCACAUCAUCAAAAUUAAUGUAGCCAUUAGAUGAACUAAAUCAGUCCAUAAUAGCCGUCUGAUCUAGACGCUGAGAGGCUCCGCACUAAGCCACAUGCAAGCAUGCAGAAAUACCGUGGCAUGCAUGUGAGUGGGUUUUAAAUCACAUCAACAUGUCUGCACGCAAGCAUGCACCGGUAGCAUGCAUGUAGUGAGCUUUUAAGUCCCAUUAACAUGCCAAAAAGAAAAAUAUAAUCCUAUUAUGCAGUAGGAGCUGGCUGAUCUUUUUUCCUUACGUCGGAUGAUCUACAUGAUGAUGGGAGUUUUUUUAGUUUGGCUACCACAUGUGUCAUGCGGUUAUAGAGUUUUUUUUAGUUCUAUGAAAUCGAUAAUUUUACGCAGAGAGAUAUACGGCUGUUCCGCGGCAACACGCGAGGACUCAUCUAGUAGUAUUUAGGAACGGAGGGAGUACUAUGUAAAGAGUUAGGUGUCGCACGGUGUCCAGAAAAUAUGGUGAUAGUGUGAGGUGGGCCAUGUAAUCACUGAGCCUGCGUGUUUUCACUGCUCUUGCACUCCUCCGCUGUAAGAAUGGAGAAAAUUGUAAUCUAGUAGUACCUUAUUUCGCCGAAAGUGUGGGACAUCCAGCAGUCCUACCACCUCAGUAAUAAAGACCAGUGAGCCGUCAAAUCACAUAGACCUAGCAAUAAGUUGGACGGACGAAGAAACCAUCACUCUUGUGCCAGUGAGAGGUCGCGUCCGCUCUGCCCGGGCAUGAAUGCGACACUGGUUCUUUGAAGCGGCGUUGACCGUUUUGGGUGGGAAGCGCGCGGGGGCGAUGGAGGGGCUUUGGGUGGGCCAGGCUGGUCAGAGCGGGCGUGGAAGCUGUCUGCCUAUCCCUACCGAACACGCCCGAAAACAAGAGGAUGCACCGACUCUCGCAGCUAAAAUCGUACACUACACACCAUCUCUCUGUAGGAGUAGGUCGAAUUGUCGCUCUCUCUAACACACACACACACACACACACGCACGCAGGCACGCACCUUGGUCCCGCUGCACCUUCUAACGUGACUUAUUACACCUAGAUGGAGGGAGUAGUAAGUACGAGAUACGGUGGCACACUGACUUAGGUCGAAUACAAGUGCCCAAAAUUGUGUGCAUGUUAUAAUAAGGAUUCACUUAAAAUAGUACGUGAGCGAACAGAGGGAUCAAUUGGACACUGUUCCCGAGCAGUAGCGAGAUGUGUGAGGUAAGAUACACCACUGGCGCUUUUAUUUUUUCUUAUUAAUCUGUUUGUUUCACCCUCUGACUGGUGGGACCCAACGUACUACGUGGAGAGAGGUAAGGUGACUAAGGCUACAUUAUUUCUGCACCACUGUGGAUAGUCUUACCACCAAAGCCACAUGACAUGAUUAUGAUUUAAAUCCCAAUGGCUCCCACACACACACACACACAAAAACACGGCAUGCUUGUCACACGAAUGCAGGAAUGUAUAAAAGGUUAUUUUCCUCUCGUUGAACAUAACGGGAGGGUUGUGUAGCUGGUUAGCCUGUUCGCUCAUCAAACUUGAGGUCUCGGGUUCCACUCAAAAAAAAAACUUGAGGUCUCGGGUUCAAUAACUACACUUGAGCAUAAUUUGUGCCAGGAGGAUUCUUUGACUGGUCAAAAUGGAUGGAUACGGAGCUAUACGAUCUCGUAGUGACCGUAUAAUCACCUCAUCACGUACUCUAUAAGCUGCAGCCUCGGCGCUUGUUUUCUAGGGUUUGCACACUUCACACUCUCUCUCAAGUAUAUAUAUACACGCUGCAGACUCGGCGCUUGUAGUUGCUCUCUUCACACUCUCUCACCCUCUCCAGUCUAAACAAGACUUCGUUGGCCUCUCUCUUCCCUCAAUGCUACUCAAAGAGCCGACAGGAUCUGUCCACCGGGAAGGGAAGGAGGCUUAACACUAUCGCCGUCGGUGAGGGAGGGAAUCCACUACCGGCGCAGCUCUUCACUUUCAUCCAGCGGCGGCGCGGGAGGGCCUCCGACCCCUUCUUCUUCGCCAUCGUCCCAUCGCCCACCGAACCACGCCCCAAGAACCUUGAGGUAUAAUUUACUUAUUCCUUGCUCUAGCUGCAUGUAUACCAUGAAUCUAGGACGUGGUUCAAAGAGUAAAGGAGUGUGGGAAAGUAGUGGGGAAAGUUGUAUUGCAUAAAUCUAGGGCGUGGUUCAAAGAGGAAAGGAAGGGGCAAAAGUACUAGUACAGACUGGCUAUCCAGCACCUACGUUGGUCGAAAAGGGAAAACAAUGACAAACGUAGUACGCACAUCUGUAAUGAACUGAUCUUUUGUUUUGGGGGACAAGGCUGUAGAGUUUGAGCAGGACUAGAUUUGCUGCGCUCACAUAGGGAAAGGUGUCUAAAGAUAACAAAACUGGUACCAACACAAAUAUGCUCCUUGGUUGUUUGUUCUUUGUUGCAACAGACUGUGCAUGACCACAGUACAUCGGUAGAUGCACAUGGUGCUGGUGCAUCCACUAUCCCAUGCAACUCUUUAGCUGUUGUUAAUCUAAGGCCCUGUUUGGUUAAAAACUCCCUAGUCCCUGCCUGCUUGGUUCCAGGGACUAAACAUGGACUAGAGGUUAUUAAAUGACAUGCUAAAAGACCAUGUUACCCCUAGUAAUGAACUAAUAGAGACAAGGUGCGAUGUGUGGUAGGGGCAACUGUUGGAAAAGUCCCAAAAAGACUCCCUCGGGGUCUUCUUUCUUUAGUCCCAAAAAUGCCCACUUUUAGUCCAUAAAAGUCCCUCCUGUUUGGUUUAGAUGGGACUAACACGGAGUUUUUUAGUCCCUACACCAAAAUGUCCCUGUAAACAAACACCCUCUAAUAAUGCCGCUGGAAAAUUGAUGCAAUGCCACAGUUAAAAGCAAAUUACAUGUUUAACAAAUUUUAUUGUUAAUAUAAUCUCUAUGUUAAUAUUAAUCAAUGCCACCGUUUGAGAAAUGCUAUUGUCUUGCUUUCUUUCCCAUCUAGAUAAGGUAGAUGCUUCUUUUUGUUGGCUUCUAUGUCAUCCACCGUUAUUGACCACUAGUUGUUUCCUUUGCACCUCUGUGUAAACAGGGUUAUCUACUUGACCUCGUUGCCAUUGUGACCUUUUGUUGCACUGCACAAAACACUUUUAUUUUAGGAGUGUUUUGUGUAGUUCAACCAAAACAUCACACCGACAACGUUGCUUGAUUGCUUGAUCUUAGUGGAACUGCACAAGAGGAGAUCUUACUUCCUAUCUGUGUUGGCAAAUUUGGUUCAGAUCUUCUUCUUGUGAGUUGUUUGGAUUCCGCAUCAUGAGAGGUCAGUACUAGCCUUCUUUCACACGAUUCUGCAGUGUGCUUUCAUAUGUUGUUCUACUUGUAUGGCAAUGUUGCUUGAUUUUUUAUAGGGUUGGGAUAGUAGGAAAGGCUCAUACUACAUGUAUAUUAAGUAUAAAAGAAACUUGGUUACAUAGUGAUAAUUACAAAGUGGGGAAGUUAGACAUGACUAAGCUACAAGCCCUCAAAGUUAAUGAGAGUCCUGGGUUAGAGUUUGCAAAAUGGAAGAGACAACAUGUCUCUUGUGUUCUUGCAAUCUAUAUUGAAGGUUACCAAAGUCGAUCUUGAACCUAGUCCACCAUGAGUCAAUGGAAGGAACCACACGCCUAAAAUAAUUGUUGUUAUGCUCUUUCCAGAGACUCCAAGCAGCAAUCAGAAAGAUUUCCAUGAUCAUCUUGCGCGGGCGCUGCGUCUUCAUUUGUUCAAUAAGAUCCAGCCGGUUGCCAACCGUUCCCCACAGAUGUUCAGGCGUUGCCAAUAGACUUUGCUAAAGGUGCAAUGGAAGAAAAGGUGCUCCACCAUUUCUUCAACGUGAUGACCACACAGCAGGCAAUCGAGGUUGGUUCCAAUGUUAUAAUGUCGUUGUUUCAGCAUGUUGCGUGUGUUGAGACGAUCAGAGAGCAAAAAUCAACCGAAGACUUUGAUCUUCGGGGUGCACUUGGUCCGCCAAAGCCACUGGUAUGCCACAUGAGCCACCAUGUCUCGAAAGAAUUUUUUUUUAAUAUGCGGCAGUUUUGAAGACAGUGGCCCCCAGCAAUAGGGCCAAACAUCCUGACAUUCGUCAAGGGAAAUUUCCGCUACGUGAAGCUGCAGAAGCUUUAGCUCAUCAUGGGCUUGUACAGACAGGGGGAGCUGAAAGGUUUCAUGCAGGGUGGCGGUCGUCAGGAAAUCCCGGACCGAAAGAUCUUCAUGAUGGACGUACGAGAAUGCCCUAGGGUACUUGCCAGCAUAAACAUCAUUAUUCUAGCUGUCUUUCCAAAACAGCGCAGAUUUACCAUUGUUGACUUGAACAUGGGAGAUACCACGGUAUAUUGGAAUGAGGUGAACGAGAUCUCGCCACCAAAAGGAGCCACAUAUCUCAGCUACAUGCGGGAUUGAGUCCAAGUAGUACGUAUCCCAAAUCAACUGUACCCAAGGAAUGUCCAAUUUGUUAAAGAAUUUAUGGAGGAAUUUUAGAAGCAGGCCAUCAUUUUGAACCCUCAAGUCAAGAAUACCGAGGCCACCGCUAGAUUUGGGACGGCAGACCAUGGGCCAAGCAGCAAGAGAGUUGUGUUUAUCACCAUCAGCUGUCUUUUUUAACCAGAGGCAUUGCCUACGAAUUUUGUCCAGCUGGGCAAUAAUUUUCUAUGGUAGGCGCAAAGUGCCCAUCAAAUAUAUGGCCAGAGAGGUAAUGAGUGAACUGAUCAACGCUAACCUGCCAGCAUGAGACAUGCGAGACAUGGCAUCAGUGAUUUUUCUUUCUACUUUGCACACAAACGGUGUCAAAUCCAGGACCGUUGGACGUGUGGUCCCUAGGGGCAGGCCCAGGUAAGUGAACGGCAUAGAUUCUUGGGUGCAACCAAAGAGAUUUGCCAAGGCAUUGCAUUUGUCGGCAGGGGUGUUGAUAGGGACGAUCGUGGAUUUAUGAAAAUUGAUUUUGAGCCCGAUAGUGUGGCGUAGUCUUCAAGGAUUUGUUUCAACUUGGCCGCUUGGAGAAGACAUGCAGGCAAUACAACGAUAGUAUCAUCUGCAUAUUGGAUGACGGGGUACUUAGCUUCACCUUUAGGAGGGAUCGGGUGACUGAUCAAGCCUUGUUCAAGCGCAUCAUUGAUGGCGGAUUGAAGGAGGUCGGCCGCAAUUACAAAAAUAAGUGGGGACAUAGGAUCACCUUGGCGGACCUCGCACUUGCAGUGAAAUUGCCGACCAGGAACACUGUUGAGAAGCACUGAGGACUUGCCGGAAGAGAAGAUAUUGUGCAUCCAACCUAGCCAUGCAGGUGGAAAACCCAUUUUCUUCAUGAUGAGGAGCAUAGGUGAAUGCUCAAUGGUAUCGAAUGCCUUGGCAAAGUCCAGUUUGAGGAGAAUGAUUUCUUUCUUGGAGGCUUGACAUUGAUGUAUGUAUUCGAAGGCCCAAGCUAGGCAAUCAUGGAUGGACCUGCCCCGAAGAAAGCCGUACUGAUUUUUGUGUACCAACUGAAGAAUGAUGCGUUGCAGGCGAUCAGCCAGGAUUUUAGUGAUUAGCUUCAGACAACAGUUGAGAAGGGUGAUGGGCCUGAAGUCAUUCACGUUGUCAGGCGAGUUGUCUUUUGGAAUCAGCGUGAUAUAGCCCGCAUUGAUACUUUCCAGAUUGAGACCACCCUGAUGAAAUUCCUGGCAGAGGAGAUAGAAGUCUUCUUUUAGGAUAGGCUAGCAAGCUUUCAAAAAGGCGCCAUUGAAACCAUUGGGGCCAGGGGCCCGAUCAGGCGGCAUUGCCGAAACCACAGCAUCAAUCUCAUUAUGUGUAAAUGGAGCCACAAGAGUGGCAAACAGCACCUCAUCCUUGAGGAGAUUAUCUAGGUUGAACUUCAUAGGCGAGGGGUUAGCUUGCCCCAUCCGAGUCUUGAAAGCCUCAAAGAAGACAGAUUCCUUGCCUGCAUGAUCCUCAACAACACUGCCAUCAACAGUUUUCAGAGAGCUGAUGUAAUUCCUUCUGUAACGUUCAGUAGCCACAGUUUGAAUUUUUUUUUGAAUUUUCAUCCCCGAAUUGGAUCCAUUGAAUGGUACAUUGUUUUUUCCAAUAAUCUUUCUCAUGUUGGAGAAGCCUCAAGAGAUGUUUUUUGAGGAUAUUGUGAAAGUUUCGCUCAGGAGUGGUAAGUGGCCUGCGAUCUUCAAUAUUAUCUAGCUCCAGAAGCAUUUUAUUAGUAUUUUCAAUAGCAAUGUUUAAGCGGGAAAUCUUCUUACUCCAAUGCUUGAGAGCAUAUCGCACAGCCUUGAGCUUUUGUCCAAUCCUGGCGGCCGUGUUGGACUGUAUAUUGUAUUUGAUGGGUUUAUUCCAAGCUUGUGCCACAACCUCCAUAAACCCUGGGUGGGCAAUCCGGUAUGUUUCAAACCUGAAGAGCUUACUUUUUGGAAUUGUUGUUUGGAUGACCACAGAGCAAGGAGUAUGGUCGAAGACUGGCUUCCCCAAAGGAUUCACCAAAGUGUUAGGGAACGAUAUGGUCUAGUUGAGUGUGGUAAAAAAAACCCAUCAAGUUGUUCCAGGAGCGGUUGUUGCUGCAUAUUGGACCAGGUAUAAGCUCUGCCCUUAAUGGGCAAUUCAGUGAGGUAUUGUCCACGAAUAAAGUCAUUAAAUGUGAACAUAUCCUGGACAUUCCCACCAGGUUUGUUGCGGUUAUCAAGCGAAGGAAUGUAAUUAAAGUCGCUAAGAAUAAGCCAAUCUUCAGUAGUAGGAAUAUCCAAAUCAAAUAACCACCUAGUGAAAGAAGUAUGAAGAUCACCUUGACAGGGGCCGUACACAUUGACAAGUUUCCAAUGGUGAUUAGAUUGCGUGGAGGUAAACUCAAUUCCUAACGCAAAUUGCUCAGACACGAAAACCCUGCCCAUGAAAACACUACUGUUCCAGAUCGUAACAAUGCCACCCGAAGUGUCGUGUGAGGGAAUAUACUCAAAUUGAUCAAAACGUCGUGGGCAUAUAGAUUUGAGAGUGGCAGCGUCAAAAGAAGGCAUCUUAGAUUCUUGUAGGCAAAUCACCGCGCAACCACUAGCCUGGAUCGCAUUACUAAGCGCUAAAUGUUUCUCAGGUGCAUUAAGACCACGCACAUUCCAGCAGAGUACAUUCCAGUUGCACAAAAGCAUCAAGGUACGAAAAGUUCAGAUAACUACAGAAGAUAAAUAAGAAACCCACCUAUUCCUCAGACAGGGCCAAAGUAGUGAGCUCUUCAGCGGGCACCGCGCAAAGGUUGGAGCCAAUGGCAUGCAUGGUGGGGAUGGGUGUUGGUGGUGGGAUCGGAUCAGCAGCAUCGUCCCCGGGGGCAUCAACAGCAGUGGAAUCCACAUGAGUAUCUUCAGUAGCCUCCAGAGCAGAGGGGAUGACACGAGGCUUGACUCUGGACUUGGUCUGACGAGAGUCAGAGGCGUGAAGGACCCGGAAGCCAUCGUACUUGUUGUUUCUUGUGCUUCUGCACAGAGUUGCAGUGUCAAUUGGGGCUAACAUCUUACCUUUCCUCUGCUUCAGGGCUUGUGUAGUAUGGGACAGGGAUCUUGACGAUCCUUCGUCAGGCAGUGACAGAGAUGGCAUCAGUGGCCCCGGAGCAGCAGAAACAAACCGAGCAGGUCGUGGGAUCUCACCCAUCGAAUGUAUCUCAUUAGUGUUGGCGAUCAUGGGUUCAGACGGCUCCAUGGUGAGGAGCAGGGGGGCAGGCGGAGCAGACAGACUAACUUGAGCAGGAGAGAUCAUCGUCUGGACCGGAGAUAACUGAAUGUCUCCACCUAAAAGAGACACAUGCACCACCACUUGAACUGAAUCUUGACGAAAGCCAAGGCCCGAGCUCCAGGGGCCAAAUGAAGCUACAAGCGGGCGCAACACUGAGAAGAGAGCCGCAUUCAUCUAUUGAGGAGGGAUAGGGUUGGCUAACAGGAGAGCCAUGAGCACAUCACCCUGCGCAGACAGUCCAAAGCGCAGACCCUGAGGAUGAACAUCAACAGAUACAGUAAGCACCUCAUUGUGACUCUGAACCUCCGGUGCAUCAAACCCCGCGAGUAGGAGCAAAUCAGCAGAAUGGGAAGACUCAGAAUCUUCAGAGCUCGUGAGUGAAUCAUGCCAAGCCUGAAGUGCAUUGUCAGAGACAUUGUUCUCUGGAACAAUGCCAUCUUGCACCUGUAAACCUUAAGCUGCAAGCCAGGCCUGUUCAUGAGAAAUGGUGGCAAUUAGGGCAGAGGUGGGCCUGGCGGAGCAUGCCAUUCUCCCCAACCAACAUGAUCAUGGUUAGGCUGAGCCGCAGGGUCAUCGGGCGCACCUUUGGGGGGUUCCGCAUUCUGCAUGAGCCAGUUGUGGACCUGUUGCUGAUAUAGUUGCUCGGCUCUCAGAUCAGGGCCAAACUGAGGAUGAGGAUUUCCAUCAGGUGGCGGUGGUUCUUCUCCGGCCGGCAUGACUUCUGGAAGUAGCCCGUUCCAGUCAUUGCUCCUGAGAAUGGUGAUCUGGACUGUCCAGCAAUCACUUGCGCCACCAAGCUGCCAAACCACAAAACUCUUUGGUACCAAUCGCAGGUUCAGAACUCUCGCCUUAAUGAGCAUGAAACCACGGUCCUGGUGAGGAUUGUACCAGGAAACAAGCAAACUGAAACCACCCAGAGACUUAUUGAUGUAGUAGUCAGUCUGAUAAUCGUAAGGAAAGCCAAAAAACAUAAACCAUAUCUCUCGUCCGAAAGUGGUGGAGCGACGAUUGAGGGCUUCAUUAUGGGGGACAAAGGUGACAAGCAGAUCUUCAUCCUCAAGUUCUAAUGGUGUAGCAACGGCGGUAUCACGGAUGAAGGAAUCGACAAAUCCAAAGAUCCCAAUCCCAAAAGGGUGGUCACUUACUUCAGUGGUGAACAGUUGGGCUUCUUGGAGCAUACCAUGAACAGCUUGACGAACCGCAGCCCGGCGAUGUAGAGGCACAUAGGCGCUUGACUCUGUGAUUGCCAGGUAGUCGUGGUUGAGCGGUGGAAUAGGGCCGACCACCAUCCCACUCCGGAAGACUCGAUCGGCCGGCCCCGGCUCGACGGCGAAGCCCGGCGGUAGGAACAGCACCGGGUUGAGGGUGUAGUUCGCCAUGAUGGUGGUGCAGAGAGAGAGAGAGGUUGAGGUGAUGGGUGUGACAGGGGUGGCGAAUGGCAGGCGAGGGGCGGUGAUGAUUGAGGAAACCGAGUAGAAGCGGAAGCGUGUGAGGCUGUUUUGGUAAUAUGAGGAUUUUUAGGGAUCCAUUUCCAACGCUCUAGCCAACGCUUUUUUCUACAGGAUUGUGCCGCAUGUCCAUAAUAGCCGCAAGCUUCACAUCAAACGGCCGAUUUGGUCUUGGGUUUAUUUUUUAUGAGAGCAGAGGCCGAGGGGAGACUAGACUGAUUGAUACUGGGUGGAUACACUACCAAUUUUGGUCCAAGCUGCUGUAGAGGAAUCCGGGCCGGGUAUUUGCUUGCCUUGUGAUCAGGCGUGGAGCAAUUAAUGCAAAUCAGUUUAGUAGGGCAAUCAAUCUUCCGGUGCCCCCAUUGAAGGCAAUGAGCACACAAAACCGUCCAAUUAGUAGUAAUCAGAUUGAUCUCAUCUUCAGUAUAUCCGGCCUGGGCCCAAUCCAUCUUGUAAUGGGCCGACAAACAAGGUGGCCAGUUAGCAUGGGCUGGGGCAUAUUUGAAAGCCGAGGUUAGAAAGCAUUGUGGCGGGCUAGGAUAAGACACAUUAAUGGGACAAUUAAAACUGCCCAAACGUAGAUACUCUAUGUCAUUAAUGCCCUCAGAUUGCGCUUGACGACGAUAUUUCUCAAGUAAUGAGACCGUCGAUGACUCCUCAAUUACCGUUGGCAAAUGAUCCGCUGUCGGAAAUGACCCAAAUUGAAUUUGAAACCCCUGACUAUUCUUUGGGCAUGAGGAUGAUGCCGCCUCCCGAACAUGCAUGUUGGAGAAAACCAUAUGAUCAAUGGGUUUGAGGGAAAACUUGCUUAGCUCCUUCAUGGAUGAAUCUUUAGACAAAGAAUCAGAACGUAAAAACCCCAAAUUCGAUUUAAUAGCCAUGGGACAUCGAGCGGUGAUCUCUGUUAACUCUUCAUCCGUGUGCCAACUCAAAUUAUUCGAGGGCACACGAUUGAAACGGCCAUUGAACAGAUGAAAGUGCCAAAUGAAAUCCGGCCAAAUACGAUCCUUAAGCCCAUAAAUAAAAUGUCCCACCUUAUUAUUGGCAACUGAGAAACGAAAGGCUCGAGGAUUAAUCUGAAGCACUUUGAGGCCAACCCUAAACCCUCCAAUGCAACAUUGGAGCGCAAUACCCAUGGAUUCUUCAUUGAGUGGGAAGGAAGCCGAAGAGAACGUGACUACAAGGAAGAACUCCUUGGAGUCUCGAGAAGGGGAGAAAUGCACCAUAGAACCAAACUUUCUUCUCACCUGAUCUGCAAGGGCUAGGCCAGGAGCAAAAUCCCAAUGCAGGAGUCCUUCCAUCUUGAAUCAAAUUGGGAAGCAUGUAUUCAGGGUGUGCUUGUCUCAAAUGCGAGGAAAUUUACAAACUUAGCCCCCGUUUCAAAUUUCUACUACAUCAUAGCAACAUUAGUCGGUUGGGGAUAGGACGGUAAUCUUGCAUACACCAAAUAUUUGCUGACGAGAGUUUUAAUGUUGCUUGAUUUUAGUGAACUGCACAAAUGGAGACAAGACUUCCAAUCUGUAUGUGCACCGUAAUAUCCAUUGAGGUAAGAUAAGGAUAUUUCACAAUGUUGGCCUGUAUUUUGCCACUUUCAAUCAGAAAAUUAAUGUCAUUGUUUAGUGCUAUACUUGUGCUCCCUAAUUGGCAUGCCAAAUCUUACAUUGAGGCGAAGCUUGUCUGUUAUUAAACCAAGUGAUGAAGGGGAAGAACAAGCGGAAAAACAAAAAUCAACUCCCGGUGUUGUAAUGAAGCACUGGAACUGUGAUGACACAAGUAAUGAUAUAGUUUUGCAUCUUAAUUUAUUUCUAUGACUGGAACGAGCAAUUGUUUUGCCACUGAUUUGAUGACACUCUUAAUGUAAUACGUAAUUAUCUCUACUUGUGCAAACAGGGAUCUUCUUUGAAGAUACCAUAUAUUUUAGUGGAACUGCACAAGAAGAUGUUGGAAACAUUAAACUAAUCGAGGAGUAUAUAGUAAGCAUGGCUACCACAGUAGAUAGCAACAAAUGGUUCCGGAGAAGUACUUGAUCUGUAUGCUCUACACAAUAAGCCUCCUGACAAAGGUUGGUACUCGCCCACUGAUUUCAUCCAUAUGAUUGAGCUUUGUCAUCUCUAUUGGUGUUGUGCUACUGUUUAGAUACUGUCAUGAAAAAGUGAUAUUGUCCUUGAGAAGUGCUUCAUCUGUGUUGUUUUAAAUAUUUCCUUUACUUUUUUUGAGCAAACAGGGAUGCUAGCAUUUAGUUGUCCUCUUGUCUUUGCACAACAGGAUCAUCUUCCUCCGAAGAAGAAUAUGGAGUACGUGAAGAGACUAGUUCCGAUUAUGCCAGGAUGAAGAAGCCCUGUCUAUCUUCUCAUCAGAAGGAGCAGUUGAAGGAUGGUUACAUUACUCCCCACAAGACCAAACUAACUUCAGCUCAGAAGGACUGACAAAUCUCCAUUUUUUGUUGUGAUGUGAUACGUCCAUUUUGCAUCAUGCUUUUAUAUCAAUAUUUAUUGCAGUAUGGGUUGUUAUUACACAUUAUAUCUCAAUACUUAUGGCUAUUCUCCCUUAUUUUACAAGGUUUACCAUGAAGAGGGGGAAUGCCGGCAGCUGGAAUUCUGGCUGGAAAAGGAGCAAACAUUGGAAACCUAUUCUACACUGCUCCAAAAGUCCUGAAACUCCACGAAACAUGUGUUUGGACUUAAUAAGAAUUAUUGAGCGGAAGAAAUACAUCAGGGGGCCCACACCCUGGCCAGGAGGGUGGGGGCGCGCCCACCCCUACUGGGCGCGCCCCCUAUCUCCUGGGGCCCCUGGUGGCCCCCCGAUGUCCAUCUUCUGCUAUAUGAGGGCUUUUACCCUGGAAAAAAUCGUGGGCAAGCUUACGGGAUGAAACUCCGCCUCCACAAGGCGGAACCUUGGCGGAACCAAUCUAGAGCUCUGGCAGAGCUGUUCUGCCGGGGACACUUCCCUCCGGGAGGGGGAAAUCAUCACCAACGAUCCUCUCACCGGGAGGGGGUCAAUCUCCAUCAACAUCUUCACCAGCACCAUCUCCUCUCAAAACCCUAGUUCAUCUCUUGUAUCCAAUCUUGUAUCAAAACCACAAAUUGGUACCUGUGGGUUGCUAGUAGUGUUGAUUACUCCUUGUAGUUGAUGCUAAUUGGUUUACUUGGUGGAAGAUUAUAUGUUCAGAUCCUUAAUGCAUAUUAUUACUCCUAUGAUUAUGAACAUGAAUAUGCUUUGUGAGUAGUUAUGUUUGUUCUUGAGGACAUGGGUGAAGUCUUGCUAUUAGUAGUCAUGUGAAUUUGGUAUUCGUUCGAUAUUUUGAUGAGAUGUAUGUUGUCUUUUCCUCUAGUGGUGUUAUGUGAACGUCGACUACAUGACACUUCACCAUUAUUUGGGCCUAGAGGAAGGCAUUGUGAAGUAAUAAGUAGAUGAUGGGUUGCUAGAGUGACAGAAGCUUAAACCCUAGUUUAUGUGUUGCUUCGUUAGGGGCUAAUUUGGAUCCAUAUGUUUAAUGUUGUGGUUAGGUUUACCUUAAUACUUCUUUUGUAGUUGCGGACGCUUGUAAUAGGGGUUAAUCAUAAGUGGGAUGCUUGUCCAAGUAAUGGCAGUACCCAAGUACCGGUCCACCCACAUAUCGAAUUAUCAAAGUACCGAACGCGAAUCAUAUGAACGUGAUGAAAAAUAGCUUGACGAAAAUUCCCAUGUGUCCUCGGGAGCUCCUUCCUCAUUAUUAGAAAUUGUCCAAGCUUAUCCUUUGCUACAUAAAGGAUUGGGCCAACUUGCUGCACUUUAUUUACUUUCAUUGCUUGUUACUCGUUACAAUUUAUCUUAUCACAAAACUAUCUAUUACCAACAAUUUCAGUGCUUGCAGAGAAAACCUUACUGAAAACUGCUUAUCAUUUCCUUCUGCUCCUCGUUGGGUUCGACAUUAUUACUUAUCGAAAGGACUACGAUAGAUCCCCUACACUUGUGGGUCAUCAAGACUCUUUUCUGGCGCUGUUGCCGGGGAGUGUAGCGCUUUUGGUGAGUGGAACUUGGUAAGGAAACAUUUAUAUAGUGUGCUGAAAUUUUCUAUUACUUGUCACUAUGGAAAGUAAUCCUUUGAGGGGCUUGUUCGGGGUAUCUUCACCCCGACCAGGAGAGCAAAGAGUUGCUCCUCAACCUACUGAACCUACUGAAAAUAUUUACUUUGAGAUUCCUUCGGGUAUGAUAGAGAAACUGCUAGCUAAUCCAUUUGCAGGAGAUGGAACAUUGCAUCCCGAUUUACACCUUAUCUUUGUGGAUGAAGUUUGUGGAUUAUUUAAGCUUGCAGGUAUUCCCGAUGAUGUUGUCAAAAGGAAGGUCUUCCCUUUAUCUUUGAAGGGAGAUGCAUUGACAUGGUAUAGGCUAUGCGAUGACACUGGAUCUUGGAAUUAUAAACGAUUGAAGUUGGAAUUUCACUAGAAGUUCUAUCCUAUGCAUCUUGUUCAUCGUGAUCGUAAUUACAUAUAUAAUUUCUGGCCUCGCGAAGGAGAAAGCAUCGCUCAAGCUUGGGGGAGGCUUAAGUCAAUGUUAUAUUCAUGCCCCAAUCAUGAGCUCACCCGGGAAAUGAUUAUUCAAAAAUUUUAUGCUCGGCUUUCUCUCAAUGAUCGCAACCUGCUCAAUACAUCAUGUGUUGGUUCUUAUAUGCUGAAGACUAUUGAUUUCAAAUGGGACUUAUUGGAAAGAAUUAAAUGCAACUAUGAAGAUUGGGGUUCCGAUGAUGGUAAUGAGUAAGGUAUGACACCUAAGUUCAAUUGUGUUAAAUCUUUUAUGGAUACCGAUGCUUUUCGCGGAUUUAGCACUAAAUAUGGACUUGACUCUAAGAUAGUAGCUUCUUUCUAUGAAUCUUUUGCUACUCACGUUGAUCUCCCUAAGAAGAAAUGGUUUAAAUAUAAUCCUCUCAUUGAAGUGAAAGUAGUUUCACCUAUUACAGUUGAAGAAAAGACUAUCACCUAUAGUGAUCCUAUUGUUCCUACUACUUAUGUUGAGAAACCUCCUUUUCCAGUUAGGAUAAAGGAUCAUGCUAAAACUUCAACUAUUGUUCGUAAGAGUAAUACUAGGACUUAUACACCCCCUGAGCAAAUCAAAGUUGAACCUAGUAUUGCUAUGGUUAAAGAUCUCUUGGAUCUGUGGUGAGACUGCUAAUAUUGCUAGACCAGAUACUAAGAUACAUAGACCUAUCGUAGGCAUGCCUGUUAUUUCUGUUAAAAUAGGAGAUCAUUGUUAUCAUGGCUUAUGCGAUAUGGGUGCUAGUGCUAGUGCAAUACCCUAUGAUUUAUAUAAAUAAAUUAUGCACGAAAUUGCACCCAUUGAAUUAGAAGACAUUGAUGUUACUAUUAAGCUUGCUAAUAGGGAUACCAUUAAACCAGUUGGGAUAGUUAGAGAUGUUGAAGUCUUGUGUGGGAAGGUUAAAUACCCUGCUGAUUUUCUUGUUCUUGGUUCCCCACAAGAUGAUUUUGGUCCCAUUAUUUUUGGUAGACCCUUCUUGAACACGGUUAAGGCUAGGAUUGAUUGCAAAAAGGAUGUUGUUGAAAUUGGUUUAAUUUUGCUAAGUUUCAUAGACAACCUCGUGAUAGAGAAUCACCUAGUAAGGAUGAGAUUAUUGGUCUUGCUUCUAUUGUCGUGCCUCCUACUGAUCCGCUAGAACAAUAUUUGCUAGACCAUGAAAAUGAAAUGUUUAUGAAGGAAAGAAGGGAAAUAGAUGAAGUGUUCCUUAAACAGGAACCUAUGCUGAAACAUAACCUUCCCGUUGAAAUUCUUGGGGAUCCCUCUCCACCCAAGGGUGAUCCCGUGUUUGAACUCAAACCAUUACCUGAUAAUCUUAAGUAUGCAUAUCUUGAUGAGAAGAAAAUAUAUCUUGUUAUUAUUAGUGCUAACCUUUCAGAGCAAGAAGAAGAAAGAUUAUUGAAAACUCUGAAGAAGCACCGAGUUGCUAUUGGAUAUAAUCUGGAUGAUCUUAAGGGCAUUAGUCCCACGUUAUGCCAACACAAAAUUACAGUGGAGAAAGAUGCCAAACCAGUUAGAGAUCCUCAACGACGACUGAAUCCCAAGAUGAAAGAAGUGGUACGAAAGGAGAUACUAAAGCUCCUUGAAGUAGGUAUAAUUUAUCUCGUUGCUGAUAGUGAAUGGGUAAGUCCUGUCCAUUGUGUUCCUAAAAAGGGAGGUAUUACCGUUGUUCCUAAUGAUAAAGAUGAAUUGAUCCCGCAAAGAAUUAUUACAGGUUAUAGGAUGGUAAUUGAUUUUCGUAAAUUAAUAAAGCUAGAUCAUUACCCUUUACCUUUUAUUGAUCAAAUGCUAGAAAUACUAUCCAAACACACACAUUUCUGCUUUCUAGAUGGUUAUUCUGGCUUCUCUCAAAUACCUGUGUCAGCGGGGGAUCAAUCUAAAACUACUUUUACUUGCCCUUUCGGUAGUUUUACUUAUAGACGUAUGCCUUUUGGUUUAUGUAAUGCACCUGCUACCUUUCAAAGAUGCAUGAUGGCUAUAUUAUCUGAUUUUUGUGAAAAGAUUUGUGAGGUAUUCAUGGAUGAUUUCUCUGUUUAUGGAUCCUAUUUUGAUGAUUGUUUGAGCAACCUUGAUCGAGUUUUGCAGAGAUGCGGAGACACUAGUCUCGUCUUGAAUUGGGAAAAGUGCCACUUUAUGGUGAAUGAAGGCAUUUUUUGGGGGCACAAGAUCUCCGAGAGAGGUGUUGAAGUUGAUAAAGCUAAAGUUGAUGCUAUUGAAAAGAUGCCAUGUCCCAAGGACAUAAAAGGUAUAAGAAGUUUCCUUGGUCAUGCCGGUUUUUAUAGGAGGUUCAUUAAGGACUUUUCUAAAAUCUCUAUGCCUCUGACUAAUUUAUUGCAAAAAGAUAUUCCUUUUGUCUUUGAUGAUGAUUGUGUAGAAGCAUUAGAAAUACUUAAGAAAGCUUUGAUCACUGCACCUAUUGUCCAGCCACCUGAUUGAAAUUUACCUUUUGAAAUUAUGUGUGAUGCUAGUGAUUAUGUUGUAGGUGAUGUUCUUGGGCAAAGAGUUGAUUAGAAAUUGAAUGUUACCCAGUAUGCUAGUAAGACUCUUGAUACUGCCCAGAGAAAUUAUGCUACUACUGAAAAAGAAUUCUUAGCAGUUGUGUUUGCAUGUGAUAAGUUUAGACCUUAUAUUGUUGAUUCCAAAGUUACUAUUCACACUAAUCAUGCUGCUAUUAAAUAUCUUAUGGAAAAGAAAGACGCUAAGCCUAGACUCAUUAGAUGGGUUCUCCUGCUCCAAGAAUUUGAUUUGCAUAUUAUUGAUAGAAAGGGAGCUGAGAACCCCGUUGCAGACAACUUAUCUAGGUUAGAGAAUGUUCUUGACGACCCACUGCCUAUUGAUGAUAGCUUUCCUGAUGAACAAUUAGCGGUCAUUAAUGCUUCUCGUACUGCUCCCUGGUAUGUUGAUUAUGCCAAUUACAUUGUUGCUAAAUUUAUACCUCCUAGUUUCACAUACCAGCAAAAGAAAAAGUUCUUUUAUGAUUUAAGACAUUACUUCUGGGAUGACCCACACCUUUAUAAAGAAGGAGUAGAUGGUGUUAUUAGACGUUGUGUGCCUGAGCAUGAACAGGAACAGAUCCUAUGGAAGUGUCACUCUGAAUCCUAUGGAGGACACCACGCUGGAGAUAGAACUGCACACAAGGUACUGCAAUCUGGUUUUUAUUGGCCUACUCUCUUCAAAGAUGCUCAUAAGUUUGUCUUAUCUUGUGAUGAAUGUCAAAGAAUUGGUAAUAUUAGUAGACGUCAAGAAAUGCCUAUGAAUUAUUCUCUUGUUAUUGAACUGUUUGAUGUUUGGGGCUUUGAUUAUAUGGGACCUUUUCCUGCCUCUAAUGGUUACACACAUAUUUUGGUUGAUGUUGAUUACGUUACUAAGUGGGUAGAAGCUACUCCAACUAGUAGUGUUGAUCAUAACACCUCUAUCAAAAUGCUUAAAGAAGUUAUUUUUCCGAGGUUUGGAGUCCCUAGAUAUCUUAUGACUGAUGGUGGUUCACAUUUUAUUCAUGGUGCUUUCCGUAAGAUGCUUGCUAAGUAUUGUGUCAAUCAUAGAAUUGCAUCACCUUAUCAUCCGCAGUCUAGUGGUCAAUUAGAGUUGAGCAAUAAAGAGCUCAAAUUAAUUUUGCAAAAGACUAUCACUAGAUCUAGAAAUAAUUGGUCCAAAAAACUUGAUGAUGCAUUAUGGGCCUAUAGAACUGCAUACAAAAAUCCUAUGAAUAUGUCUCCUUAUAAGAUGGUUUAUGGAAAGGCAUGUCAUUUACCUCUUGAAAUUCAACAUAAAGCAUAUUGGGCUAUUAAAGAGCUCAACUAUGACUUCAAACUUGCCGGUGAGAAGAGGUUGUUUGAUAUUAGCUCACUUGAUGAAGGGAGAAGCCAAGCCUAUGAGAAUGCCAAGCUAUUCAAAGAAAAAGUAAAACGCUGGCAUGACAAAAGGAUACAAAAGCGUGAGUUUAACGUAGGAGAUUAUGUGUUAUUAUUCAACUCUUGUUUAAGAUUUUUUGCAGGAAAAAUUCUCUCUAAAUGGGAAGGUCCUUAUGUUAUCGAGGAGGUAUAUCAUCCUGGUGUUAUAAAAAUCAACAACUUCGAAGGCACAAGUCCGAGGGUGGUGAACGGUCAGAGAAUUAAACAUUAUAUUUCAGGUAAUCCUAUCAAUGUUGAAACUAAUAUUAUUGAAACCGUAACCUCGGAGGAAUACAUAAGGGACACUUUCCAGAACGUUCUAAACACCGAAAAGGAAUAGGUAUGUGGUACGGUAAGUAAACCGACUCCAAAACAACUCCAAUGGCAAUUUUUAUCAGUUUUGGAAUAUUUAAGAAUUUUAGGAAGAAAGAAGUAGUCCGAGAGGGACACGAGGCCCCCACGAGAGUGGAGGGCACGCCCACCCUUACUGGGCGCGCCCCCUGUCUCAUGGACACCUCGUGUGCCUCCUGGACUCCGUUUUCUUACAUGUUAUGUAUUUUGGUCGGUAAAAAAUCAUUAUAUAUACUCCCGAAGGUUUUGACCACCGUAUCACGCAAAUAUCCUCUAUUUCAUUUCGAGCUGUUUCUGUUGCAGAUCUAGAGCACUAUGACGUCACCCUCCUCCAACAAUGAAUACAAGGAUGCUUGGCUAUUGAAGAUAGAGCUGAAAAGAGAAGAACCGGAGGAGAUCAACAAGGAUGAAUGGAUCAAGAAGGCCAUGGAGGUCCAAGCUUCGGCGGUGAAAGAAGAAGACAUCCCUCAACCUUUACCUAACCUCUUUACUCCAACAGAGAUUCAAGCUUUCAAGAUGGUUGAGUUAGCUCGCAUACAGAACAAGUAUCUCACGCAGGAGAAUAUUUUGUUGAAGGAUCAUAUCGCUGGACUUAAGGGCAUUAUCCGCAAGUUGGAGGAGCUUUUACGCUCGAUGUGCGAUUAUCCACCAUCAUCAUCACCACCUCCAUCACCUCCGAGGACAUAAUCACAUGGGUAUGGGCACUCCCCUUGGCAACUGCCAAGCUUGGGGAGGUGCCCCGGUAUCAUAUCACCAUCACACUCCUAUCUUUACCAUUUUAUUUAGUUCGAUCCUUUUAGUAGUAUCUUUAUCUAGUAGAUUGAAGUUUUAUUAUCAAGUAGUUUUGAGUUUUACUUUGUGAUCUCUUUAUGUAAUCGAGUCCGUGAGCUAUCUAUAAUAAAGUUUAGUGUUGAGUCAAGGGCUUUGCUAUGUUGCUAUGAUCUUGAGAAAGUAGAAAGAAUAAAAGAGUUCAUAUUGAUCUUAUGGUUAGUGAUGACUUCACACAUAGAAAGUAUGAGGCAUAAAAGUUGUUGAGAGUUAAUAAACGUAGUUUUGGUCAUCAUUGCAAUUAAUAGGAAGUGAUAAGGAAAGAGAGGUUCACAUACAAAUAUAUUAUCUUGGACAUCUUUUACGAUUGGGAGCACUCAUUAAGUAUGACAUGCUAAAAGAGUUGAUGUUGUACAAGGAAGACAAUGUAAUGGCUUAUGUUUUCUCACAUCUCAGUUAAAGCAUAUUGUUAUUGACCUUCCAAACAUGUUGAGCUUGCCUUUCCCCCUCAUGCUAGCCAAAUUCCUUGCACCAAGUAGAGAUACUACUUGUGCUUCCAAAUAUCCUUAAACCCAGUUUUGCCAUGAGAGUCCACCAUACCUACCUAUGGAUUGAGUAAGAUCCUUCAAGUAAGUUGUCAUGUUGCAGGCAAUAAAAAUUGCUAUCUAAAUAUGUAUGACUUAUUACUGCAGAGAAAAUAAGCUUUAUACAAUCUUGUUGUGGAAGCAAUAAAAGCGACGGACUGCAUAAUAAAGGUCCACAUACAAGGGGCAAUAUAAAGUGACGUUCUUUUGCAUUAAGAUUUUGUGCAUCCAACCCUAAACGCACAUGACAACUUCUGCUUCCCUCUGCGAAGGGCCUAUCUUUUACUUUAUGUUUUUACUUUAUGCUUGAGUCAAGGUGAUCUUCACCUUUCCCUUUUUCAUUUUAUCCUUUGGCAAGCUCCUUGUGUUUUAAAGAUCAUGAUAUAUAUAUAUAUAUCCAACUGGAUGUAAGUUAGCAUAGGCUAUUAUUGUUAACAUCACCUAAAGGUGAAUGCGUUGGGAGGCAACACAAUAAGCCCCUAUCUUUCUCAGUGUCCGGCUGAAACUCCAUAACCACAAGUAUUGCAUGAGUGUUAGCAAUUGUACAAGACCACAAGAUAGUUGAGUAUGUGGACUUGCUAAAAAGGCUCUAUUGUUGACUCUUUCUGAUGUUAUGAUAAAUUGCAAUUGCUUCAAUGACUGAGAUUAUAGUUUGUUAGUUCUCAAUGAAGUUUUUGAACCAUACUUGACAUUGUGAAUUGAUUGUUACUUGAGUAUAAGAAAUCAUGUGAUAAAAUCUAUAUAUGUUGUUGUUACAAGAAUGAUCAUGAUGCCCUCAUGUCCGUAUUUUAUUUUUAUCGACACCUCUAUCUCUAAACAUGUGGACAUAUUUUUCGAUAUCGGCUUCCGCUUGAGGACAAGCAAGGUCUAAGCUUAGGGGAGUUGAUACGUCCAUUUUGCAUCAUGCUUUUAUAUCAAUAUUUAUUGCAGUAUGGACUGUUAUUACACAUUAUAUCUCAAUACUUAUGGCUAUUCUCCCUUAUUUUACAAGGUUUACCAUGAAGAGGGGGAAUGCCGGCAGCUGGAAUUCUGGCUGGAAAAGGAGCAAACAUUGGAGACCUAUUCUGCACUGCUCCAAAAGUCCUGAAACUCCACGAAACAUGUUUUUGGAAUUAAUAAGAAUUAUUGAGUGGAAGAAAAACAUCAGGGGGCCCACACCCUGGCCAGGAGGGUGGGGGUGCACCCACCCCUACUGGGCAUGCCCCCUAUCUCCUGGGCCCCCUGGUGGCCCCCCUGAUGUCCAUCUUCUGCUAUAUGAGGGAUUUUACCCUGGAAAGAAUCGUGGGCAAGCUUACGGGGCGAAACUCUGCUGCCACGAGGCGGAACCUUGGCGGAACCAAUCUAGAGCUCCGGCAGAGCUGUUCUGUCGGGGACACUUCCCUCCAGGAUGGGGAAAUCAUCACCAACAAUCCUCUCAUCGGGAGGGGGUCAAUCUCCAUCAACAUCUUCACCAGCACCAUCUCCUCUCAAAACCCUAGUUCAUCUCUUGUAUCCAAUCUUGUAUCAAAACCACAAAUUGGUACCUAUGGGUUGCUAGUAGUGUUGAUUACUCCUUGUAGUUGAUGCUAAUUGGUUUACUUGGUGGAAGGUUAUAUGUUCAGAUACUUAAUUCAUAUUAUUACUCCUCUGAUUGAACGUGAAUAUGCUUUGUGAGUAGUUACGUUUGUUCCUGAGGACAUGGGUGAAGUCUUGCUAUUAGUAGUCAUGUGAAUUUGGUAUUCGUUCGAUAUUUUGAUGAGAUGUAUGUUGUCUUUUCCUCUAGUGGUGUUAUGUGAACGUCGACUACAUGACACUUCACCAUUAUUUGGGCCUAGAGGAAGGCAUUGGGAAGUAAUAAGUAGAUGAUGGGUUGCUAGACUGAUAGAAGCUUAAACCCUAGUUUAUGUGUUGCUUCGUUAGGGGCUGAUUUGGAUCCAUAUGUUUAAUGUUGUGGUUAGGUUUACCUUAAUACUUCAUUUGUAGCUGCGGACGCUUGCAAAAGGGGUUAAUCUUAAGUGGGAUGCUUGUCCAAGUAAGGGCAGUACCCAAGCACCGGUCCACCCACAUAUCAAAUUAUCAAAGUAUCGAAUGCGAAUCAUAUGAACGUGAUGAAAACUAGCUUGACGAUAAUUCCCAUGUGUCCUCGGGAGCUCCUUCCUCAUUAUAAGAAAUUGUCCAGGCUUAUCCUUUGCUACAUAAAGGAUUGGGCCACCUUGCAGCACUUUAUUUACUUUCAUUGCUUGUUACUCAUUACAAUUUAUCUUAUCACAAAACUAUCUAUUACCAACAAUUUCAGUGCUUGCAGAGAAAACCUUACUAAAAACCGCUUAUCAUUUCCUUCUGCUCCUCGUUGGGUUCGACACUCUUACUUAUCAAAAGGACUAUGAUAGAUCCCCUACACUUGUGGGUCAUCAUGAUGCGCGAGUACAAUGUUGUUCUAGGAUUCUUUCUGGUGAGUUCCAUUUUUCUAAAAGUGUGCUCUACAUGGACCAUGUAGGUGCCUGUUUGAACUGUCAAUUCAUAGUAUAGUUUGCUUUAUACUAAUCACUUUUUUGUAUUUGUGCAAACAGGGGUGCUCAGGUUGAUUUCAAUGGGAACUACACAAAACGUUCAUGAAUACAUCGAAUCAUUCAUUCCACCACAAGAAAGGAGGUGCCGAUAAGUUCAAGGCGUUGCAACAUAUAAGGGCGAAAUCAUACAAGCUACGCGCGAGUUUGGUUGAUUUUGGUGGAACUGCACAAAAAGAAUAGCUGGUUUAUUUAGCACGAGGUGCCAUGCCAAUGUCCGAACUGAUGGAAAACCCUGCCCAUUCCACAAUCGUAGGCAUUUGAUAUUUUGGAAUGCGACAACCUUGUCAAAUUUUGCUCAUUGAUUAAAGAAAGACAUGCGUUUGAUAUUUUCGAAUGGGACGCCCUUUGCUGUCAGCAGCGUCGAGCAAUUUUUUCUUUAUUCUUUAGUUGUGAAGUAAAUAUUGCCUCUGACAUGUGAGUCGCUGAGAUGCAUAAUCAUCGAUUGUUUUGAAUGUUCUCUAUGAAUUGCCAGCCCUGUGUGUUUGAUUGCAAUGUACAGAAACACUAAAAAGCUGCUCAAACUCUUUGUACUCCUUUUGUUCCUUUUUACUUCGCACAUUGUGAAAGUGCAUACUUUUUUGUAUAAGAUUGGUCAAAGUAGAGAUACUUUGACUGCAGACAAAACUUGUAUGCAGACUAGAAAGGACCGGAGGGAGUACAUGUGAAACUGCUGCAAACGAGGUGAUCACCCUGGGAAUAAAGCUAGUACGUAUUGUUUUGCAUGUUCAUCCAAUGCCAGUGAUAUAGGAAUUCAAACUAAUCGAAAUAAAUUCAUUCAUACACGGUCGGAUUUCAUAUAAACAUGCCGGAUUUCAUUACAUUUCAUACAUUCUUCAACUAAAAAGGGGUGCGCUGGAGGUAUAAUUAAUUAACCAAAGCUACCCACCUAUGUCCCGUUGAGCCGAACAGAAGCUUCAGUGACUUAACUGCAGGUGCAGUUGCGUAACUGACAUGUGGCAUGUUGGGCCCAUGUGUCAGCAGCCAACUGCACCAGUAGUUAAGUAGAACCAGCGUUCUUCUCCAGCAUAGCUCUCCAACUCCACGUCGCCGCCAAGAAGCUAACCGGUCGUCAAUGGUCAACCCGCCUAGCUUGGAUUCAACUGGAGGGUAGCAGCGGUGGCCUUGCUUGGACCCGAGCGGCGGCGACAUACCGUGUUCUACUCUUCUCAUUUUCUAUGUGGCGCGGCCUCGUUGGCAGCGGGGCGGGGCCUCGGCGGAGCCGGCAAUGUCCUCUAUCUCGUUGCCGGCGAGCGGUGCCUCGGCGGAGCGGUGGAAAUCCUGUGACGCCCGGAUAAUCAUGCUACAGUAAUCCCAUGUUAACGAUGCCAUUUCACCACGGUUACUGUUUUUAAAUCUCGCGUUAAUUCGAAACCGAUUCAAAAUUCAAAUUUAAAUUAAUGGCAAACAACAAAAGUUUUUAAAAGUGAAAACAAAAAUGUUCGGGCGGUGCCAUAUUUUGCUUAAGUAAAUAUGGUGUAAUAAACACAUUUUUAUAAAGUUCCUAGAUAAUUUAAAAUGAUUUAAAACAGGAAAGAAAAUAAAUAAAAAGAAAAGACUAAACAUGAUUAAAACAAAAACAAAACAAAGUAACCGUGCUGGGCCGCCAGGCCGGCCCAACCGCGCCCGCUACUACUCCCCACCGGGAGCCAGAAACCCUAGCCCCUCUCCCCCACUACCCCGACCCCCACUCUCUCUCGCUCGCUCCCCCACUCCCCCCGAUUUCUAGAUCGGGGCAAACCACCCCCUCCCCCAGUCGGCCCGCUCGUUCCACUCCCCCUCUUCAGGAUCGGGGGCGUUCGCCGCCGCCGCCGCCUGGAAUCCCCGCUNNNNNNNNNNNNNNNNNNNNNNNNNNNNNNNNNNNNNNNNNNNNNNNNNNNNNNNNNNNNNNNNNNNNNNNNNNNNNNNNNNNNNNNNNNNNNNNNNNNNNNNNNNNNNNNNNNNNNNNNNNNNNNNNNNNNNNNNNNNNNNNNNNNNNNNNNNNNNNNNNNNNNNNNNNNNNNNNNNNNNNNNNNNNNNNNNNNNNNNNNNNNNNNNNNNNNNNNNNNNNNNNNNNNNNNNNNNNNNNNNNNNNNNNNNNNNNNNNNNNNNNNNNNNNNNNNNNNNNNNNNNNNNNNNNNNNNNNNNNNNNNNNNNNNNNNNNNNNNNNNNNNNNNNNNNNNNNNNNNNNNNNNNNNNNNNNNNNNNNNUCCCUCGCCGGACCACCUCAACGGCCUGCCUCCUCGUCGCCCGGUCGUCGCCGUCGACCACCCCGAGCCCCGCUGCCCUUCCCGGUAUCCUUCCUCUCCAUGCUGCACCGCGCCCGUCUUCCUCGAGCUCCGCCCACGCUCCGUCCAUGGCCGCCCCGACCUCCCGCCGCACGCCGUCGGGCUGCCCAUCGCCGGCCUCCCCGAGCCUCCCCUGCAACGCUGUAAGCAGGCUCCUCCUUCCCCCUCUUGAUUCACUGUUGUAGGCUCCCAUUCACGCCAUCCCUGCUUCUGACCGUGGCCGCGGACAUCGCGCGGUCGCUGCGCCCCGCGCUCGCCCGCAUGUGCACGGCCUUGCUCGCCCCAUGCGCCCUGCGCCGCACCUGGCCACCGCCCCCUCACCUUGCUAUCCCCACUCUGGUCAGCUGCGGUCGCCCUGCCGUGACCGCCGGCCAGCCAGCACGCGCCCGGGUCCGGUGACCCGGCGCCCACAGCCUUGUUCGGGUGCCCCAGCCGGGUCCUGGCACCCGAGAACCCCGCCCGAGACCCGCUAAGGCCCCCAGGGGCCUAUGACAAGUGGGGUCAUCCCCUAAAACGUUUUAAAAAAAGGAAUAAAAAAAGACUUAAAAUAUAUAUAUAUAAUAAUAAAUAAAAAUGAUUAAUUAAUUAAGUAAUUAAUUAAGUUAAUGAAUCCUGAUUAGAUUAACCUAAUCACUAAUUAAACUAAUUAAUCUAUUUUAGUUAAUCUUAGUCAAUGACAGUGGGACCCACGCGCCAGUUUGGCCAAGUCAACUGACUGUUGACUGCUGACAUCACCCUGAUGUCAUGCUGACAUCAUAAUGGCAUUUCCUAAUUAAAUUAAUUCUGAUAAUUCUAAAAAUGAUUAAAUCCUUUUAAAAUUAAUAUAAAAUAAACCGUAGCUCGGAUCGAAAAACUUUGUACAUGAAAGUUACUCAGAACGGCGAGACGAAUCCAGGUACGCAACCCGUUUGUCAGCCACACAUCCCUAGCAUAGCAAACACGCAACUUUUCCCCUCCGGUUCAUCUGUCCGAAAACGCGAAACACCGGGGAUACUUUCCCGGAUGUUUCCCCCUUUCGCCGGUACCACAUAAUACCGCGUUAGGACAUACCUAGCACCGCGUAUUGCCGCGUCUUGCUUUGUGUUGCAUUUGAUUGCUCUGUUAUUUAUUGUGUUCCCCCUCCGUUACUCCUUUCCGGUAGACUCCGAGACCGCUGUCGAUGUUCGUGUGUUCGACUACAUCGAAGAUGACCCCUCCUUGCCAGAGCAACCAGGCAAGCCCCCCCCCUUGAUCACCAGAUAUCGCCUAUUCUACUCUAUACUGCUUGCAUUAGAGUAGUGUAGCAUGUUACUGCUUUCCGUUAUUCCUAUCCUGAUGCAUAGCCUGUCCUUGCUACUAAUGUUGUUACCAUUACCUGCUAUCCUACUGCUUAGUAUAGGAUGCUAGUGUUCCAUCAGUGGCCCUACACUCUUGUCCGUCUGCCAUGCUAUACUACUGGGCCGUGAUCACUUCGGGAGGUGAUCACGGGCAUAUACGAUAUACUUUACACAGUUACAUUACCUGUGAUACUGUUCGGAGAUGGGGGCUGAAGGGGCAGGUGGCUCCAUCCCGGUAGAGGUGGGCCUGGGUUCCCGAUGGCCCCUGACUGUUACUUUGUGGCGGAGCGGCAGGGCAGGUUGAGACCACCUAGGAGACAGGUGGGCCUGGCCCUGUUCGGCGUCCGCGGAUACUUAACACGCUUAACGAGAUUUUGGUAUUUGAUCUGAGUUGGCUAUGAGCUUAUACGCACUAACCAUCUACGCGGGAGUAGUUAUGGGUAUCCCGACGUCGUGGUAUCAGCCGAAGCACUUCGUGACGUCAGCGACUGAGCGGCGCGCGCCGGGUUGGACUGCGUUAACGCAACUUCCUUUGUAAUGGAGGUUGCUAGGUCUGCUCACCGGCUGCGUACGCAACGUGCAGGUGUGCUCAGGGCGAUGGGCCCAGACCCCUGCGCGCUUAGGUUUAGACCGGCGUGCUGGCCUCUCCGUUGAGCCUAGGUGGGGUUGCGACAUGUUGAUCUUUCACGGCCGGGCAUGACCCAGGAAAGUGUAUCCGGCCAAAUGGGAUCAAGCAUGAUGGGUAAGUUGGUGCACCCCUGCAGGGAAGUUAAUCUAUUCGAAUAGCCGUGAUCUUCGGUAACAGGACGACUUGGAGUUGUACCUUGACCUUAUGACAACUAGAACCGGAUACUUAAUAAAACACACCCUUCCAAGUUCCACAGACAAUCCAGUGAUCGCUUUUCCACAGGGCGACGAGGGGAGGAUCGUCGGGUAGGGUUAUGCUAUGCGUUGCUACUGGAGAUGCUACUUGGAGAUGCUACUUGGAGAUGCUACUUGGAGGACUUCAAUCUAUUCUCUUCUACAUGCUGCAAGACGGAGGCUGCCAGAAGCGUAGUCUUCGACAGGAUUAGCUAUCCCCCUUUUAUUCUGGCAUUCUGCAGUUCAGUCCACCGAUAUGGCCCUUUCCACAUAUACCCAUGCAUAUGUAGUGUAGUUCCUUGCUUGCGAGUACUUUGGAUGAGUACUCACGGUUCCUUUCUCCCCACUUUUUUUCCCUUUCCUUUCUUUCUGGUUGUCGCAACCAGAUGCUGGAGUCCAUGAGCCAGACGUCACCGUCGACGACGACCCCUACUACACCGGAGGUGCCUACUACGUGCAGCCCGCUGACGACGACCAGGAGUAGUUAGGAGGAUCCCAGGCAGGAGGCCUGCGCCUCUUUCGAUCUGUAUCCCAGUUUGUGCUAGCCUUCUUAAGGCAAACUUGUUUAACUUAUGUCUGUACUCAGAUAUUGUUGCUUCCGCUGACUCGUCUAUGAUAGAGCACUUGUAUUCGAGCCCUCGAGGCCCCUGGCUUGUAUUAUGAUGCUUGUAUGACUAUUUUUAUUUUUAGAGUUGUGUUGUGAUAUCUUCCCGUGAGUCCCUGAUCUUGAUCGUACACGUUUGAGUGUAUGAUUAGUGUACGAUUGAAUCGGGGGCGUGACAAGUUGGUAUCAGAGCCGACUGCCUGUAGGAAUCCCCCUUCCCAACUCCUUGGCCGAAGUCGAGUCUAGACAUUACAAAACUUUUACUAACAUGGCUGUGUGCCUUAUGGGCCCACGUCGCCAUUGGGUGGUACUAGGAUCUUUUACUCCUCGACCUUUACUCUGGGAUUCUGAACUCUCUUCUAUUCGGGUUAAGCGAUUUUUUUUACUAAAAUCUAACUUAGGUUCUCGAAAAUACUUUCUCCCGAAGAGGCCCUUCAAUCCAGAUGAUCACCGACUGCACCAGAAGAUUUCGGAGAUACUCUUUGAUAUUCUCUCGAGACUUUGUGCCCAUCACUUUUGCUAUUCCCGACCACCGAUAAAUCCUUAUGGAUAACUACUUACACUUUCCAUUCUUACGAUCAUCCCCCAUUGAUCUUGUUAUUACAAGAUACCCCGAAGUUUUCUCUAUUGUUCCAAGAAUACUUUGUGCCUACUGCCUAGCAGUUCUUUGCCACAUGAAUACCCCUUCAAAUAAAUCCUCGCACUUGUCGAGUAUCCGCUCCUCCCCAGUUGUUCAUGUGUUGCACAAAAGUCUUUGAAAUACUAUUCAAUCCUCUGAAAAUCCUUAGCAGCUUUAUUGCUCUGCAAAUACUUGUCUACUUGCAUUAUGGAUGCUUCCCAUAUAUCUAGCAAUAUUCACUAGUAUCUUUUGACACCGUCAUUUUGAUCCUAUUGAUUCAACAUGUGUGCGAAUGCACACAAUCAUCUAUCAACCCUUCUAAAUUAUCUUUCUGGCUCAGACAUCAUUUUUGAACAUGAGCUGGUUCUCGACCAAACUAUUGGUCGUCAAUUGUGACUCUGGUCUAUCGAACUUAUCCAUCCUUGAUCAGAGUGACAACUUCUGAUCCUUUGUUUUGGAAAUCGUAAUUCCUUUGUUAUCUAAGCAUCGAAUUAUUCACAUGUUCUAUAAUAUGAUGCCCGUGCAUUCUUCUUCCUCUGGUUGAGUAUCGAUACUCACAUCAGAUCUUUUAUGGACCGCUAUAUCCUUGAUUGGAUUAUUAUCCGACAGUGUCCUUCAUAUUGAAUAACCUUGUGAGCCUUUACAUGGGUAUAUAAUGCCUUUGGUAAAUUGUAUCAUCUGCUUUUGAACAAUGCUCUACUUUCGAGCUUGUAUUAUUUACUUCUAAAGAUUCUGGUAUAUGAUUCUAAGAUGCCCCGAUGGGUUGAACCUAUGCCUCCUUAAUAUGUGUGAACUCGAAAGUUUUCACGAGUCGUACUCUUCUGGUAGUUUGCCAGAUAAAAUUUCAACGCUAUAACUUCAUCGAAAGCGAGAAGUGAAUGAAAGGGUAUGCAUUGGAGAAGUGGGAGUCGACCUUGAUCUCUGAGUUCAUGCCCAUGGACCUGAUGUGGAACUUAUCAUGGUAGCUUCUUGCUAAAUAUUUACUCAUUCGAGUAAUUCUUUCGGUGUUAUUAAAUGGGACCCCUUGUAGUUAUGGUUUCGACCAUAUUGUUCUUCUUUUUUCCCAUUUCUCAGGCAAGUUUAAACAUUUGUCUUCUGCGGAUUAAUACCCCAGUCCAACCUCUACUUUGAUCCGUCUUCGAGUAUUACCCCCCUGGUAUCUUGAGAUUAUCUUGGAACUGCAUUACUUCUUAUGAGUUCUUCAUCAAGUACUACAUUCUCGCUGAUUCCAAUUUUCCACGGGCUCCGAGUUAUUAGACACUCGGGAACACCGAUAAGUGAAUAGAUUCCAUACUCCGAUUCAAUAACUCUAAGUAAUUCCUGUUGCUUAUGAGUUUAAUAAUCCUUCAAGUCAUUCCUAGCCUUAUCAGCUAUAUCAUUAUCAUGCAAAAUUUUAUCUGUGCUACCUGGUCCUUCUUUCGGAGCACAACUUUCGACGAUGAGCUAGACUUACGUCGAUCUUCCUUGUCAUAUCAUUUCGCCUUGAACAUCAAGCUUGAUUUCGAGUUCGUGUCGUACCCUUGGUUUUAGUAACUUUCGCUUCAUCAGUCCUUUGACUUGAUGUCAUCGUUGUUCGAUUACAUCUUCAUGAAACCUCUCGACAAAUGUGUCGUAAUCAUCAUCUACAUUCUGAGCUCUUACAGGAUAUCAAUCGAAUUCGUGAUGAGAAAUACCAUCCUUGCCCCUCAAUGAUUGUGUUAUCAUCGACGACAUUCUUGCCUUCCCCCAACACAAACUUAUUCAUGUUUUGUGUUAUACCUUGAGUUCCUUGCUAUCCAGCCUUUGUUCUUUUUUAUCUUGGAGUAUUACCAUCUUUUAUGUCAAGAAUGUUCUGAGAUUUUGUUCCACCUCUUGAGAGUUCUUGGUGUAGUGCUACUUCUCACCAUCACCAUUCUUUCAUGGUCCUCGUGUUGAUUCCAACCGGGGUACCAACAAGUGAACGGUGCUGUUUGGAUUCUGUACUUCUAGCAACCCUAUUGCUUUGAAGUUAAUGGUCAACCAUUCAUUCUUAGACUAUUGAUUAUUGAAUCACCAUUCUGACAUUGGUCGUGCAACCCAACCCAUAUUUCGGGCGCACCUUUCCACCAAUGUUUAAUUGAGUAUGUUUUCCUCGAGCAUACCUCAUUAUAUCAUUUGAUCUGACAAAUGCUAUCUCCCUGUUCACCUAAUUGUGGAAAUCCAUCUUUUGGAAAAUCCCAAUGAAUUUCGCUGAGUUCAUCAGCCACCUGCUCAUCCUCUCCUUGGUUUAAUGAUGAACUCAUGAUUAGGAACUUGCUUCCAUAGUUUAUUUCCCGAGAAUCUUGCAACUCCAUCACGUCAAACUGAGUUGCACCUUUUCUUCUCAGGCAUCCUAAGUCCUUGACACCAAUCAGAUCUGAAUUCCGGUCAGAUAUGAUGGUUGGAACAUACUUUCAAGAGUUAUAACAUUGGUCCUCUUAUGACUCGGUAAGGUGAUGUCAUGCCUAGCACUCCUGACCAGGGGACCCAGUGUUAUAGUUUCCUUUUUAACAAGGUUAUCCAUUCUUCCAUGAGGAAACUGUAAGACUUAUUCUAUAAGUUGUUUUUGAUGGAUCCUUUGUAUCCAAAGCCUGACCUUUGCUUGAAGACCAUGUCAAUACUGUCUCGAAGCAUAUUUGUGGUACUCUGAUUUUCAAUAAGAACAUUUGAAGCACCAUGCUAAAUGUUUCUUGUUGAAAUUACCCAAACACCAUUGUAUGGGUAAUGUCAUGAAAUUUCUCUCCUCUUAUCUAAAGGGUUUUCUACCUUAUAUCCUGUCUUGGAUAUCAUCCUCUGCUUGACUUUGGGAAGGAUAUACCCUUGAAAUAUGUGUUUAAACACAGUUUCCUUUCCAUUGUUAUGUUUAAUAUAUGAAGAUCACCUUUUCGUUUCCAAUGUUUGGUUUAACCUUUCUUGUGACCUAUAGGAUCUAAGCAGUAAUAUUCUCCUGCUUUUGUAAACACCUCGGUGUACAAUUCUGCCAGAAAGACCCUGUUACUUUUGUUGAUGACAUUCCGGUAACCACCGAUGGACGAUAACUUUGCCUAUUGGUCCGCCUCGUCUUAACGAGCAGGAAAAUGGUUCUCUUCGUCCCUCGCCCUUGGUACCAGCGUUGUUGCCAACAUAACUGAAAGGCUAUCCACUGACAUGCCUCCCCGUCGCGGCUGUGCAAGAUGUCACCACCCUUCCUACUUUCAACCCACAUGUUGGGCCCAUAACCCACAAGUCCACUGGAUCGAAACCUGACUCACCUUUACAACCCGGAUUCUAAUGUAUCCUUUACACCUGGCUUCGUAUGUGAUUCACGAGCUAAAUGCUAUACCACUAUUCAUCCUGGAAUCAAACACCAUGUUAUUCUCGUUGUUCAAACCCCCAUUCCAGCUUAUGUCUAGUCAUUGAAUGAUUGCCUACCCGUUUGAAACUUUGGUACCAUCGUAUAUUGCACUCAACGAAUUCACUGAAAUACAACUCGUGGGGGUACCUUGUGUAUUUCCCAUUGAGUUCACCUUCAGAUGCCCAUCUUAGUGGAGAUGCGUUCUUCCCAAGUUUUUCCCCUUGAUCGCGUUCGUAGGACGAUAGAGAUCCCAGAGAAAGGAUGAAGACUUCAUCAUGAUGCCUUGAAAUAGAGAAUGAAGACAUCAACAUAAUGGAUCGACCUCUUCGAGAAGAGCAACCAAGAUCGAGGACACCCAUUAGAAUUGCGUAACCAGAACUUUCCCCCUUACUCACCUAUUAAAUCUCGGGACGAGAUUUUUUGUAGUGGAGGAGAAUUGUGACACCCGGAUAAUCAUGCUACAGUAAUCCCAUGUUAACGAUGCCAUGUCACCACGGUUACUGUUUUUAAAUCUCGCGUUAAUUCGAAACCGCUUCAAAAUUCAAAUUUAAAUUAAUGGCAAACAACAAAAGUUUUUAAAAGUGAAAACAAAAAUGUUCGGGCGGUGCCAUAUUUUGCUUAAGUAAAUAUGGUGUAAUAAACACAUUUUUAUAAAGUGCCUAGAUAAUUUAAAAUGAUUUAAAACAGGAAAGAAAAUAAAUAAAAAGAAAAGACUAAACAUGAUUAAAACAAAAACAAAACAAAGUAAAAGGACCCCCCCUUAGCUGGGCCUUGGCCCAGCAGGCUACUGGGCCGCCAGGCCAGCCCAACCGCGCCCGCUACUACUCUCCACCGGGAGCCAGAAACCCUAGCCCCUCUCCCCCACUACCCCGACCCCCACUCUCUCUCGCUCGCUCCCCCACUCCCCCCGAUUUCUAGAUCGGGGCAAACCACCCCCUCCCCCAGUCGGCCCGCUCGUUCCACUCCCCCUCUUCAGGAUCGGGGGCGUUCGCCGCCGCCGCCGCCGCCUGGAAUCCCCGCUGGAGCCGCCCCACCACCCGCCGUCGUCGGUGCCGCCUUCCCUUCUUCGUCGCUCGUCCUCGCCAGAUGCCGUCAACGCAGGCCGCCGCCGCACACCGUCAUCGCCUCAACCACGCCUCCCUCGCCGGACCACCUCAACGGCCUGCCUCCUCGUCGCCCGGUCGUCGCCGUCGACCACCCCGAGCCCCGCUGCCCUUCCCGGUAUCCUUCCUCUCCAUGCUGCACCGCGCCCGUAUUCCUCGAGCUCCGCCCACGCUCCGUCCAUGGCCGCCCCGACCUCCCGCCGCACGCCGUCGGGCUUCCCAUCGCCGGCCUCCCCGAGCCUCCCCUGCAACGCUGUGAGCAGGCUCCUCCUUCCCCCUCUCGAUUCACUGUUGUAGGCCACCAUUCGCGCCGUCCGUGCUUCUGACCGUGGCCGCGGACAUCGCGCGGUCGCUGCGCCCCGCGCUCACCCGCAUGUGCACGGCCUUGCUCGCCCCUUGCGCCCUGCGCCGCACCUGGCCACCGCCCCCUCACCUUGCUAUCCCCACUCUGGUCAGCUGCGGUCGCCCUGCCGUGACCGCCGGCCAGCCAGCACGCGCCCGGGUCCGGUGACCCGGCGCCCACAGCCUUGUUCGGGUGCCCCAGCCGGGUCCUGGCACCCGAGAACCCCGCCCGAGACCCGCUAAGGCCCCCAGGGGCCUAUGACAAGUGGGGUCGUCCCCUAAAACGUUUUAAAAAAAGGAAUAAAAAAAGACUUAAAAAUAUAUAUAUAAUAAUAAAUAAAAAUGAUUAAUUAAUUAAGUAAUUAAUUAAGUUAAUGAAUCCUGAUUAGAUUAACCUAAUCACUAAUUAAACUAAUUAAUCUAUUUUAGUUAAUCUUAGUCAAUGACAGUGGGACCCACGCGCCAGUUUGGCCAAGUCAACUGACUGUUGACUGCUGACAUCACCCUGAUGUCAUGCUGACAUGAUAAUGGCAUUUCCUAAUUAAAUUAAUUCUGAUAAUUCUAAAAAUGAUUAAAUCCUUUUAAAAUUAAUAUAAAAUAAACCGUAGCUCGGAUCGAAAAACUUUGUACAUGAAAGUUACUCAGAACGGUGAGACGAAUCCGGGUACGCAGCCCGUUUGUCAGCCACACAUCCCUAGCAUAGCAAACACGCAACUUUUCCCCUCCGGUUCAUCUGUCCGAAAAUGCGAAACACCAGGGAUACUUUCCCGGAUGUUUCCCCCUUUCGCCGGUACCACAUAAUACCGCGUUAGGACAUACCUAGCACCGCGUAUUGCCGCGUCUUGCUUUGUGUUGCAUUUGAUUGCUCUGUUAUUUAUUGUGUUCCCCCUCCGUUACUCCUUUCUGGUAGACUCUGAGACCGCUGCCGAUGUUCGUGUGUUCGACUACAUCGAAGAUGACCCCUCCUUGCCAGAGCAACCAGGCAAGCCCCCCCCCCCCUUGAUCACCAGAUAUCGCCUAUUCUACUCUAUACUGCUUGCAUUAGAGUAGUGUAGCAUGUUACUGCUUUCCGUUAUUCCUAUCCUGAUGCAUAGCCUGUCCUUGCUACUACUGUUGUUACCAUUACCUGCUAUCCUACUGCUUAGUAUAGGAUGCUAGUGUUCCAUCAGUGGCCCUACACUCUUGUCCGUCUGCCAUGCUAUACUACUGGGCCAUGAUCACUUCGGGAGGUGAUCACGGGCAUAUACGAUAUACUUUACACAGUUACAUUACCUGUGAUACUGUUCGGAGAUGGGGGCUGAAGGGGCAGGUGGCUCCAUCCCGGUAGAGGUGGGCCUGGGUUCCCGACGGCCCCCGACUGUUACUUUGUGGCGGAGCGGCAGGGCAGGUUGAGACCACCUAGGAGACAGGUGGGCCUGGCCCUGUUCGGCAUUCGCGGAUACUUAACACGCUUAACGAGAUUUUGGUAUUUGAUCUGAGUUGGCUACGAGCUUAUACGCACUAACCAUCUACGCGGGAGUAGUUAUGGGUAUCCCGACGUCGUGGUAUCAGCCGAAGCACUUCGUGACAUCAGCGACUGAGUGGCGCGCGCCGGGUUGGACUGCGUUAACGCAACUUCCUUUGUAAUGGAGGUUGCUAGGUCUGCUCACCGGCCGCGUACGCAACGUGCAGGUGUGCUCAGGGCGAUGGGCCCAGACCCCUGCGCGCUUAGGUUUAGACCGGCGUGCUGGCCUCUCCGUUGAGCCUAGGUGGGGCUGCGACGUGUUGAUCUUCCGCGGCCGGGCAUGACCCAGGAAAGUGUGUCCGGCCAAAUGGGAUCAAGCGUGCUGGGUAAGUUGGUGCAUCCCUGCAGGGAAGUUAAUCUAUUCGAAUAGCCGUGAUCUUCGGUAACAGGACGACUUGGAGUUGUACCUUGACCUUAUGACAACUAGAACCGGAUACUUAAUAAAACACACCCUUCCAAGUUCCACAGACAAUCCGGUGAUCGCUUUUCCACAGGGCGACGAGGGGAGGAUCGCCGGGUAGGGUUAUGCUAUGCGUUGCUACUGGAGAUCCUACUUGGAGAUGCUACUUGGAGAUGCUACUUGGAGAUGCUAAUUGGAGGACUUCAAUCUAUUCUCUUCUACAUGCUGCAAGAUGGAGGCUGCCAGAAGCAUAGUCUUCGACAGGAUUAGCUAUCCCCCUUUUAUUCUGGCAUUCUGCAGUUCAGUCCACCGAUAUGGCCCUUUCCACAUAUACCCAUGCAUAUGUAGUGUAGUUCCUUGCUUGCGAGUACUUUGGAUGAGUACUCACGGUUGCUUUCUCCCCACUUUUUUCCCUUUCCUUUCUUUCUGGUUGUCGCAACCAGAUGCUGGAGUCCAGGAGCUAGACGUCACCGUCGACGACGACCCCUACUACACCGGAGGUGCCUACUACGUGCAGCCCGCUGACGACGACCAGGAGUAGUUAGGAGGAUCCCAGGCAGGAGGCCUGCGCCUCUUUCGAUCUGUAUCCCAGUUUGUGCUAGCCUUCUUAAGGCAAACUUGUUUAACUUAUGUCUGUACUCAGAUAUUGUUGCUUCCGCUGACUCGUCUAUGAUCGAGCACUUGUAUUCGAGCCCUCGAGGCCCCUGGCUUGUAUUAUGAUGCUUGUAUGACUAUUUUUAUUUUUAGAGUUGUGUUGUGAUAUCUUCCCGUGAGUCCCUGAUCUUGAUCGUACACGUUUGCGUGUAUGAUUAGUGUAUGAUUGAAUCGGGGGCGUGACAAAUCCUCCCCCUCUUUGCCGGCAGGGUGGGGCCUCGGCUGAGCCGGCAAUGUCCUCUGCCUCAUUAUUGGCGGGGCGGGGCCUCGGCGGAGCCGGCUGUGUCCUCUACCUCGUUGUUGGCGCUGCGGGGCCUCAGCGGAGCAGGGCCUCAUCGACGCCAGUGGAGGGGGCACUCGUCCGAGCUAGCAUUAUCCUUUGCCUCGUCCUUGAUAUCGCCAAACAGUGCCUCGCCCGCUUCAUCGCCCUCUUUGUAGGCGGUCGCAGCCUCUGCCACCCACAUGCGGUACUGCCAGCGCUCGAGGCGGCCCUCGCGGGCAGAGCGGUAUGAGUCGAGCAGCACCUCCUGCUCCGCCCGCUCCGUGGCGAUCUGCUCCUCCACCUGCAGGUGCUCCUGGAGGAGAUGGUGGUUGUAGGCGGCGUCGGCCUGCGCCUCCCGGAACUGCUCCUCACACAUCUGCCUCACCGUGUCCGUAUAUUGGGCAUGGGCCUUGCUGAUGGUCAUGGUGCAAUGCACCGGCGAGGAUGGCGCGGAGGAGGGGGUUGGCGCCGGAUCAUCGACUACCAUGUUCUCCAUUGGGACAUCGUCGUCCUCCGGCUGCCUGCCGACCAGCCGGUCGGCAGCAAUGGCUGCCAUCUCCUUGUGGUCCGUCGUCCGCCCAUCCCGAAGAGCGCUGGAGCGCGAGGAAGCCAUGGUGGGUAGUAGUGGUGUGGACAGGAGAAAGGGAACGGAUGCGGAUGACUGCGACUAUGGCCGGCGCAGCAGUUUAUAUAGGAAUGGUGGACGGCGGAGGGACGGAUGUGUGGCGCCAGAGUAGCCGCCUCGGCAACUGCGUAUCAUUAAUGUGGGCGGCAGAUGGACAGACGGAUGACACUUGUGUCAUUUGAAGGUGGAGCAAUCGCCUGCACCGGGAAGCGGGGCGGGCGGCGCUGACUGUUUCAGGCGGAAAGCGCGCGCGGGCGAGGAGAUGACUUUACUUGGAGAAGAUGACAAUGGGGACCCACCAGGGCCAUAGCCUCACGUACGCAAGUGCCUCCAUAUUAUAUAUAUAUAACAAUAAUUUAUUUUGCUUCCUCCUGGUUUCCUGACAUCACGGUCCCACACCAUUGUCAACCUAUGUACUCCCUCCUUUCCGGUUUAUAGGGCUUAUCUCAAAAUUUUAGUUUUUCCAUUUUAUAAGGCUCAAUUUGGUUGUUUUCCAUCACAUGUUCAGAUUCCAAGGUGCAUUAAAUCAUUGCAUGCAAGUAUUAAGAGAAAAUUGACCAAUGCAUGUACUUUAUGCAUGCAUGCAUUGCAAUUAAUGCAUGAUAAACAUAAUUUUUUGAGGAUAACAAGAGCAUUAAUUAGGUGCUUUUGCAAAACUACAAAAAGUAUUCCACCACUUGCCAUCUACCUUGAUUGAUGAGAUUUUUGAAUUGAGCACUAUAAACUGGAAAGGAGGGAGUAGUCAAUAAACAAGAGAAUUGCACAAGAAGCGGCCGACAGCUGGGACCAAGCAGCUCGAGUAGUAUUUGUGUUUUUGAGGUGUGAGCACUUCAGAGUUUUUCGAUGUUUAUCCCAGAUAUUAAUUUUUCUCCUCUGAACAACAACGAAAACAUCGCUGCAGGUAUUAACUGGGCGGGUUGUGGCCCGUCUAGCCCAGGCCAGAUAUCCAGCCCAAAUAUUAAAAAAAAUUCAAGCUGAAAAUGGCUAGCCCAGCUAUACUUUUUUAGGAAUACCCAAGCAAGGUCAAGUUGUUAUUCUCUGCCCCGCUGGGCUGAAAAUCUUUGCUAGGAGGGAUGCAUUAGGCUUAACAAGAAAAUGGGCUUUAAGAAAUAAUAAAUGGGAUGUAAUUAUAAAAACUGGGCAGUAACUAUAAAAAAAUGCACCAAACAUGUAAUUACUUUAUAAAAUAUUAUUUUUGGAUAUUGAAAAUUUUAAUUUCAUUAAUUGUUGCGAGCGUAAUGUUUCGUUGGAUUUUUACGCAAUAUAAAUUUAUAUUGAAAUUGUAUUUAAUAUGACUAGAAACUUCGGGAUAAAAAUAUUUCGGAUCCCAUCAAAAUGUGGGAAAUUUUAUUGAAUUCUGUUUUGAACGGUUGAUUGAAAUGAGAUGUACUUUUAACAAACUGUAAAUGGGUUGUAGUAAAUUCCAUUAGAAUUCAAAAAUGAGCUGCACAUUCUUACAAAUCUCAAAUGGGCUUUAAGUUCUCUGCCACACACUUCUGGCCUUACUAAGUUGACGCGUCCCCUAAAAAAAGAGUUGACGCGUAUGCAAGGCUUUGUCAACUUAUAGUCAACACACGGUUCUAGCAGCAGUGGUCGUUGGAUGUCUAUCCAAUGGAUGCCGUGCUUCUUCAAUCUCGGAGAUUCUAGCUUCACCCGCCCAAAAAAUGAUUCCUCCCCCUGACAUCUGGGGCGCACCAUUUCGGAAGCUGACCUGUGGGCCUACUAAGUUGACGUACCAAGGGCUUUGUCAACUUAGUUAAUAUAAACGGUUCUACCUGCAGUGACCGUGCGAUGUCCAUCCAACGGUCGCCAUGCUUCUUCAACCUCUGGUCUUCUUGCUCCAGCCGCCCAAAGCAGCGCCAGUCGUGCCGCCUGCUCCUGCCUUCUGUGGCUGGCUGUGCUGCCACGGAGGCCUCACCGCCCCCUACUACUCCCACCGCUGGCCAGGCCAUCCCUCCACUCACCCACACCCCUAUUAUUCUGCGGCGAUGGCAGCCUCACACCGCAGCCGAACCAGUGAACCCUCGUACUCCUCUCCGCGUGUGCACCCACUGCCGCGUCUUCCCCAGCUCCGUGUCGUCCCCUUCCUAGGCCUUGUCGCCGUCCACCGCCGUGGUGCUCUCGGCACGGCGUGGUCAACGUGGUCAAGGAACGACUUCCAUCGAACGUGGACUAUACGUGGAGAGGCUGACAGCUGGGUCCACGGCCACAGCAAGGAAGUGCCUCCUUAUUAUGCGGAAAAUAAUGAUUCCUCCACCUGACAGUUGGGACCCAUCGGACGGGCCACUGUAUUUUGUGAAAAAAAAACGUUUCCCCCCUGACUGUUGGGACCCACCAGCUACAUCUUCGCAUGCAAGGAAGUGCGUCCAAAAAAACGAUUCACCCCCCUGACUGCUGGGACCCACCAGCUACAUCUUCGCACGCAAGGAAGUGCCUGACAGUCGGGACCUACCUGGUCGAAGCGUACUAAUGUCUACUACACAAUCUUCUUCUUGUAGACGUUGUUGGGCCUGCAAGUGCACAGGUUUGUAGGACAGUAGCAAAUUUCCCUCAAGUGGAUGACCUAAGGUUUAUCAAUCCGUGGGAGGCGUAGGAUGAAGAUGGUCUCUCUCAAGCAACCCUGCAACCAAAUAACAAAGAGUCUCUUGUGUCCCCAACACACCCAAUACAAUGGUAAAUUGUAUAGGUGCACUAGUUCAGCGAAGAGCUGGUGAUACAAGUGCAAUAUGGAUGGUAGAUAAAGGUAAUUGUAAUCUUAAAUUAUAAAUACAGCAAGGUAACUAAUGAUAAAAGUGAUCGUAAACGGUAUUGCAAUGGUAGGAAACAAGGCCUAAGAUUCAUACUUUCACUAGUGCAAGUUCUCUCAACAAUAAUAACAUAGAUAGAUCAUAUAACAAUCCCUCAACAUGCAACAAAGAGUCACUCCAAAGCCACUAAUAGCGGAGAACAAACGAAGAGAUUAUGGUAGGGUACGAAACCACCUCAAAGCUAUUCUUUCGGAUCGAUCUAUUUAAGAAUUUGUACUAGAAUAACACCUUAAGACACAAAUCAACCAAAACCCUAAUGUCACCUAGAUACUCCAUUGUCACCUCAAGUAUCCGUGGGCAUGAUUAUACGAUAUGCAUAACACAAUCUCAGAUUCAUCUAUUCAACCAACACAAAGUACUUCAAAGAGUGCCCCAAAGUUUCUACCGGAGAGUCAAGACGAAAACGUGUGCCAACCCCUAUGCAUAGGUUCAUGGGCGGAACCCGCAAGUUGGUCACAAAAACAUACAUCAAGUGGCACAUGAUAUCCCAUUUCACCACAGAUAAACACGGCAAGACAUACAUCAAGUGUUCUCAAAUCCUUAAAGACUCAAUCCGAUAAGACAACUUCAAAGGGAAAACUUAAUCCAAUACAAGAGAGUAGAGGGGAAGAAACAUCAUAAGAUCCAACUAUAAUAGCAAAGCUCGCGAUGCAUCAAGACCGUGCCAUAAAGAGAACACGAGAGAGAGAGAGAGAGAGAUCAAACACAUAGCUACUGGUACAUACCCUCAGCCCCAAGGGUGAACUACUCCCUCCUCGUCAUGGAUAGCACCGGGAUGAUGAAGAUGGCCACCGAUGAGGGAUCCCCCCUCCAGCAGGGUGCCGGAACGGGCUCCCGAGAGGUUUUUGGUGGCUACAGAGGCUUGCGGCGGCGGAACCCCCGAUCUAUCUUCUGUUCUGAUGUUUUUAGGGUAUGUAGGCUUAUAUAGGCGAAAGAAGUCGGUCGGGGGAGCCUUGAGGGGCCCACAAGAGGGUAGGGCGCGCCCAGGGGGGUGGGCGCGCCCCCUAUCUCGUGGCUUCCUCGAUGCUCUUCUGACGUGAACUCCAAGUCUCCCAGAUCAUAUUCUUCCUAAAAAUCACGCUCCCAAAGGUUUCAUUCCAUUUGGACUCUGUUUGAUAUUUCGUUUCUUCGAAAUACUGAAACAGGCAAUAAAACAACAAUAUGGGUUGGGCCUCUGGUUAGUAGGUUAGUCCCAAAAGUAAUAUAAAAGUGUAUAAUAAAGCCCAUAAACAUCCAAAAGGGGUAAUAUAAUAGCAUGGAACAAUCAAAAAUUAUAGAUACAUUGGAGACGUAUCAAGCAUCCCCAAGCUUAAUUCCUGCUCGUCCUCAAGUAGGUAAAUGAUAAAAACAGAAUUUUUGAUGUGGAAUGCUACCUAGCAUAAUUCUCAAUGUAAUUUUCUUUAUUGUGGCAUGAAUGUUCAGAUCCAAAUCAUUCAAGAUAAAAGCUUAUAAAACAUAAAAAUAAUACUAACAAAUAAUCAUGUCCUAUCAAAAUAGCAUAGCCAAAGAAAGCUUAUCCCUACAAAAUCAUAUAGUUAGGCCAUGCUUCAUUUUCAUUACACAAAAUACUCCCACCAUGCACAACCCCGAUGACGAGCCGAGCAAUUGUUUCAUACUUUUUAACGCGCUUCAGCUUUUUCAACUCUUACGCAAUACAUGAGCGUAAGCCAUGGACAUAGCACUAAGGUGGUAAAAUAUGGUGGUUGUGAGGACAAAAAGAGGGAGAAGAUAGUCUCACAUCAACUAGGCAUAUCAACGGGCUAUGGAGAUGCCCAUCAAUAGAUAUGAAUGUGAGUGAGUAGGGAUUGCCAUGCAACGGAUGCACUAGAGCUAUAAAUAUAUGAAAGCUCAACAAAAAGAACUAAGUGGGUGUGCAUCCAACUCGCUUGCUCACGAAGACCUAGGGCAUUUUGAGGAAGCCCAUCAUUGGAAUAUACAAGCCAAGUUCUAUAAUGAAAGAUUCCCACUAGUAUAUGAAAGUGACAACAUAGGAGACUCUCUAUCAUGAAGAUCAUGGUGCUACUUUAAACACAAGUGUGGAAAAGGAGAUAGUAGCAUUGUACCUUCUCUCUUUUUCUCUUAUUUUAUUAUUUUCUUUCUUUUUCUCUUUUUUUCUUUUUCUUUGGCCUCUAUUUUUUUCUUUUCUUUUUGGCCUUUCUCUUUUUUUCUCCUUUUUUUUCUAUUUGUAAAGUUCGAAGUCUCAUCCCGACUUGUGGGGGAAUCAUAGUCUUCAUCAUCCUUUCCUUACCGAGACAAUGCUCUAAAAAUGACGAUCAUCACACUUUUAUGGAUUUACAACUCAAGAAUUACAACUCAAAGCUAGAACAAAAUAUGACUCUAUAUGAAUGCCUCCGGCAGUGUACCGGGAUAUGCAAUGAAUCAAGAGCGAUGUGUAUGAAAAUUAUGAAGGUGGCCUUGCCACAAAUACGAUGUCAACUACAUGAUCAUGCAAAGAGCCAUAUGACAAUUAUGAAACGUGUCAUAAUAAACCGAACGGUGGAAAGUUGCAUGGCAAUAUAUCUCGGAAUGGCUAUGGAAAUGCCAUAAUAGAUAGGUAUGGUGGCUGUUUUGAGGAAGGUAAAUAAUGGGUUCAAUACCGGCGAAAGUUGUGCGGUAAUAAGAGAGGCUAGCAAAGUGGAAGGCUGAGUGUGCGUAUAUCCAUGGACUCACAUUAGUCAUAAAGAACUCAUAUACUUAUUGCAAAAGUCUACUUAUCCCUCGAAGCAAAGUACUACUAUGCAUGCCCCAAGAGGGAUAGAUUGGUAGGAAAAGACCAUCGCUCGUCCCCGACUACCACUCAUAAGGAAGACAAUCAAAAGAGCACCUCAUGCAACAAAUUUGUCACACAACUUUUACCAUACGUGCAUGCUACAGGACUUGCCAACUUCAACAAAAGUAUUUCUCAAUUUCAUAACUAUCCACUAGCAUGACCCUAACAUUACUACCUUUAUAUCUCAAAACAAUAUCAAGCAACAAAUUGAUCAUAGCAUCCAUUUCACUUCCUAUGAUAGUUUUUAUUAUACCCAACUUGUAUGCUCAUCAUUCUAGGACCAAAUUUGUAAUCAUAGCAAAUACCAUGUUGUUCUAAAAGACUCUCAAAAUAAUAUAAGUGAAGCAUGAGAGACUAGCAAUUUCUUCAAAAUUAGUCCACCGCCAUGCUCUAAAAGAUACUCCCUCCGUUCUUUGAUAUAAGGUGUAUAGAUUUUUGAGAAAAAAUCCGAAAUAUAAAGUGUAUUGCGUUGCACCACUCAUUUGGAUAAUUUUUUUAGGGAUUUGAUUACAUUUCCUUAUACCGUGCAAGCUCCUCUAUUUUCUCACGUCAAUUAGUCAAGUGUAAUCUCACCCAAGACUUGUGAAAUUUUCCCUCCACAUGUGUUCUUUAAUUUUCGUGCCAAAAACUAUACACCCUAUAUUUAGGAAUGGAGGGAGUAUAAGUGAAGCACUAGAGCAAAUGACAAACUACUCCGAAAGAUUUAAGUGAAGAUCAAUGAGUAGUCAAAUAAUUGUGCAACUAUGUGAAGACUCUCUAACAUUUAAGAAUUUCAGAUCUUGGUAUUGUAUUCAAACAGCAAUCAAAGCAAAAUAAAAUGACAUUGCAAGGAUAGCAUAACUCAUGUGAAGAAGCAAAAACUUAGGCUCAACCGAUACUAACUGAUGAUUGUUGAAGAAGAAAGGUGGGAUGCCUACCGGGGCAUCCCCAAGCUUAGAUGCUUGAGACUUCUUGAAAUAUUAUCUUGGGGUGCCUUGGGAAUCCCCAAGAUUGAACUUUUGUGUCUCCUUAAUUCCUCUCAUAUCAUGGUUUCUCUUCCUUUUAUCAAAAGCUUCAUCCACAACAAACUCAACAAGAACUCGUGAGAUAGGUUAGUAUAAACCAAUGCAAAACCUUAUAAUUUUCUACUGUAACAAAUCACUAAAAUAAUUAUUCAACAUUUCAUACUAAAUUCCUCUACAUAUUUAAUACUCAUAUCCUAAAAUAGAAUCAUUAAACAAGCAAACAUACGCAAACAAUGCAAACAUAACAGCAAUUUGCCAAAACAGUAUAGUCUGUAAAGAAUGCAAGAGUAUCAAUACUUCCCUAACUCCAAAAAUUACAAGAGAAAAUUCCCACUAUAAUAAAUUUAUCAGAUCUUAAUAUGCAAAAUGUUUCAUCAUUAUACCAUGCUCUGACUUUUCUAGGAAAUUUUUGCAACAGCGGUAAACUUUCUGUUUUGAAACAGCAAAAUGUAUACUUGCAAAAUAAGCAUGGUAAAGGCUAUCCUUGAAAUUUUUAUUGAAAAUAAUUAUGCAAAACAUUAUUCUCAACAACAGCAAGCUAAUACUAACAAAAGAAAAUGACGCUCCAAGCGAAACACAUAUCAUGUGAUGAAUAAAAAUAUAGCUCCAAGUAAAGUUACCGAUGAACGAAGACGAAAGAGGGGAUGCCUUCCGGGGCAUCCCCAAGCUUAGGCUCUUGGUUGUCCUUGAAUAUUACCUUGGAAUGCCUUGGGCAUCCCCAAGCUUAGGCUCUUGCCACUCCUUAUUCCAUAGUCCAUCAAAUCUUUACCCAAAACUUGAAAACUUCAACCACACAAAACUCAACACAAAACUCAUAAGCUUUGUUAGUAUAAGAAAAUAAAACCACCACUUAGGUACUGUAAUGAACUCAUUACAAAUUAAUAUUGGUGUAAUAUCAACUGUAUUCUAACUUCUCUAUGGUUCAUACCCUCCGAUACUACUCAUAGAUUCAUCAAAAUAAGCAAACAACACAUAGAAAACAGAAUCUAUCAAAAACAGAAUAGUCUGUAGUAAUCUGUAUCAAACGUACACUUAUGGAACUCAAACAAUUCUGAAAUAAAUUUCUGGACCUGAGGAAUUUGUCUAUUAAUCAUCUGCAAAAAGAAUCAACCUAAAAUCGCUCUCCAGUAAAAAAUGGCAGCUAAUCUCGUGAGUGCUAAAAUUUCUGUUUUUUACAGCAAGAUCACAUAAACUUCACCCAAGUCUUCCCAAAGGUUCUACUUGGCACAAACACUAAUUAAAACAUGAAACCACAUCUAACCAGAGGCUAGAUGAAUUAUUUAUUACUAAACAGGAACAAAAAGCAAUAAACAAAAAUAACAUUGGGUUGCCUCCCAACAAGCGCUAUCGUUUAACGCCCCUAGCUAGGCAUGAUGAAAUGAUGCUCACAUAAAAGAUAAGAAUUGAAACAUAAAGAGAGCAUCAUGAAGAAUAUGACUAGCACAUUUAAGUCUAACCCACUUCUUAUGCAUAGGGAUUUUGUGAGCACACAACUUAUGGGAAUAAUAAUCAACUAGCAUAGGAAGGUAAAACAAGCAUAACUUCAAAACUUUAAGCACAUAGAGAGGAAACUUGAUAUUAUUGCAAUUCCUACAAGCAUAUGUUCCUCCCUCAUAAUAAUUUUCAGUAGCAUCAUGAAUGAAUUCAACCAUAUAACCAGCACCUAAAGCAUUCUUUUCAUGAUCUACUUGCAUAGAAAAUUUAUUACUCUCCACAUAAGCAAAAUUCUUCUCAUGAAUAAUAGUGGGAGCAAACUCAACAAAAUAAUUAUCAUGUGAGGCAUAAUCCAAUUGAAAACUAAAAUCAUGAUGACAAGUUUCAUGGUUAUCAUUAUUCUUAAUAGCAUACAAGUCAUCAAUAUAAUCAUCAUAGAUAGCAACUUUGUUCUCAUAAUCAAUUGGAACCUCUUCCGAAAUAGUGGAAUCAUCACUAAAUAAAGUUGACACUCUUCCAAAUCCACUUUCAUGUUCAUCACAAUAAGAUUCAACAUCCUCCAAAAUAGUGGGAUCACUACUUCCUAAAGUUGACACUCUUCCAAACCCACUUUCAUCAAUAUAAUCAUCAUAAAUAGGAGGCAUGCUUUCAUCAUAAUAAAUAUUCUCAUCAAAACUUGGGGGACAAAAAAAUAUCAUAUUCAUCAAACAUAGCUUCCCCAAGCUUCUGGCUUUGCAUAUCAUUAGCAUCAUGGAUAUUCAAGGAAUUCAUACUAACAACAUUGCAAUCAUGCUCAUCAUUCAAAGAUCUAGUACCAAACAUUCUAUAGAUUUCUUCUUCUAGCACUUGAGCACAAUUUUCCUUUUCAUCAUACUCACGAAAGAUAUUAAAAAGACGAAGCGUAUGAGACAAACUUAACUCCAUUUUUUUGUAGUUUUCUUUUAUAGACUAAACUAGUGAUAAAACAAGAAACAAAAAGAUUCAAUUGCAAGAUCUAAAGAUAUACCUUCAAGCACUCACCUCCCCGGCAACGGUGCCAGAAAAGAGCUUGAUGUCUACUACACAACCUUCUUCUUGUAGACGUUGUUGGGCCUGCAAGUGCACAAGUUUGUAGGACAGUAGCAAAUUUCCCUCAAGUGGAUGACCUAAGGUUUAUCAAUCCGUGGGAGGCGUAGGAUGAAGAUGGUCUCUCUCAAGCAACCCUGCAACCAAAUAAUAAAUAGUCUCUUGUGUCCCCAACACACCCAACACAAUGGUAAAUUGUAUAGGUGCACUAGUUCGGCGAAGAGAUAGUGAUACAAGUGCAAUAUGGAUGGUAGAUAAAGGUAAUUGUAAUCAGAAAUUAUAAAAACAGCAAGGUAACUAACGAUAAAAGUGAGCGUAACCGGUAUUGCAAUGGUAGGAAACAAGGCCUAAGGUUCAUACUUUCACUAGUGCAAGUUCUCUCGACAAUAAUAACAUAGAUAGAUCAUAUAACAAUCCCUCAAGAUGCAACAAAGAGUCACUCCAAAGCCACUAAUAGCAGAGAACAAACGAAGAGAUUAUGGUAGGGUACGAAACCACCUCAAAAUUAUCCUUUAUGUUCUAUCUAUUCAAGAGUUCGUAGUAAAAUAACAUAUAGCUAUUCUUUCCGCUCUAUCUAUCAUAGAGUUCAUACUAGAAUAACACCUUAAGACACAAAUCAACCAAAACCCUAAUGUCACCUAGAUACUCCAUUGUCACCUCAAGUAUCCGUGGGCAUGAUUAUAUGAUAUGCAUAACACAAUCUUAGAUUCAUCUAUCCAACCAACACAAAGUACUUCAAAGAGUGCCCCAAAGUUUCUACCGGAGAGUCAAGACGAAAAUGUGUGCCAACCCCUAUGCAUAGGUUCAUGGGCGGAACCCGCAAGUUGGUCACCAAAACAUACAUUAAGUGGCACAUGAUAUCCCAUUGUCACCACACAUAAACACGGCAAGACAUAUAUCAAGUGUUCUCAAAUCCUUAAAGACUCAAUCCGAUAAGACAACUUCAAAGGAAAAACUCAAUCCAUUACAAGAGAGUAGAGGGGGAGAAACAUCAUAGGAUCCAACUAUAAUAGCAAAGCUCACGAUACAUCAAGAUCGUGCCAUAGAGAGAACACGAGAGAGAGAGAGAGAGAGAGAGAGAGAGAGAGAUCAAACACAUAGCUACUGGUACAUACCCUCAGCCCCGAGGGUGAACUACUCCCUCCUCCUCAUGGAUAGCGCCGGGAUGAUGAAGAUGGCCACCGGGUGAGGGAUCCCCCCUCCAGCAGGGUGCCGGAACGGGCUCCCGAGAGGUUUUUGGUGGCCACAAAGGCUUGCGGCGGCAGAACUCCCGACCUAUCUUCUGUUCUGAUGUUUUUAGGGUAUGUAGGCUUAUAUAGGCGAAAGAAGUCGGUCGGGGAGCCUCGAGGGGCCCACGAGAGGGUAGGGCACGCCCAGGGGGUGUGCACGCCCCCCUAUCUCGUGUCUUCCUCGAUGCUCUUCUGACGUGAACUCCAAGUCUCCCGGAUCAUAUUCUUCCUAAAAAUCACGCUCCCGAAGGCUUCAUUCCGUUUGGACUCCGUUUGAUAUUCCGUUUCUUCGAAAUACUGAAACAGGCAAUAAAACAACAAUAUGGGCGGGGCCUCCGGUUAGUAGGUUAGUCCCAAAAGUAAUAUAAAAGUGUAUAAUAAACCCAUAAACAUCCAAAAGGGGUAAUAUAAUAGCAUGAAACAGUCAAAAAUUAUAGAUACGUUGGAGACGUAUCACGUACGUAGCAUUGUCAUUCUGGUCGUGAAUGUGUACAUACAUACUGGUGGAUGUAGAGGCGCGCACAUGUCGUAGUAGAGGCGUGCACGUGUCGUAGUAGAGGCAUGUAUGUGUCGUAGUAGAGGCGCGCACAUAGCAUGUACACGUACGUACAGCAGCCAGUGUGCAAGAAAGAAAAUACGGCCACAUAUGUGUACAUAUGGGCGGGGUCUCGAAUGCCUACUCGCGCAUACGUACGGCGAGGGCUCGUGUACAUGGUUGGGUCGGAACGGAGAAACAACAUCAUCGUCGUGUUCAUGGGGAGCCAACCGGCUGGGUCGGAAUGGAAUGCGUCGCCGUGUUCAUCGGGAGGGCUUGGACAGAACAGGCGAUGAAAACGAGACCUGACGUACCACAGAACGGAGGAAACAGCCUUGUGUUCGACUGGUCACGUUCGAAACGGGAUCCUGUUAAUCGGGAGGGGUCUGGCGUACUGCAAAACAGAGGAAACGGACCUCCUACGGUCGAAACGAGGGUCCUGUUGAUCGGGAGGGGUGUGGCGUACCGCAAAACGGACGAAACGGACUUGUGUUGGAGCUCUACGGUCGAAACAGGGGUCCUGUUCAUCGGGAGGGGUGUGGCGUAUCGCAAAACAGGACUCCACGGGAUACUGUUCAUCUCCACCGUCGACCUCCUCCAGCCUCCACGGGCUCCUGUUCAUCCAGCCUCCACCGCCCGCUACUCCACCGGCUACUGUUCAACCACUCCUCCAUCAUCUACUGUUCAUCUAGCCCUCCACGGGGUCAUCCUGUUCAUCCAGCCCUCCACGGGGUCCUAUUCAUCCAGCCCCAACCGGCUCGAUCGAGGCNNNNNNNNNNNNNNNNNNNNNNNNNNNNNNNNNNNNNNNNNNNNNNNNNNNNNNNNNNNNNNNNNNNNNNNNNNNNNNNNNNNNNNNNNNNNNNNNNNNNNNNNNNNNNNNNNNNNNNNNNNNNNNNNNNNNNNNNNNNNNNNNNNNNNNNNNNNNNNNNNNNNNNNNNNNNNNNNNNNNNNNNNNNNNNNNNNNNNNNNNNNNNNNNNNNCACUGUUCAUCCAAAGAGGCAGCAUCGAUCGGCUUCAGUUAGCAGCAGUAGCGAAGGAAUCGCUUGAUCGGGUUCAGUUAACAGCCAUCGAUCGCUCGCUCGGGUUCAGUAACGCGUAGCUUGCAGUGCAAUCACUCGGGUUCAGUUAGAGCCCAACGCCUCGCUCGGGUUCAGGUAGAGCCAACGCCUCGCACACACGUGCGUACGUGUACGAGAAAAACGCGCAUCGCUCGGCCCCUGACCACCCACCGUAAUCAGGAACUCCCCAAAAUUUUCCUCGCCCUCGCUUCUACCACGGUUUUUCUCGUCAUGGACGGCCCAAAGAAUGUCAUGCAGCUGCGUCUCUGGCCCGCCCAGGACGAAAAGCCCAUUUUCUGUCAUGAUUUUUUGUCAUAGAAGUAGGAGCCCACCACAUCUAUGAUGAUACCGGGUUUUGUCACAAUUAUCGUCAUAGAAGUGUCAUAAGUAUGACAAAAAAAAUUCAUUCGGCCCAAAAUGUCAUGGAUGUGUCUUUUUUUUGCAGUGGUAGCUAUCGAUCUGCUCCAGAUGGCCAAGCGAGUUGGACCGCAGUGCGAAGCUACCAAAUACGAAGAUCUGUACAUGGAGGAAGAUCCCCCCUGGACUGCAUUGUUGAAGAUGAUUGAUGGAGCCAUUAAGCCUAUCUUCAACGACACAGCGGAACUCUCAAUGAAAGCACCAAUGUCGGUGUCAAAACCGGCGGAUCUCGGGUAGGGGGUCCCAAACUGUGCGUCUAAGACUAAUGGUAACAGGAGGCAGGGGACACAAUGUUUACCUAGGUUCGGGCCCUCUCUAUGGAGGUAAUACCCUACUUCCUGCUUGAUUGAUCUUGAUGAAUACGAGUAUUACAAGAGUUGAUCUACCACAAGAUCGUAAUGGCUAAACCCUAGAAGUCUAGCCUAUGAGAUUAUGAUGGUUGUGGACAAACCCUAGAAGUCUAAACCCUCCGGUUUAUAUAGACACCGGGGGGACUAGGGUUAUACAAAGUCGGUUACAGAUAAAGGAAUCUACAUAUCCGAAUUGCCAAGCUUGCCUUCCUCGCAAAGGAGAGUCCCAUUCGAACACGGGACGAAGUCUUCUAUCUUGUAUCUUCAUAGUCCAAUAGUCCGGCCAAAGUAUAUAGUCCGGCUGUCCAAGGACCCCUUAGUCCAGGACUCCCUCAACGACCAAUAAGAUUUGUCUAAGGUCACCACCCAUGACCAUUACUAUUCCAUCAAACGAAACAUCUGCAAGAUCUGGAUUACCCACAGAGAGGACAUCACGCAACGUUCUAUCUAUGGCCUCAAAGCAUUUCCUGUGUGUCAUAAGCGCCUCGUCCCAAAUAACAAGCGAAGAUACCAUCAUCAGCUUACAAAGCCUAGAACCUCUUUUAAUAUCACAUUGUGUAUUAUCCUCAAGAAGAAUAGGUAUUUUAAAGCGAGAAUGAGGAGUCCUCCCACCAGGCAACAACAGCGACGCAAUGCCAGACGAUGCAAUAGUAAGCACUAUCUUCCUCUCACCCCUAAGGAAAGCACAGAUUGCACUCCACAGGUAAGUCUUCCCAGUACCGCCGUACCCAGAGACAAAAAAAACCUGGUUCCCCCGCAUGUACGCACCCUACAAUCGUCUUAUAAGCAAACAACUGGUUUUCAUUUAAACUAUCAAACAUAACUAAGGAUUGUUCUGCUAAAGCACAUGCAUCAUAAGACAAUUCCUCAUGGAUUAGAUGAUUAUCAUCAGAUUGUUCACCUUCGCAAGAGCGGGGCGGUAAAUUAAAGUUUCUUAUAUCAGAACCGUGUUUCAAAAAACGUCGUCCAGCUCAUCGAGAAGCAUAUCUCUUAGUCUCUCAAGAGGAACAACAUAAUUUCAAUUACCCAGGGCAUGACGCAACCUAUACUGGAUAUCAUCGUACAUGCUAACACAGUAACGUUCAAAGAAACCCAUUUCAUCCCUGAUAGAACAAUGCAUGAGCAUGGUCACAAAUAGUUGCCUAAGCUGAUGCGCAAACCCCCAGACAGCCGCUUCAUCAAACGUUGUGCACCACUCACUAUCAUCUCCUAACAAACCACGUGCAGCGCAAGCCUCUUUAAAGGUGUGAUAAAGAUGACCAGCAUACGUUCGGAUCUUCGAAAGACCUAGCCCCCUUAACAAUCAUCAAAAGCAUGCGUAAAUAAUACAGUUCACCACUCAAAGGAUGCACAUAAUAUACAUGGCCAAUCUUUUCACCCCUACCCCUUGGAUGCCAUGACCUACUUUUAACAUCCCAUGUCCAAGCAAUUGGAAAAUCACAGUACAUCAAUGUCCGAGCUUCUUCGAACAUCUCAUUCGCAACAAACCAUUCGGUAAGCAUAGUCUUUUGCAAGAAGUCAGAACCAACAAUUUUCAUGAGGUCAGCACCAGCACGAUAGUAGACAGUAUUCAUGCCAGGCAUAUGAACAAUGAGCCUUUGAACCGACGGCAUUUUAAAGUGUAUCUCAAACCCAAUUAUGCGCCAUAAUGCAUCAUACUCACUUAUAUAAUGACAUAUCAACUCGUCCACUGUACGACAACCAGAUUUAGUCAUUUUUUUAACCUUUCUAACAUGACCUUAGAGUAAUCAACACCCUUGGUGACGUACUUGAAGAGUUGUUUCAUCACUCGUGUCUUAUUACACCACUCUACAUUUAUAUGACCCUAAAAUUUCUUGAGCAUCGCCAUACUAUAAGAAACAACAUGUCUAUUGUCAAGAAAGUGACCAUUUUUAUAAACCCUUCGACCGUCGUCGCGACGUUGAUAUAACACAAACCCGUUGUCAUCAAUGACAGUAGCAUCUCUAAAAUCCUUUGGAAAAUAUUUAGAACAAACACCUUUUUUCAGGCAGACACAUUUAUCGUUCAUUUCACCACACGGAUCAUGCAUCAUAAACUCAGAAACUAAAGCAUACCCUAGAGGAUCAAGCAACGCAUCAGGUAUCUCAGCAGAUAUUAAUGAAUUAAUAUUUUCAGCACCAAUCUCACCGUUGCCCCCUCUCUGCCAGACAAGUAUAUGCGCAUGUGGCAGCCCACGCUUCUGGAACACAACAGUAUAUAGGACUGAAAAGGAAAUAAAAAAAGAUAAGUCAGCCAGACCAGCAAGAAAAAUAAAUAAAAGGCCGGUGAGAAACACCGACCACACACAAAGCACAAUAGCAAUCUUUAAUGGGGCCAAAAGCCUGGCCUGACUUGAUCUCAUCCAAGUACUCGACAAGCUUCAUGUGAUAGACCCUAACAACAACAUCUGCCCUGUCAGAAGGCGCCUGCCCAGGCUCUAAUGCAGCGGUGAUCUCGGGCCACUUGGGAUUACAAGUGAAAGUUGUAAAUAUGUUUGGUGUACCAUGCACCUGACAAAUGGCAAUGCCAUUAUGGAAGUUCUCAUUAAAAUAACAACGACCACCCAUGUGACUGGAGGGCACAAUGGUCCUCUUUCCAACAGCGUCGCCAUCUACACACCCAUCACCUACUGCAUCAGUAAUACCCUGCAUAUGCUCUGAUCUGAACAUGUCCUGAUUUCUUAUGAUAUACCAUAGUCUACUCCCAUCGAUGCACGCGCGUGCAUCAACAACGGACUGGGAGGAGAUGAGACCAUAGCAUAUAUAUGGAUUGCGCUGAUCACCUUUGUAAUGGCACAUAAAAUGAUAGUAAUCUUGCAUGGUCAUCCUAUUCUGACUAUUCGUGUCCGAGUCACCACCCCCAGAAGGAUAUGAAGACGCCUCAACAGACAAACUUCCAGGUGCAGGAUCAGGAUCUACAGCCCCAUCAUCAUCACCUUCUUCAGGAACAAUCAGGUGAGGAACAUCAAUCUGGAACCCCCUCUCACCAUAAGGAAAAAGCAACUGGUAUUGCAGAGGCAUGAACGCGGUGUUCAGAGAAGAUAUCUACUGCAAACCAUCAGAACGACUGCGGACAACAAUAUCCUGGGAAUACGCCUCUAACGUGAACCCACCACCGACAACCAAAGCGGCAAGCCCAAUAGUUGUAGGCAAGUUAAAUUGUGGACUAUCACCCUCCAAAGGCCCUAUAAUACGAAUCGAGAUAUCCUCGAUAGGUUCAUCACCGCGAUCCUCUAUCAUCUUACUCGCCUCCCUAAAGGUCUGUACCAAUGGGUUAGACUCAUUAAGCAUAUCUCUAAGGCUAACCACAAUACUCUCAUCAACUCCCCUAGUAGGUUUAUUGUCCGGAUUUAAAGCAUUCAUCCUAUGUCUAAUCUCAUUAGUGGGGUCAUGUAUGUACAACUCAGCAAACUUAGGAGCAUCAUCACCACUGUGCACCAGCGAACCAAUACGAUGAGACACUUGACCACUGAUCUUGAAGAUCUUAGGCCCACGGCUGCCACCAAAAGAGCGUUCAACGGUAGCACCCAUCGAAGUAAAAGCGAACAUACAAUUGUACUCACGUAUAGCCCGGAUGAAUUUUUUAGGACGAGAAGUACCAUCGAAUAGAAGGAGCUCCCGGAGAUAGGCCGGGGGCUCCUUAAAGGGAGAAAUAUAGACCUUAGCGCCUUUACAACAGCGAUUGUAGACCAUCUUACAUUGUGUCCAGGACGAGCCGGACUUAGAACACUCAGCAAACCAGAAGGAGGCACCACAAUACCAGCAUAAGAAAUCCGGAGGGCCACAGUAUGACCUAUCUUCAUAGCAAGCUAACAACCACCAAAGCACAAGACUAUCAGGCACAAACCAAGCGUAAAGGAAAAACAACAAUGACACGACGAGGGAAAUAAUGAUUUUUUAGUAGGUACCUUUAAGAGACUCAGCAAACCCAACUGAGAAACCUUGCCAAUCCUUCGGCAAAGGCCCUUUGAGAACAACAUCUAACCAGACAUGUAUGACCAAAUAAGAGACUAUGUGGAAACAACAAAAAGCAAGAAGAAAUCAAGGAAUUACAUGCACCUUCGUGUCCAGGACAACGCAGUCUAAUCGACACUUUACGCUUUUUUCGUUUGUUGCGAUCCACCCCGGUAACCUCCGAGCUCACAUAAACCGAGAAACCAUGCCAAUCCUUCGGCAAGGUGCCAUCGGCGACAUGUUCUAACAGAACAUGCAGAAACAGGCAAGGCACCACACACCUAAACGACAACAACUAACAACAAACUAAGAACUCGCACACACCUUCGUAGUGACCACGCCGAAACUCAACGCACCCUUUCCAUUUUCUGUGAUUAGCCACCACGGCCGAGCUCAGAAAAGGAAACCAACCAUCACCUACCACGUCAUAAAAAACGCAGAAAUGAAGUAAUUGGUAGAGCACCCUAAGAGACAAAAGAAGGAAGAAAAACUACGGACAGAGACUUACAUGUACGCCUGCGAGGAGGAAACUGAAUAGGCUGCUGCGACACGUAACGCCUAGCAAUCCCAGCGCCAGACACCCGCCGAGUAGGGACAUAAGCCCCAAGUCCAACAGCAUGGUCGGUGCCAGUCACCGGCCAAGCAGCACCCCCACGCUCGGCAACAGGCUGGUCUACAGCGGCAGGCACCCACCGAGCAGCACACCCAUGCCCGGCGACAGGCUAGUCUACAGUGACAGGCACUCACCGAGCAGCACCCCCACGACCGGCGAUAGGCUGGACCCCAACAUCAGGCACCGGACGGGCAGCACCCCGACGCCUGCAACAUGCUGGGCUCCAGCGGCAGGCACCCGCCGAGCAGAACCCCGACGCCUGGUGAUAGGCUCGGCUCCAGUGACAGGCACCCAACGAGUAGCAUCCGCACGGCCAGCAACACAAUCAGAAACAGGGGCACACCCAGUAUUAGAACAUCCACGACCAGCAGCAGCCCGCUGACGGCCACACCCACGACCACCUACCGACCCAGCGACAGCUUCAAAUGCACCUUGACCACGAGCCACAACCGGGGCACGUGCCAUGUCAAUGACCAAACAACGUCAUACCAGAACGCUGGGCAAAUAAGAAGCAACACACAUAACAUUAGAAGAAGGACCGAUAUAACCCUACAUAGCAUAACAUCAGGCAUUCAAGUGCAUAAACCAUCUUACAUUAUACCCAUGUACCAGUAACAUGGCCAGUCAAAGGAUAAGAUACACAUUGAAUAAAAGAACGAUGAAUAUCCACGAGUUAUUACAACCAGCCACUAAUCAUAGUAUACAUGCACAACAACCUGAAUGCAUAUCAACCCGACUCAGGAGAAGACGACCAUCAGAUAACCACCCCGAAGAGAACACACCCGAUCCAUAAAGUACAUCUAAAAGCUACAGGCGAUGGAGAUCAACCCAGCAUAUAGCAUCUGCUGCAGUAAAGUAGAUAUUUAAAUACAACCAGAUGAAGAUGUUUUAUAUUUUAUGAGUUUCUGAUUCAGGAUUGAUAACCAAAACCAACCAAUAUUGUAACAUUAUUUUUAAAAGAUGCUAGAUAUCUCCAUCAUUGUAACGGAAUAUAACAACUCUUAUCCAUGUGCAGUAACCUAGGCAUGACAUCUCCAGAGCACCGAUUCAACUUCACUGAAUAGGUAAAUCAAACACAAUUAGAUACUCAUGCUCAUCCUUGCCUUAACUAAAGUCAAACUCGAUUUUUAAGACACCUAAUAAAACCAAAGUCAAGCCUAUAUUCCUUUUCUGCAUCUUGAUGUUCAUCCGUGCCUGAACUAAAGAAACCACAGACGAUAAAAUCUGCACAAGAUCGACUAACCUACGAGAGCCACGCCCUUUGCACACUUUCUAUGUGAUAUGCUAUAAGAGCUACAUCCUGUGAACACUUUCUUCGUGAACCCAACAACCUCGAAAGACAUAGAGGAGGCUAGGCGAGAGUAAAGAAUCACCUCCAAGGAGACCAGUAAAGCAACCUCGAGCACCAGCAAUGGCACGACAUACAGCCCAGCAGCCAAGAGCAGAAACAGACCCUGACCAGGAUGGACCAGCAAGAAAACCCUAAAUAGAUCCCUGAAAAACAACACAACCCUAGAUGAGCACCUGCACAUCAGAAAACGGCAAAAACUGCUAUGCUGUACUCAUAUUCAGAAAUAUUGAGUAGCCGUCUUUGGAAGUUCAUAGUAACAAAAAUACUCAUGGGAAUCAAGUAAAUGGAAUUGAUCUAUGAACUAUAAGGUACCAGGUAGCCAUACCAUUGUAUAACACCAAUUUAUGAACCCUCAAAUAUCAUGAAACACUAUAGACAAAAGCUAUGAGAAAAUUACUGCUUUGCAGAAACAGCCAGCAACUUGUUUUUAUCGCCACGGCUAAACGGCUGAACCAAAUUGAGUGAAUGACCACUCAAAAUAAUCGUGUGAACAACACCUACAAAACAUCCCACAUGCUCCUGCUCUCAUUUUGCCAUUUAGGAACUCGAAAUUACUGAUUUCUGAAUCUGAAUACCUAAGAACAGCAGCAACAAUGAUUCCCAGCAACUUGUUUUUAUCAGCACAGCUAAACAGAUGAAUCAAAUUGAGUGAAUGACCACUCAAAACGAUCGUGGGAACAACACCUAAUUAACAUUCCACAUGCUCCUCCUCUCAUUUUGCCAUCUAGGAACUCAAAAUUGCUGAUUUCUGAAUCUGAAUACCAAAGAACGGCAGCAACAAUGAUCCCACCCCCCUAGUUCCCUCACCUAGGGCUCCUAAUCCUAGCCCUAUUCUCCAAGAAUCAUCACUUACAGAGGAUAAGAGCUCAUAGAUGAUGGGGAAUCUCACCUCUAUGAUCAAAUUGUUGGAGAUAUCCCUAGAGGCAAUCAUGUAUGAUGAUAUUUCCUAUGUGUGUUUAUGAAUAAAGAUAGUGCUUGGACAUUAUCAAUGAUGUGUAUCGGCAAGUAUGUGACUUGUUUGUGGGACUAUGCAUUGUAUGGUGACUGUCCUAAAAGGUCCCUAGUCGAAAGGGUUGUGUGGACGCGCAGCCGACUAGACUAGCAUAUGACACGGUCGAUGGCUUGGUCUCACUGGCCAUGGAGCAUUGGAUGCUAACCGGAUAAUAUGGACUUGGAAAGGUCUGGUCGGAUUCGACGUAGUCGGAUCCGAGUCGAGAUAAGGUUCGAGUCGGACAGACCCAACUAUGAGACGCAGCGAUAUGUCAUCUGUGAGUCUCUAGUACAACAUACGUUCUAUGUCCUAAGACCUGAGCUGACGCAUGUACUCGGGAUGGUGACAGACUUGCUUUGGGCCGACCAAACGCUACUCCAUGACUGGGUAGUUACAAAGGUAGGUUUCAGGUUUGUCCAGUCCCAUGUUGCGAGACAUGGUCGAGCAAGAUGGGAUUUGCCCCUCCGGUCAGGAGAGAUAUACUCUAGGGCCCUCGUGUGAUCCGACCAGGAUAAGCAUGGCCAUGCAACAGGGAUUAUGAGAUAAUCCGGUUUGUGGUCGGUAUCACUGGAACGAGAAAGAGGUCGGGCUAGCACAAGGAUGACAGUCUCGCCUUGAGCCCGACAACAUAUAUCAUGAGGCAAAGGGAACAGAAGUGUGACACGUUGUACAGGUUCGCCUAACCAGCUCCAUAGUCUGCUUGGUGGUUGGCACGCCUUGCUAGAGGCCACUACCAACCGUGUAGGUCGGAGGUGAUCCAAACUGUGAGCAAGCCGACUUGAACCUAAGGGGUCGCGCGCUUAAGGGAAGGAACCUACGAGGUCGGUUCGUAGGACACUGGUCGGAUGUGAUCCGAACUGCACUAGGAACGUGACCGACUAGACUUUAGGCUUUAAGGUCCGUGCGAGGCCCAAGUGUUGAGCCUGCGACGGACGCCUAUAUAAAGUGGAGGUGCGGCACACUCAUGGGGUUGAUCGCUUCGGCGCUGCGACUAGGGUUUGUAUGUGUUGCGAAUAGCCACCUCCACUCGCCGCUGACUGUGUGAUCGGACCUAGCAGUCCGCCGCAUGGUGUUCCUCCUGCACGCGCGGAUACCGUUAGAGGCGAUGCACUUGCGCCGCUCCGGCGAACUUGUACGUGGGAUCGGACGACCGGCUGUUCGAGGGAGAUCGGACGAGGAGGAGACGAUCCACGCGGACGCGCUGCCUCAACUCUACUUCCGCUGCAUGGCACUGUGCGUCUAGUGGUAAUGAACUGUGAUCCAUCUCCCGUAGCAUGUUCUUGGUUGUUCUAUGCGUAGGAAUUUUAAUUUCCAGUUGACGCACCCUACCGUAGAUCCCAACAGUGGUAUCAGAGCCUCUGCUAUAGGAUUUGAAUUCAGAUCGUAUGCAUAUUAGAUAUGUGGAGGCGGCAGAUGAGAUUUGUUGUCGUUGAUAAGAUCGACUAUGUGCACGGUUGAUGUGAUCAACUGCACAUGGGGAUCGUUGAGGCUAUGCUUUCUGUAAAUCGGGAUCGAUGAGGUCGUGACACGAUCUACCCCUACCGGUCGGUUAUCCGCCAUCAGGGUUAACAGUGAAACGUAAAUCCGAAUCGGAUUCGCGAUGAUCGAUAAGAUCGGUCAGAUCAGAGAAUUCGGCAUGAUCAGAGUUCAGAUGUGAUCUGUGAUUUUCGAAAACAUCGGGCGCUGCCCACACCCGCGAGGGGUGCUGCCCCUUCGAAUCCCGCCCACUAACCGGCUAGCGGGACCACCGUGUGCGUAGCGCCGUGUAUUUCGUACCCGACACACAAACCGGUAGAAUGCGAUUCUAUGCAUAACUUUGUUUUGCAGGUUUGAUGUAAAUAGUAUGGCUCAUGUGUAUGUGAAGCAUGUGUGUAAUUUAUAUGUGGCCUGCGUGUCAUGUUUGUCAGCCGGCAGGAGCCAAAGUGUUGUCAUUAUAUUGUAUAACGACCUGCGUGUCGACUUGUGACUCUAUGUAAAAUUCAUUACUAGUCGUAGUAGUUGAAUAACGGAGAUCAGGUUGGUGGCUUGGCGUCCCGGCGUGACAAACAAGAUGGAGUUCCUAGAUGGCCAUCGGAGUCGGAGCCAACCUGGAAGAACGUCCAUGAAGGAGCCAUACUAUUUCACAAUAUGUGUUUAUUUGUGAUUGUUAUGCUUCUUUGUUUCUAUGCAUGUUUGAAUGGUAGAAAGGUCCCUCAUGAAUAUCAAGUAAAUUGCAAUUCCCAAUGUUGCACCUUCGCACGUCAAGUACGUCUAGUAGUGGGCUCAUAAAAUUGGGGUGCUGCUAGGUGUCCUUGAACUGAAGGGUUCGUGUCGGACAUGGACAUGCACUGCAUCAGGUUAACUUGACGAGGCUAUCAAAACGGUUUUGGGCCUUGUGGCAAAGAAGGUUGGGAGCCGGGGUAUAAGAUACCUUCCCGACCGACAGGAGUCGUAUAGAGAUACGAUUAGCAAGGAGUUGCUUACCGGAUAGGUAUGUUGGCUAGCAGUGAUGCUAAAGCUCACUAGUCGCAUGCGCUAGUCGGAUCCUGAAUCACUGAGAGUUUGCAGAGGGAUGCUGACUUCAGUGGGAGUAUUUCUGUUUAGGCGAAUUACUCUACAUAAACACAUUGCUUAGUGAUUGCAUAUUUUCUGUUGUAGAUCAAUGGCACCACCUGCUCAACCCAACUUUGCAUUGAAAUCAAUUCUGGAAAAGGAUAAACUGAAUGGAACAAACUUUACCACCUGGUAUAGAAAUCUGAGAAUUGUUCUCAAGCAUGAUAAAAAGGAACAUGUUCUAGAGGAUCCACUUCCAGAGGAACCUGCUGAUAAUGCUAAUGCCACAACUAAGAAUGCCUACUAGAAACUCAUUGAUGAAUCAACGGAGAUCAGUUGUCUGAUGCUGGCUUGUAUGGAGCCUGAUUUGCAACAGCAUUUCGAAAAUGUUGAGGCUUAUGAUAUGAUCGAGAGUCUCAAGAGCAUGUUUCAGACACAGGCUAGGACCGAAAGGUUCAACGUCUGGCGAUCCUUGAUGGAUUGCAAGCUUAAGGAAGGUGAUCCACUGAGCCCACAUGUGAUCAAGAUGAUCGGAUAUAUGCAAGCUUUGGAUCAUUUGGGCUUCCCGCUCUUGGAUGAGCUGGCUACUGAUGUUGUCUGGGUUCUCUUCCGCACAGCUAUGGGACGUUCAUUUUGAACUAUCAUAUGCAUGGCAUGGAUAAGAAGCUCACUGAAUUGCAUGGGAUGCUCAAAGUGGCAGAGCAGGAUAUUAAGAAAGGCACGCAUCAAGUGUUGAUGGUGUGGAAAUUGGCUAAGUUCAAGAGGAGUUGGUCCAAGAAAAAGGCUAAGGCAAAGGGCACGGAGACGCUAACCUCCGCCGUUGCGCCAAAGUCUGGACCGGACUCGAAGACAGUUUGCUUUCACUGCAAGGAGACCGGUCACUGGAAGAGGAACUAUAGCAAGUGGCUUGCAGAGCAUGGCAAGAAGGCCGGGAAUGCUGCUUCAGGCAAAGGUACACUUGUUACAUAUGUUAUAGACAUUUACCUUACUAACAUUCCUAGUAGCUCUUGGGUAUUUGAUACCGGAUCAGUUGUUCAUAUUUGCAACUCGAUGCAGGGGCUGGUAAGAACUAGGCGUGUGGCACAAGGGGAGAUUGACAUCAGGGUCGGCAACAAAGCAAGAGUUGUUGCGUUGGAGGUCGGCACGAUGCAGCUCCAUCUUCCUUCCGGAUUCAUUAUGGAAUUGAAUAAUUGUUAUUACAUUCCUGCACUUAGUCGGAACAUUAUUUCUGCCUCAUGUUUGAUGAGUCAAGGUUAUGAAUUCAAUUUAAAGGACAAUGGUUGUUCGAUAUUUUUGAACGGUAUGUUCCACGGCUAUGCACCCAUUAUUGAUGGGCUAUUUAUAUUGAAUCUAGAACAAGAACCAGUCUAUAACGUGAAUGUCAAGAGGCAUAAGCCUAAUGAGAUAAAUCUGACAUACUUCUGGCAUUGCCGGCUUGGACACAUUAGUCUGAAACGCAUGAGGAAGCUCCAUGAUGAUGGGCUCCUAACUUCGUCUGACUUCGGGUCGUUCGAGACAUGUGAAUCAUGCUUGCUCAGCAAGAUGACUAAGUCUCCUUUCGCAAAGAGUUGUGAGAGGGCGUCCGAACUGUUGGAGCUUAUACACAGUGAUGUGUUUGGUCCAAUGAGCACAACUGCCAGAGGUGGCUAUCAGUACUUCGUGACUUUUACCGACGACUUGAGUAGAUAUGGAUAUAUCUAUUUGAUGAGGCACAAGCCGGAAACUUUUGAAAAGUUCAAAGAGUUUUAGAACGAGGUUGAGAAUCAGCUUGGCAAGACUAUAAAGCUUAUGCGAUCUGAUCGUGGAGGUGAGUACAUGAGUCAGGAGUUUGAUGAUCAUCUGAAAAGUCGAGGUAUAGUACCUUAGCUCACACCUCCGGGUACGCCACAGAGAAAUGGCAUGUCAGAACGGAGGAAUAGGACCUUGUUGGACAUGGUCCGGUCUAUGAUGAGCAAAUCGGAUUUACCCUUGUCAUUUUGGGGAUACGCUCUAGAAACUACAGCUUUCACACUUAACAGGGUACCAUCAAAAUUCAUAGAUAAGACACCACAUGAGAUGUGGACCGGGAAGAGUCCCAGAUUGUCUUUUCUAAAGAUUUGGGGUUGUGAAGCAUUUUUCAAGCGACUUAUGUCAGACAAGCUUACACCUAAAUCAGAUAAAUGCAUAUUCGUGGGAUAUCUGAGGGAAACCUUGGGAUAUAGCUUCUACAACCAGGAAGAGAACAAAGUGUUUGUUGCUCGGAACGGGGUUUUCCUUGAGAAAGAGUUUCUCAGUCGGGAGGCCAGUGGGAGGACGGUUCGACUCGAAGAAAUUCGGGGACCACUCGGGGACGGCUCGGCUGGUGAUGAGAUCAUACCGGAGUCAGUCAGGGAACCCGUAGUGGAAGCGGCACCGGAACCAUGGAGGUCGGAAAGAUUGCGCAGAGUGUGUGAUGUAUUGUUGCUAGAAAGCAACGAGCCGGCCACGUAUGCGGAAGCGAUGGUGAGCCCAGAUUCCGAGGCAUGGAUGGUGAGCCCAGAUUCCGAACCACGGAUGAGAAUCAAGUCUGGGACUUGGUUGAUCCGUCGCCUGGCGUAACGGCCAUUGGUUGCAAAUGGGUCUUUAAGAAGAAAACCGAUGUGGAUGGAAAUGUUCAGAUCCACAAAACUCGGCUUGUCGCUAAAGGUUAUGGACAAGUUCAAGGAAUUGACUACGACGAGACUUACUCGCCGGUAGCGAUGCUAAAAUCGGUGAGGAUCAUACUAGCUAUAGCAGCAUAUUUCGAUUACGAGAUAUGGCAGAUGGAUGUCAAAACGGCUUUCCUACAUGGAAAUUUAACCGAGGAUGUGUAUAUGAUAGAGCCCGAGGGUUUUGUCGAUCCGACUAGCACUAGUAAGGUAUGCAAGCUCAAGAGAUCCAUUUAUGGGUUGAAGCAAGCAUCUCGGAGUUGGAACAUUCGUUUUGAUGAGGUCGUCACUGGUCUCGGUUUCAUCAAAAGCGAAGAGGACUCUUGUUUAUACAAGAAGUUAAGUGGGACCUCGAUAGUGUUUUUGAUCUUGUAUGUGGACGACAUACUACUGAUCGGAAAUAAUGUUUCGAUGUUGAACUCGGUCAAGGAAUCAUUGAAUGGCAAGUUUUCGAUGAAAGACCUUGUUGAGGCAGUGUAUAUUUUAGACAUUAAGAUCUAUAGGGAUAGAUCGAGGAGGCUGCUCGGCUUAAGCCAGAGCACGUACAUAGAUAAAGUGUUGAAGCGGUUCAACAUGAGUGAGGCGAAGAAAGGGUUCUUGCCACUCUCACAUGGUAUAAGGCUAAGCGAGACUCAGAGUCCUUCGACAUCUGAUGAGCGAAGCAGGAUGAGUAGGAUUCCGUAUGCCUCGGCCAUCGGAUCCAUCAUGUAUGCCAUGAUAUGUACAAGGCCUGAUGUUGCUUUUGCAAUAAGCCUAACAAGCAGAUACCAGGCCAACCCAGGUGAGAGUCACUGGGCAGCGGUAAAGACUAUUUUGAAGUACCUAAAAAGGACUAAAGAGAUGCUCCUAGUUUAUGGAGGUGAUGAAGAGCUCCUCGUAAGGGGUUAUGCCAAUGCUAGUUUCCAAACCGACAGAGAUGAUUGUCGAUCACAGUCCGAAUUCAUGUACGUCCUGAACGGAGGAGCAGUGCACUGGAUGAGUUCCAAGCAAGAUACAGUGGCCGAUUCUACCACAGAAGCCGAAUACAUUGCGGCUUGUGAAGCUGCAAAGGAAGGUGUUUGGAUCCGGCAUUUUCUGGAUGAUCUUGGUAUUUUCCCAGCCUCGGUGAAACCGUUGGACCUUUAUUAUGAUAAUUCUGGUGCCAUCGCACAAGCCAAGGAGUUGAGGAAUCACCACAAGGUCAGACACAUAGAUCGGAAAUAUCACCUGAUACGAAAGAUCGUAAAGAAUGGUGAUGUAGAGUUAUGCAAGAUUCACACGGAUGCAAAUGUUGCAGAUUCGUUGACUAAGCCGCUUCCACAACCCAAGCAUGGGGGCACGUUAGAGCUAUGGGCAUUCGAUGUCUAUUUGAUUGACUCUAGUGCAAGUGGGAGACUGUUGGAGAUAUGCCCUAGAAGCAAUCAUGUAUGAUGAUAUUUCCUAUGUGUGUUUAUGAAUAAAGAUAGUCCUUGGACAUUAUCAAUGCUGUGUAUCGGCAAGUAUGUGACUUGUUUGUGGGACUAUGCAUUGUAUGGUGACUGUCCUAAAAGGUCCCUAGUCGAAAGGGCUGUGUGGACGCGCAGCCGACUAGACUAGCAUAUGACACGGUUGAUGGCUUGGUCUCACUGGCCAUGCAGCAUUGGAUGCUAACCGGAUAAUAUGGACUUUGAAAGGUCUGGUCGGAUUCGACGUAGUCGGAUCCGAGUCGAGAUAAGGUCCGAGUCGGACAGACCCAACUAUGAGACGUAGCGAUAUGUCAUCUGUGAGUCUCUAGUACAACAUACGUUCUAUGUCCUAAGACCUGAGCUGACGCAUGUACUCGGGAUGGUGACAGACUUGCUUUGGGCCGACCAAACGCUACUCUGUGACUGGGUAGUUACAAAGGUAGGUUUCGGGUUUGUCCAGUCCCAUGCUGCGAGACAUGGUCGAGCAAGAUGGGAUUUGCCCCUCCGAUCAGGAGAGAUAUACUCUGGGCCCCUCGUGUGAUCCAACCAGGAUAAGCAUGGCCAUGCGACAGGGAUUAUGAGAUAAUCCAAUUUGUGGUCGGUAUCACUAGAACGAGAAAGAGGUCGGGCUAGCACAAGGAUGACAGUCUCGCCUUGAGCCCGACAACAUAUAUCAUGAGGCAAAGGGAACAGAAGUGUGACACGUUGUACAGGUUCACCUAACCAGCUUCAUAGUCUGCUUGGUGGUUGGCACGCCUUGCUAGAGGCCGCUACCAACCGUGUAGGUCGGAGGUGAUCCGAACUGUGACCAAGCCGACUUGAACCUAAGCGGUCGCGCGCUUAAGGGAAGGAACCUACGAGGUCGGUUCGUAGGACACUGGUCGGAUGUGAUCCGAACUGGACUAGGAACGUGACCGACUAGACUUUGGGCUUUAAGGUCCGUGCGAGGCCCAAGUGUUGAGCCUGCGACGGACGCCUAUAUAAAGUGGAGGUGCGGCACACUCAUGGGGUUGAUCGCUUCGGCGCUGUGACUAGUGUUUGUAUGUGUUGCGGAUAGCCACCUCCACUCGCCGUCGACUGUGUGAUCGGACCUAGAAGUCCGCCGCACGGUGUUCCUCCUGCACUGGCGGAUACCGUUAGAGGUUGUGCAUUUGCGCCGCUCCGGCGAACUUGUACGUGGGAUCGGACGACCGGUUGUUCGAGGGAGAUCAGACGAGGAGGAGACGAUCCACGCGGACGCGCUGCCUCAACUCUACUUCCGCUGCACGGCACUGCGCGUCUAGUGGUAAUGAACUGUGAUCCAUCUCCCGUCACAUGUUCUUGGUUGUCCUACGCGUAGGAAUUUUAAUUUGCAAUCGACGCACCCUACCAUAGAUCCCAACACAAAUCACAAAUAUUUGGUGAAGGGGGAAGUUGGGGAAGCUUUCUUGUUCCCCUCUUCUUGUGCCUUCUUCUUCUUCCUCCAGAUCAGGUCCAGGCUGCCUUUGAAGGUGGGGGAGGGCGUGGUGCAGCAACGAGGGACAUGGGAAGGAGUGGGGAGGGAAGGGAGGAGGGAGUAGGCUGGCUGGAGAGGGGUGGGAGGUGGCGUGGAGGAGGAGAGGACGCGACGGCGAGCGCAGGCGGCGGCGACGGCGCACCAAGGGGGCCUGGAGGAGGAGAGGACGCGACGACGAGCGGUGGCGGCGGCGUGGCAGGGAUCGUGCCAGCGCGGGGUCAGGGUUCGAGAGAGGGAGAGGAGGAGAUGCGACGCGAGAGUGCAGAAGGGAGCGACGGCUAGGCUCUCAGCCCUUGCUAUUGGAUAUUUCCUAACCACGUGAAAUGUCUAAAAUGCCCUCGGUGGCCACCAAAUUUUACAGGCGGUGGCACGAUCUGGAUGCGCCGACGAAUGCACUGGCCAUGCUCGCAGACACAGACGCUGACCGGCGCGGCCCACCAGCGAGGGUCCCCACAUGUCAGCGAGGCAGCAAAGUAAUUCCGGAGUAAAAAACGAGUAAGGAAAACCGAAUGGAAGCUACUAUUCAUCACUAUUCAUUGUAGCAGUAUUUCGAGCCUGAUCCAACGGCCGAGGACUUCCAGGAGAGAGAUCGCACGGUCCAGAAUGCAUCAAGAAACUAAUCCGAUGGCCAGGAAGGGCGAGCGGUGAGGAGGCUGGGUGUGCUUUCUGGAUUUGUCUUUUUAGAGAUUUCAAAUGGACUACCACAUACGGAUGUAUAUAGACAUAUUUUAAAGUGUAGAUUCACUCAUUUUGCUCCCUAUGUAGUCACAUGUUAAAAUCUCUAGAAAGACAAAUAUUUAAGAAUGGAGGGAGUACAUUUGAGUUGCCUGGAGUUUUUAGUGCUAAAUGUGUGAAAUUCAUUCACCUUCAAAAGGAUUUACAUCAGCUUACACAUCAGGAAACUGCGUGUCAUUUGCACAAUAUUCUCUUGAGUGGCACCAAUUAUUAAGAUCCACAAUGUUAGAUUUGCCACCAAUUACAGGGGAAAGGUGGCAACUCAACAACUGCAUAAUCGCAAAGAAACAGGGCAGGAAAAAAAAUAGAUGGCAAAUAUGUCAGGAAGCACAGACAUACCAAAAGUCUUGAAUGGACAAGGUGGAUUUCAAAUGGUACAGAGAUCCUCAAACCCAGUUUCGACGAGGAAGAGAAAAGAUAACUUAAAACACAUUUACGGUCCAAUGAAGUGCUGAUCAACAUAGAAUUACAGAAGAUGUUAAAAGUUUACAUGAUUCAAAUCUCCCUCGAGGGGAGAACUCAGUGAUUUCAGGGAUCUAAAACCAACAAUUCAAAAAACAGACCAACU